rnacentral:lncRNA from 1 species
UUAAACUGACAUAAAUAUUAAUUACAAUAUUACAUUUUUUUUCCUGUCAUUUUUCCCCUCAGAUGAAAGGUUGGAAACUAUCAAUACGUUUAUCUGCAUUUACCAAAAAUCACAUUCAGCAUAAUUUACCAAAAAUCACUGCUGAUUUUAUCGUGCAUCGGCUUCUGUAGGAGUGACAUUAUUCAAGGAACUAUUCCUCUUUUGUCUCUGCUGAGAAGAUCCCGUAAAUGCGGUUUGCUUCGGCUCAGGAAGCUCGACAAUUUCACUGCUAAGCAUUGAUAGAACGGCAGAAAUAUUUGGCCCAUCUUUGGGACGUUCUUGGACACACAAUAAGCCGAUGUGUAUGCAUCUCAUGAUCUCUGCACGGUAGCUUGGACUCAAUAUUCUUGCAUCUAUUAAAGCGACAACAUCGUCUUCGUUCCACAGCUUCCAUGCCUGAAAUUUUUAUGUGUGAGUCUUGACAAAGAAUCAUAUGGGGGUAUUUUAGACAUAAUACUGACAUAUAAAAGAAAAAAAAAUCUCAGUUAACAGAUGUUUGUGUAUGUGUGAAUGCUAGUUUUGUUUGGUGGAGUGGGGAGAACUGGAAGAUUAAAAAGGUAGUUGUGCAACAUCGACCAACCAAAAAGAUAUUACUUUGACUGCGGACAUGAGUAAUCCACAAUGAAUAGUAAUAAGAGCGUUGGUUAUUCACACGAGAUAUACAUUUGAGUUAAUGUAGUUCGGGAAUGCACAAAGAUUUAAAAAUUAAUCUGAAAAUCAUAAGCUUUUCAAUUGGAAUUUCGUUGAAGAUCAGCAUAACAACUUGUUCCAAAGACUUGUCAGCAAAAGAAAAAGACCAUGGAACUUCCAAUGUUAAAAUGUAUCAUCACACAUCCAUUACUGAAUUCAAGCUCACGUGUUCAUCGCAAGAUCUGAUCAUUGCUAAUGUGCAACUGAGGUGCUAUGCAAAUUAGUUAUAACUAUAUUUAUUCUUUGAUGCCUUGCACAUGUAAUCUAUUUUCCUUCAUUUCUUGCUCACCACUCCAAAGUGGCUAUAAAUAUUGUAUCAUACUCGGUGUAAUUCAUUCUGUGAGUGAAAAUACAAUUAUACCUAUUAUUCUCACUACUACUAUAUCAGUUUGUAAUUCAACAAUAUUCUCAAUUUCAACUUGGUAUUAGAGCCUGAAUGGCUAACACCGAAUCCAAUGACAAUACACAUUUAGCCCAACCAACCUCAAGCACAUUGAUGCCUUCAAUGUUGGGAGGAAAUCAAUUGCCUUCAUUUGGGAUAAGUCUCUCUCAAGUUCCGCCGGUGAAGCUUGACAGGAACAACUUUCUACCAUGGAAGAACAUGGUGAUGCCCAUCAUCAAGGGGCACAAUCUUAAGGGAUUCAUCGCAGGAACGAAAUCCUAUCCACUGGAAUUUUUGGCUACUCAAACUACAGGAACUGCUAGUAUCACUAUCGAAAUGACACCGAAUAAUGAGUAUGCAAAAUGGAUGUCUACUGAUCAACUAUUGAUGAGUUGGCUUUAUUCAUCAAUGACUGUUGAGAUUGCCAUGAAAGUAAUGGGAGCUACAAACUCUUGCAACCUCUGGAAUGUUGUCCAUGAAAGUUUUGGAGUAAUGAACAAGUCCAGAGUACCUGAACACAAUCAAACAAUUAGCAAAUAACUUUGAAAUUGCUGGAAAAGGCAUCCCUCACAAUGAUCUUGUUACACAAGUGCUGGCUGGACUAAAUGAAGAAUACACACCUAUAGUGGUUCAAAUCAACAGCGAAGAGUUCAUCUGUUGGACUGAGUUGCAGUCUGUGCUAAUGACCUUUGAGAGUCGAAUUAAGCAUCUUAAUGCUCUAAAAACUGGCCUAGCUUAUGUUAACUUGAGUCACACCACAGUUAAUUUUGGGGCACAGAUCAAAUGCUAGAGGCAGAUCCAACUAUGGAGGAAGAAGCUAUUACAAUAAAGGAGAAAGAAGCAGAGGCAAAACCAGUAGACAAACCGAGAACAAAGGACCAUGUCAAAUAUGUGGUUUGAGCAAUCAUUCUACAGAAAGAUGUUUCAAUCGGUAUGAUGAAAGAUAUAUGGGGACAAGGCCUGGACAUAACUAUUAGAACAAUUCCUCAAAAUCAGCAGCUCUUAUAGCUUCAUCAAGCACACUCUCAGAUCCUGCUUGGUUUACAAACUCAGGAGCCAGUCACCAUGACACUACUGAGAAGAAGAACCUAGCUGAGGUACGUGAGUAUGGUGCUUUAGGUAAUGGUAAUAAAGUCACUAUCUCUCGUACAGGUAAAAAUUGGCUGAAUACACUCAAUGACAAGUCACUAGCCCUUAACAAUGUUUUACUAGUACCAUCAAUCAAGAAAAUUUUGAUAAGUGUAUCUCAAUUAACAUCUGACAACAAUGUAUUUAUGGAGUUUCACUCUGAUUUCUGUGUUAUUAAGGACAAGCAAAUGAAGGAGGUGUUGCUGGAAGGAAAGCUUAAAGAUGAGUUAUAUAAAGUUGAGCAUCGAGACCUAGCCAAAAGAACGUUCAAUUUGGAGUUACCCUUUCCAAAUAAAUUGAACCCCUCAACAUUUGUUGUCAAAACCAAAGUAUCUAAAAAUACCACUGAAUAUGAGUCUAGAUUAAAACAAUGGCAUAUGAGACUUGGACAUUCCACAACCUCUGUGACAUCACAAGUGCUCAAAACUUGUAAUAAAAAGUUCAAUGCUAAUGAAAUUCUUCAGUUCUGUGAUGCUUGCCAACUUGGUAAAUCACACUCCUUACCAUUCAAACUAUCUGCUUGCACUAGCCCUACUCGAUUUAAUUCACAUAGACGUAUGGGGUCCUGUGCCUAUCAUUUCCACAUUUGGUUUCAAGUACUAUAUUAUCUUCAUUGAUGACUAUAGUAGGUAUACAUGGAUCUACCCCAUGAACAUUAAAUUCGAGGCACUAAAUUUGUUCAUUCAAUUCAAAACUAUUGUUGAAAACAAAUUUGAUAGAAAGAUUAAAACUCUCCAAUCUAACUGGGGAGGUGAGUUUAGAGCCUUCACUGAGUUUGAUCUAUAAUCUGGUAUUGAUAUGAGUCUCUCGUCCCUACACCUCAACCCAAAAUGGUAGAGCCGAGAGAAAACACGGACAUAUAACAGAAAUUGGUUUAACUCUUCUUGCUCAAGCAAGCCCUUGCACUAUCGGUGGGAAUCUUUUCACACGGUCUCUUAUAUUAUCAACAGAGCGCCUACACCAGUCCUCAACAUGAAAGUACCUUAUCAAAUUCUGAACAAAGAACAAAUUGAAUAUAAGUCACUGAAAUUUUUUGGCUGUGCUUACUUUCCCUGUCUCAGGCCAUAUCAAAACCACAAGUUUAGCUUUCACUUCAUAAAGUGUGUGUUUCUUGGUUUUAGUAACUCUCACAAAGGAUGUCUCAGUCCAACAGGAAGAAUAUAUAUUUCCAGACAUGUAGUUUACAAUGAAAAUGCCCUUUCAGUCUGGCUUCCUCAAUAAAAUAACUGAGUUACAAAAGUCUAAAACCAUCAUUCAUUAUCUACCCUUUCAUGCACCUCUAAACAACAAUCCAACCUGCUCAAUUGAUGAAGCUCAUACUGAUGCAACUCCAACAGCAACACCUUCAGAGUUUGAGCAACCAAAAAUGCUUGAAAACGUGAUGAUCUUUGAGGAGAAUGAAAAUGAAAACAUAGAGAUUGAUGUUGAAGGCACACAAAUGGAAGGACAAGAGAAAAUUGUAAAUCCUCAAUUAUAACAAACUGGAAUAGGUAAUGAGCAAAACUUCAGUACGACGGAUUAGGUGAAUCGUUAUAGAAUAUCCUAUGAUCACCAGAGGCAAAGCUAGUAUAAUUAAAGCAAAGGUGUACUCAACUCAGUGCCAGCAAGAAACAAAGUGAAUUGGAACAUAACAAUGUAGCUGAAGCCUUGAUAAACAAAGAUUGGAGGGAAGCAAUGAAAGAUGAGUACAAUGCACUGAUGAGAAAUGAAACUUGGGAACUAGUACCAUAUUUGAUCUAUCAAAAGGUAAUAGGAAACAAGUGGGUUUUCAGACUCAAACGAGAUGCUGAUGGAAGAAUAUUGAAGCAAAAAACAAGACUUGUUGCCAAGGGAUUCUUGCAAACACUAGGGGUAGAUUAUCGUGAAACCUUUAGCCCAGUCAUAAAGGCAUCUACUCUAAGGAUAAUCCUUACUCUUGCAAUCUCAAAGAGCUGUAGCAUCAGAAAAAUCGACAUCAACAUUGCCUUCCUAAAUGGGAAACUAACUGAGGAAGUUUAUAUGAGGCAGCCAGAGGGUUUUAUUGCCAAAGCAAACCCCACAUUUGUUUGCAAACUGAAGAGGUCUCUUUAUGGACUCAAACAAGGAUCUAGGGCUUGGUAUGAAAAGCUGAAGGAAACUCUUCUCGAUUGGAACUUUUUAAAGUCAAAGAUAGAUAGUUCAUUAUUCUUUUGCAUGAAUCAGAACCAUGUAAUUUUUACCUUAGUAUAUGUUGAUGAUAUAGUGGCCACAGGCAAUGAUCAGAAGGUGUUGUAACGCUUUAUUGAAAAGUUGAAUACACAGUUUGCACUAAAAGAUAUGGGAGAACUACAUCAUUUCUUGGGAAUUGAGGUAAAAAGAGAUGAAUCAGGUGUGUAUCUCACUCAAACCAAUUAUACAAGGGACCUGCUAAGAAUAUUCAAUUUUGAACAUCUCAAACCUUGCUCAACGCCUAUGACAGCAAGCAAGAUUAUCUCCAGAAGUGAAGGUGAAAAGAUGUUUGACCCUUCAUUGUAUAGAAGUACAAUUGGUGGACUUCAAUACUUAGCACACACACGGCUCGACAUAACCUUUGCUGUGAGUAAGAUGAGUCAAUUUUUGCAAAUACCUCAAAUGUUCAUUGGAUAGUAGCUAAGAGAAUCUUCUGAUAUCUAAAAGGGACUAUUGAGCAAGGAUUAUGGAUUCAAAGAAGUUACAAAAUAUGCAUUACUGGUUUUGCUGAUGCAGAUUGGGCAUAAUGCCCUGAUGAUAGGAGGUCAACAGCCAGUUAUUGUAUAUACUUAGGGGUACAUUGGUGGCUUGGUCUUCAAAGAAACAACAUGUUGUGGCUAUAGUGAUGACAAUUUACCUCGCCUCGCCUCGCCCCGCCCCGAAUGGGGCUAAAAAACCCACCUUGUGAAACUUUUUUUUUAAUUAAAAGGUUAGGGUUCAACUUGCUUCAAAUAGAAGGAUGUGACCUAUUUUCUAGUAUCCUCAAUUGUACAAGUCUUAUCAAACUUGACUAAUUCAUAUAUAUCAUUAUGCUACUUUGUCAAAUUGAUAUUAUAUUGAUAAAAAUAAAUAUAAAAAGAUAUAACAUGUUCAACUAAACAAAUUUGAAAAUCUAUAUAUUGUAAUAAAUUAAAGUGUGUAGGGUUACAACUUUUGUGACAAUAUCAAAGGAAAAACCACAAAAAAUCUUGUUCAUCCUAAUAAUCAAUGUUGUGUACCAAUAGCGACCAUUAUAUUUAAGAUUUAUAGUAUUUAUUUUGGAUAUUAACUUUGUCAGCUUGAAUGUUAUCUUUAUUUUAUUGAACUCGAAAUUUGAAAAAAAAAAAAAAUAGGGCAAGAAAUGGGGCAAGCCCAUGCCCCGCCCCGUUGCCAUCACUAUGUGGCUAGGUCCAGCACAUAAUCAAAGUAUAGAGUCUUAGCAGAAGCAACUGCUGAGAUAACUUGGAUUGAGUCACUACUUAAAGAAAUCAACUUGCACUCAGUCUCACGUCCUGUACUGUGGUAUGAUAAUCUUGGUGCUAGUGCCUUGGCUUCAAAUCCUGUUUAUCAUGCUCGAACUAAGCAUAUUGAGUUGGAUAUACAUUUUGUUAGAGACAAGGUUCUUGAAGGCAAACUGAGGAUUCAAUAUGUUCCAUCAUUAGAUCAGAUUGCAGACAUGUUAACUAAACCCCUCUCACAAACCAGAUUCCUCAUUCUUAAGGACAAGCUUGGAGUUAAAGAAUGAACUCCAGUCUGAGGGAGGAUGUUAAAAUGUAUCGUCACACGUCCAUUGCUGAAUUCAACCUCACGUGUUCAUCGCAAGAUCUGAUCAUUGCUAAUGUGCACCUGAGGUGCUAUGCAAAUUAGUUAUAACUGUAUUUAUUCUUUAGAGCCUUCCACAUGUAAUCUGUUUUCCUUCAUUUCUUGCUCACCACUCCAAAGUGGCCAUAAAUAUUGUAUCAUACUCGGUGUAAUUCAUUCUGUGAGUGAAAAUACAAUUAUACCUAUUAUUCUCACUACUACUAUAUCAGUUUGUAAUUCAACAAUAUUCUCAAUUUCAACUUCCAAGAUUUUUUACAUUAUCUAAUUUUAAAGAUACCAAAACGUUGGAAUAUCGAAUUCAGAAUCUUUAAAGCACCAGGGAAUUGAACUACAUGAUGCCCAUCCUGGAACAAAGUCAGUUGAUAGGUAUUCAAGUGCAUUUUCCCAGCCCAAAAACAAAACUGAAAUUCUGGAAAAUACAUGCACGCAAUCCCGAACUUUCCAAACCCAUUAACAAAUCAAAUUCACCUGAAGCCGAUCAGGUUAAGUAGAAAACUAAAAAUUCCAUCGACAGAUGCCCAAAAUUACUUGCGCCUAUUGGAUAUUAUAGGCAAGAAAAUAGGAGGCUUUUUUAAGUUCAGAUAAUCAGAUUCAGAGUAAAUUUAUUGUCAGUCAGGUGCUGCUUGAGCAUAACAGUUCUUUUUUGUCAGUCGAGUCGAGCAUAGGCACAAUGUAGCUUCAUAUAAAGCUUGUACUGGAGCUCUAGCCCCCACUUCGACUAACAACAAAAAACUAUCUUAACUCCAAAAAAACAAUAGAAAAAAUGAAAAGGUAAAAGGAGAGACAAUUCAAACGAAAAAAUCUCGUGUCCUAAAUACAAAUUGGGGAAAUUUAAGUUGACCAUUUUCAGUCAAAAUAUCAAGCGAUAAAUUUAACUUACGUAUCCCAGAAGGCCCAAAGAGCUCUCAUGCUCAUAGAAGCUCAUGUUCUUUCUUCCACUAACAAUCUCUAGCAUCAAAACUCCAAAACUGAAGACAUCAGAUUUUUAUGAAAAUCUUCCUUCCAUUGCAUAUUCAGGGGCCAUGUAUCCAUUGAAACAAUAUCAUGAAAAAAUAUUGAAAUUACUUUUUAAGUUAUUGCAUUAAUCAUUCAAAGCUAAAUGAAAACUCAUGGCAGAAAUAAAUGAAUAUUGGCAACUCAAAUUGACCAAAGGCAAAUAUAUACUUACUAUGUUCCUACCACUCUUACAGUGCUGGCAUGAUCUUGGUUGCCUUCAAAAAUUCUUGCCAUGCCAAAAUCUGAAAUUUUUGGGUUCCAAUCAUUAUCCAGCAAUAUGUUACUUGGCUUCAGAUCUCUAUGAACUAUCCGCAAUCUAGAAUCUCUGUGAAGAUAAAGAGGCCUCGGCCUAUACCUUCAAUAAUGUUGAAACGUAGUCUCCAAUCUAAGAUCUCUUGUGAUGGAUCUACAUGGAGAACACCCAGAGGAAAUGAAUGCAUUAUCUAUAAAUUCUGAACCCACCCCAUUUUAACAUAAAUCUAUGUAGACUGUGUUGUAAUCAAAUUAAUUUUGAAAUUUCAGAGGAAGGGAUGAAUCUUGCGCUGACCAAAGAGAUGUGCAUCCAAGCUUUUAUUAGGCAUGUAUUCAUAGACCAGCAUCUUCUCUCCCCUUUCAACACUGCAUCCCAGCAGUCUAACGAGGUUCCGGUGUUUGAGUUUAGAAAUCAACUUCACUUCAUUCAUAAAUUCUAUCAUCCCUUGUGUAGAUACUUUUGAGAGCCUCUUGAUUGCAAUUUCUCUACCAUUUGCCAAUUGUCCCUAAAUAGAAGCAACAAUUUUAGCACCUCUAAAUUCCAUGAACCGUGAUACUUGAGAUGGAUAAGGAAGAAAAAUAACCUUGUAAACUGGACCAAAACCGCCCUUUCCAAGCUUGUUAGCAUCGUGGAAAUUGUCUGUCACAUUUGCAAGCAACUCAAAUUUAAAUAAUGGUAACUCUUCGAUGCUAGCAUUGCUUAUAUCAUCUUCACGAGAAACAUCAACUGAAUCAGAUAGGCCUAAUCGUGUCAUUGUGUUGCCUGAUUCAGGAGAAAAGUUAUUAAGUGCAGCUGCAUGUAAAUGCCUUGUUGAGUGAAAUUUCUAAACAUUACCUCUUGGUUUAGUCAUCAAUUUCCAGGAAAAGAAUAUGAUAGUGGAUCUGGAAAUCAUACCAACAAUAACCAUAAUUAUUAUGACUAACUUAAAGUCUUUCUUAUGACCUGCAACAAAGAACAACCAUCAUGUUGAAGAAUAAAAUCUUAGUUGUUCUCAGCAGUAAAAGAAGAGUUAAUUGUUCCAAUGGUAACUAAACUUUGAUUCAUGUCUUUGAUUAAUUAUUGAAGCUCACAAUGUCGAGUUUUGAUCACUGAACUUAAGUUAAUAUCUUCAAUUGCUUGCUAAACUUGGGCUCAUGUCUUAAAUUGCUCACUGAAAUUUAAAAUGUCGAGUUUUGACCACUGAACUUUGGAAUAUGCCGUACGUUGAGUUUACAGUUAAUAAUGUAUAGCAUUUUUCAAAAUUCAGUGAGUAAUAUAUAAUAUUUUUCAAAAUUCAGUGAGUAAUAUACAAUAUUUUUCAAAAUUCAGUAGACAAAACUCAGCAUUUUAAACUUUAGUGAACAAUCGAAGACAUGGACCUAAGUUCAAUUACCAAAACUCGACAUUUUAAAUUUCUGUUGGGAAAACACCUCCCAAAGAUAGCCCAAAGAUCAAACAAUGCUUGACAAUUUGAAAAAAAAUCCAAACCACUUGAAGAACAAGAAAAUGAGGAAGAAAUGAUUUCAAUGGAAUAUAUGAAGAACAAUGUAUUUGGAUUACUUGAACAAGCCUCAAGUUAACCCCCAAGAAAGAAAAUAACUUUGAAUUUAUACCCAAGAUGAACAACCUUCAAUCUUGUAAAAUUCUCUCCAAGUUUUCUCUCAAUUUUCUCUCUAAAAUCGGGCUCAAGGGUUAUAUCAUAAUGAAGAGGCAAAAAAUUGGAAGUCUAUAUAUAUAUACCGGGGCGCCUAGGCGCCACUUGAGCCCGAUUUUAGAGAGAAAACUUGGAGAGAAUUUUACAAGAUUGAAGGUUGUUCAUCUUGGGUAUGAAUUCAAAAUUAUUUUCUUUCUUGGGGGUUAACUGAGUGGCGCUUAGACGCCCAGUUUCUUCUUCGGCAGAAACUGGGCAGCGUCUCCAGCGCCUAGGCGCUGCUUCCUCUUCACAGCUUCUUCUUUAGCUUCUCUUUUCACAAUUCUCCACCUCGUACAUCAUUUGAUAGACCUCAAAUUUUGGAUGAACACAAGAAGGAUAAGCAAGCACCAAAAAUUCGGCUGCAUCAUUCAAACCAUGAUUGCCUACGUACCCAAAACUCGGGAUCAAGCCUCUGUAGUUCACCUCCACCUUCAUAUACACUCCACCUCAUUUCAAUCCCGCCCCGAAGGGCCAUGCCCUCUCGGACAUAUCAACACGGACUAAUGUGAAGCAAGUCCAAGCAAUGUUGAAACUUGCUACCCGUUACAACUUUGGUUAACAUGUCAGCUGGGUUCUCAUUUGUGUGUACCUUCGAGAGUGAAAUAUCACCUUCCUCUAUGACAUCACGCACAAAAUGAUACCCGACGUCGAUAUGCUUGGUUCGAGCAUGAUGAACCUGAUUCUAGCCAAGUGAAUUGCACUUUGGCUAUCACACCACAAGUCCACACAAUCCUGCUCAAUCCCCAAAUCAUCUAGAAGACCCCAUAACCACAAUGCUUCCUUCACUCCCUCUGUCAUGGCCAUAUACUCGGCCUCUGUAGUAGAAAGAGCAACUGUAGCCUGUAACAUCGAUCGCUAACUAACUGGGGCACCAUGUAUUCAAAACACAUAUCCAGUAGUAGAUCGUCAUCUAUCAGAUCACCUGCAUAAUCCAAGUCCACAAACCCACUUAUAUGACAUGCAUCUCCACCAAAACAUAAACCCGUAUCCGCGGUACCUUUUAAGUACCUCAGGAUCCACUUCACAGCUUCCCAGUGUGCCUUCCCCGGAUUCGCCAUGAAUCUACUGACCACACUCACUACCUGUGAAAUAUCUGGGCGUGUACACACCAUGGCAUACAUCAAACUGCCAACUGCACUAGCAUAAGGCACACGAUCCAUGCGUCCCUUUUCUUCCGCUGUAGUAGGAGACUGUUUACCAGAGAGCCUGAAAUGUGGAGCCAAUGGAGUCAUCAUCGACUUUGCACCUUGCAACCCGAACCUAGCAAUAACCCGCUCAAUGUAGCCUUUCUGACUCAAGAACAUUCGCCGGUUCGUCCUCUCUCUUCUAAUCUCCAUACCCAGUAUUUUCGUAGCAGCCCCCAUAUCCUUCAUCUCAAACUCUUUACCAAGUUGAGAUUUCAACCUAUCUAUCUCCACCUUGCUUUUGGAAGCGAUAAGCAUGUCAUCCACAUAAAAUAGAAGAUAGAUAUAGUUACCUCCUCGAAAUUUCUGAAUAUAAACACAACAGUCAUACUCACUUCUAGAGAAACCAUGCUUUAGCAUGAAGGAGUCAAAUCGCUUGUACCACUGCCGAGGAGAUUGCUUCAAUCCAUAUAGUGAUUUUCUCAAGCGACAUACCUGACGUUUCUUAUCCUCAACCUUGUAGCCCUCAAGUUGAUGCAUAUAGAUCUCCUCAUCCAAGUCCCCGUGCAAGAAGGCGAUUUUGACAUCGAGUUGUUCCAGCUCAAGAUCAUGAUAAGCAACAAUACUCAAUAGCACUCGAAUGGAAGUGUGCUUAACCACCGGAGAAAAGAUCUCAUUGUAAUCAACUCCCUCUCUUUGUGCAAACCCCUUAGCCACUAACCUUGCUUUGAAUCUUGUACCACCAAGCUUGGUAGGAUCCUCCUUCUUUUUAUACAACCACUUGCAACCAAUAGCUUUCUUACCUAUGGGCAAUGGGAUAACCUCCCAUGUUUGGUUCUUGUGAAGUGAUUCCAUCUCUUCUUCCAUUGCCGCCAACCAACUCUCGCUAUUGUUGUUUAAAAUAGCUUCCUUGAAAGUGGUAGGCUCAUCAUCCUCCACCGAGAGUGCAUACUCAACCAAAUUUGUCUGCCCAUAGUGCCUCAAAGGCUCGUCUGACUGCAACUUUAGAACUUACUUGUAAGUACGGCGUGGCCUAGAGGAAGCCAAGUUAUCUGCAAGCUGCUGCUGUUGCUGUGCCUGUACAUUCUCUUGCUGAACCGCCUCUUGUUCAAGCCCAUCAUCACUCUCAUCUUGAGUGUCUAUAUGAUGCUCCUCUUGAACAUGCCAAGAAUCAGGUUGAUCUCUAGGUUCUAUGUCAACAACUUGAGACAUUGUAGUCUCAACCUCAUCACCACCGGGCGCUGUAGAUUUCAACGAAGCUAUCAUGGAGUUCUCAUCAAAAGUAACAUCUCUGUUGAUUAUGAACUUAGAAUCCUCUACACACCAAAGGCGAUAGCCUGUAACACCUGCCGCAUAUCCCAAGAAUAUAGCCUUCUUGGCCCUCACAUCAAGCUUUCCCUCGUUGACAUGAUAGUAGGCUGUGCAUCCGAAUGUUCUGAGUUUCUCAUAAUCUGCAUGUUCUCCUGUCAAUACCCUAUAAGGUACAUCUCCAUCUAACCUUGAAUGUGCAGAUUAGUUCACUAUGUAGCAAGCAUUUUCAACCAACUCUGCCCACCAUUCUCUGCCCAAACCAGCAUAGGAUCGCAUACACAACGAUUUCUCUUGAAAUGUGCGAUUUAGUCUUUCCGCGACCCCAUUCUAUUACAGUGUAUUUCUAAUUGUCCAGUGUCUCACAAUGCCUUCUUUACCACAGAACUCCUUGAAAGCACCAUCUGUAUACUCAGUACCGUUAUCAGAUCGCAGUGUCUUCAAUUUCUUUCCUGUUCUGUUUUCAACCAUUGCUUUCCACUUCUUGAAAGUGUCGAAUACCUCAUUCUUAUGCUUCAAAAAAUAAAUCCAAGCAUAUCUAGAAUAAUCAUCAACAAAUGUAACAAAAUACCUGGAACUGCCUUUGGAAGUGACAGAAGCCGGACCCUAUACGUCCAUGUGCACAUAGUCAAGAAUGCCUCUACUUCUAUGUUUGCUUGGCUAGAACUAAACUCGGUGGGCUUUAUCGUACACGCAAUGCUCACAAAAAUCCAUGCAAGGCUUCUUCAAGUUCUUUAGCAAACCUUUCUUAACUAGCAAAUCUAGCCCCUUUUCAGACAUAUGCCCAAGCCUCCUAUGCCAUAGCCGAGUGUACUCACAUGGGUCUCUACCACUUCCACUUGUUCCAACUGCUACAUCUUCAGUAACUGUAGUACCCUGAAGAGCAUACAGAUUUCCUUCAUGAAUACCCUUCAUCACAAUCAAAGAACCACGAACAACCUUCUUUACUCCAUUCCAUGUUACAAUCUUGCAACCAUCGAAGUCUAAGGCACCAACAGAGAUAAGGUUCUUCCGCAAAUCAAGAACAUGUCUAACAUCCAUCAAUGUUCUAACCACUCCAUCAUGCAUCUUGAUUCUAAUUGAACCGAGCCCCACCAUUUUACAAGAAUGGUUAUUACCCAUCAACACGGUUCCACCAUCAAUGCUUCUAUAGGCAGUAAACCACUUCCUAUUUGGCCACAUAUGGUAAGAGCAUCCAGAGUCAAGAAUCCACUUACCGGAGGUUUCUUCAUCACAAGAGAUGGUGUAGCACUCAUCGCUUUCCCCUCCCGAGGCAUAGCUUACCUCUUGCUUGACUUGCACUUUUUCGUUGUUGUUGUUCUUGUUGUUCUUCUUCCAACCCUUUUUGUUAUGAUAAUUCGCCUUGAAAUGCCCAAGCUCGUCGCAUUUGAAACAAGACCUUUCCGCAAGAGGUCUAGAACUCAAUCUAGAUUUUUCUCUCUUGCCCUUUGGUCGCACAUUGCUUCUACCCCUUACAAAAAAUCCUUGAACUUGCUCCUUGUUACCAAUGGUAGACAUGACACUAGUUGCAAUCUUUCGAAGAUCAUCCGCUAGAAGUGACGUUCUAGUGUCCUCCAUCACAAGUUUAUCACCCACAAGCAUCAAUGUUUGUACUAGGUUCUCGUAAGACAUUGGCAAUGAAAGAAGUAGUAGAAUUGCUUGAUCCUCAUCAUCUACUUCCACAUCAACGUCCUUCAAGUCCGAUAUGAUCCUAUCAAACUUGUUUACGUACUCCCGGAUUGGUGUACCUUCAUCCAUCUUGCAAGUAUACAAUUUGGAUUUCAAAUAGAUCCGAUUUGUUAGAGUCUUCAUCAUGAAGUUCGCCUCCAACUUUGUCCACACCUCCGCCGCCGUUACCUCACUAUCAACCAAGAAAGCAACAUCUCUUUCAAGGCAAAGAAUGAUAGACGUUCGUGCCUCAAGAUCUAGCUCUUCCCAAUCCUCGUCCGACAUAUCAACGGGUUUCUUCUCCUUUCCCGCCAAUGCCUUGUGCAACUUUUGAGAAAUCAACAAAUUUUUCAUUUGCAUUCUCCAAUAUGAAAAAUCAUUCUUCCUAUUGAAUUUCUCUAUCUCAUACUUUCCAAUCUUCACCAUUCCUCUAGUAGACAUGAUUUAUUCACUUGUUUACCGAAAAUAAACCACAAAAGUUCACUUGGAAAUUUUCACAAACACCUUGUGUGCACAACAAAGUUCAAGCGACUCACCAAAAAUCGAAGCUUAACCACCUUGAUUUAGGAAGAAACUCUGAUACCAAAUUGUUGGGAAAAUACCUCUCAAAGAUAGCCCAAAGAUCAUACAAUGCUUGACAAUGUGAAAAAAAAAUCCAAACCACUUGAAGAACAAAAAAAUGAGGAAGAAAUGAUUUCAAUGGAAUAUAUGAAGAACAAUGUAUUUGGAUUACUUGAACAAGCCUCAAGUUAAUCCCCAAGAAAGAAAAUAACUUUGAAUUUAUACCCAAGAUGAACAACCUUCAAUCUUGUAAAAUUCUCUCCAAGUUUUCUCUCAAUUUUCUAUCUAAAAUCAGGCUCAAGGGUUAUAUCAUAAUGAAGAGGCAAAAAUUGGAAGUCUAUAUAUAUAUACCAGGGCGCCUAGGCGCCAGGUUUCUACCGUGGCUCCUAGGCGCAGAAACUGGGCAGCGCCUAGGCGCUGCUUCCUCUUCACAGCUUCUUCUUCAGCUCCUCUUCUCACAAUUUUAGUGACCAAUAAAAAAUAUGGACCUAAUUUCAAUGACUAUUGGAACAAUUAACUCGUAAAAUAACAAUCAAUAACCUCAUAGGGACAAGAAGAUGAGCACAAAAUUUUAUGCAACAAUUACCAAAUUCCGAAAUUGCCAGUCGAAUGAAAAGAUCCGAGCCUUCAGAGAAUUUCUGAAUGUUAAUUAAGCUUCCAGUCCAGAACAGACAGCCAAUACCAACGUCGUGAACAUAGGCUAUGCAGGAACAAUUCGUCAUGCACAGACCUUCACAUUCAGAUUCCUGAACAGGCUCCCGAUCUCCAUUAUCUGGAACAUUCAUCAUUUCUAGCUUCAAAAACCUAUCUUCUUUGCUCCCACUAUUGGAGCUAUUGUUUGUUUCACACUGCAAAUGUAUCCUCCUCACGCAUCCACUUGUCCAGUUCUCUGCUUUCCAUUCCCCAUCGUCCUUCGGAUAAAACCCUUUCAAACAGGUACAAAUAGGUGAGUUUUGUGGGUCGCACAUCCCAAAUGGCCCACAUGUGCCAUUACCACAAGAAGUAGUAGCCUUCUCAACUAUGGUAAUACUGCGACUUAUUUUCAUUGCUGUCAAGAAUGAGCCCCAAGGUUGCUUAAAACUUUCCCAUAUUUUAAGUCCACUCGAAGAUUCUAUCAAAACAAGAUUUCCAGAAUCCAAUAGCUGGGCAGUCGUAUUCAUCUUAGUAUUUUUAACAUUUGAUGACCAAAGAAUUUCGUUGUCCCUAUUCAUAACCACAAUAUUCCCAUCUUUAUAUAUCUUCACAGUACCAGAAGAAUCAUUCAAAGCUUUAUCCCUAUUCGCUACCCACACCACAGAAGGUUCAGAAAUAUUUUGGUUAUACCAAAUACCUAAAUAACGCCUGGAGUUAUUAAAAGGACUGAAAAAUCCCAAUUUGAAGUGCUUACCCUUAGACACUAGAGUUUCAGGGUCUUUAAUAACUAGAUUUGCUGUAAUGUUGUCUCUUGAUGUGCAAAAUCUUAAAGGGCAAGAGAAAAGCACAACAAGAAUGCAUAGAACAAGAGAAUUCAGACUCUUACCCCUGAUCAUGAUCAAGCCAAUGAUUCUUGAUUCUUGCUCUGAUGAAUCGAUUUCUGAUUACCAAGAGCAGAGAAAUUAUCCACUAUUCAGUUUUGAGGGUCUAGCAGAGUUAGAUAAAUUGGCAGAGUUUCUGUACAGAAAGAGGUAGUUAUAUAUUUCUAAAACUCAUUAACAAUAAAUUAAAAAUAAUGACACUAAUAAUAACUGAAGAAUUACCUAAAGAAAUAAAGGAACAAAUAUUAGAAAAAUUAAUAAUAGAAUCAAUAAAAGAAAAAUAUAUAUAUGAGAAAAUUAUUGAUAUAUAUUUAGAUGAAGAAAUUAAUUUAUAUUAUAAAGAAAUAAAAGUACGAGUACAAGCGAUAAUACACAUCAAAAAUUAAAUAUAUUACUUUUAAAAAUGAAUAAUUUACAAGAAGAAAUAGGAAAUAUAAUGUUAAUACUAGAAGGAAUGAGAAUACCAAAUAAUAGACAAUUAGCAAGAUUAAAAUGUGAAAGACUAAUACUUGAAAGCAGAUAUUUUACUAUAGUAAAAGAAGAAUUAGUUGAUCCAGAGAUAGUUGAGAAAAGAUUUAGAAAAAUAAUAGAUAAAAAUGAAGAUAAAAGAUGCAAAUUAACGUAUGAGUUAGAAAUAAGAAAAAUUAAGAUGUCAAUAAGUGAAUAUAUGGAAGAAUUAAAAUCAUUAAUAAAAAUAUUAAUAAAUGAUGCACUACAACAAGUAAUCGAUUUCGCGACAAAAAAAUGUUGUCUCAAAAAAUGAGAUUUUGUCACAAAAGUAAUUUAGCGACGAUAAUACGUUUGUUGCAGAUUUUGUGGCUCUAUAUGAGUCACGCAAUGUGUUCUGCGACACCUUUCGAUAGUUCAUCGCAUUAACAAAAUCACUACACUAUUUGUCUGACGCAGAAAAUACGAAAUGGCGUCACAAUAUUUGUAGCCAUAUUGUCGUCGUAAUGUAUAUAUGUCGCAAAUAAUUUAAAGGGCGACAAGUUAGUUUGUCACAACGAAUAUUCCAAUAAAGUUUUUACGAGAAAUAUUUUUGUUGCGAAUGUUGAGUCACCGAAUAUAUUUUGAGACAACUUUCAAUCAUUCAUCGCAUUAACAAAAUUGCAACAUUACUCAUUUGCUGCAGAAAAUAUGAAACAACAACAUGAUAGUUAUAAUUAUAAUAUUGUCGCAAUGCGUAUAUGUCGCGAAAAAAUAAAAGGGCAACGUGAUAGUUCGUUGCGAUGAUUAUUCCAAUAAAGUUUUUACGAGAAAAAUAUUUGUUGCAAAUAUUCUUUUAAAUGUGUCACUUUUGCUACCUAUUUUGUUUUGCAACACCACCUGCACGCAGUAAUAUAUUUUCAAUAACAAGUAAUAUUUAUCGUGAAAUAUGUUUUACAAUGUAUUUGAUAUGUCGCAAAAUGUAUUUUAAUAUAUUCAAUAUUUGUAGUACAAUAUUUUAUGUAACAAGUGAUUUAUGUAUUUAAAUAUAUAUUGCAACACAAAUGGUCCGUUGGACCAUCAUUUGUACAAUGAGUAUAGUUGUUGCCAAACUUAUUUCGUAAUUAUUCAUAUAUGUCAUAUAUUUUAUUUAAUGACAUAUAAUAUUAUUACGCAAAGUAUUUUGUGACAAUGAACUAUUUAUAUGUCAAGUUGUGCUCGUAGUUAAAUUUAGUCAGCAACACAAAGGGUUUGUCGCUUCAACGAUGUACAAAUGUCGCCUAAUUGAUUUUAUUUUUAUUUAUCUAUGUCGGAGAUUCUAUUUUAAACACACAAUUUUCGAUUUCUUUCAUCACAAUGGAAUCGUUAUUGUUGUGCACAUUUAUAUGAAAAUAUAACAUAACUAGAAAUAACUAGUGACUUUAUGUAGAGCACACUUCAACAUAUAAUUAUUAAAAUAUAAUUGAUAUAAAAAAAAGAAAUAAAAAAAAUCAUAUCACUAUCAACCAAAUAAAUAUAGAUCAAGGUAUUAUCUACAAACUUGGUUACCUCCAAAAUCAAAACAAAUACAAAUAAACUAUAGUACUAGUAAUUUGAAGGUCGAGCCACUUUCAAUGAUUUGACAAACUUGAAAAUUAAAAAAUAGAACUAGGAAUGUGGAAGAAAUAACAAAAAAACUCACGUGACACCCAAAUAACAUUCUUGACUCAAUAUACGCUUCCAACUCUCUUUGGUUAAAUGAAAAUUCCUGUAAAGAAAAGCUCCACAAAUUUAGUCUAACAGGUACAUAUAGAAAGUAAUUAAUGAAAUAUUAGCUUCAAAAAAACAUUUCAAAUAUCUUACAUUGAAUAUUAGAACAAGAUCAACAACCAUCACAAUAAGUAAUCAAUAUAUUUCAGUAGCUGACUACUCUAACCUUAAAUGUGAAUAAAAUUAUUUUCAACUCUCAGAUGAUACAUCAUCAGUACUCGAAUCUAUAGAGGGAAGGAAAAAAUGUAGAUAGUCAUUAAGAAAAAGAAAAGAAAAACAUUACGCCAAAAAAAAGGCUUAUAUAUAUAUAAAGAAUGUUUUACUUACCAAUAUCACUAUCACCAUCACCGUCAUCAUCUUUACCAUCUAUAGAUUUCUCAUCUUCACUGUAAUAUUCAUUCAAUGUAUCAUCUUCCUCUUCCGAAGUAUCAUAUAUAACAUUAUUCAUAUUUUUAUUUAUUGUUUCCACAUCUAUUUGUAAUGCUUCAUUUUCAAUAAUAUCUAGAUCAAUAUCUCCUCUAUGGCACACUUGAGUGCCAAGAUCUUCCUGCUGUAUUGGCAAGACAAUAUUUGAUGAUUCAUUUUCCUGAAAUAUUACUUGCUCACUACUGCCAUCAUUUUUUUCUGGAAUGUCCCAUAUGCCUCUAUGUUGUACCUUUUCCACUACCUUCCACUGUGGACCCAACAAAAGAUCAUCCAUAUAAAAUAUUUGUUGUGCUUGGAUGCCAAGUAUAUAGGAAUCAUCCAUGUACCAUUUACGAUUCACAUUGAUAGAAGUAAGAUGGUAAUCUAUGAUUGUUCUUUUUUGCUUUGGAUUAUUAUCGUACCAAUUACACUGGAACAAAGUGACGCGGUAGUCGAAAACGUAUACCAACUCAAUAACAUCACACAGUAUACCAAAAAAGUUGGUGUUAUCAUCUCUCGGAACCAUUGCUCCACUAUUUUGCGUUGUACGGCAAUCAUCUUGAUCUUUAACAAGGAAUCUUACCCCAUUAACAAUACAACCAGAAUAAGAAAAUAUUCUAAAAUCUGGUUUACAUGCUAAUGCAUACAAUUCUUUGCAUACAACCGAAUCUUUUUUAUUAUAUAAUCUCGUUAUCUGUGUAAUAAAAACAUAUUAAUUAAUAUACCUUCUGAUACGAAUGUUAUGUUGCAUUAAUAAAUAGAUAAGAUAUAUAUUAUAACUUACAUGUGAAGCAAACCAUCCAGGAAACAAUUCUUCUUGUUUUUUUUCCAAAUUGUCAUGAUUUUGUUGUUCCAAUAACUCCAUGUGCUCACUACAAAAAGAACAUGCAAUUAAAUACUAUAACAUAUUAGUAAUUAAUAGCAAACAUUUUAAAAGUUGAUUAAGAACUUACUCUAAAUAUUGUCGAAUUUCAUCACAAUUAUUUAGGACAUGCCAAUGCGCUCUAUCAAUUUCUUGUUUUGAAAGUAACUUUGGUUCUGCAUGACCUAAUAGCCUAGUAUUUUGAGAGAAGACUGACAAGCUUGUAGAUGUAGUCCCACCAUUGUCAUUGCGCUCAGGUUGAUUAAAUCUUGUUUCAAUGUUAUUGAGAUACAUCGAGCAAAAAUUUAAAGACUCGUUAACAAUAGAUGCUUCAGCAAUUGAUCCUUCGAGUCGAGCUUUAUUCUUAACAUAACUCUUAUAUCGACCUAAUAUUUUGUCAUCAAAUAUUACAUGAAAAGUUUUUGAAAACAAUAAUUCAAUGAACAAGUAUAUAUGCAAGAAAUAUUAUCAAUUACCUUUCAAUUGGAUACAUCCAUCUAAAUGCAACGGGACCUCCAAGUUUUGCUUCUUCAGGUAGGUAAACAGCUAAAUGAACCAUUACAUCAAAAAAUGCCGGUGGGAAAAUUCGUUCUAGUUUACAUAAAAUUAUAACAGUCCCUUCUUCCAAUUUCUCUAAAUCAUUUAUAUUCAAUGUUCUUGAACAUAUUUGUUUAAAAAAACAACAAAGCUCUACAAUUGCAGUACAAACCUCCUUUCGCAAAAAUUUUCGAAUAACAAUGGGAAGAAGUUGUUGCAACAACACAUGACAAUUGUGAGUUUUCAAACCUAAAAUUUUGCCUUCAUUUUCUCGAACACAUUUAGAAAUAUUUAAUGCAUAUCCAUCAGGAAACUUCACAGAUUUCAAGAACUUACAAAAGAUUUUUUUCCCCUAACGUUAAUGUGUAAAAAGCAUGAGGUUUCAAAAAUCCAUUACCAUGUGGUUUUAAAUGCAAUUCUUUUCUAAUGUUCAUAUCUUGCAAAUCCAAUCUAGCCUUAUCUGUAUCUUUUGUCUUCCCUUCAACAUUCAACAAUGUUCCAACAAUAUUAUCGCACACAUUCUUCUCAAUAUGUAUUACAUCUGAAUUGUGUCUUAGUUUCAAUUUAGACCAAUACUCCAACUCGAAGAAAAUGCUUUUUCUUGUCCAGUUUAUCUCAUUUGGAGUUCGUUUCCUUUUCCUAUCUUUAUUACUUGUGUGCUUUCCAGGUUUUCCACACCUCAGAGCCAGUAAUUGCUUUAAAAUAUCAUCUCCUGAUAAUUUUUUGGGUGGUGGUCGUAGUUCCCAUUUAACAUCAUGUAAUUUACUUUUUCUCCAGGGAUGGUUUAGUGGCAAAUAAUGUCGAUGACCCAUAAAGCAUAUUUUAGUACGUAACCUAUUCGAAGAAGUAUUUUCAUUACAUAUUGGACAAGCUUUGUAUCCCAUAGUGCUCUAUCCCGAUAGAUUUCCACAAGCAGGCAAAUCAUUAAUGGUCCACAUUAUAGCAGCACGCAUAGAAAACAUUUGACCACUAUAAGCAUCAAACGUGUCAACACCAACUUCCCAUAAUUCUUUCAACUCAUAUACUAGUGGUCUCAAAUAAACAUCAAUAUCUCUUCCUGGUGCAUGUGGCCCUGGAAUUAGCAAUGACAUCAUAAUAACAGGUUCUUUCAUGCACUUCCACGGUGGCAUAUUGUAUUGUACUAGAACAACAGGCCACAUGCUGUAGGAAUUAUGCAUGUUUCCAAAUGGAUUGAAGCCAUCUGUUGCAAGACCUAACCUAACAUUACGAGGAUCUUGCAUAAAUUCUGGGUAUAACUUGUCAAAUUCUUUCCAUGCCUCACCAUCAGCGGGAUGUCUUAAAACACCUUCUACUUCAACUCGGCCUUCUACAUGCCAUCUCAUAUCUUUAGCAGUAUGUCUGGAUAUGAAUAAUCUCUGUAAUCUUUUUUUCAAUGGAAAAUAUCUCAAUACAUUUUGAGGCACCUUCUUUCCCUUUCCAAAAUUAGGUUUGUAUUGUGGUUCAUCACAUUUCGAGCACCUACUGGCAAAUUCACGCUCUUUCCAAAAUAAUACACAAUCAUGCUUGCAUGCAUGAAUAGUUUCAUAACCCAAUCCCAAUUCACUUAACAUUUUCUUGGCAUCAUAUGUCGAAGUUGGUAAUCCAAUAUCUUCUGGAAAAACCUUUUUUAGUAAUUCCAAUAACAUGUUAAAAGAUUUGUUACUCCACUAAUUCAAAACUUUUAUAUGCAUUAACUUCACCAUAAAGUUCAAUAAUGACAUUUCUGAGCUAGGAAACAAAGCUCGUUGGGCUUCAGUUAUCAUCUCCACAAAUUGGUUGCUCUCUUCAUUAGGCCUUCGAGGCGAAAAAUUAUGAUUUCCACCAUGUUCUUCCUCCUCCCAAGUUUGGUUAGCUUUAGAUGACAUGGGAGCACAUAGAUCGUCUAACAUAUCAUUCAUCUCAUCAACAUUUUCUUCUUCGUCCAAUUCAAAUGUAUUUCUUACAACACCCUCUAUAUUAUUCUCAAGUUCCUCUCCAUGAAAAAUCCAUCUCUCAUAACUUACAGAGAUUCCAAAGUGGUAUAAGUGAGAUUCUACCACAUCUAGUGACUAAAAGAAUGCAUUUUGACAAUUUCGACAUGGACAACGAACCUUAUUGUUCUCAUCCAGACAUUGUUUUGCUACCUCCAUAAAUGAAUUAAUACCAUCUAAAUAUUCUUCACUUAAUCUAUUACGAAGUCGCAUCCAACUCCUAUAUCCAUCAUGUAUAUCACUUGCCUAGACCAUAAAGGAUAUGUAGUUAAUAAUUUUUAGAAAAAUAACAAAUAUACAACUCAGCAAUAAUAAUAGCAGUUUGGCAGAAAAAUAGCAAGUAUUCAGGUUUCUGGAAGAAGUAGCAUACCAUAUAUCUUUAGGACAAACAAUUAUUGUAGAUAAGUGAACAAAAAGAAGAGUAAGAUGCUAGAAGUAAUAGGAAUCUAACUCCUGUUUGGAAAAUGACUUACCUCUCUCCAAUUUGCAGGCAAACAUUUUGAAGAUUUAAAAAGUUUAUGAUGCAUUUUUAGCUGAAUUUCCAUUAUGUUAUGGUUAUUGGAAGAAAUAUGCUGAUCAUGAGGCACGCCUUAGCUCGGUCGACAAAGUUGCAGAGGUUUAUGAAAGAGCUGUUCAAGGAGUUACAUACUCUGUUGACAUGUGGUUGCACUACUGUGUUUUUGCCAUUAGUACCUAUGGGGAUCCUGACACUAUCAGAAGGUAAUUCUCCUUGUUUGUUUUCUUAUUUUUGGCCUUUGUGUGUGUGUUUGUCCUCUAUUUCUUUAUUUUAAUAGCGUUGAAGUGAUCUUAUGUUUCUUUCUAACGCAAUUAAACAUUUAACAAUAGUGAUUACUGACAUGUAAGGCGAAAAGGUUUGUUACAGAAUUCAAUUCAGACAGAUAGUUGUAUGAUGUGAAAACCUUGGUUUUGGUGCUACUAUAUUAGUAGCCAUCUGGGUUUAUACACGGCCUCAUCACCCCUUCAGUUGUACUUAGGGUUAUGUUGUUCGUGUAAUUUUUCAUGAAGUUUUGCCUUUUUAACCAUGGCACCUGAGGAGCAUCAAUAAAUGAUGGUCUGUAAGGAUUCUGUAAGAUUAUGUUGAGGAAGGUAAAUGCAGUGUAUUGGUGCCUUUGUUUGGAAUUGUUUGAGUCUAUCUUUGAGAUACUAGUCCUCUUGUAUGCAUUUAUACAUGACUGAAUGACCUACAUGCCUAUUGGAUUUCAUAAUCGUUAAUCUGGCUGUUUUUCAGGCUAUUUGAAAGAGGAUUAGCUUAUGUUGGAACUGAUUACCAGUGCUUUCCACUUUGGGAUAAAUACAUCGAGUAUGAAAUUUCUCAGCAAGAUUGGCCAUGUGUUGCCAAAAUUUACACACGGUUAUUGGAGAUCCCGAAUCAGCAACUAGAUCGCUAUUUUGAAGGGUAAUUUUCUGGCUUAAUUGUCAAAAUUUUCAUUGAUGAUCGUGCUUUCCUUUUUUCCUGCUUUUCAAAUAUCGUACUGGCUUGGUGGUUGCGGUUUGAAGGAAGAUGAUUUGCUUGUCAAUUCAUCUUUUUAUUCCAGUCUGCAUGUAUGCCUUGGAGGCAGCAAUUUAUAUUGUCUCGUGCCACUUUUAACUAUACAUUACUAGCAAGAGUAGGUCGGUAUCUUUGGUAGUCUGAUUUGAACUCUGUUGGAUAUGCCACUGGUAUUUCCUUACUUAACCCAUAUUAUUGUUCUGAUGAACGAGGAAUUUGUUGCUAUGUGCUGUGAUUCCAGUUCUAGGAUGGGCAUUAACCUUAUAACACUUCUCUGUCAAUCUAUUCAGUUGUUCAUUGUUUAAAGACAAAAACUUAAGAAGUCCAUCUCACUAUAUCUGCAACUGCAAAUGUUCUGAAGAAAAUUUUUCGGUUUUGUUUCCCUUUGUUGUAUUCCUACAUUUAAGUUUUUGUCUCGCUGACCCAGAAGAAAAAAGGGAGAAAUGGGUUGAGGGAAAGGGAUAAAUCCUCCAUUUUUGUUGUUAUUGAAGAGUGACCACUCAUUGCAUGUCUUGGCCACUACUCAACCAUCUAGUUAUGCUUUUAUCUUCUCCUAGAACAGACUGCUUUAGUUGAAUGAUUUAUUAUUUGCGUAGUAUACAUCUAAUUGGUAUUAGUUUCUUUAAACCGUUAUCUUGUUUAUAUGUCUUCUCAUUUUAGAUACAUCAUUUUAGUUUGUCACAUAUUGUUACAGAUUUAAGGAGUUAGUAGCCAGUCGGCCUCUAUCAGAGUUGCGACUCCUGAGGAAGCUGCUGCUACAAAUUCAGAAGCUGAUGAUCAAAAUGCUGAAGGAGAAGAUCCUGCAAAUGGUGCAGAACAGACUUCCUUUCAACACAUCUUGUUACUAAUUUUGCAAAACAAUGUGGCUACAGUUCCUAUUAUUCAUUCACCUUCAGAGGAUGGAUUAUACUCGUAGCUACUACAUCUAGCUGCUCUUUCCGCCGUACUAAAAUGUAAGGAACAUAAUCACACAAUCUUAUAUGUGUAGACUUAAUAUUUUUUGGUACCCUAUAUAGACUUAAUAUUUUUUAGUUAUUGCCAGCACUUUCCAAAUGCUAAUUUCUGAAAUCCCUGUUGGAAUUUGGGUUCCCAGAAUUGAAGAGCCAAAUGUUCAACCAUUGGCUGUGUUGAGGCUGAGUGCUUCCCUUAGUGAUGCAUUGAACUUGUUAACUCAAGGUGUACAUUUAAUUCAUUGGAGAGUUGCAUACCCAAAUUCCUUUUCCAGAAAUUCUUAAUAACUGCCAGCAUUUUCUUGUAUUUGUUUACUAUUAUAUUCCUAAAUUCAAUGCUCUCUGUGUACACCUAUGUAUUUAUACAGUAUUUAUCCAAAAUAUGGUUAACUCAUAUUUAUCUAACUAUAUGAAAUUCAAGAAUUCAGUUUCCUGAAACCUCAAGAAUUCAAUUUCUCGAAACCUCAGGAAUUCAAGAAUUUAAUUUCCAAUGUCAAGAAUUUUAAAUACGUUUGUUUUUGUUAAAAUAAUGUCCAAAUCAAAUUGAUUCCAUUCGAAUUGGUCCAAGGCCCUUUAAAAUAAUGUUUGUUAUUAAGGCCCAAUUUUCUCAAAUAAUGCAUUUUAAUGCCGAUGUUCAUUUAUGCUUUACAGUCUUGAUCCUCUUCAAAUACUAAUUUGUAGAAUUUAAACAUAAUGAUUUUUUUUUAAAUAGAAGUCAAUUAGCGGUCAUAAGUACAUAAUGAUGAAAAAUAAAAUCAAAUUGCUUGGAAUGCCUAUGUCCAUAAGAAAUUUCAGAGCUACUCGUUAUGAGUAAUAGAACUCUACACAAAGUUUUCCCCCAUUAUGAAAAUGACGAAGAAACGUAACUUCAAUUCUUUCAGAAUCUUUAAUCUAUCCCAUUUUUGACAAAGACAAUUGGCAUUUCAUAUGAAAGUGCAGCCCAUUGCUACUCCUUUGUCCAGGCCUAGAUAGAGUUUACAUAAAAUUAAUUUUAAUUCAAAAUUACCCACCAAGUAAAUGAAAAUAUAGAAAAUAUGGAUAUGUAUAUAUCUAUUUCCAAUUCACAACUCCUCUCCUCACGUUUCCUUCUUGAUGAGGUUCGUGUGGAAGAAUAAGCACUUGCAUAUUUGGAACACUUGGAUUGUCGGUGUUCGAAGAAUUGAGCGUAACUUUUGCAUAUGGUGUCCAUUUUGGGCCUAUAAGUACUUUUCGGAAAGGUAGUGACCAUUUUGAAUUGAACUCAUAGUUUUGCUAUGAUGUAUAAGGGAUUUUGGCCGUUUGAGAUCGUUUGUUGGGUCAAAAUCGCGUUUCAUAUUUAUUAGUUCAUUUUUUUUAAUAUUUCUUAUUUUUGCGCUGUAGCCCAGCCCAUUUAGGGGCUGUUGGCCAGUAGUUUACCUAAUUCUUUUCAUAUUUAAACCCCCCCAAAAAAAAUGUGCUUGUUUUCUUGGUUGUUGAAGAAAUAAAAAAGUUAUUGUUUCUUGCAUCAAUCCGUAAUGUUGGCAUAAGCUAAGCACGAUGCUUAGUAGAAAAAUUGUAAAUAUGUAUAGUUAUGUACUUUGUAUCAUAAAAUAUUGUUGCCCUAGUUUGGACUCUUCUAGCAAUGCAAAACAAGGAAUUCAAGCGAUGGGCUUGAAUUCCUACAUCAACUCUAAUCAUGUUAAGGCUAUACCUAGGCUCGAACAACGGAGUAGCAAUUGGUUGUCAGUUUCGUAUGAAAUGUCAAUUGUCCAUGUCAAAAUAGGAUAGAUUAAAGAUUCUGAAAGACCUGAAGUUAUAUCUCUUUGUCAUCUUUAUCACGGGAGAAAACUUUGCACAGAGUUUGAGGGGACAAUUUCUUGGUGGGUAAUUUUCAAGUACAACUUCUUCGAGUGUACCGUUUGAGGGCAUGAUCUACAUUUUUAAAUUAAUAGAGUAUGUAUUUUCAUGAAUCGAGAGUAGCCAAAUUUUCAUGUACAAUUUCUUCGAGUGUACUGUUUGAGGGCAUGAUCUACAUUAAUUUUAAAUUAACUAGACCUAUUUAAUAGGCCUUAAAUUACUAUAGGUUCGUUUGUCUAAAAAUAAUAAUAAUAAUAAUAACUGGAACCGUAAGCUGUGCCUAUCAAAGCCAGCACAUGACAAAGAUUCGAAAUCAAUGGGCUUGAGCACGUACUCUUGCAAAACAUUAUACAUAUCCUUUUCUCAUAAUAAAAAUGGAAAAAAAAAACAAAAAACAAAAUUUAAUUAAAUAUUAUUCAAUUCAUAUUUUUAGACGAAAUAAGUAAUUGCCAUACAAGAGUCUAUAAAGAUCUUGAGUUUGAAAUUUGGGUAACAUAUAUACGCCAUGAAAACACAUAAAAUCUAAUUAAUAUUUAUUGAAAGAAAUAGUUUUGCCAAACGGAUUGCACGGGUUUUGAAUUAAUUUCUAUAACCAUUAUUAUAAGUAAGGUAACAUAUGUACGCCAUUGAUUUCUAAACAUAAAAAACUAUUAUUUUAUAUAUUUAUUCUUUGGUUACAAAAUUUUAUCUUGAAAAGUUUCCCAUAAUUAAAUUCCAACAAAAAGUCCACCUACUUUUUUUUGUUCAAAACAGUUCUAUUAGUUGUAGAUGAUUUUCUUAGGAUAUAAUCUUCUAAUAUAUUUCUUUUUCUUUUUUGGGGGAGAGAAAUAUUCUGUUCCAAUUUUAUAAAUAUCUUUUCAAAUAUAUUUGGACUCUAUAAGAAUCCUUUUAUAUAAAUUUUACUUUUCUUUCCUAAGGGUAGCUAAAUUAGUUGUGUACAAGAUUUUGUUUUCAAUUUUGGCUCUUGUAUUUGGAGGGAAAUUUUCAAGUUCCCACUCUUUUUUUCCCCCACUUUUCGUCAACAUCUUUAUCUUUUUAUAAGAUGUGUUUCUCAUUUUUUAACUCUACAUUCUCAUUUUUUAGUACUCUGUAGACAAGGUAUUUUCAUUCAAUCUCCAAUCUAAUGAUUCUUUUUGUGUGUUUUCAUUUUUUUUAUUUUUGGUUUUUGAAUCUAAUAUAUUUGCAUUUCUUGAUUUCAUGUUGAUUCAUUUCAAAUUUCCAUUGGUCGUUUGUCAAGGAUUGCUGAUAUACGUAUUCACAACCUAGGUAUGUUUAUAUCCCUUUUUUUUCAUCUAAUGUUUUACAGAAAUUCGUAGUUUUUGCUUGUUGUGGAGAUUGUAUAAAUCUUUUGGUGUUCCCUUUUUUUUUUCUAUUACAUGCUUGGUGUUUUGUUUGCAAUAUAAUUUAAUUUACUAGAAAAAUAAAUAUGUGAACUGAAUAUGAAAAACAUUUUUCAAAAGGAACAUAAAAUUUAUCAUCAUUAUUAGUCACAUAUGAAGAAUGUUUUUCCGUGAGUUUCAGAUCCUAAAUCUUCCGAAAAUCCGGUUACAACCCGUUCAAUUAUGGAUUGACCCGACCAUUUCCAACUGGAAAGAGGAAGUAAAUAAUGUUUGCCUCUUUUUCUAUGGAACCUUAUCGACAACUGCUUUCUUUGACCUGUAUAUUAUGUUUAUUAUGACUGUUUUACUAUAUCAAUCUUUAUAGAUUCAUAAAAUUUAAGUUGGUCGCAAUGCUUUGUCACCAAAAUGUUGCCAAUAACCUCUUAGAUGGGCCUAUACCAGAUAAUCUUAGCUCUUGUACAAAUCUGAAUAGCCUGUAAGCAUCUGAUGUAGUCUUGUGUUCUAUUUUCAUUUUUUAUGAAAUUUCACCUUGCUGGAUUACUUGCUGAAUGAUUUGAUGACAGUAAUGUGCAUGGUAACAAAUUGAAUGGAACUAUUCCCCUUGUAUUUCAGAAGCUGGAGAGCAUGACGUAUCUGUGAGCUCCUCGCACAUCUGUGUUUAAAAAAACUUCGUUUGCAUGUAUUCGUUGUUGUGUAUCUGGAGAUUGAUGUUCUCCAAGUAUAAAUUUUGUAUUUCUUGAUGUUGUAUAGGAAUCUAUCCUCCAAUGAUAUUAAGGGCCCCAUUCCAAUUGAACUUGCACGAAUUCGAAAUUUAGAUACUUUGUAAGUAUCUAAAUUCAGAUACUUACAACUAUAAUAGUGACAUUAUAGUUGUGCAAAACAAAUUCAGAUCUACUUGUUUGGUCGGAUGAAUUUUAAUAGAGGGGGAAAUAAUGUCACUUCAAUCCUCGUAGAGAGAACAUUUUAUUCUCCAAAUACCCAAAAAGUAGCAAUCUGUUAUCUAUCUUCCCUCCCACCCCCACCCACUAAAAUAAGCUAUUAUUAUCAAUUUUGUCUCUUGGUAGACAAUGGCUUUUCAAACAAGAAUUGGCAAUAAUGGAGACACACUUUUUUGGUUAAAAAUGAUCUUUCUCUCUCUCUUUUUGGUUUUCCUUUGUAGAUAAUGGCUUCUCAAACAAGAAUUGGCAAGAAAAAUAGAGUUUUUACUACAUCUUAUUAGCCAUCAUCGGAGGUCUUCUCGUUAAAGGCAUCAUGCAAGGGUCCAUUAACCCAAACUACUCUUCAAGCUAAUAUCUCUUCCUCAUUGUCUAAGACUAGUAAUGUUCAAGUUCCUACUCCAUUAUCUCGACCUCUCCGAGUUCCUGUCCCAUUUUCUCAGUCCCAGCCUCAACUUAAUUCAUCACAAGCAACCACAUUGACACAUGAGAACAUCCUCAAUUCCAACGGUAAUAAUUAAUCUUUAUGUUUAUGGUAUAAAAUCAUCCUAAUGUAUAUAUUUAAUUGAUAGGAUCUCAUUUUUUGUUUUAUAUAUUCUCAUCAUUUGAGCAAUUUAUUUCAUAGAUUCUCAUUCUUUGAAGUGGAAGGGACGUGGUCCUACAAGAGGCAAGGGCACUGAUGAAAUCGUGAGUGCAGCUGGAAAAAUAUCAUUGGAAAUUUCUAAAAAGAUGGGAAGAGCUAUUGGAAAUCAGCAAGCACGUUUGUCUAGUGAGUGUGGCUACGUCGUUCGAUCAUUUGCUCCACUUUGUUACAAAAGGUAGAUUGACAUAUCCAAUGAAAAGAAAAAUAAAUUAUAUGAUCGAGUUUUGGUAAGUCAUAAAUUUUGUAGAAUAGUUAUUAGUUUCCCGUACUUAAAUAAAUAUUAUACACAUUUCAUUUUUGGUAGGCAAAAUUCAAGCUUGAUUUGACAGUUCAGCAUGUCCAUAAAUGUGUGAACGAUACUUUAGCGAGAAGAUAUCAUGAUUAUAGAUGUAGACUCAAAGAGAAAUAUUUCAAUGGAAAAACAUUAGAUGAUGCAAUGAAGAAUUGUCCAACUGACAUAAAGCAAGAUGAUUGGGACUGGUUGUGUCAAUAUUGGUCUACUCCUGAAUUUCAGGUAACUUUUAUUAAAAAUACAGAUACUUGUAAAUAUUUAGAAUAACGUAAUUUAGAUGUUAUCUUAAUAGAAUUAAAAAUGAUAAAUUAUAAUAAGGAGUUAAUUAUAUUUAUAUAUAAUUAAUUGCAGGCACUAUCUACAUGCAAUUUAGCUAGCCACUACUACAUUAAAUAUAAUCAUCGUAGUGGAUCAAAAUCAUUUGUUGCACGCCUUGACGAAAAUGUGAUAUUUUCUUUUCUUUUAUUAAAAAAUAAUAGAUUUGUGUAACAUGAUAUAUAUUAUUUCAAACAGAGAUCAAUUACUAAAGACAACACACAAGGAGAAAUAGAACUUUAUUAUGACACUCAUUACAGUGAGAAGAAAGGGUGGGUAAACGAUGAAGCACUAACAAGAUAUGUAAGUAUAUUAACAAUUUAUUCAUUGUUAUUGACAUUUUAUAUAUAUUCUAUUAUUAACAUAUAUUCCCUCUUCUUUCUCUUUACUCAUAUAUAGGAGAGGAUGCUUCAAAUUAAAGAGCAACUUGUUCCAGAAGGAUCUGAGGCCCCCACUGAACUUGAGAUUUUGCAAGAAGUUUUAGGAAAAUCUAGAGGUUACAUUAGAGGACUUGGACAUGGUCCAAAACCUGCCACAAGCUACUCUGCUCAUUUGACAUUGGUUGAUAUUGAAUCAAUAGCCCUUCGAGAGCAAAUACAAAAGCAGGAGCAAGAACUAUUGGAUAUGCGUGCCAGGCUUUCUCAAAUUGAGGCACUAAUGCAUAAGUUCGUAUCGAAUCAAGUCGACAUAUCUCCACAACAAGCCGAACCAGCAACAAUGUUUAGCAUGCCAACGCCUACUAAUAAUAUAUGAACUAUAAUUUAUUUAUUUAUUUGCUUUAAUUGUUGAGACAUUUAUUUUUCUUUAUGGAUUGGUUCAGUCUAGUAUUUCUAUUUUUUAUAAGUUAUUAUGUGAUUGAAAGUUUAAUAGUCUAAUGCAUUUUUCUUAAAUUUUUUGGGAAUAAAUUUUUUUAGAAAUUUUAUACAGCUUUUAUUAUAAAAAUUUUGUUCUUCAUAAGAAAUAAUCAAAAAAUUUAAAAAUUUAUAUUACAUAUUAAAAUUUAGCUAGACGAAAAAACAAACACUUAUUACAAAAAAAGAUAAUAAUAAUAAUAACAGUAGAAAAAAGUUACAAAAUAAAAUAAAAAAGACAGCAAGUAAAUAAUGUUACAAAAUAAAAUAAAAUAAAUGGAUGAAGUACAUCGUAAAAAUUUUACAACAACGUAUAUUUGAGGAUUUUUGCAGCAUGCAUUGCACGUUGCAGUAUUCUUCAACUCUACGGAAAUAUUAGAGUCUACAAUAUAUGGGUGAGCAUUGUAAAAAAUCAACUGCAAUAUCUUUUGUCUGUUGCAAAAAAAUUAUUUUCUUGUAGCCUUUUUUCCUCCAACUAUAGAAUUUUUAGCAACGAAUAUUUUUUUAUCCCCAAAAGGAGACCCUAUUGCAUCACAAGCAUUUUGUUGCAAGAAAGAAAUGUUUGUUGCCAUAAAUUUCCCACCAAAAAUAUUUUGGCGCCUUACUUCCCUCAUAUUUUUGGCGACAUUAUUUAUUAUUUGUCGCAACUUCCCACAUUUCACGACAACUUUUUAUAUCGUCUUAUAAUUUUUGAUACUUAUUUUUUUCAUCACAUUCUUUGUGACAAACUUUAAAAAUGUGUCGCGUUAAAUCACUUAUUGCAAGAACUUUUUGUAUGUCGCAAAAAAACUUAUCGCGAAAUCAUAGUUUUGUUGUAGUGAUGUAAAAGAUUUGAGAAAUGAAGUAAAAGAAAUAAGAAACGAUAUAAAUAUAUUAAAAAUUGAGAUUAGAGAAUUAAAAGAAAAUAAUAAGAAUAAAGAUAAGAAAAUAGAUAAAAAAAACUUAUAGAAAAAGAAAUGACUCGGAUAGGAAAGAAAUAUAUAGAAAAAGAAAAUAUAGUAAUAGAAACAGGAAGUAUGGAUGAUGAAUUUAGAAAAUAUAUAUUACCAAAGAUAUUAGAAAAAGAAGAAACUAGAGAAAAAUCCUUAGGAAAAUUAAAUGUAGAAGAAAAAGAAGAUAAAUAAAGAGUUAGAAUUGUUAAUAGAAAAUUUUGAUCAAUUAAGCUUAACUGAUAUAAGUGAAUACCAAGUUUUAAUGAAUACUGGAGGAGGACUUAAUCCAGCAGGAACCUCUAAACAGGAAUUACAUGAUACAAAUAAAAGUUAUGCACCUAUAUAUAAUAAAUCAUAUAGAUAAUUUUAUGACAAAGUAAGAGAUAGAUAAUCACCCAAAGGAAAUAAAUAUCAGAAUAGAAUUGAACUAAAUGAUAAUUAUGAUAAACCAAUCAAUCAUGGAGGAACAAAACUAGAUUUAAAUUGCAAAAUAGAUACUAAAAAAGCCUUAUUAACUUGGGUAGAUUCGAUGAUAUUAUUCUUUUUAUAUAACAAAGAUGAUACAUGGGAAAAUACUGAAAGAAGAAUAGAUUUCUUAAUAGCAUCCUUUGAAGGAGAUGUUAGAAAUUGGUGGGAAGAAAUAAGAAAUGAUACAAAAACAUUAAUAAAAAAAAUGUACAAACAGAAAUAAUCAAAUCAGAUAGAUAAGGUAUAGAAAAAUUAGUGGAAUAUAUUUCAGAUGAGUUUUUAGGAGAAAAUUGGAUAAGAAAUGCUGACGAGGAAUCAAUAAGAGAAAAAUAUAAUGCUAGAAUAAAAUUAAUAAAUUUAACAAUAUGUGAUAUGUGUAAAAUUAAAGAAUAUACUUGUGAAUUUAGAAAUUACUAUUAUGUUCAAUUUCAUAGUAAUGAGAAUCAAGAAGUAUACCAAGACAUGUAUUAUAAUAAGUUACCAGGUUCAUGGGGAAUAUAUUUUAAAAUAAAAUUUGAAAAAUAUGUUAGAGAUAAUACUGGAAUACCUAGGACUUUAGGUUCAAGAAUAAAAUUUUUAUUUGAAAGACUUGCAUAUAUAUGUCAACAAUGGCAAUUAAUGAAAAAAUCAGGAAAACUAACUAAAAUAUGUUGUGAAGAUAUGGAAAGUCCUGUGCAAUGGAGAUGUAAUCUUGAAAAAAGAAUUAAUAAAAGAAAAUAUAAAAAUAACAAAUUUAGAAAUUUUAAUAAAAAAUAUAUAAAACCUAAAAGAAGGUAUUAUAAAAGAAAAAAUAACCCUUAUAAUCAACAGAAAAAUAAGAAUUAUAAGAAAAAUAAAAGCCAAUGUAAAUGUUGGAAUUGUGGAGAGAUAGAUCAUAUAAGCCCUAAUUGUGAUAAAAAGAAAGUAAGAAUAUUACAAAAAGAAUAUUUAAAAAUAAAAGAUGAAUUAAGUGAAAUAUCAAAUAUUGAAGAAUAUUAUGAUCAGUAAGUAUAUAUAAGUGAAACAGAAAAAGAUGGAUCAGGAUCCGAAUAAAGAAAUUGAAGAAAUAGAUGGUAAUAAUAUAAAUAUACAAGAAUAUGAAAGAAUAGAAAGAUAUGGAUUAAAAGUCACUUUUGACAAUAACGAGUUUAGAAAAUUGCAAAAAUUAUCGUUAGACUUAAAAAUAGGAAAAUGAGAAGUCUUUGGUAGGAUUUGGAAAAGAGAAAGAAUAGCAAUAAACGAAUAUCACAAAAUAGAAAAAACCAUAGAUGUAAGAACAACUUAUGGGCAACAUAAAUUAAAUCUUUUAACAAGAAAUACAAUUGAUGAACUAUUAACAAAGAUUAGUAAAAAACAAAGUGAAAAAAUUCAAUAUGUUUAUUUAGCAGGAAUACAAAUAAUGUUUAAAUCACUAUUUAGAGAAGGGAUAGACUCACCCUUAACUAUAACUUUACAUGAUGGAAGAAUAAUAAAUUUAAAAGAUAGUCAUUUAGGAACAAUAGAAGGAAAUUUAGCAUAUCAAAAAAUUAUGUUUACAUGUUACCCAAAAUAUUGUGUAUCAUUGAAAGAUAGAAACUUUAAUUAAGUUUUAGGACUACAUUUCAAGUUUCAUAGAGAUGAUAUUAUGCAACCAGGUGAUCAAAUUAUGACUAUAGAAUAUAGAGUUUUAUGCACAUUUACUAAUUCUAAUUAUGGGAAUAUUUAUUCUAAUAAACAAUAUAUUGAAGUUCAUAAAGAAUGUAAAGAUAUUAGUAAAAUAAUAAAACCAAAUAAACAAAUAAGUUUAAUUCCAGAAGAAUAUGAAUUUAGCAUAGCAAAAAAUAAACCUGAAAUAAUAGAAUUAAAUGAAGGAGAAUGUUCUAAUAAUAUAACAUUUAAAGAUGGAAAAUUAAUCAAAAGAUCAAAAAGUCUUAAAAUGCCUAAUAAAAACCAGUUAGAAGAAAUCAAAAAAAUAAAAGAAAUAAAAUUAUAUAGGAAUGCUGGAAACAUUAAAAUAGAAGGAGAAUAUUAUAAUGGAAGAGAAAAUAUAAAUGGACCAAAUAUAUUAAUAGAUACAGGAGCCAGUGAAUGUCAUAUAGCUUCGAUUAGAAACAAAUGACUAAUAACUCAUAAAAUUGAACCAUAUAAGUAUGUAAAUUUUGAUGGAUAAGUACAUAUAACAGAUUUAGAAGUUAAGGUACCAAUAGAAAUAGGAGGAAUAGAUCUCUUAGUACUAUGUUAUAUAGAUAGAAGUAUGGAUAUAAACCCUCAUAUACUUUUAGGAAUGAGUUUUCUAAAUGGAUUAGAAGAUUAUAGUAUAAAAAGAGAAGGAUUAUAUAUUGUUCAUAAUGGACAGACUACAUUAUGUAAAAAAUAUUAGAUGAAUAAUCAGAUAAGUUUCCCAUUAGCUGUGUAUAUACAAAUUACUAUUGCAAAAACAAAUAUAACAACUCGUGCUUUGAUAGAUACAGGAAGUGAUAUAACAAUAUUUAAAUUUUUUUUAAUAAAAUCACGGAAUAAUAAAUAGCAAUAUAAAAAUAACUGGCGCUACUGGAGAAAGUACUCAAAUAAUUAAUAGUGCUGAUAAAGUUAAUAUAAUUCUUGGAAGUAAACAAGUAAUAAUAAACAAAAUUUAUAAAUACGAUAAAUUAUAAUGUGAUAUAUUAUUAGGAAAUGAUUUCAUACAACAAUUUCAAUAUUAUAAACAGAAUAAUUAUAUGAUAAUGUUACAAACACUUUGUGGACACUUAUUAAAAAUUCCUAAAGAAUUUAAACCUUAUAGAGUUCAGUCAACCCAAUGUGGUGAUAAAUGGGAGAAAAAAUCAAUUCUUAAUAAUGAAACAAAAAAUAAAAGAAUAUUAUAUACGAAAGUUCUAAAGACAGGAAUAGAAAUGAAUAUAAAAAAAAUCAUUGAACAAUUAGAAAAAGUUUAUGGAGAAAAUUCAUUAUUAUUUUGGAAAUCAUAUCACCCAAAAGUCAAAAUAGAAUUAACAGAAAACGUUAUAAUAAGAGUAAGACCAAUGAUUUAUACAAUAGAAGAUACACAAGAGUUUAAAAAACAAAUAAAAGAAUUAUUAGAACAAAAACUUAUUAGACCUAGUAAUGGACCUCAUAGUAGUCCAGCCUUUAUGUUAUGAAACACUCUGAACAAAUUAGAGGAAAAGCUAGAAUGGUUAUAAAUUAUAAAAAAUUAAAUAAAUAUACUAAAUUUGAUAGUUGCUUUCUACCAAAUAAAGAAGUACUAAUAAAUAUUGCAAGAGGAAAACAAUACUAUUUUAAAUUUGAUUGUAAAUCAAGAUUUUGGCAAGUAAAAAUGGAAGAAGAUAGUAUACAAUAUACUGCAUUUAGCACACCUCAAGGAAAAUAUGAAUGGUUAGUUAUGUCAUUUGGUUUAAAAAAUGCACCAUAAAUAUAUCAAAAAAAGAUGGAUAAUAUAUUUAAAAAGUUUAAUGAAUUUCUAAUAGUUUAUAUUGAUGAUAUAUUAAUAUGUUCUAAUAAUAAAGAACAUAGAAAUCAUUUAAUCCAAUUUAUUAAUGAAUGUAAAAAAGAAGGAAUUGUACUAUCUAAAAAGAAAUCUAUAAUAGAAAAACAAGAGAUAGACUCUCUUGUAUUAUCAAUAGGUAAAAGAGGGAUAAAAUUACAAACUCAUAUAUCCAAAAAGAUAGAAAGUUUUUCAGAUAAAUUAGAAUCCAAGGAACAAAUUCAAAAAUUCUUAGGAUGUUUAAAUUAUGCAGAAGAAUUCAUUGAGAAUCUUUCUAAGAAAAGACAUAAAAUCCAAGUUUUAUUUAGAAAAACAAAUACUAAGGGAUAAAAUGAAGAACAUACAGAAAUAGUUAGAUCAUUAAAAGAAAAAUGCAAAAAUCUACCAAAAUUAAGAUUAUCAGAUGAAAAAGAUAAUUUAAUUAUUAAUACUGAUGACUCAGAUAAAUAUUGGACAUCAAUAUUAAAAACAGAUCUUAAUGAAAUUUGUAAAUACUCGAGUGAAACUUUUAAUCAAACAGAAAUAAAUUAUACUACUCAUGAAAGGAAUUAUUAGCGAUUAUUAGAGGAAUAAAAAGUUCUCGUUGUUUUUAUUAUCCAAGAAAUUUAUUGUUGAACCUGAUAAUUCUCAAGUUGCAGGAUUAGUCAGGAAUAAGUUACCCUCAGAACCACAAUAUAGAAGGUUUCAUAGAUGACAAGCUUAUUUAGCAUUCUAUAACUUCGAUGUAAUCCAUAUUAAAGGAGUUAAUAAUUUUCUUGCAGAUUUUCUCAGUAGAAAGAUAAAAUUUGCUAAUGGAUAAAGUCAAUGCCAUGGAGUUAUACUAAUCCAUUCUACAUAUAUAAGAAAGGACAAACUUUCUUAAAAAAGAAUCUGAAGAUGUAAGUUCUGGAACAACCCAGAUUUCAGAGAUGUUCAACUCAAAUAUGAAUAUAUUAUUGAAUAUCAUUGCUGAACAUCAUAAAUAUGCCAUUGAACUUAAAAAUCAAGUUGAUGCUAUUGCAGCACAACUGAAAAAUAUACUGUUUCAAACAGAUAUACCAAAGAGCUCAGAAAUGAGUUUUUCAAAUCAAUACCAAACAGGGACAGCUGAAAAUAGCAGUGGACCUAGACGUGAUAACAUACCAACUGAUAAUAAAGGAGAUUCCAUUUCUGUAUCAUCAACCAAGAAAGUUAUGAUACAUGGAGAUAAAAAAGAUAUCAAAACAAUCAGUAUCAUAGAUCAAGAAGAUAAAAUCCCUUUAGAUCCAAACGAAGAAAAAUAUGCUGAUGAAAUAAAAAUAAGUGAUUCAUAUUUCAUUUCUCCGGGAAAUAAUGUUUAUCCCAAAAUAACAGCCAUGGAAGGAGGUGACUCUUCAUUCAUAAAAAUCAUGACAGACUAUGGAUUCAUGUAUUUGAUUUAUCCAGGAAAAGAUUUUAUUGAAAUCUCAAAGUUCGAUGAGAUAUUCAUUAAAGAAGUUUCAAGAUUUGCCAAAGGAAGGAAGAUAUUUUUAAAAUUCUAUUCAAUCAGUCCAGAAUAUGAUGGAGUUGUUUACUAUCUAGUUGAACACAUAAUCUCAAUUGGCUAUGUUGCAGCCAAUUUCCAAAUUGAUGUUACGGAGAAUAACAGAAAAGUCCCAAAAGUAACAAAAUCAUGGAUCAGACAUAGAAGAGCAUUUGGAAUUAAAGCCAUCUACAACAUUGCCAAAAACUUGUUUGAUAAAAAAUUCUCAUACCUAUGCGAAUAUGAGAAUUGGAUGCUGGUAUCCAAUGGAGGAUAUGCAAAAUCAGAAAUUUUAAAAGACUAUAUUACAAGAUUUGAUAUACAUCAAUUUUCAGGAUGUCCUACCACUAUAAAAGAAUCCUGCCAGUUAAGGGAGUGCCCCAACUGCAUGUGAAGAAAUGUAAGAAGAGGACAAAGCACCUUUUGACAAAGGUGUAUGAAGGGCAAUAAUACUACAUGUGAAGACAUUCAAGAUAAGGAGCAAUAAUAGAAAAAGAUGCUCUUUGGAUAGAAAAGUUGGACCAACAUGUGAAGAUGUAGGCCCAAGGGGAAGAAAAUAGAAAGGCAAAUGUACCUUGCUGAUGUAUUCAAUGAUGUAAUAGAGUUUCAAAAACUUGUAUAAAUAGAGACAUUACCAUAGAAGAAAAGCAUCUCAUUCUAUCUUGAAUUCUCGAGCUGUAAAGCAAUAGCCUAUUCUCAGUUUUAUAAACCAGUUUUUUUGGAAACUCCUUGUGCCAAAAUAAAAGUCUUGUAUCAAUCCUAAUAGAAAUAAAAUUCCAAUAUCUUGAUAUCAAUAUGAGUUUCUAAAUCUUUUUCCCAUAGAUUCUUGAAAGAUCAAAUAGAAAUUUUCCUUCUUAUUUUAGCAAAAAGAGAGUUUUCCUUAACAGAAGUCUAGAGUUUUAUUCUUUAAAAGUUGAUAUAGUGAGAGCAAGUAGCUGAAACAGUUACAAUUCCGUGAAGGUAGGAGGCCGUUGAAGAAAGCAAUUUACAAAUUUAGAGCUCGAAGGUCACUCGAUUCUAAGAAUACAGAUCUAAAUCAAACCUAAGGUAAAACUAUUAAACUUUUGCUAAAAUUACAAUGAAUCUUUUAAAGGUCUUAGAAGAAUCGCACGGACAAUUGCAUGAUGAUUAUUUUGAUAAAUGUCAGGAUAUACAAUUGAAGGAUUAGAUAAUUUAUUAGAAAUGAUGUUAGAAGAAAUAAAGAAUAUUAUAUCUCAAUUAAAAAAUCCAAAUUUACCAUUUGAAAAAUAUAGUGCUUUAAUUAGAAAAUAUGAGAUGAAUGUUUCAGAUUAUUCUUAUUUAUUAGAUCAUAGAAUGAUUUUAUAUUCAAAUAUCCAAAAUAGAGAAAACAAAGGAUAAAAUGUUUAAAAGAUUUGGACAUAUGUUGCAAUAUAGAAAGAAUCAUUUCAUUAAGGGUAAUAUAGACAUUUCCAUAAAAAAGAAUAGUAAUAGGCCAAAUAGAAAAAUGUCCCAUUAGUUCGGUGCCUUAAAAUUAAUUAGAAUUAAAAUUCUCGUAUUAAUUACGUCUAAUACAUCGAAAGUCCAAAGAAGCCCACAAAUUGAUUUUGUCAUUUUUAUUUUUAUUUUUUGCUUUUUGUGUUAAUUUUGAGUUUUUUUGUCAUUAUUUUGAAUAUUUGUGACAUUUUUAAAUUUCUAUCACUUUUCGUUUAAUAAUCUUUCUUUUCUUUUUUUUUGCAAGACUGAGUUAAUUAUAGCAUAGAAAUACUCGGUUCAAGAGCUAUAACAUGUCACUUUUUUACAUGAUACUUUUUUGCUUUGAUAUAUCUUUCAUCCUUCAAAAAAGUGACUGCCAUGUAAUCAUUAUGGCACUUUGUUGGAUAAGGCAUAACAAAUUUCACAGUAAUAACAAAUUUCACAGUAAAGAUAAGGGUAUUAAAUUAGUAGUUAUCAUUGAAAAACACAAAAUUAACCAUGGAGAAAUCAAAAUAAAAUAAAAAUUUCACCCCUAUUUGAAGGGAAUUAAAAUCAUAUUUUUAGUAAAUUUUGAUAAAAGUUGAUGUAAUAUAUAAUUGAAAAAUUGUCGAUCUUAUAAAAUGUGUUGUUAAAAUUAAUUAUUGAUUUUGGUUUAAAUUAAAAUAUGAAAAUUAAUUUUCACAUAUUAGGGGCUUCAUGAGAGAGAAGAAAAAAAUGGAAAAGAAUCCCUUUGCGAUUCAAAGAGUUGUCGUUCUUAUUGAUGAACCCCACUAAACACUAAUGAUACAUCCCUAAAAAUUAGAAUGAAAGAUUCCUUGCUUUCUUCCCUUUGUUUAGAGUCUACGUAAUUAUUGAUGCAAGUCCAGAACAUCCAUUUUUAUGGCAUAAAACUUAUUCAGAUUUCCUUUUACCCGUAAUUAAAGCAUGAUUAAUUAUGAUAUUUCACAAUUAUCCAAAUUUUGAGGGUACAAGUAGCAAGCACGUUCAUUGCACGUCUUAUAUAUCAGAUGAAUGAUAUGUAUAAUGAUUUUGAAGCAUUAAUACUUUUUUUAAGGUAAUUGAUGUAAUUGAUAUAAAGGAAAAAUUAAAAUUGUUAAAAACCAGCUAUGAGUUGACUCCGAAAAAUGUACCUUCAUCGUUGCCAACAGAUCCUACCUCCUAUCACGUCCACAUAGCUCCUUCCUGCACAUUUGGAAUGACACAAAGUGUGAGCUUUUAUAGUAGAUUAGGGUGAGUAAGAGCUAUUGGAUGAAGAGACACAUAGCAUUAUCUUGGCGGCUGGAGCCUCUUGUUAUAGGCAUCAAUCAGUCAAACUUAGGCUCAAGUGCAUUUAAUGUUAUGAUCACUUAUAGUCCUAGGAUUUGAAAGACUAGACUUGACUUGUUGAUUGAGCUAAGCCGCCUAUACAGCGAGUUGUCAUAUCACCCAAGAUAAGUGUGUUUUUGCACAUUUAUUUAAUACCUAAAUAUGCUUAUAAUUAACUAAAUGAAUGAAAUUCUACAUACAAUUAAGUAAUAUUUGCUUUUGUGGGCUAAAAAUCACCCAUGUAAAGAUAACAACGCAAAAGGGGGUGGAAUGGACCAAAAUUAAUGCAAAAUUGUAAAGUUGGGGACCAAAAUGUACAAAGGUAGAAAGUGAAGGAUUUAGGAUGUAAUUUAUGGAUGGCAAAAUUGAAAUGAAGUCAAAAUCUGAGGACCAAAUUGUACAAAAUCAAAGUUGAGGGCCUUGAGGGUACAACUAUCUCAGGGCUAAGCUGCAAAUGAUACUAAAAUCUAUUUUUUUGGGUUGUUGGAUAGAGACUCGACACAUAGGUGCAACUGUUCCAGUGCCUAGGCACUAUCUUUAAUUAAACCCCUGUUUGAUGCCUAUUACUUGAAAAUGAAAAUGGGGGGAAUAGUAUUUUUUAGAAAAAUGAGUGAUUGAAAAAAAAAAGUUUUCAAUUUACGUGUAAUAUUAUUUUAUGGAAGAUUGUGUGGUUGAAAAUAGGAGAGAGAAAAAUGAAAUGUAAUGUAAUUUAAUUUAAUGGAGAUCAAACAGGGGUUAAAAAAGGGUUGGGACCUUUUUGCACUUUUUUUAACUUCAGGGACUUGAGCUAUAAUUUAUCUAGGGUUUUUAAAAUAAAACCAAGUCUGCUGGACUUGUCUUCUACUUCUUCCUAGCCGGUUUCUGCUUCUUAAAUUUAUUUUCCUUUCUUUCUUUUUAUUUUCUUUCUCUUUCUUUACAUUUCAUUUCUUUUUUUUUUUCUUUAAUUUUUCUUGGCAUUUUGAAAGUGAAAUCAAGAGCACAAAGGGGAAUACAUCCAAGGAUUUGGAGAUAUAUUUGGAAAAGUCAUAGCCAAGCUUUAAAAAUGGUUGUAUCUAUAAUUUUUAAUUUUCUCAAUUAUUUUGCCAUAUUUGUAAUGUGUUGUGUAAAAUAUUCUCAUUUGAUUGAUUUAUAUAAUAUGGGCUAAGUAAUUAUGAUAAUAUUUAUGGUAGUAAUUUAAUCUAACUUUAAUUAAUUUCAACGUUCGCUCUUUAAUGUUAAGUUAUUUAUUUUCAUGUGCUUUUACUAUUGUUAUUAUUGUAUUUUCAAUUAUGUGGCCAAUGAAUGAUUUUGUUUAGUGAAUUGUACAUCGUUCGAGAGAAGAUUGUACACUUUAGAUCAAAUAGUAAAAAUCUUAGGUUUGUUUAGAGGAUAGAUACAUACCGCUAACCCUAGGUGAUCCUUUGAGUUAUUUUUUACAAAUAUUUAAUAAGAUUGUUUGAUUUUAAUCGACAUAGAGAUAUAGUAGGUUAGACCAACCAAUUAGGAUUAAUUUCGCUCGAAAGAGGUAAUUAAGCCCUCGUUUGCCCCCUCCCCCCACAUUAAUUUUCAAUCUAUUACACUUUAUUUUUUUCUCUCCCAUUUUUAACUACACAAUCUUUCACAAAAUAAUAUUACAUGUAAAUCAAAAAAAAUUUCUUCUUUUUCAACCACAUUUAAAAAAAAUAUUAUUCAACUCAUUAAUUUUUCCACGUAAUGGGGGCCAAACAGGAGCUAACUAAAAUUGAAAAAUUGAGUAUAAUAUCAUAAAUGAGUGGCUUGUUAAUUGGCUUAUGGAGAAAUUAAUUAGGCGACGGUUAAAUGAAAUCAUGAAUUCCAAUCACGUUUUCUUCCGAAAUUUCCAAGAUUUUUAUAUUUUCUAAUUUUCUAGAUUUUUAGUUAUUUUCCUAAACCAAAUAUUUAUUGUGUGUUUAUUUUAUUAUUAGAAUUAAAUUAAUUAAAGUUGUGUAAUAAAAAGUAUGCGUUCAUCAAGUGAUCAAUAACCUUGAUUCAAAAAGUUUAUUUUAUUACUUGAACGCGACCCGUGCACUUGCGGUGUAUGAUUUUAGUGAACAAAUUUUUAGCGUCGGUACUGGGUAAUGUAUUUACUUUGAUUACCACUUUAGUUAAUUUUAGUUUUAACAAUUUCUUUUUAUUUAUUUUUAAGUGCUUUUUUUUUUCUAUAUUUUGGCUAACCCCUACAAUUUUAAUCUAUCUUGUAUUUGUAUUUCCUACCUAUACUUUUCAGAUAUUUGCAUGAUUCUAACUUGGUGAAACAUCGAAACUUUUGCAAUGGAUAAUAUUUAUUUUGACUAUGGAUAUAAGCUUGGAGGUCUAUGAUAUGAAAUUUGACAAGCGAUGCAUUGUACAAGGCAAUGCUUGUUUUCGUGCACCGAUACCUCAAUGUCUAAGCUUCUUUGGUUAAAAUAAUAUUUGAAAUGUCGAAAACUAGCACUGGACAAUUUCAAUGGUAGUUACAUGCUCAUUGGAGAUUAUGUACCUGAUGAUUGGGAUGAGGACAUCAAAGUUUCGAAAGAUGGUCCUCCAUGUUUGAACGAGGGGAUACUUGCAAAGUAUUACAAUGAACUUGCCAAGUUGGAUAAAGAAGACAUGUUUGUGAGAGAUUACAAAUAUUGGGAUAGAUUUCAAAAGUGGGGGUAUAAUCCACUCAACAGGGUUAAUAGGAAAGACUUGCCAUUGACCGUGGAGUUUGAAGGUGGACGGGGCAUUCAAUCCGAUGAAAUAUCAACCAUUGAAGGAGAGCUUGAGGAGAAUGAAAAAUCAGUCAGACUUAGGCUAAACGAAGAUGUGGCAAUCAAUGAGGAGAAAACCGACUUACAUACCUUUGACUUGGUUUAUUGCCAAGAUAUUGAUUUUGUGAAUAAACCCGAUGAGGAAGUAGAGAUCUUCAUAGGUAAAUUUGAAUUGGAUGGAAUGGGCAAGUCAUAUUAUAUUCUGGAGAUCAAAUGAAGAGUAAAGUAAAGCCAAAAGAAGAAAAAUGGGCAUGCCAUAUAAAGCCUUCUUUAGGUGCUAGUGAUUUAAUUGUCAAAGUCGAGUUAAAAACUAUAAAAGGUGCUUGUUGGGAGACAACCAACUUUUUAAUUUUAAAUAUUUUUAUUUAAUUUUAUGCAUUUUCUUAAUUUUAUUUGAUUAGCUAUACUUUUUUUUUUUUUUGUAGGUAAUUUCUGAAGGCCCACAUAUUUGUGGCUUCUCAUAAGUUUGGGGAUAAAUUGUGUACAGAAAGAUCACUUGUCCAUGCUCAUUGAAAGCAUUGUAAAUCCAAUUCAGGCGUUGGUACCUCUUCACAAAUGUUUAAUCGGAGAAGUCUCGUUAACCUCCCUCUUCUUUUUUAUCUUGUUCUUUACACAUUGAGGACAAUGUGGGAUUUAAGUUUGGAGGUGGUUGUGCUUAAAUUGGUGAUGUUGUGUCGACAUGUUAGAUAGCCUUGCCGACUUAGGAUUUCUUGAUGUUUGAAAUUGUUAUGGAUUCAUGAGCUAUGCAUGACCAUAUAUGCUAUUUUUGCCAAAAAAAUUGCUUAUCCAUUAUAAGAUCUUGAAUUUCUUUAAGCACAAUAGUCAUGAUUAAUUGUUAUCUAGAUGCAGAAAUUUUUUUAUUGAUAGAGAGACUUUUGAAUUGGUAAGAACUAGAUUGUGAGUUGCUUGAAAAUUUAUAUCAACCUAUAUCAAUUUCUCUUUCACUUAACCAUAUUGUGAGAUAAGUUUUUGGGUGGUCAAGCCAGUGAAGGAAAAUAUCUAGAAGUGUAUGAUUCCGUGCAUGUUGAAAAAUAUUUGUAUGGAGUGUCUUUUGCUAAGUAUAAGCUAGGUAAUGACCAUAUGCUAGGAAUCUAAGCCCCAUUUUUCUUGUACUUAAAACAAAAACAAAAAAAAUAAAUUGUUAUUGCACUUGUUGAAUCCUAGGCCUCACUUCGUAUCCUUCUUUACUCGAGUUAUUAAGUCCGUAGGGGUAUCUUAAAAUCUAGUACCCUUUGGCCUAAACAAUCGAGAAAUUAUCGAUCUAAAACUCGCUACAAGGGUUAAGAAGAAAGCUUAAGGGAGUGAGGUAAAACAUGAGAUUUGGCUAAAAAAGAAUUGUUGCUGUGCAAUUGUAUUUGAUAUUUGAGCUUAGAUAACUAGUGGGUUUGAAUUACUUAGUAUAAGCUUAAAUGUCGAAGCACUCAUGUAGUAGAGAAUCAUCACAUUACUGGAGAUUGAUAUUGCUGAUUAGGCUCAACCGAAGAAGAGUAGGAAAAAAAGAGUGAGAACAACCUCUAGAUUUACACCCGAGGAAAGAAAAUGAAAUAUGAAAGAAAAUGAAAUAUCUAUUUUAGUGUGUGAAUCUCACAAGUGAAAGGAAAUAUUUGACCACAAGGGUUCGGGUUGGAGCCAAUUUGAAAAAUUUUCCGCGUUGACAACUUUUUCCUAAUUUAGAUAAUGAUUGAAAAUGACUUUGCACACACACAUUGAUCGAACAUGGAUAAGCUUAAAUUUAUUUUAUUAGAAUUAUUUAGAGCAUAUUUGUGAAUUGAUUAUACAAUUUCACACUCAUUGAUAUUUUUGGCAAGCUAUCUAAUGCGUUGAUCUUUAUCUUACGUUACACGAUUGUGGUAGUUAAUCUUGCUUGGGACAAGCAAGAGCUUAAGUUUGGGGAUAUUUGAUAUCUGUGUUUUUGUACAUUUAUUUAAUACCUAAAUAUUCUUAAAAUUGAUUAAAUGAAUGGAAUUCAACUCACAAUUGGGUAAAAAUAGUCUAAAAAUCACCCAAGUAAAGAAAACAAUGCAAAAGGGGUGAAAAUGGACCAAAAUUGUAAAGUUGGGGACUAAAAUGCACAAGGCAAAAAGUGGAGGAUUUGGGAUGCAAUUUAUGGAGGGAAAAAGUGAAAUGAAAGUCAAAAUCUAAGGACCAAAUUGUACAAAAUCAAAAUUGAGGAACCUGACGUGCAAUUAUUUCAAGCACUAAGUUGGAAAUGAUACUAAAAUCUAUUUUUUUUGGGUUGCUCGACAGAGACUCGGCGCCUAGGUGCCAUUGUUCCGGCACUUAGGCCCCACUAUUCUGACAACUAGGCACUACCUUUAAUUAAAAAAAGCGUUGGGACCUUUUUGCACGUUUUUUGAAAUUUCAGGGACUAGAGUUGCAAUUUCUCUAGAUUUUUUGAAAAAUAAAACCUAGUCCGCUGGACUUGUCUUCUGCCUCUUCCCGGCCAAUUUUUGCUUCUUAAAUUUAUUUUAUUUUCAUUCUUUUUAUUUUCUUUACUCUUCAUUUCUUUUUCUUCCUUUAAUUUUUCUUGGCACUUUGAAAUUGAAAUCAAGAGCACAAAUGGGAAUACAUCCAAGGAUUUGAAGAAAUAUUUGGGAAAGUCAUAGCCAAGCUUUAAAAGGGUUGUAUCUAUAACUUUGUAUUUUUUUUUUCAAUUAUUUUGUUAUAUUUAUAAUGUGUUGUGUAAAAUAUUCUCCUUUUAUUCAUUUAUAUAAUAUGGGCUAAGUUAUUGUUAUGGGAUUUAUGGUAAUAGCUUAAUUUAACUUUAACUAAUUUCAAUGUUUUCUCUUUAAUGUUAAGUUAUUUAUUUUCAUGUGUUUUUACUAUUGUUAUUAUUACAUUUUCACUUAUGUGGCCAAUGAAUGAUUUUGUUUAGUUAAUUGUACAUCGUUCAAGAAAAGAUUAUGUACUUUAGACCAAAUAGUAAAAAUCCUAGGUAUGUUUAGAGGAUAGAGAUAUACUGUUAACCCUAGGUGAUCCUUUGAGUUAUUUUCACAAAUAUUUAAUCUGAUUGUUUGAUUUUAAUCGACAUAGAGACAAGUAGAUUAAACCAAUCAAUUAGGGUUAAUUUAGCUCGAGAGAGGGGACUAAAAUUGGAAAAUAGUGUCUAAUAUCGCAAAUGAGUGGCUUGUUAAUUGGCUUGUGGAGAAAUUAAUUAGGUGACAAUUAAGCGAAACCAUGAAUCCCAACCAAGUUUUCUUCCAAAUUUUUUAUAUUUUCUAGAUUUUUAGUUAUUUUCCAAAACCAAAUAUUUAAUGUUCGUUUAUUUUUAUUGUUAUAAUUAAAUUAAUUAAAGUAGUGUAAUCUAAAGUAUAUAUUCCUCGAGUGAUCGACAACUCGAACUCAAAAGGUUCACUUUAUUACUUGAACAUGACCCGUGCACUUGCUAUGUAUGAUUUUAGCAAACAACCCACUUGUUACAAAAUCUUGUAUUAAGAUCUUCCCUAAAGAUGCCUCUACUUUCCUCACCUAAUUCAUGGGAGCUUGGCUCCCCAUUGGGGUUCAGUUAAUAGGGGUCGACCAUGGGUGCUCGGCUAUGGGGGCUCUACUAAAUUGAUACACGUGCAGAAUGAUGUGGAUUAUGUGCCUAAGUUCUCUUGUAGUGCAGUUACCAUUUGACAAUGCUUGGAGUCUCAUUGGAAAAUGAUGUGAUCCAAGAAUCAAGCUCGAAGAAGACCAGUGUGGAACAUGACUCGUUGAUAAUCGGAGGCAGGCCGAUGACGCGAUCACGGGUAAAACAAGCGAUGAGAUUGUUUGUUCAAAAAACAAUUGACAAAACAUUGUUCAGGAUGCAAAACGAGGCAACUUUCUUGUUGGGGUCGAGAGUCGAAAUGAAUUGGAUCAACAUGAUACAAGGAACAAAAGUCGAAGACCAAAAUAACAACUAUGCGAUCACAUAGUUGGCGAGCAGUUUCCUUUUUUGGCACGAACUUUCCUUAUUUCAUUAGAAUUCUAUUACAGACAAUAUUCUUGUAAUCUUUAAUUUUGUUUUAACCUAGGAUUAAAGUUUUAUUCCUAUUAGAAUUAGUUUCUAGAUUUUCAGUAGAGUUUUAUCCCUAUUAAAAUUAGUUUCUAGAUUUUCUACAUAUAAACAGGUUUAUUUUCAUUCUAAAACACUACACAACAUUUUUUUUGGAGAGAAUUCAAUAAAGAGAGGCAAUUUGCUUUGUUCAAAUCGUUCUUCAUUGAACAAUUGGAACUUAUCAAGAGUUACAAUCUUGUGGCGUUCUACAAUCCGGGUGGGGGUCUUAAUCGUGUAAUCAAGGGGUCUUUCAAGCUUUGAUCUUGUUGGGUUUUUUUGUUUAUUGAUUCGAGUUCGAACUCUCAAACCUCUUAAUUGGCUUUUCUAGGGUUUUAACAAUAUAGUUGUGGGUUUUCGUAGUCAAUGUUGCUACGGGGUUUGCAACAGUUGGUAUCAGAGCAUAGCUCCAAUUUAACAGAUUAUAUCCUUAGUUUUCUUUGUUGAGUCUUUGUUAUUUGUUUUUUCGCAUUUUUGUUAGUUUUCAUUCCGGUGUUCUUUGUUUCUUCGUCGUUCGAGUCUUCAAUCCAUAAAAUUAUCUUCAAAUUUUGUCAAGGUUGUUUCGGGUUAUUCUAGCGUCCAAAAUCAUCUUGUUUAAUUUGUUGGUAGUUUAAUUCAUUGUUUUUGUUCCAAAAAAAAAAAAAAAGAAGAAGCUACUGUUCCAAUACUGUUCCAGAAACUAAAAAAAAAGGUGGAAAAAAAUUGUUCACGGUACUAUUAAAAAAAAAUUCUAUUAUUUUUUUUAUUGUUCAAUUUACUACCAACAAUCUUUAUUUGGUCGAGUCACAUUAGUUUCUUUCAUUCAAUCAAAGUCGGGUCAAUUUUAUUAAAAAUUCUUUGAGUCCUUUUGUUUCACAAUCUUCGGUUCACAUUUGGUUGGGAAUUCCAUGGGUUUAAAAUUCUUUGAAUUCAUUUUGUUCUUUGAAGUUAUUUUUUUUUUUCCAAAAAAAAAAAAAAAGAAGAAGCUACUGUUCCAAUACUGUUCCAGAAACUAAAAAAAAAGGUGGAAAAAAAUUGUUCACGGUACUAUUAAAAAAAAAUUCUAUUAUUUUUUUUAUUGUUCAAUUUACUACCAACAAUCUUUAUUUGGUCGAGUCACAUUAGUUUCUUUCAUUCAAUCAAAGUCGGGUCAAUUUUAUUAAAAAUUCUUUGAGUCCUUUUGUUUCACAAUCUUCGGUUCACAUUUGGUUGGGAAUUCCAUGGGUUUAAAAUUCUUUGAAUUCAUUUUGUUCUUUGAAGCGCUUGGAAGAAAGCAUUGAGUGGUAAAAGGCAUAGUAGUGAGACUAACAGAGAAAAAAAGCCAUAUUGUGUGAUUUCCAAGUGAAUACUGAUGAGGCUGAUAAAAUCUCUAGUUUUAGGAUGUUUGAACUGCAACGGAUGAUUUUAUACAGCAAUUUGAAAGUACGUUUGGGGAUGUGAGAGAUAGGUUGGAUACACAAGAAGUUUGGAGGAUAAAACAGGAAGCUUGGAUGACAAGGUUAGAUAUCUCGGUGGCUAACCUUAGUAGGGAACAACUAGUAGAGGUGUCGAAUGCUUGGGGAUUGGGUAAGCGAUAACCUAGGAAGGUAAGGGUUGAGGAAUAUGAUAAUGAUCUGGAUGAGUAUGAGGCUAAUGACGUUGAUUUCAACUGCCUCAAUGCCCAAUAUGCUUUGUGCUCAAACUCCAUUGGUAGGUGCUAUACUUUUCCAAAGACUAGUCGGUAUGUUGACAUCCAAUUGGCGUCUUGUACACGGUGCGAUAGGCCCACAAGGCAUCAUCCAAUUUUUUGGACCAAUCUUUUUUAGAUGAAUUCAUUGUGAGCUCCAAAAUUCUUUUCAAUUGUCGAUUAGAAGUUUCAACCUGUCCACUUGUUUGAGGAUGAUAUGGUAUGGCUAUUCGAUGUUGUACCCCCUAUUUAUACAGUACUACCUGGAAUAAUCAAUUGCGAAAGUAAGUUCUACCAUCACUUAUAAUGGCCUUUGGUGAUCCAUAGCAGUUUUGCAUCAUUUGUAAGCAAUACUUUGGCUUCCAUCCAUUUGGAGACGUAGUCCACUACUACUAAGAUAUACUAGUUGUCGUAAGAAGAUGGAAAAGAUCCCAUAAAAUCAACCCUUCAGAAAUCAAAUAUUUCCACCUCCAGAAUGUUUUUAAGUGGCAUCUCAUAACAGGUUGAUAAGUUACCUAUUCUUAGAUACUUAUUACAUGAUCUGUAGAAAAACUGUGGCAAUCCUUAAACAGUAUUGGCCAAAAGAACUAGCACUGAAGCACCUUUGCUAUUGUUUGGUGGGGCCAAAAAGUCCUCCAUAUGCUAAAGCAUGAAACAUUGAAAGGAUAGGUUUCAUCUCAUUCUCUGGUAUACAUCUUUUGAUAAUUUGGUCCGCAUCUCUUCUGUAUAAGUUUAUGGCAUCCCAAUAAUAGAAUUUGGCUUCAUUUAGCAGCUUUUUCUUCUGAUGGUAGGUGAGGUCUAGAUCCAUAUAGCCAUUAGCUAAGUAAUUGACAAUGGCUACAUACCAUGGUGCUUUAUCCACUUGCAAUAACUGUUUGUUUGGAAAUAUCUCAUUGAUGAUCAUCUCAUCUAACUUUUGUGAUUGCUCUAACUUCGUUAAGCGAUCUGCUACCUGAUUUUUUGUUUACUUCUUAUCACAAAUCUCGAUAUCAAACUCUUGCAGUAACAUAACCUAUCGAAUCAACCUAGGUUUCACAUCAUUCUUCUCAAACAAAUGCUUCAAAGCAACAUGGUCUUUAUAAAUUAUCACAUUUGAACCAAUCGAAUAAGAACAAAUUUGUCAAACGCAAAAACCACUGCUAGCAUUUCCUUUUCAGUUGUUGCAUAGUUGAUCUAAGCAUCUGUCAAUAUUUUGCUGGCAUAGUAGAUAGCAUACAAUACUUUUCCCUUACGUUGCUCUAGCACUGCCCCACUGCAAAAUCACUCGCAUCACACAUGAGCUCGAAAGGUAAUUCCUAAUCUGGUGCCACUAUUAUAGGUACUUAUGUCAAUUUUUCCUUCAAAGUGUUAAAAGCUUUUAAACACUCAUUAGAAAAAAUCAAAUGGCACAUCCUUCUACUGCAGGUUGCACAGCAAUUUUGUAAUCUUUGAAAACUCUUGAAUAAAUGUUUUGUAAAAUCCUGCAUGCUUCUAAUGCCCUUUACUGAAUUAGGUGGCUGUAAUUUCUUAAUCACAUGUAUCCUAGCUUUGUCCACCUCAAUAUCAUCUACAGAAAUUCUAUGUCCUAAUACUAUUGCCUCUUUUAACAUGAAAUGACAUUUUUCCCAAUUUAGCAUCAGGUUUUUCUCUUCACACCUUUGCAUCACGAGAGCUAGCCAAUCCAAAUAGUCAUUGAAGAAAUCUCCAAAUACUGAAAAAUCAUCCAUGAAUACCUCGAUAUACUUUUCCACCAUGUCAGAAAAUAUGAUCAUCAUGCACCGUUAAAAGGCUGCAGGUGCGUUGCAUAAACUAAACUGCAUCAUUCAAAAUCUCAAAGUGUUGUAGGGGCAUGUGAAGGUUGUUUUCUCUUGGUCUUUUGAAGCAAUAACUAUCUGAUUGUACCCUGAAUACCCGUCCACAAAGUAGUAAUGAGAAUGACCUGCCAACCUCUCCAACAUGUGAUCAAUGAAAGUCAAUGAAAAAUGUUCCUUUUUGUUGGCAUUGUUUAGCUUCAUAUAAUCUAUACACACUCUUUACCCUAUCACUAAUCGUGUUGGUAUCAGCUUGUUGUUCUCAUUUUUCUCCAUUGUGAUUCUACUAUUUUUAGGGUAAAUUAUUCAUGCAUCCAGCAAUUCAGCACUUCUUUUCUCACCACUUCUUUCAAGGUUGGAUUUAAUCUGUGCUGUCCUUCCACCGAUAGUUUAGACUUGUCCUCCAUUAAAAUUUUGUGCAUGCAAAGAGUCGGAGUGAUUCUUCUGAUGUUAGCUUUUGUUCAUCCAAUUUCCAUUUUAUGCUUUAUGAGUACCUCCAAUAACUUAUUCUCUUCUUUCUUUGUCAUAUCAUUUGCUAUAAUUACAGAAAGUGUUGUAGAGUCUCUCAAAUAUGCAUAACGGAGAUGUGAUGGCAAUGGGUUUAAUUCAAAAGUGGGAGCCUUUUUUACCGAAGGUGCCAGUGAUGAAGGAUUGUCACCAAGAGACUCAUAUUACUAAUGUCUCAUUCCUAUUAGUUGUUUGGCCAAGUUUACAUCACAGUUAGUUCUUUCUGUACUUGCUGCCUCCGAUUGUGCAAUAUCUUCUUCACAUAGAAUUGUUUGAUGUUAGUCUCAAAUGUAUGUACCACAAUCUCUUCAAGAACAUCCACUUGGAAACAGGUGUCUGAGAGUAAUGGAUGUUUCAUCGCCUUGAGCACGUUGAAGGUGACUUGCUCAUUGUCCACUUGAAGAAUUAUCUUUCCAUUAUAAACAUCUAUCAACGCUCUUUUGGUAUCCAAGAGGGGACUUCCCAAGAUCAGAGAGAUGUUUGAGUGCUCCUCCGUACCCAAAAUGAUGAAGUCAGUUGGAAAAUGAAUUUUUAUCAACUUUGACAAGCGAAUCUUCAAUAAUCCCAUGCGAUCGUUUGAUUGAUCUGUCAGCUAGUUGCAAAGAGAUUGUUGUAGGUUCUACUUCUCCCAAUCCAAGAGACCUGUAAACAAAGAGAGGCAUCAAAUUAAAAUUCGCACCUAAUCACAUAAAAAAUGCUCAAAAUAUUUAGAACCAAUGGUACAAAGUAUUGUGAAACUCCCUGGGUCCUUUAACCUAGGAGGUAGCUUUUUCAAGAGAAUUUCACUGUACUCCUUAUUUUGGCAUAUAGUCUCACGUUUUUCCAAUUUCCAUUUGUUAGACAGGAUCUCCUUCAAAAAUUUUGCAUACAUGGACAUUUGGGUUAUUGAAUCUACAAACGGGAUAUUUAUGUGCAGGUUCUUGAAUAUUUCCACAAAUUUAGCAAAUUGCUUGUCUAACUUCUUUCUCUGUAGCCUUUGUGGAAAGAAAAUUGGAGGUACGUAAGCUUUCAUGGGGCUUGGUACUCUCACUAUGGAUGUUUCUUUCUAUUCUUUCUCCUCAUUAGUGUUUGGUACAUACUCUUUUUCUUUAUCGACUUCUUCAACCAUUAUCUUUCUGUCUUUUCUUUCUGAUCUCUUUCCAUGUAUCUCUAGAAGUUGUACUCCACUUUUUGUUGUAAUAACUUGCACUUGCUCUUUUGGCUUGACCACUGUGUUGCCUGGUAAUGUUCCUUGUGGGCGUUCUGCAAGUUGUUGAGUUAUCUGAUCAAUUUGUAUUUUCAGAUUCUUAAUGGAUGAUUGUUGAUUCUGAAAGUUAGUGUUAAUUUGCUGGAACACCUUGAUUGUCUUCUGCAUAUACUAGUUGAAUAGUUUCCUAAACUUGAUUUUUUUCUCAUGUUGGGCAUUGUUUGAAUUGUUUCCUUGUUGAUUAUCGGACAUUCUGAAGUUUGGGUGUUAUCGCCAUCCUGGGUUGUAUGUUUGAGCAAAUGGAUUAAAAUUACGAGAGCCAUUCUAAAUGAAGUUAACUUGUUUCUCUAGAAAGCUCAUAGAUGUGCAAUUUUCUGUCAGAUGAUUAGCCCAACAGUUUUUGUGUGAUGGCCCUACCAUCACUGCAUGUGCUCAUUUUGUUUGUGACUUCACCAAUAACUCUACUUAUUUUGUCAAUGUUGUGAUCUACGCAUUGGUGGAUGCUGUGCUGUCUACUUCAUACAUUCCCCUUACAUUUGGUGGUACCAUUCUUUCUGAUGAGAACAUUGAAUACGUGGCGACAAUCAACUCAAACAAGUCCAUGGUUUGUUGAACUGAUUUUCCUAUAAUUGACCCACCAGCAGAGGCAUCUGCUUGAGAUUUUGACAGUGGUGUAAGUUCGGUGUAGAAGUACUACACCUGAUCGCCUGUAGUAGUCCCAUGGUUUGGAUAAUUUCUCAUCAGCUCAUUAAAUCUAUUCUAUGCCUAGUGGUAGCUUUCUCCCUCUUUCUGUUGAAAUGUUUGAAUCUCCAAUAUGAUUUUAGCUACUCUUCCCGGUGGGAAGAAUUUGUUGCAAUACUCCAAUGUAGCAUGAGGCUCAGCAUCCAACACUGGUCAGUUUUCUGGUCAGUUUUUCCAUGUAGUAAUACUCCCAUGAGGCUCAGCAUCCAACACUCCAAUGUAGCAUCUCUAAGUGUAAAUGGGAAUAAUCACAAUUUAAUAGCAUCUUUAUUAACUCUCGAAGCAUGGAAGUUCUGACAGUUCCUAGGAAAUCUGGAGAUAUGGGUGUUUCAUAAGGUAACCCGUAGAAUUGGAGAGUGUUGCUCAUCAAGUUAAUCCAAUUGGCCUGAUCUGAAAAUUAUUCAUCCUAAAAUCUGGAUACACAAUACUGGAGCACGUGGGUGUUGCUAUAGGUGUCAGGAACAUUGCGACUGGCAAAUCUCCUUCAUUUAUUUCUUCUCACUCAUGUUGCUAUUCCUGUUGUGUUGCUAUUCUUGCGGCCACUUGUCUAAUUGGCUGAAUAGGAAUAGGAAUAUGUUGAUCAUUAGCCAUUUGAUGUCGCUAUUUUUGUUUGUGGUCUUUGCGUUUUCAUUUGAAAGUACAUUUUAUCUUCGAAUCUAACGGUUCAAGAUUGUCGUUUUUGGCACAUACAUGCAACGAACACAAUUUUCUGUAAAUAAAAGAAAAUAAAAAAAUAAAUAACAAUAAAAAAAUAAAAUAAAUUAAGAUUAAAAGUAAUAGUUCUUGGUAAUGGUGCCAAAAACUUAUUAUCGAUUUUAUUUCUGCAAGUGUACGGACUGUAAAAAGUGGACCUAAGAGUCCGGAUUGUCGAUCCCUCGAGGACUAUACUGUAGCACUUAAUUCAAUUUUUCUUUAACCUCUAUUUGAUUAAAACAAAUAAAGAUUUUUAUAUUUGAGUUUUAAUCUAAAUACUAGAAAAUAAAUAGAUGCAUGAACGAUUGGUUUAAAAAUCAAAUAAUGAAUGGAUGUUAGGGCAGAAUAAUUUCACCUAUUGAUCAUCUUUACAUCAUAAAUUAAGACUUGUAGAAAAUAGGGUUUUCGUCUGGACUCCAAAAAAGGCAAAAAUUGCGCCAUAUUCUUUUUGUAGGCCGUGCCGUGGCACCUGGGAUGCGGCACAGUAGCACUGCAUCGAAUUCGGGUGAUACCAACUCACUUAUGCUCCUUCGCGCUGCAGCGCCGUGAACCUGGUGCUGAGGCUCAGUUGUUUUGGACAUCUCAGUGCCCUAAAUGUGGCACCAUAGUGCAAACACUCUGUUCCUCUUUUAUAUUUUGGGCAUCUUGGUGCCACUAUUUCGUUGCCGAGGCGCUACUCAUCCAACAUUUGUGCUUUUCCUCUUUUGCCCUUAUAUUACUAAUUUCUUGUCGAUCAUGCCACUAACUUUAUUUGAUGAACUUUGUCGCGUGUUUCAUCAUCUCAACAAUCCUACAAAACAACAUUCACAACACGUCAAAACAUUCAAUGCUUGAAAAAUCUAGCUUACAAUCUAUUGAUAAAUAUUUCAUUAAUGAAAUGAUAUGAUAAAAUAUGACAUGUAUGGCCACCGGUACAAAUGAUAUGAUAUGAUAUGAGCUCUUACCGGUUUAAAGAUAUGAUAUGACGGUACCAUUUAUUUUGAUAUAUGAAUGAUAAAUGUUAUUCGGGAUUGUACAAAUAUUUGUAUCCUACUGAGUAUUCCCCAUACUCACCCUUUUUUCCGUACCUUACACGUUAGUAUGGGUCGUGUCGGAGUGCGGCGGUUCAAUGGUGUGUUUGUGCCUCAUUUAUGGAACAAAACUCUAAAAUCUAGCACGUAACUUUGUUUAUUUUAUUUUAGUUGUCAUGGACUUUUGUUUACAAUUAAAUUAUCGUGAAUAUUUAUUUUUAUAUGGACAUGUUUAAAUGGGCACUUUUAAUUAGAUGUUGUAAUUAAAUUGUUUGAUUUCUCUUUAGCACUAUUUUACAUUGUUGAUAACAAAAUUUUAUAUGCCAUUAAUUAUGUAGGACAGAAACGUAACUUAUGCAUGUAACAUUUAUUGCGAGAAUGUGGUGAAAUUGGCCAUAUACUAUAUUCCCAAAGCCUCUACUGUCCCUGCAAUAAUGGUCUAAUUCAUCAUGCAAGUGAUCCAACAUUUUCUAUGAAUAUAUAUGAUUAUGCCAUCUACGUUUCGCAUUAAUUUUCAUGAUUAAGGAAUAAUUAGUCAUAUUAUAACGGCAAAUUCGUCCCCUUCUUAUCAAAUAAAUUGUGCACAUUAGUUUUCACGUUUCUGCAUGGUUAUAUGGAGUAAUUUAGCACUAAAGUUGAACUACAUACAAUCUAGAUAUUAUACGGUAAUUAUACUUUAAUUAAGGGAUAACAUUAUUAUAGACCCAUUUUUUUAAAAGAAACGUUUGGUAGCGACUUAAAUUUUAUGAAAAGAUUUGGGACGCUACAUAUGUGGCAGCCAUUUUUAACCCUUUUGAAUUAAAAAAAAAAUUAACCUAAAUGAAAAAUUUAUUAAUAACAACUUUUUUAAAGUGCAAUAACUUAGAUUUCGUUUAUCCGAAUCAAAUUUUUCUUGAGCCUAAUAGGUGUAAUUAAUUAUGAGCUUUCCAUGAGCCCAAUGUUGAUAUACUUAUAUUAGUCCUACCAAAAUUUAAUUAUUUGACCCAAAAAAAUAUGAAUUUAAAGCACAUUUCAUUUCAUUCCUCAGUUUUUCAAAAUAUAAAAACAAAUACAUUUUCAUUCUAAAAUUUUCGGGACGUUACCAUAUGUGUUCACCAUUGAAAGAUGCGUCAUUAGUUGAAAGGCUACUUUAUAAAAUAUAGUAGCAUUGUUUGAACAAAGACAGAGCACAGGACUAUUACAGAAGCAUGUAUGUAGGCUAUGUGGUUGAGGGCUUUGAUUGGUAAAAUUAGUAAAGACUUACAAAUUUGUACUGCCUAUUGUCAUAGUCAAGAUGUUAUCUUUUUGACAAAGGAUUAGAUGUUUCACAGGAGGACAAAGUACAUUGAUAUGAGGUAUCACUUUGUGCGUAAAGUAAUUGCUUAUAGAGAUAUUAUAGUAAGCAAUUUUAAUACCAAGGAGAAUCUCGCUGAUAUAAUGACAAAACAACUUCUUAUUGCUAAGUUUGAGCACUAUUUGAACUUAGUUGGUAUUUGUUAUUGAUUUAGCCCUCGGGCCUUCUUGGGAAGAGGUGGAGUAGUUGUUUGGUAAUUUAUGGAAGAGAGUGGUACAGUUCUUUGCAUUAGAGUUUGGUCCAAGGUAGAGAAUUAUUGAAGUGUGACCCAAAUUCUACUAGGUAUUGGUAUUUUGGUUGAAGAAGACUUCAAGAUGUCAAAUUAUGGACCAAGGAAAAAGUCUCAGCGUAUUCUCACUCGCUAAGCAACUGUCUUCACCUCGAGCACUCAAAACAGAAGAGCUAGUACUCGCUUGGUGCCAACUUACUUCUCAAGUGAUGGGUCAUUUAGGCCAAGGCCUAUUUCAUCUUUUAAUGCGAUUUAUAGAAUUUUAAUCAUUCUAUAACUCUAUUUUUAGGGUUUAUAUGAAGCACUCACAGCUUGUAAACCUAACACAACAUUGUUAUAAUCUUAAGAGAGCUUUAGAUAUUGAUUGAGAGCAUUGAGAUCUAGUGUAAACAAUGUUCAUUAUUGACUAUAAUGAAAUACUCCUCCUCUACUGUGGUUUUUUUUGAGUCUUGGAUUUCCAUAUAAAAUAUUGGUGUUCUUGUCUUGAUUUAUUUCAUUAUUGCCUUUUAUCUUGCGCUUAUUUCGUAAUAGAAUACUAUAAAAAACUGAUCUAAAUAUUGUUGAAAAUCCUAUCUUGAAUGUUUUCAUUAGAAUGUCACAUUACUUAAUCUUGAUAAUAUCCUAACCUUAUGUCAAUCUUGGAAAAUAUCAUAGCUUCCUUCAAUUGAUCGAACAAAUCUUCAAUUCUUGAAAGACGAUACUUGUUUUUGAUGGUCAAAUGAUUUAACUCCGAAUAAUCUAUGUACAUCCUCAUUGAUCUUUCUUUUUUCUUCACAAAAAUUAUUGGAGCACCCCAUAGAGAAAUGCUUGGUUGGAUAAAACCCAUAUCCAACAACUCUUCCAGUUAUAGUUUCAACUUUUGCAAUUCUCUUCGCGCCAUUCUAUAAAGAGUCUUGGAUACUGGGCUUGCUCCUAGUACUCAAUCAAUUGGAAAUCUAAUUCCGAAAACUCUUGCUUGUUGACUAAUUAUAGGUCCCGUUUAUCCAACUAGACUCAUAAAGUUACAAUUACGAAGUGGUCUCACCAUUAAAAAAUGUCCUAAAAGUCCAUAUUUAAAUCCAAAGUUUCUGCUUCAAUUUGUAAAAAGAUUUUAAAGUGAAUCUCCCUUGAAGGAAAGAUAAUGGGUUUGAAUUCUGGGGGCUCAACAGAAAUCCACAAGGGGUAAGAUUGGCUAGGUUCUUCCAAAGUGGAAAGUACAUAUGAUGUAAAGACUUGAGCACAAAUGCUUGUGUCAUUACAAAAAAGCACGUUUUUUGUAAUGACUCAACCUCUAUGUUCAAGUAUUGGUACCAGGAUUCAACUUAAGUCACUAUUAAGAGAAAGGUCAUAGGUUCGAAUCCUAAGACACUAUAGAAGGUUAUGAGAGGUAAGAUGGAUUUAAACUCUCCAAAAGUGAAUAGUAUGCGAAAGGAUGAAUGACUUCUGCUAUAGCAGUAGUGGAUCACUUCACGAAAUGAGCAAAAGUCGAAUCCUUAGCAAAAAUUAUAGAGCAAAAGAUCACUGAGUUCAUCUGAAACUCUAUCAUUUGUAGGUUUGGUAUACCCCAUUUGAUCAUCACAUACAACAAUAAACAAUUCAAUAAUUCAAGGAAUAGGUCUUUUUGUAAUGAGUUAAAAAUAAGAAAAUACUUCUCGACCUUAACCAUCCCCCGGCCAAUGGUCAAGUAAAGCAGUCAACAAAAUAAUUAAGCAUAUUUUGAAAGUUAGUCUAGACGAAUUAAAAGGAGCAUGGGCACCAAAUAAACUUGGUUCAUAAAUGCUAUUCCCCUUGGCUUUUGGAGUGGAUACAAAGAUCUCCAUCGAGAUAGAGGCCCCUUCAUUUCGAACUAUGUACCACAUCAAAGAAUGGAGACACGAGGCUUUACGAGUAGGAUUGGAUCUGCCUGAAGAAAGGAAGAAUAACGUCGACCUAAACACUAUUAUAUACAACCAAAAAAAUGCCAGAUAUUACAACCAGAAAGUACACCAAGGAGAAUUUGAAGUUGAUGAACUUAUGUUAAGACACGUGCUCCUUACCACUAGACGACCCAACUCUCGGUCAUUAGGCCAAAAUAGGGAAUGCACAUAUAAAAUAACCAAAAUCCUCACAAAAGCUCGCACAAGCUUGUAGACAUGCAAGGUAGGCUACUCAUACAUCCAAGGAAUGGGAAAUAUCUUAAAAAAUAUUAUUAGUAGAUAUCAUGACAAUGAUCAUGCAUGAUAACUAUAUUGUCUCCCUUUUAAUGAAAUAUCAAAAUCCUGAUAACAAUUAGCUAAAAUUUGGAAAGGAAUUCAAAAAAUUAAACAAAGAUUUCCUGAUAAGGACUACUCACAAGUAGCUAGCCACAGUUUAGAAAAGGAAUUCCAAAAUAAGAACUAUUCCAAAGUAGUCCAGAGCUGAUGUCUAUGUACUGCAACAUUUGGCUGGUUUUUCAAAGGAAAUUCAAAAGGGACCGUGAGUUUAACAUAUUAACUACAUAGAUCAAAACAGAAAAAAAAUAGAGUAAGAGCUAGUCAUAAUCAACAAAAGGCAAAAGUAACUCAAGGAAAAUGAAAAUAACUUCAUUUCAUUAAAAAGAUAAUAAAGAAAUAAAUCAUAAAUAAAUAAAAUAAAGGGUAUAAUGAAAAUACAACAAUACUAGGUAAGUGGAAGAUCUCCUUGAGUAAGAACAACGAUAUUGGGGUAAGGUUCGAUGUUUGAAGUAGGCUCAUCAGAGGUCUCAGUUGACAUUUGGGCCAAAAUUUUCUUCUAGUCAGCUAAUGCUUCAAGGAGGAAACCAACGUCAAAACCCUGAUCUCAUCUUCUCUAUAUGUUUGAACAUCUUGACCAGCUCAAUUACAUAGGCAUCUUAGGCUAAAUCAUCAAAUAUUGUAGACUUCUUUCCACUCUUUGACCGUCGUGUCAGCUGACCACCUUUUUAUCAGCUCAUUUUUGUCUCCGAAGCCUUCUUUUUCUCUAAUUUGGCAUGGUCAUUGUCCCUCUCUCCUAGAUCUUUAUAGCCUCAAGUUUUAGCUUGAGGUCUACUUUAGAACGUUCCUUGCUAGCCAAGGUAUUUUCCAACUCCUUCAUUCUCUUAAACCGCAUCUCACUUUUGUUCGUAUGAUUAGCUUGCUUAGCUUUAAUAGCUAGCUAUGUGGCACCAUCUCCAAUUCCAAUUUUAGCUGCAACAAGGAUUGAAACGGUAAAAAAAGAUAUGAAGGUAAGGAAUGGUUGAGUAAAGAAAGAAUACCUUAUCGAAAAAUCUCAUCAUAUAUAGAAUGGAUCUAUGAUUCAGCACCCUCAGCAUUAAUGCAAGCUUAGCGAGGACUCAUCUGGUCUAAGAAAGAUUGCUUAUUCCCAUCCAGCACUUCAUCUUCAUCACUAAGAUGGUAGAAUUACUCUAUAGAAGUGGAAGAAAUUUUUUAUUUUACCUCUUGAAGAUAGGGUUGUAAAAUGAUAAAGGUGAAAGAAAAGUUGAAUUUUGCCUUUUUAACGGGUAAGUCAUGGUUAACAAAUUAUUCUUUGCUGCUAAGAAGAGAAUUCGAGCAAGUAAAUCUACGAAGUCAAGUAAGGAAAGAAAGCCUAUUGGUUGAUCAAGUUCAAGUUUGAUUUUUCAACUUCUAAAGGAGGAAUUGAAGUUGUAUUUCUCAAAUGACAAACCGCAUUACAAAAUCUAUAAAUAGGCGUUAGGAUAUGUGCAUUCAAUGAGUGUGUGUGCUAAAAACAAUUGAGCACUAAGUGAAGACUUGAGAAAGAUAGAGUUUAUUAUUGAGAGAGAUUGAGAAUUUCAAAUACAUUGUAACUCCUCUCUGAAACUCGUCUUGUAAUCCUUUGCUUUUGUUUUAUAGUAAAGCCACAUUAUUUCUUGAGUGAAAUCUUUGUCCAAGUUUUACUUUAUCUUGGGCAAUCUUCCUUAAAAAUUAGUGUUAGAGCACUAGGUUAUAGCAAAAUUAGUGAAGCCUGUGAAGCUAUCAAUGGCAGUUGUGUUCAAUAGUAGCUGAAUUGUAAUAAUAUCAACGAUGGCAGAAAACAGAAAGUUAAGAUAAAAAAAAAAAUUCAAUAGAUCGAACCUCAGAUUGUGAGUGAUGCAGAUAGCAGAUUAUCUCUACUAAAAAGAUCUUUACCUUUCUUUUGAAAAAAGCAUAAAUAUUAGAAAUGUCAGAAAUGACAUUUGUUGGGAGCUUUAUCAUAAAUGUAUGAAAAGUGCUUGCAACAUAUAAAGUCCAUCUUAUCAAGAAACUGUUCAACUAGUAGAUGUCCGUAGGAGAAGUUGCAAUAGAGCAUAUCAAUGAUUUUAUUGCACUUAUAAGUCAAUUAGAAUUAGUUGAUAUCUCAUUUGACGAUGAGGUCAAAGCAUUGGCACUGUUAUCAAGUUUUCCAGAGAGCUAGGAUCCUUUGAUUGUAGUAGCAAGCAAUUCCAAUGGGUCGGAAAAGUUGAAACCAGAUCAUGCUGUAGAUUUGGUUCUUAGUGAGGAUACACGCAUAAAAGAUGGUAGAGAAACCUUGGGUUUAGUGUUAGUGACUAACGAUAGAGGUAGAAAGCCAAACACAUGUGGCAACCACAAGCAAAACACAAGUUGGUUGAGAAAUGGUUGAUUACCAUCUCAACCAAAAUUCAAAGGCAAAUGUUGGAAUUGUGAAAUAUCUGGUCAUAUAAAAUAAGAUUACAGAGCAAUAAAGAAGCAAAAAACAACAAGGGAGACAAAAACUUUGUUAAUGUUUUGGAUCUUGAAAAUUCUGAUGCAUUGUUGUUAGUUGUGGAUGCUCAUGGAGAAACAUGGGUAAUUUAAUUCGGCUGUGCCGUUUCAUGCUAUUUCAUGCAAGGAGCUGCUCUAGGCAACCUCGUAAAAUGUAUCUUGGAAAUGAUGAGAUUUGCAACAUAGUUGACAAAGCUGAUGUUUAGAUAUUUCAGCUUAAUGGAACCAUUCUAAGAAUCAAAGAUGUCAGACUUCAACAUAUACUCAUCAUAAAUGAAAUGGAAAGCUUCAUUUCAUUAAUAUAAUUUUAAUCAUUUUAAAGGAGUACUUCAUGAAAUUAAAAAGAAAGCAACUAAAUAAAGUAACUAUCUCUAACUUUGAUCAACCCUAAACUCUACUAGCUCCAUCGCUGUCCUCAUCUUGAGAUUGUAAAUCUUCAACCAUUAUGAAAAAUCACUAUCGUCGUUCAAAUGAUGGUGUCUAACUUGUGCUUUCCACAUUUAGCUCGACCUCUUUAUGAAUACUUGAAUUGGAACCUUUUCUAUACCCCUGUGGAAGCCCUAGAUCUCAUCUCUAGGUUAGUUGCAAUUCUAGCCUCGUAAAAGGCAAUGUCAAAAUAAGGUGAUCAACUCUCUUAUGUUGACUGAUUAAGUACAUCCAACCUCAACCCAUAAUAUAUGAUCUUUAUGAAUGUGCUGGCCAAGGUAGUGCGAAGUGUUUUUUAAGUAGCGUGAGUAUUCUCGAAUAAAUAUUUUCCUAUGACUUGGGUUACUGACAUAUCCCAUCACCUUUGUAGCAAAUCUUAACAUCCUAAUCAUCUGUAAUAUGAAGCCCACCAAAUCAUGUUCAUUUCAUUUGGUUUAGUUCGAUUUUUUUUCAAGCUCUUUGCACUAAAACAUACUUUAAUUCUUCUCUUGAAGUAAGGGACAUUUACAUGUGAAGAAAAUUUCAAGCAUGCUUGCGAACUCUGAUGACAUUUCAUGCUUCAAAUUUAAAUAGGAUAGUCGUAUUCAUUACAGGUGUAACACAGGAAAACCAUGGUCGAGCAGCCACCUUCCAACCCUCUAAACUCCGGCCAACCUCCCCUAAAACUACCGGAUUUACAUACCAUUGUGAAGCCCUCAAUUCCUUCUUCAACUACCAUACAAACGCCAACCCAAAACUCAACCAAAAUCGAUAAAAAAUUUGCCUCAAAACUAGAUCUGCCACAAACUGCUUCGGUCGACACUUCCACCUCCGACGACACCCUCGGUCGUGCACUGCCACUGGUCGACUAUCCACCCUGAAAUGACUCCCGCCAUGGUUCCAAUUUAACCAAAAUAACACUCCAUAAUUCUGAUUUGAUCUAUGAAAUCCCGCCAGCCGCGAAGUCUGCCCCAACAGGCGCCAAAAAUUGGAAAAUCUGACGCCGUCUAGUUGAACCAAUGUGGCUAACCAACUGGGCUGUCCUCCUCUCCCUAUGGCAUACCUUGCCCAACCAUGGGUCAAGGCCAAUUUCAACCAAAUGUCGUUGAAUUCAUGGAUGAAUUUAGGGCUCUAAGCGAAAAAUUUGGGACAAAAGAAUUUGAUGAAUCAAUGUUGCUUCAAAUAAUAAAUUCGGGAUGCAGAACUUCAAUUCAAGAUGGAGAAACUAUGGGUCAACAAUAAAUUGUGCUAAUUAAGAACAACAAAAUUGAUUUGAAUCCCUUAACAGCUCAUGCGCAUGAAACUAUUUUGUGUGAUCCGAUUGAUGUUGUUUCUGAGGUUAUUGCUCCAAUACUUACCUACAAAUGAGGGUCACAAGAUCAUGGGUAACCUGACAAUUGAUAUGAGUGAUGACCAAUUGAAUCCUAAUUUGAUCUCCCAAGUUAAGAUAGUUGAGCCCUCUUCAAAUCCAAAUACCAUUGAUUUGGUUGCUACCCAUGACAAGGUACCACAACAAAUGAAUUCUACUAAUUCUAAUGCACCUUCGGUGCCCAUGCCUUAUAUCAAUAGCUUGGCAAACCAGACAGCCAGUUUUCAGCCAUCUUCAUGGAUUAAAAUCAGAGCAGAUUUUACAGCCUCACUUCAUUCAAACGCAUCUGAAAAUUGCCCUCAGUAGGCCCAAAAUAUUGGGACCCAUCCUAGUCAAUGCUCUUCCGGUGCUUCGAGCACUACUCAGGGUUCUCGCUCUUAUGUUGUAGGUGUCAAUAACAGACCAACUAUUACUCAAGUAGAAAGGAGUAGAGAAAAUAUUUUGCUAAUGUACUUCAUGCUUCCCAAGAAUCUAGAGAUCAUAGCUUGAUUUCCAAGGAACCAUACAUCCAUCAUAGAGAGCUUGCUAUAUUCUUUGAUGAGUAAGAGGAACAAUUUUUGGCAGAGGCCUACAGGUUUAUGCUUGUAGGUAAAUUUGUGCAUUGCAAACCUUCUACGAUCAAGGUACGUGAGAAUUUUAUACGCUUUGGUUUCACUGGUAAUUAUGAGAUUGGACACUCGAGCCGAGCCCGAGCCCAAAAUUUCGGCUCGCGAGCCGGCUCGGCUCGGCUCGUUUACAUCCCUAUAUACACAUUAUUAUUCACAUGGCAUAUGAGGAUGAUUAUUCACGAUUGUUUCUGAAACCUGCUUGAUAUAUUGAUGGAUGUCCUAUCCGGGUCUUUAAGUAGACCCCUGUUUUAACCUACGACAUGAGGUUCCUAUUACUUCUGUCUAGGUUUCAUUUCCUUUAUUGCCUAUUCAUUUUCGAGUCAAGAGUGCACUUUUUGCUAUAACUAAGUCAAUUGGGCCCCCUCUUUGUAUUGACGAAGCAACUUUUGACCUUGGAAGACGUAGUGAGGCACGACUAUGUAUUAAGGUAGAUUUGGAAUGUAAACUUCCCAAUAGAGUAUGGUUAGAGAGGGAGAAAAGGGAAGGAUAUUGGUAGCCUAUUAUAUAUGAAAAGGUUCAUAUCUUUUGCUUUCAAUGUAAGCACUUUGGACAUUCGAAUGAGAGUUGUUCUAGUGGUUCACAUCCUAUACCUCAUGCUGUGGGCACAAUUGUCAGUGAAUCGAAUACUAGGCCUAUUCCAGUUAUGGCCAAGGAUAAAGGUAAGGUGAAGGACGUUGGAAUUGGGCCUCGUCAGAGAUGGACUCCGAUUAAGAGGAAUCAGAAAAGUCAAGAAAGUACAUUAGACGUUAUCCCUCAUCCCAACCAGAAGAAUGCUCACUCUAUUGCUUCCAGUGUCCCUAUCACUAUAGUUAGUACAUCAUAGGCUAUGUCCACACAUAAGGCUCUUCUUUACUUUAUAGCUCUAUCAAUUAUUAGCUGAUGCAGGAGGAUCCGAGUCAAGUGAUGCUGAUUUGUCAGAUUGCACGAUGAUGGCGCUAAGAUACCAUGAGAUGGCGGAUCGGCGCAAAGAUGGAAAGUAAAUCACCAUUAUUUCCUUAAUUGGGAGAUUUUGACGCGUCUUUGGUAAUUUGGCCAUAACUUUGGCUACGAUUAUCGGAAUCGCUAUUAUGACCCCAAUUCGGAAAGCUCUCUUCGGCGCGCACGUCGUGACCACCGAGCUUUGCUCGGUGGAAGUCAAUUUCAAGCCCAAAAUCCACUGUUUUCCUUUUCAAAAUUCAAUUUUAAGUUAUUUUUUACUAUUUAUGGUAAUAUUUAGUUUCCUUUUUUCUAUAUGUUAGAAAACUCGAAUUAAGCCAAAUUUUUGGCAACUUACUUCUUUUACUUAAUAUUUUAUUUUGGUAUAAUUUCGGGAUUUUGCCAUUUUUGGUAAUUUUCCAAUAAUUUCGUAUUUCGCAGCUAUUUAACUCGGCUUGUGGGUUCGUUUUCAGCAUUCUGCGUUAUUAAUAAUAUUGAGUUGAAUUGAGAGUAUUUUCUCUUUUUUUUGGGCAUUUUCUAUCGUUCUUUUCUUGCGAAUCAUCUGCUACAACAAGCCAAUAGGAUAAUCAUUAUCCUAUCCGGCGUCAUUAGCACUACCGCUCUACAGAUUACUACUUCCCUACCAUUUGAACAAUUAACAGUUGCUCCCAUAAUACUUAGAGUUCUCUUGCUUUUACAUCAGUUAUUCAUUCUGGUAUUUAGACUUCGGUCCCCAUGAAUAGUGCUUCUAAGAAUGUGGGUUCUACUUACUUUGAUCCUAUCUUGGUGGAUAUGUUAGAGAGGCCACAAAGUUCUACUGGUUUAGAUGGCUCGUAAUCUCCACACAAGGUCAGUAGAAUUCAAAGGAUUUAUCUCAUAUUGAAGUCCAUUAGCAGGGUCCUUAUCGUAGAUCUUCUUUAAUGACUUGGCAGAUAUGGUUCAUAGGAUAGAGAGGGAUGGCUUUAUCCCAGUUGGUCGGAAGUGAGAUUCAAGAAUCACUAACAUUUCAAUUCCUAAGAUGGUGAUUAAGAGUCAGUCAUAGGAUACCUCUUCACGAACAUUUCGAUGAGAGCCAUCAUUUGGAAUGUAAGAGGUGUAGCUAGUAUAGCUGCUUGCAGACACCUGAAGAAACUUAUCCAACUUUAUCAAGUACAUAUUUUGAUCAUUUUAGAGCCUAUGGUCUUGGAGAGGAUUUUGAUUUUUUUCAUCACCAUUUGCACUUCAACUCCGGGGUUCAGAAUGAGUCGAAUAAGAUUUGGAUUUUCUGGAAUGUGGGUAAUACCAUUACUGUUAUUUAUGAUCAGAUUCAGUUAUUACACGUUAGAGUUGAGGAUUCCAGAUUAGCGCGACCUAUUUAUUAGACACUUGUAUAUACAUCUUGUAAGGCCUCUAUUAGGAGGGACUUGUGGGGGUCUUCACCAAAUUUCCCUCUCCAUAGAUGAUCCUUGGUUGAUUGGAGGAGACUUUAAUGUUAUUGCUCAUAAGGGUGAACGUACUGGUCAUAGUAGGCGAGAUUGGGGCUUUAAUUCCUUCUUUGAUAUGAUGUUGGACUGUGGAUUAGAGGAUGUAGGUUUUCUGGGUCUCAGUUUACUUUGACAAAUGGUAGGGUCAGUAAGAGAUUAGAUAGAGUUUUGAUAAACUCUACAGCUGCAGAUUUUUGUAAACAACUUAUUGUGACGUAUCUCAAUUGGACUUCAUCUGAUCAUUCACCGCUACUUCUACAUUGGCUUUCUGAUGAUGAUUUGGGACCUAGACCAUUUCCAUUCCUCAAUGUUUGGACCAAGCAUCAUGACUUCUUAGCUUUUAUUUCUCAGAAGGGGUUACUUUUUACUCAUCUUACAACGAUGGUUGCUUUUAGGUAAAAGAUUUUCAGGCUGAAACAAGGAUUAUGGUGGUGGAAUCGAUGAGUAUUUGGUAGUGUUUCAGUGAGUAAGGGAUGCUGAAGCUAGGAUCGACCAAGCAGGGAUAGAUUUUGAGGGGGACCCUACACCAAAACUCCGUGAUUUACUUCAUCAUACACAGGCUGAUUUGAAUCGGACUUUAGCUGUUGAGAACGGUUAUUGGAAGUAAAAGGCCUGUUCUCGUUGUGUGUGUGAGGGGGAUCACAACACCCAAUAUUUUCAUGCGAUGGUGCAAUGACGACGAAUUAGAUCUCGAAUCAGGACUAUCAUGACUCAGGGAGGGAAAAGCUUGGGGAUCUUUUUUUUAGGAUUUAUUAUCUGCUCCAUCACAUUCAUUGAAGCCCAUCCGUCUUGAUAUGGGAUACCCAAAAUAUUAAUAGAGGUAGAUAAUAAGAUACUGAACUACCUCCCUUUGAUUGAUGAAAUGCGGGAGGCAAUUUUUAGCAUUGAUGUUGAUAGUGCCGUUGGCCCAGAUGGAUUUUCAUCCUUGUUCUACCAGAACUGUUGGAAUAUUAUACACGAUGAUGUGUACAAUGCAGCUAUUGAAUUUUUUUGGGUGGCCACUUACCACGGAUUUUUUCUGCUACAUCUAUUGUUUUGCUCCCGAAGAGGGAUAAUGCUUGUCAAUGGAUAGAUUACUGACCUAUAAGCCUAUGCAUGGUGUUUAAAAAGCUUAUUAUAAAACUGUUAAACACUAGAUUGAGUUUAUUACUACCACAUAUUAUUUCUCCUUAACAGAGUGUUUUGUCCUUGGUCAUCUUAUUGGAGAUAAUGUAUUACUGAAUUAGGAGCUUCUACACACAUUGGAUAAUAGAGUACAUGGAGGAAAUACUAUGCUAAAGCUUGAUAUGGCUAAAUCAUAUGAUCGUAUGGAUUGGGAUUUUAUUUAUGCUAUUCUAGAAGCAUUUGGUUUUAAUCAGUUGUAGAUACACAGGAUCAAAUGGUGUAUCUUGGAAUGUCAUUUUUCAGUGCUUCACGUGGACUCAGGUAGGGAGACCCUAUCUCUCCCUCCUUAUUCAUUAUUGCUACGGAUUAUUUCUCUCGUCUGCUUACUCAAAGGUUUCAUGCAUACCCUAGUAUGCAAUAUCGCUACUGUGGUAAUACUCUUGUCUCUCAUCUUGCUUUUGCUGAUGAUAUAAUUAUAUUUGCCAAUGGUUAGAAAACGUCUAUUAGAAGGAUCAUCGACUAUUUGGAGUACUAUGAAUGGGUCUCUAGCCAAUUGGUAAAUAGAGAUAAGAGUGACCUUAUAUUGCCCAGAAGGGCAUUGAAUAUUCAGAUACGGAGACUAGUAAUAUUAAUAGAGUUUUCUCAUCAACAACUACCAUUCAUAUAUUUAGAAGUUCCUUUUGUUUAAAGGGGCUAAGAGAAGCAUUCUUUAUGAUGAUCUCAUCAUGAAGAUCAGGAGUAGGAUUUCAGGAUGGGAUUCAAGAAUACUUUCGUAUGGUGGUAGAAUCACUUUGCUAAGAUCAGUUCUAUCCUCCUUACCACUGUACCUUUUUCAGAUUCUGCGACCUCACAAAGUCGUACUGAAAAAGUUGGAGAGUAUAUUAGCUAGAUUUUUAUAGAAUUCUAAGGAUCAGGAACAGCGGUUACAUUGGUGGAGUUGGAAAGUGAUUUGCAUCACAAAUGACGAGGGUAGAUUGGGCUUUAGAAGACUACAAUAUACAGUAGACACAUUCUCCAUGAAGCUUUGGUGGCCAUUCAGGUCACAAAGUUUCCCUUGGACUCAAUUUUUUUUAGGCAAAUACUGUAAAUGGACACAUCCAUCACUUGCAGCUGUUCCUAAUUCAGCCUCUCAUGUACGGAAGAGAUUUGGACAACGCGCCGACCCACAUAUUGCAUGGCACCUUGGGAUAAGUUAGAUUUUUUGGCAUGAUUGUUGGAUGGGAGAUACUUCUUUGGCGUCCAUCUUCCCAAACAGGCAGCACACAUUUGUAAAGGUGCAGAAUUUCUUCAAUGACGAUGGAUGGGACUUUGAAUGAUUAUUACAGGCUAUUCUACCAAUUAUGGUAGAGCAGAUUGCAAACAUUCCAUUAUGUGUUGAUGCCCCAGAUCGCAUUUUUUGGAAAGCUAUAUCAGGUAGUAGAUUUACCACCAAAUCAGCAUGACAGUUGAUCCGUUCUAGCAGACCAAUGUAGGAUUCAUUUCACCUACUUUGGAGCCUUAUCAUACCUACCACAGUAUCGUUCUUCUGUUGGAGAUUAUGACAGAAUUCAGAAGAUGAUUGGUAGUCAGCUGGCUUCUCGGUGUCAAUGCUGUUCGGAGAUUGAGACCAUCACUCAUUACUGGUAGUGAUAUAUCAAAUAAAGUCUGGCAAUAUUUUUUGGAAUGUAUUUCAGAUUUCUAUGAUUACGGGUGAUAGCGUCGGACAAAGAUUUUUGAGAUGGUGAUAUUCUGGUCAGUUUGUUGGGAGAGGACGCAUUCGCAUCAUUAUUCCUCUUCUAGUUUUAUGGUUUCUAUGGACCGAAAGAUAUGAAGCAAAUCAUAGUGAUGUUUGCAUGAGAUCAAGAAGAAUCAUUAGGAUGGUAUACUGUAUGAUCUCACUCCUUCACAAUGGAGGAUUAUUUCGACCAUUAAAUUGGCAUUAUGAUAUAUAGCUUGCUCCACUCUUUGGGAUUACUAUGACCCUCCCUCUAUCUCUUCUCCCUAUUAUGGUGUGGCAGCGUACUCCAUCGGUCGGAUUUGUCAAGAUCAAUACUGAUAGAUGCAUUAGAGAUGGCUUCGCGAGCGGGGGAGGCAUUAUAAGAGACUACGACGGAAAUUCAUAAAGGCAUUCUCAACAUCAUAUGGAUAGUGUAUGAUAUUAGAAGUAGAACUCAAAGCUAUUCUUGAUGGGAUAUUACUAGCAAAAGGGUUUGGAUUUUCAAACAUUUGGGUUGAGGUAGACUCUAAUGUAGCCAUUCAUUGUAUCAUCAAAGGUGGAGGACCAUGGGCUAUUUAGGGCAUACUGAGAAAGAUUACAGAAAACACUCCUUUGAUAGAGAUAUAGUUUUCCACAUCUUCAGAGAGGGAAACCAGGUUGUAGGUGCUCUUACUAUAGAACGAUGGAAUCACCGACAAUAUCCGGUAUACUGACCAUCUGACCUACCACGACAAAUUAGGGCACUCGUACAGAUAGAUAAACAUGGACUGCCCAACAUUAUAACAUGAUUUAUAAGUUUAAUUUUAUUCUUAUAUUAUUCUUUCUUUUGUAUUUAAUUGCAUAAUUUCUUAUUGUAAGGGAAGCGGAACUUCCUCUUUUAUAACUUUACAUUUAUUUUGCUUUUAGCAUUCAUUCCCAUUGUAAGGGAUACUUCCUCAUUUACUUCUUUUUGCAUUUUCACAUGUAACCACGGUAUUCCUCCGCCACAAGUGAGGGUAUAUUAAUAAAAUCUCGAAGGUACCGCCCUCCUUUAACCAAAAAUAAAAAAAUAAAAUUUAAAUAGGAUAGCUAACAUGCAAGACAAAUUCUUAAUUAAACAUUUUCAAAAAUAAACUUUGGCUAAUAAAUUUGAUCAUGCUAUGCACAAUACUAUAAAGUCUAAUACACAAGAUCAAAUUUAUUUUUUUACAUACCUUUGAAUUGGCAGAAGAAAGUCAAUUGCUGUGCAUUAGUAAUCAAGGAUCGAUCUCUUAUUCAUCCUUUUUUAAUAUCUUAAAUCAUUUAAAUCAUGUUUGUAACAAAAAAAACAUAUAAAAGAUACGUUGUAUAUAUGUUCAUGCUUGAUUAGUUUCAUAAAACAAUAAUGUUUGGCUUUCAAAAAAGGAAAAUCAAGUUCAAAUCUCAUAGUGAGAAAUGUUGAAAUUUAAUACCCUACAAAAUUCGGUGCAUAAAUAAUAUUGUUGAGAGGGUUAUAUAUUUAGAAAUUAGACCUAAAAUACUUUAUAUUUCUCAAGCUCUUGUUCCGACGAUUAGAGUCCCUAAUUCUCAUCUCAAACAGGAUCUAAAUCUGGGGAAAAAAGGUGCAGGCAGCCUACUUUCAUAGACUAUAAAAUGUCACUCAUUGGUCAUCUUGGAGAGUCCUCAAUGUGUCUCCUAUGAGUUGAAUAAGCCACAAAAUUUUUUAUUAACCCUAAAGGUUUAAAAUAGAACAAUGCCCUGUGUACAGGGCUUUGUUUUAUAGGGGUCUUACCGACCACUCACAUGGGGGGCCUCGAUGCCAUAAAAAAUGAAAAAAAAAAAAAAUCGACCCCACCCUUGUGAGGGAUCGAUAAGACCCUUCUAAGUGUUAGGCAUGUACACCCAACACUACUCUUUAAAAUAAGUUCAAAACACAGACUACUUCAGCCUUUUUUGAGAUUAGAUAGUUCCAGCAAUCUUAUGCAAAAAUGCAUUUCACAGAAAAUAUAACUCCAUUUAUGAACCGAAAAAUUAUGAUAAAGCUAGACUCAUAAAUGUACAAUAACAUAUGGUCUCACCAUUAAAAAAUGUCCUAAAAAUUCCAUAUUUUAAAUUCAAAGUUUAAUGAUGAAUCAAUGUUUUGAAAGCCAGCACAACCAUUGACUUGAUAAAGUUAAAGGGUCAUGGGUCAAACAGUUGAAUCUAGAUUGAAGUGAGGUCGAGAUGAUAAUUAAAAUAAUUGAAUAAUUUAUAUAAUUAAAAUUUUCUAUUAGUGUUUUAAUUCUAAAGUUCAUUAAAUAAUCCAUAUAAUAUAUAAUUAAAGUGAGAAUUAAAUGGACCAAAAAUAUUACUUUAAGAUGCAAAAGAGCACAUAUUUUAAAAUCUAAAUCCUGCCAUCUUCCAUUUAAUCUAGGGCUAUGUUAGUUUCAUUUCAUUCCAAUUGUACAAUGCGAUUUCCUCUCAGUUUUCCUACAGCGGAGGCUGAGACUCUCUCUCAUCCAUCGAUUUCUGUAUAGUUUUGGUGGAUUUCCCAUUUGCUACUUCAUUUGUAUAAUAUAUAUUUUCAUUUCUUUGUAAGAUUAGUUUGGGUUUUGAAUAUUUUGACUGAAAUGGAAUACAAAGACUUCACCAUAGAGAUGGAGAGGACUCUGAUAACCAUUGGUCGACCAGAGACAUAGCAGUGAAGCUUUGUUAUGUGCCUCACCCCUUUUUUCUUUUUACAAAAUAUCAACUUCAGCACCUAAAAAAACAUAUUGGUUUCUCGGUUCCAGUUGAACAAGAUAGUUCACCGGAUUUUGUGCUGGUUUCAUUUUAUCCAGCUUUUACUCCAUGACCGAACUUGAAUUUCGGCCCGAUUCUUGGGUUUUCUGGUUGAACCGGUCGGUCCAGUCCAAUUUUCAUUACACUGGGAUGAAUAGAAUAUUUCCAUGACUAGUUUUAAAUUGUACUAGCAUACUUCAAAUGGAGAGUGAGUAGGCCUGGGCAUAAAAUCGAAAAAUCGAUUGAAAAGAACAUAUUCGAGUCAGUUUGGCCUAGCAAAUAGAUUCUAAUUGGUUGAUAUAAAACCACUAACAUGAUGGGUUGGGUCGAUUAACAGUUAAGGCUCCAACCUAAACCAAUUAUAAAUGUUGAACAUGACUAAAUCUUCAAUAACCUCUAGCGUCAAUUUUCCUUGGACAUCAAUCAAAGCUCUCCCAGUUGCCAUGAAAAGGCCAACUAAGAAUUAAUGAUUAUUGUCGAUCUUCUUCCGUAUCCAAAACCACAAAAUCCGCCAGAAAGAUCAAAAUAUCAACUUUAACCAACACAUCUUCAAUGAUUUUCUCAGGGUAUGUAAUGGACCUAUCAGCUAGUUACGAAGUGAUUUUUAUUGGUUUCAUUUCUCCAAGGCCCAACUUCUUGAAUAUAGAUAGUGGCAUCAAAUUGAUGAUAUCUCCCAAGUCACAUAAUGCCUUAUCAAAAGUAGAGCUGCCAAUUGUGUAUAGAAUAAUGAAGCUCCACGAAUCUUUUAGUUUCUGAGGGAGCUUCUUCUGGAGAAUGGUACUAUAUUCUUUUGUCAUAUUGAAUGUCUCAAAUUCCACCAACUUUCUUUUAUUUGUCAUCACUUCGUUAAUAAAUUUGGCAUAAUUUGGCUUUUGUACCAAAGGAUUAGUAAAAGGAAUAUUGAUGCAAAUAUUCUUAAAGACUUCCAAGAAUUUUUGAUAUAUACAUAUAUACAUAAGGCAUUCUCCGGAUAAUUCAAAUCGAAGCAAUUGGAUGUCCAACUCGGGCCGAUCAAUAGAAAUACUCCACCCUUGUCAUAUAUUCCAUACAUCACACUAGAUAGAUAUCAUAUUCAUGGAAUAGGAUUCACUUUCAAGAUGCCUUGGUGGUGAAAUGGUAGACACGCGAGACUCAAAAUCUCGUGCUAAAGAGCGUGGAGGUUCGAGUCCUCUUCAAGGCAUAAUAUUGAGAAUGCUCAUUGAAUGAGGGCUUCAAAAUGGAAGGAAAUCUGGAAUAAGAUUAAGUUAGGCCGAUAUUUACUCUCUGUUGCCUCUACCUCAAUUUUUUGCUCUUCAACAUGAUUUGAAGCAAGUGUAGGACCCAUAGUCUCUGUAGGCUUGCUCUCUUCAAUCUUUUUACCACUCUUCAAUGUGAUGGCAUUGCUGUGCUCUCUUGGUUUGACCUCAGUGUUGAGAAUUUAUUGCAGCUACUAAUUGACCAAUUGUACCUCUAGAUUCUUUACUGUGGUCCCCACGUUGAUCAUGUGAAUUUCGAUGUUGUUGAGUCUUGGCUCGUCCUUGUUGAACCUUGCACUAGUCUCUGAAAUUGAAGUUCCUAAAUUAUCCUCUAGUGAUAGCUUUCCUUUAGAAGCCUGAUUAUUGAACCCAAGUCGAGGUUGUAGCACAUUCCUAGUGACACCAUAGGAUAAAUUCUCAUGGCUUUUCAAUCUUGGAUGAUAGUUAUUUGUUGAGUAAUUUCCUCUUUGGUCGAAGUUCCGGCCAUUCACAAAUUGAACUUGAUCAUUCUCCAUCUCAGUCUCUUGGUAUAGAGUAGAAACAUCCAUAAUGGAAUCUACUUUCUGCUUAGUCCCCUAUGAAGUUAAUGCAGCCAUAUGAUUUGUGAGUAAAGGCAUCUGAGCUAUAAAGGUUGUAAUGGGAUACUCCUAUCCCUCAUAUUAUUUUUAGUUGUUUGUAUUUCCUUUUUUUUAGAAGUGAUCUAAAGAAUAUAGAUUUCUAUACUCUAUUUAUAUAGAGUGUGGCGAUUCUAUUAUUGGCAAGUAACUUUCUUUGCACUUGAAUGCUCACUUGGUCAUUGGUAGCUGUUGGUCGCUAUAUCAUCCAGCAAGAAGCAAAGAACAUCUACUAUCUUGGACAUCAAAGUACCUUCUAUUACAGCAUCAACUACUGUCCUUAUCAGACCAUUCAACCCAUUGUAGAAUAUUUCAGUUUGCAUGCAGUUUGAUAACCAUGCUAAUAGUAUCUGCUAAGUAGAUCUUUGAAUCUCUCCCAAGUUUUAUAGAAUGGUUCUAAGUUUUCUUGUUUAGCCAAUUUCACUCCGUAAUUGAGCCGUCUGGGAAGGGAGAAAAAACUGUGAGGAAUUUUUUAGCUAAACCCUCCUAAGUUGUGAUGGAUCCAUUUGGCAAUGAUUGAAACCAUGCUUUAGCUUUAUCCCUCAUGGAAAGGAAAAAUAGAUGAGGUCUGAUGGCAUCUUCAGUAAACACCAUUCAUCUUCACGGUAUUGGAAAUCUCAAGAAAAUAACCAAGAUGAGCUUUUGGAUCAUCUGAUGAAGUUCUUCAAAAAUGAUUUUGUUGCACCAUAUAUAUUAAUCCUGGCUUUAGUUCGAAGUUAUUUGUAGCCACUACCUGGCGUGCAAUCCCAUAGUAGUUGUCAUUGUCAAUUGGUCUGACAUAAUCCCUUAUAGCCCAUUGUUCAUUAACUGCUUGUGCUUCCUGCUCUACCAUUGUUUCAUUUUCGUUCCUUUGUUAGCCCCUUAGAUAAUGGAAAGUGCAUUUAGGUUCAGGAUCAAUGGGUAGUAGUUCGAGAAUCCUAAUGUAAUUUUACUCUUUUCUUGAGCACCAAGUAAAAAUUAAUCCCAUAUUUCAAUUCCAAUAGCUUAAUUCUGAAUUAAAAUCUAGAAAUUAUCGAGUUUGUGGUUCUUAAGUGGAACAUGCUUCAAAGGUAUUAUACUUUUUCUUGAAACUAUAAUUUUUUAGGUUAUGUUAUUCUAAUAUCAUGAAUAAAUUUCCUUCUCUUGAGUGUUAAGAUUAACUAGCAUUAAAUCAUUCAAUUAGUGACCAAUUAACUGAAAGCAUUAAACCAAUAAUACACAUAAACGGAAUUGGAAAAUCUCAUUGAAAUAACUAAAGUAAAUCAAACUAUAUACUCAAGUUUAGGUUAGAUCAAACCCUAGAUGAUGAAUUUAGUUAAUGGUAGAAGAUAGAAUUCUAUCAUGACUAAUAACAUAAAAACUCUUUUGAAACUUGAAUUAAUUUCCCUUCUUGAUUAAUUUUUUUUCCUUCUUUCCAGGUUGAAUUAUUCAUAAAAAGCCUCUUUCAGAUUGGUAUUUAUGCCUUCUUGAAGCCCUUGGAAGAGUUGGAUUAAAAUUGGGCUUUAAAAUGAAAUUAAACUUGAAAAACCCUAAUUGUAUGUAGUGUGGCACCUAGGCGCUGACUUUCAGGAAAAAUCAAUAAUGCAGCACCUAGGCACUCAUGUCAUCUUCGGUUGUACUACACAGCUUUCAAUAAUUUUAUCAUAAAUUUUUUUCUCUCGACAUCUGAUUGAGAUAAUUUAAAGUGCAUUGAAAAGAUAACUCAAAGGGAUACAAAUUUACUUUAAAUAGCCUUUUCCAAUUCAGACUUUUACUAUAUCAAAAAUUAGUCUCAAUCUCUCCUAAAAAUCUAGAACAUACUUGUGCGGUAUAUAUAUAUAUAUAUUUCACUCAUUUUUGAAUUUAAAUUGCAUCCUCUUGACUCCUAACACUCUUCAAUUAUCAUUUUUGGUUCAUAUCAACUACUAAAAAGUUGUAAUUGAGUCCUCAAACUUUAGAUUUUACCAUUUUUUGUCAUUAUUCAAAUUUUUCUUUCAAUUUACCCUCCAAUCAUCAAGUUUCAACAAAUCAACGUCACUUUCCCUUUGUUCAUGUCAAAAUCGCUCUUUUCUCCUAUUUUCUCCAAGUUUUAAAGUAUCAAAAUUAAUUUACCUAACCUAUUAGACAACACAAAAACACAUAUCAAUUGAAACUCUAAGAAUAAAACGAAAUAUCAUGAUUAAGUAGCAUUAAUAUGAUGAAUGAAACAUACUAAUCACUUUCCACAUCAUGUUUGACUAAAACCAUAAUUGGGAUGAACAACAUAAUCUAGCUAUGGGUUUUUAAUUUCAACCUUCAAGAGUUUUGUAUUUAAUUGUCUUAUGUGUUGAUUUUACUUAUAUUUUUAAUGUUUUCAAUUACUUGAUCACUAAUUCAUUAAUUUGUAAAUUUUUAAAGAAUCAAGAGCUAAGUUAGAAAUUUAAAUCACGUAAUAAAAUCUAUUAAUUGGAUAAAAGGCAGAGAUACACUUACAUUAUUGUCGCGGUCAAUUAUUGAAUAAUUAGGUGAUUGAAUACAAUUAGUUGAGGCUCAUUCAGUUUUACAUAGAGAUAUAGUUAGCUGACUUGACUAGAUAUUAUUGUUUAAACUUGAGAAACAUAAACUGAUUAAGCUAGUGAAUUAGACAAAAUACAACCUUACGAAUGAGUCUGGAGAGGAGGAAUUAAAGAGAAUAACCAUAAUGGAAUCAAGAGUCCUAACAUUCUUUAUUCAUACGUAGAAGCCCUAGUUUUUUAUUAAUUGCAUACUUUAGAGAUUUACCUUUCUCUACUAACAACCAAACCAACCUACUCCAAUCUACAACCAAUAUAUUCACCUCGGUUGCUUUUCAAUUUUACCCACAAAGGACAAGAAAAUGAUGAUAAUUUUUGGCCACAAAGGCAAGAAGAAAACUUCGCAAAGGUAGGCUAUAAAGAGACCACAAAGUACACAAAGUAAUCAACUGAUUUUGGACACAAAGGGGGCAGCCGAAUUUCCUUUAUGUUUUCUCACAAAUCACACACUAGAAAAUAUCUAGGGUUGUUGCCUUAUAAGUAGGCUAGGAUAGGCUUUUGGUUGGACCAAUAGGAAAGUUAAACGAUCCAAGAUUCAAGCCACCCAAGAGGGAAUACAAUUGGACGGGUAGAGCCUUUGGAAUUGGUUGUUGGUACUUAUUUCAUUCAUCAGCCUUGGCCUAUGAAAUAUAUUGUCCCACGUUAACAUCAUAGCUCAAGAUUUAUUGGGUAUAAAAAAUCCAACAAAUCUCCACCUUAAUGCUCAAUAAAUCUGCAAGCAAUCAAAACACAGAGCUUAUACUUGCAUAAUCAAGGUAACCAAUUAAAUUGGAUCACAGACCUUAUCUCAUGUUUCCUACCAGAAAUACAUACUAUACAUGCUCCAUAUACUCACCAGGGUUAAGGUAAAAAUAUCCAAGUAGAAGCAAAUAAUCACACAAAUCCAUCAAGAACAAUUAAACAUGUAAAGAAGAUAUAAUAUAGGAUAACACGUAUAGAUGCUUUUAAAAACACGUUGACACAUAACUAUAGAUUAACACUAAGUUCAUCAACAAACAGCCAAGAUAUAUGCAACAAAUGCAUAAAUGAUCCAUAAAAAAAAAUCUCACUAGACUUAUCCUAUCUUAUUCUAUAUUGCUCAUACCUCGAGAAUAUAUAUCUCCUCUCAUUGCCCACCAUACUCACUAGACUGAUCACAUAACUCAUGUCUAACUUGUAAGUCACAAUAGAUCCUAAGUUCUCGGGAUAAUUCUCUAUCACCACAUCACUUCUUCCGACCUAAGUGGAUAAUAGGUCUCUACCUAAUAGAUGUGAUAGAUGUGCCUCUCACACACUCCACCUGAUCAGGGUCUCUUUACAAAUAGAUGAUUCAAGACAUUUAAUCACCUCACUACUCGUGAUCCAAAUGUCACACUCCAUAUCCCCGGUACAAAUUACAAUGUAACCUUAGGCAUCUAUGCUCCACCUCACCAAAAGACACACAACUUACUGUUAAUGCAUCCUAACCCACUAUGCAUGCCAACAUUACACCAAGUAAUCAUAUUACCUCAAAUUCAAGCAAAUACGCAUAUUAAACACAUUGAAAUGCAGCACAAGAUUAUGCAACAAAAAAUUAGACAAUCACACACAUGCAGAAAAUGAUCACACAUAGAUGCACAUGCAGUAGAGUGAUUUACUCAAUAAACUUUGCUAGGGUCAUCAUGAUCCAAUGACAACAUUCGCUCCACCUCUCUCCUUAUCUUUCCUUUUCCAAUUUUACCAAAGUUAAAACAUAUUUUAUUUUUCGCACUUACCUUAGACCUACGCAUGCCAUCAAUACCAAAUAAUGACCACAAGUAAAGUAUAGACAUAAUUCACAAAGAUAGUCAAAUAAAUUUUUCUAAGGUCACAUGCAAUUCUAAUAGAGUAGACAAGGUUGACAACAAAUUCACAAUGAAUUUAAGGAAAAUAAUUCCUAGGUCUAACAACAGGGAAUCGUUACCCCUUCACGGUAACUUCAAACCUAACGUCAUCCAACACAAUAACUUCUAACGUGAAAAAUAAAUAAUUACCCUACACAAUAUUUUUGUAAGAUUAGUUUGGGUUUUGAAUAAUUUUAAAGAACACAAUAUUAAGGGAACCACAUCUGUAGGUCCGUAAAUUAUGAGAGAUGCGAAUUUAUCAUCUUAGGAUCGCCACUGUUCAUCCCAAAGCUUCCAACAAUUAUAGCAACAUAAAAUGGCACCCAGCACCCGAACGACCAAGGGCAAAAUCAUCCAACUUUCACCGUAUUUUUUAAAACUGAAAUCCGACAGCACUGCAAUGUCUACCUCAUUACCUGGAAAAAAUUAUCUAAAGGAGCCACCUUAAGAUUCAGCCUUACGUGCCGCACAACUUCUCUGCUCGUGCGCUUCAUGCACCAUCGGAGAAUCUCACACACGGGUCACUUGGUACAUCUCUAUCUGCACGUCACGCCGAUGGUCUCCGUUUCUCCAAAUUCUUUCUGGAUCGUUCGAAAAUUGCACAAACAUAUCCAAUUUUUGGGCAAUUUCUGGAUAGUUUCUUUGACCGAAUUUUUGCUUCAUUUCAACUUGUUUUCUGGACAUUUUCUGGUAUGUUUAAAAGCCAAAACCACCAUCUUAAAGUUCUAAUACCAAUUGUCGAAGAAGCUCUCUUCAAAGAUCUUCAAAUCAGUUUUUUUUGGGGCUCUAAUUUUGUAAGAUUAGUUUGGGUUUUGAAUAAUUUUAAAGAACACGAUACUAAGCGAACCACAUCUGAAGGUUCGUAAAUUAUGAGAGAUGUGAAUUUAUCACUUUAGGAUCGCCAAAGUUCAUCUCAAAGCUUCCAACAAUCAUAGCAACACAAAAUGGCACCCGACACCCGAACGACUAAGGGCUAAAUUUUCCAACAUUCACCAUAUUUUUCAAAACUGAAAUUCGACAGCACUGCAGGGUCCAACUGAUUACAUGGAAAAAACUACCUAAAGGGAUCACCUCAAAAUUCGCCUUACACGCCGCCCAACCUCUCUGCUCGUAGGCUUCAUGCUCCGUUGAAGAAUCUCACACACUGGUCACCCUAGUGCGCUUCUAUCUAUACGUCAUGCCGAUGGUCUCUGUUUCUCCAAACUCUUUCUAGAUUGUCCGAAAAUUGUGCAAACAAAUCCAAUUUUUGGGUAGUUUCUGGAUAGCUUCUUCAAUCGAAUUUUUGCUUAGUUUCAAUCGAUUUUCUGGAUGUUUUCUAGUAUGUUUACAAGCCAAAACCACCAUCUUAAAGCUCUAAUACCAAUUGUCGCAGAAGCUCUCUCCAAAGACCUUUAAAUUGAUGUUUUUUCGAGUUCAGUCUAACGUUAUCUUUCUCUACUAACAACCAAACCAAUCGGCUCUGAUCCAUAACCAAUAUAUUAACCUUGGUUUCUUUUCAAUUUUACCCACAAAAGGACAAGAAAAUGGUGAUGAUUUUGUGGUCACAAAGGCAAGAAGAAAACACUGCAAAGGUAAGCUAUGAAGAGACCACAAAGUAUACAAAUUAAUCAAAUGGUUUUUUGACAGAGGGGUCGAUUUCUUCUCUUCAAAGGGGGGUAGUUGGAUUUCCUCUAUGUUUUCUUACCUUAUAAGUAGGCUAGGUUAGGCUUUCAGUUGGACUAAUAGAAAAGCUAAACGGGCUAAGAUUAAAGCCAUCCAAAAUGGAACAUAAUUGAACUGGGUAGAGCCUUUAGAUUUGGUUGUUUGGUACUUAUUUCAUUCAUCAAUCUAGGUCUAUGAAAUAUAUUAUCCCACGUUAACAUCAUAACCCGAGAUUUAUUGGGUAUCAAAAACCCAACAUGUUCUAUUAAUUAAAUAGAGAAUUUGUUAAUUAAAUAUAUUAAGGUCAUAAUUCCAUACUAUUUGAUCACCAAUUAUCGAAUUAAUUGAUCAUGAUUUAUUUCUCGGUCAUGAAUAAAAAAUAUUAUAAGUCACAAAUUAUUUUAUGGUUACAAAUCCAAAAAAAUUAUCGGUUGCAACUUAUUCAUUGGUCACAAAUCACAAGUUUUAUAAAUCACUUUUCAAUUUUUUAGGUUACAUAUUAUUUAUUAGUCAUAAGUUAUCGAUCAUAUUGGUCACAAAAUAUUCAAUUUAUUGAUUAUAGUCUCAAUAAUUGGUAUCAAAUUAACUAAUUUAUUGGUCACAAUCAACCAAAUAAUUGGUUACAAAUCCCAUCCUUCAAAACCACCACACCACCUCCACAACCGCAACUAUAGCCACGAAACCACCUCCACCACAACCAACAUUACAAUUACCACCACCCAACCAUCAAAUCAUCACAACCACUGCCAAUUUGGUGGGGUCAAGUAGAUGGAGGUAGGUUUGGUAUAUAAAUUAAUUUAAUUUUAUAAUUUUAUUAUUAAUAUUGAAUUCAUAUCUAAUUUUAUAUAAAUGAACUUCAAAUCUAAUUUUUGAAAUGGCAACUUAAAAAAUCUGGUUACGUAUAAUCUUCACAAUUUAUUUUCUCUUACCACCUGGGUUGGGGGCAGGACUGUGCUCCUUCUGCUAGAUCCAUCUCUGGAACGCAGUAUUGGUAUGAGAGUCCAUGCAAUAGCUUAAAGUUGUCGUUUUGAUCAUACUAAAGCAGGUACAAAGGAAUUUCAAUGUGGUUUCUAUUGGCCAACACUAUUUAAAGAUGCUCGAAGUUUUUGCGAUCAUAUAAUAGAAGUCAAUGUACCGGUAAUAUUUAGAUUGACAUGAGAUGCUGAUGAAUAACAUUUUGAAAGUUGAACUUUUUGAUGUUUUGGGCAUUGACUUCAUGGGGCAACUUCUCCCAUCUUACUCAAAUAGGUACACCAUUGUGUCAGUGGACUAUGUAAAGGCAAGGAUGGUCAUAUGGUUUAUAAAAAAACGGAAGAUAUGAAGCACCCUGGACCAUGAUUAGCAAUGUUUUGGGCAUUGACUUUAUGGGGCAACUUCUUCCGUCUUACUCAAAUAGGUACAUCACUUUUGCAAUUGUUUAUUUUAGUCAAUACUACAUAUAUAUAUAUGGUGCGCAUGUGGGAAAGGUCAAAACAUCGUAAAGCCACUUGAAGUGGAUCUGGGAACUAACAGUAUAUUCAAACAUUAUGAAUAAAUCAGUUAUUCAAACAUCAAAAAUUAUUACAAAGACGCAUUUUAUGUUCUCAUGAUAUCAAGCAGUUUCGAAGAAAGUGGAAGCUUUACAUGAAUUAGACAACACAUCGAUCACAAAUGCUUAUAUUAAUGCUCUAACGAAUUGCAAUGCUAGGUUGGGAAAUUGUCGAUUUGCCUAUGCUGGAGCAACCGAUUUUUGUAGAGAAGUGGAAAUUUCUCAUGUCACCUUAUCUAGGAUUGGAGUCUCCAUUAACGAUGCCACUCUUACAAUGCUCGGUGGACGAUGAUUUGGGACUUCUUUCACACUACUUUAAUAAAACCCUCAAAGUUACUUUUAAUAUUUAUGAAAAUAAGGAAAAACAUAUCGUCCAAUUAUAUAUGAAAAUGAGAUGGGGUUACUUGCAUUUUAUAGAAGACUAAUUCAAUGUUCAUCGAAUGCAGUUUGAAAAUAUAUAUUUUUUUCAUCCAACUUGUUCACUUUUGUUAUUCAAUCACCAUAAUGGAAUAUUAUAUUUAAUGUUUAUAUAAAUCAACCAUGAUAAAAUACAAACUUGGAAGGGAGGUGAUCUAACCUCCAAAUAAAUUUAACUAGUCCAACUAACUGCGAAUCAAACAAUUAGAAAAUUCAAAUUUUUAAGUUUUUUAUGCCUUGUUACCGUCUUUAUCAUAAACGAUGCAAAAAUGAGAUAUUUUAGUGACUCGGCUCAUGAUUACUUUCGUACUCACUCUCCGUUUGAAGUUUGCUAACGUAGGUUAAAACUAGAAAAUAUUCUGUUCAUCCUUAAAUGCUACUUUAUGUACAUAUCUUCUGUAAUUUGUUUAUUAUUUUCAAAUUUGUUUAAAUAUGUUACUUAUUUAAAUAAAAAUAAUUUUGCUAUAGUAAGAAUUCACCCAAAUCCUUCUAAUUCAGGGCACGUCUUUAGUGUGAAUAUGAAUCUAUAAAUUCCCAUUGAUGACUCAUUGGCUAGCAAGUCUUUGAACAAAAUGAAGAUGAUUUGUUCAUCAUCCACUUUGAGAAGCAUCUUUUCUACAUAGACAUCAAUGCAAGGGCCGAUAGCCAGAAAAGGUCAAUCCAAUAUUAUGGGAAUAACUACAUCCUGCAAGAACAGUCGAAAUUGUAGGCCGUUUAUUAAAGAAUUCUUGUAUGCACAAUAGUGCAAUGUGAAUGCACCUCACCAUCUCUUCUUGGAAUCCGGCUUUGUAUAUUGUUUGAUCUAUGAUGGUCAAACCGUUGUCUUCACUCCAUAAUUUCCAUGCCUAAUGCAAAUUUUCAUAUAUAAGAUCCUGAGGAAUGUUUGAAAACACAAUUAAAAAAAUAGGGAAUAUUACAAGUGGCUUAACCAACCCAAAAAGGCUAAAUGAACAUUUGUGAUUGUAGAAGUUGCUGUUCUUUUUUCCACUCACGAUUUCUAGCAUCAAAAUGCCAAAACUAUAGACGUCAGAUUUUUCAAAAAAUCUUCCUUCAAAUUGCAUAUUCUAGCGCCAUAUAUCCGCUGCAACAUAUGAUAAAUUCAUGUAAGUUUGAAUCAGCCGAUAUUAAAAACAAAUGGAAUGUUCACAGUAUUAUUUACCAAACAUGCUUUUAAGGGGAAGAAUACUUUCGUCAAUUCAACAAUUGCUUACUAAGUUCCUACGACUCUCCUAGUGUUGGCUUGAUCUUGGUUGCCUCCAAAUAUUCUUGCCAUUCCAAAGUCAGAAAUCUUUAGAUUAUAGUCGUCAUCCAUCAAUACGUGACUCGGUUUCAAAUCUCUAUGGAUUAUCUUCAAUAUAGAAUCCCUAUGAAGAUAGAGAAGGCCUCGCCCAAUACCUUUAAUGAUACUAAAACAUUUCUUCCAAUCAAGAAUCUUUUGCUAUGAUGUGAAGAAUAUACAUGAAUAAAAGCAAAUUAUAAAAAAACUAAUAGUAGAAGAUGUUUUGAAAGGAUGGAGAACAGAGUUAAAUUUAAACUAACCAAACAGAAACUCAUCUAAGCCCCCGUUUGUUUCUCAUUGUUUGCCCAUUAAAAUGAAAAAUAUGACCGUUAUCCAUCACAACAAGCCUCCAUAUUUGACUCUAUUGUGUGGAGUCCGUAACGACUAUAUUUUUCAUUUUCAUUUUCAUUUUUAUAAAUGAGAAUUUUCUCUCCUUUCUCGACACAACAUCCUAGUAAUUUUACAAGAUUUCGAUGUUGGAGCUAGGACUCACGUCCACUUCAUUCGUAAAUUCUUCCAUUCCUUGUCCAGAUGCUGCUGAAGCCUCUUAACUGCAAUUUCUUUUCCAUGUACCAAUUCACCCUGCAUUCACAUUAACAGCAAUUUCAGCACGAGAACUAUAUAAAAUGCAGUAAUCAGCGCCCUUGGUUACAAAAAAUUACCUUAUAAACAGGACCAAAACCACCCUUUACAAACAUAUUGUCAUCAUGGAAUCGGUCUGUGGCAUUUGCAAGUGUCUCGAACGUGAAUAAUGGAAACUCUUCAAGAUUAAUUUUAUCCAUAUCAUCUUUAAUCAGUAUCCCGGCAGAAUCUGAUGGAUAUGUUUGCCCAGCUUCAUAUAACUUCGCAUCAAUUUUUCCUUUGGCUCCUGGUUCCACAAGGAAAAUCAAUAUCUUUAACUGACAGAUACAUAUAUACAUAUGUAAAUCAGCUUUUUGUCUUUGUGCCCAUCUGGACAACCCAAAUAUCAAAUGACUUAGCUUAAUCAAUAACGAGUUCAUAAACAUUAUAAGGCAAUUUAUCAACAGAACUCGAAGUACCUAGUUCUGAAGAAGCUAGAUGAAUGUAAAGAUCUUCACCAACGUUAGAAAAUCGCUGAAUGUCAAUCAGUCCUCGGCUCCAGAACAUACGACCCAGAUUUGUGUCGUGUGCAUUGGCUAUGCAUGAACAGUUCAUCGAGCAGAGACUUCUACAUUCCUCAACCGUCCUAGAUGGUCCCCGUUCAGUAAAAUCUGGCACUUUCAUAUACAGGAGUCUCAAGAAUCCGUCUUCUUUGCCACCAUCACUUGUAUUAUUAUGUUGAUCACAGAGCAAUGGUUUCCUCCGCACACAUCCGCCAGACCAAUUUCCUCUUCCCCAUUCCUGGGAAUUCUUUGGGUCAAACCCUCUCAGACAAGAACAAAUAGGUGAACUCAGAGCAUUACAACUCCCAAUUGGCCCGCACGUCCCAUAAACAUCACAUUCUUGACCAGGAGGCAACCAUGUAAUAUCCUAUUUCUCUGUCCUAUCAUUCCACAAUCUUUGAACCAAACUCCCCGUUGAAUUCAAAGUAAUUCUCAUCAAGAAUUUUCCCUCUGGCGUAGUGAAAUUGUAAGUUCCUGGAAGAACAUUUCCCACAGUGAAUCCAUCAUUGUAUACAGAAUAUAAAUCAUGUACACCAAUUAGAAUCUGACCAUUCCAUGGACCACUUCGCCAGUGUGGACGGUUCCCAUUCCAAGUACAGAUUAGAGGAAUAUUCAGAGCCAGGAGACCCGUUGAGAAAUUUCCAACUUCUGGAUCCGUCGGGGUUACCCUGCAUUUAUGUUGUCAACUAACCACAAUAUAGGCAAAAAAGUAUCGGACGGAUGUCCAAAACAUUCCCACAAUGUACGCCCACUUGAAUUAUCUCGCAGAACAAUAUUUCCAGUGCUCUAAAGCUGGGCAAUGGCAUUAACCAAAGAGGUUGUAACAUUUGAUGAUCAAACAAUCUCACUUUCUCCAUUCUUUAGUACAACAUUCCCAUCUCGGGAUAUCGUUACACUGCCGGAAGAACUUGGAAUAGGCUUGUCCCUGUUGGCAACCCAUAUCACUGUUGAUUCAGAAACGCUGUAAAAUACACCAAAGUAGCGGUCCUUGGUGGUGUUAUCGGGGGAGACGAAUCCCAAUUUGGAGACGUUGCCUCUUGAUGAUAUGGUGUCGGGGUCUUUUAGGACAAGAUUUCUUGUAAUAGUGUCUGUCUCUGCACAAAAUCCUAAACGAGGAAGACAGAGGAGUGUGAAUAGGGACUGAAGAACAAAAAGUGUAAGGAUUUGGCUAUUGAUGGUUAAUUCAACGAUAUUUGUGGGACAAAAACCCAUUCUUUGAGAAGUUUGAAGUUUUCCAAGCAAAUUAUCGCUGCUGGUUUUUUUGGGUAAAAUCUAUAUUGAUUCUCGUUAUAUAUAAGACCAUUGAGAGAACUUGAAGUCAAAUCUCAGUAAUUAGACCCGGAUGUCAAGAUAUUCCGUCAAUGGUUAUGACAUGCUUUUCCCUUUCCUCAAUUUCCUCAGUAGGAUAAACUACACGGUGGUUCCAUGGUCGGGCAACAUCGGGGCAUGUUACUCGACGGCAAAUGGAAUAAAUAAAUACAAGUGUUUAUUUUUCAAAAUUAGUCAAAUUCCCACUGAUUUAUGAUUGUGAAAAACUUAUGUAGGCUAUGUUGAACAUCACAUCUGAUUAAUAACCUUGACUCUUUUAAAAAAUUCUCACCAUUUGGCUCUGUUUGGUAAAAUUUAUUAUUUGAUCCUUUUUUCCUUUUGUACAAUGCAAAGUUAUUUGAUUUAUGAGUAAAUUAGCUUUAACUUGAUCUGUUGAUUUGGACAUUAAAAUAGUGGAGGGAUGCGUGUAUAAAAAAUGAAAAAUUAUUGACUGUUAAUGUUUUCUCUUUCUUAAAAUAUGUUGUUUAAUAAGCCAGCGAAGGUUCUUUUCUAAUUUGCGCAAAUUAGAAAAUUAUGUUUUAAUGUAGGUGAUAAUAAGUAAAAUUUUGCACUUAUUCGAGCCACCAGAAGCAAACAUUAGAGUGCUUUUAUAGUUUAAAUACUUAGUUAUGUGCAAUUAUUGAUUUUUUACGAGAAACUCGGUAUUUGAUUUUGAAAAUAUGAAAAUAAACGAAAAUUGACCAAUUAGGACUGAAGGAGGACGAAUUUGAAAGUUAGGGACUAAAGUGUUGAGAUUGGAAGUUAAAGGACAUAUAUUAUGAUAAUGAAUGACUUGGGCUAGAGAAGAAAAUGGAUCCAGGGAUUGAGUUGUAUAGGUAUUGUAAAUUGACCCUUGAGACCGCAAGGAUCUAUAGCCACGAUCACAAGAGGUUCAAUUAAUGAGCCAACAGCCAGAUAGAUCCUACCAUGUGAUUGAAGAGUGAAUUACCAAAAUGGUCAUUGAACUUUGCAAAUAAAUUUUUACAGGGUCACUGAACUUUAAAAAUCAUCCAAUUCAUCACUGAAUUUUGCAAAAGGCUUCCUAAAAAUCAUCCAAUUCAUAACUGAAUUUUGCAAAAGGUUUUCACGAGGUCACUGAACUUUAAAAAUCACCACAUUUAUCACUGACCCCUAGGAAACUUUUUUGCAAAGUUCAAUGAUAAAUUGGAUAAUUUUUAAAAUUCAGUGACCAGUUGGGUAAUUGACUCUGUGAUUGCACCUCUUAACAGUGAAGUCACAUGGUCAAAACGAGACCCCAGAAACUGAUCUCCUAAUUUGACUAAACUUCUAAUUCAAGACAUCUAGGGGUUUGAUUAUAGACUAAUUAUAAGGAUAUAAAUAGUACUCCUUUUGUCCCAUAAAGAUAGUCUUAUUUUCUAUUUUUCUCCCUCCUAAAUUAUAGUACUAUUUAUUAUUUGCAAGUAUAGUAAACAUAUUAGUUUCUUAAUAUACCCCUAUUUAAUAUGCUUUGUUACCAGAAAUAUAAUUUAAUUACCAUGAAUAUUGAUUGCAUUAACGUAGGGGUAUAUUAGGAAAAAUGUUAGUAAAAUUUAUUAUUUCAACAAUAUUAAUUGAAUCUUCUUAAUGUUUGUGAAAAAAGAUAUAGGACUAUCUUUAUGGAAUGGAGGGAAUACAUUUAUUCUUCUCAAAGGAAGAUGCAUUAUCGAGGCACAAUACAUAAUUGCAUUUGUAAAUUUCAAGAUUCUUGGCGAGAAGUCAUAUUUGAAGAUGGAAUAUUGUCUAUUUGUCGGGAUAUUUGCAACAAUCAAGCAAAUGCAUAAGAUCUGUACAAGUUUGUGCCGCGAAGAUCAAUAACUGUUCGAAUAUCUUUUCUCUUUAUUUAUUGCAAUUGAACCAGACAGAGGUAGACCAAGGAAAUGAUGUGGGGUCUAAAAUUUAAAAAUUCUAAAUAAGUUCAUGGUACAAGAGAACGAGUUUACGAGAUUACGCUCAUUACAUUCAUGACAAAUAAUAUCAGACACUCAAUGAAAUACAAGCGUAAUUCUCACCAUAUGAUGUCUCACUAGAUAUUCGUAUUUUUCUUGCAAGAUACAAAAUCAACGCUCACCUUAGAAAAUAUAAAUUGAUAGAAGCAUAUAAUCAUAGGCAAACGACAUAUCCACCAAUCAAAACUAAACAAAAUACUUAAGGAAUUUUACAACUAUUUGUUCAAAAUAACUAAAAGUUUUUGUCUAAAAAGCAACUGAAAAUAUAUUAUUGUACGUCACCAUUCUCAAAAUACUAUUUGAUGUGGGUAUAAGUCUUUUAUACCAACACAUCCCAUAGUGAGUGAAGAAUCCACCCAAAGUUGGGGGUCGGGGGGGGGGGGGGGGGGGGGGGGGGGGGGGAAGGAAUUUCGAGUGUAAAACAAAUUAGUUUUUUUCAUGUCCAUGUUUGAUUCAACUUCUAUAAUAUAUAUGUAAUUUUAUUACUCAUAAAUAAGUUCUUAUAUAUAUAUAUAUAUAUAAUUUUUUUUUAUUAUAAGAUUAAAUGUAAAGUAAGUUACUUAUUUUGAUAGUAACAUCAAUUUCAUGAUCAAAAUAUGUAAGUUUCUUUUCUUAUAAGUAUGAAAAUAAGUUAUAUGUGAAAAUAUUUUAAAACUAAAAAAUCUAAUUACUUUAAGCUUAGCCAAACAUUAAAUGUUGCUUACUAUUAAAAUAAGUAAUUUAUUUUAACUCUAAUCAAUACAAUUUUGUUAUUAUAAAGUUUUUAUAUAAUUGUAAGAAAGCAUUAAAUAAAAACCUAGUUUGGUAAUAAAAUUGUUCACAUUUCAUUAAUAUCAUGAAAUAACAUUUGGAUAAUUGGACUUGGGUUGGGACUCAAUAUGAAAUUACACUAAACAUAGAUAUUUGGACCAAUUUAAUCAUAAAAUUUGUUUGUAAAAUUUUCAUAUCUAAGAAAUUAAGCAUGAUCCAUUUAAAAAUUAAGAAACAACAUUCAAAUUUCAAAAGUCAUAUACUAAUUAAAUUUUAUUUAUUAAAUAAUUAAUUAAAAAUAUUUCUUUAUUAAGUAAACAUAUUUUUAUUAAUUAAAUAUAUUAAAAUCACAAUUCUAUACUAUUUGAUCACAAAUUAUUUCCUCAUCAUAAAUAAAAAAUUAUAUAUAGGUCACAAAUCAUAAAUAUUAUAAAUAAUUAUUGAAAUUUUUAGGUCACAUUACAUAUUAGUCACAAGUUAUCGGUAACAUUGAUCACAAAAUAUCCAAUUUAUUGAUCAUAAUCUCAAAUAAUUGAUCACAAAUUAACUAAUUUAUUAGUCACAAUCAAACAAAUAAAGUUACAAACCCAAUCCCACAACCGCCGCACCACCAUUACAACCACGACCAUUGCCUCGACCACUGCCACUGCAACAAACAUCACAACCACCACUGCCCAACAACCACCUCAUCGCCACCACCGUCACUAUCAGCUCCAAUCUGAAAUUGACAAAUAGAAACAGAUAAAGAACUCCAAAAGUCAGCCUCAUCGCACCAUCACCACCACCAACACCAACACCACCUCACAAUCUGAAAACAUACAAAAAGAAAUAGAAACCAAAAGCCACAUCACCUCGUCGCCAUAUUGCCGCCACCACUAAUACGACCUCUCAAACAGAAACAGAAACAAAAACCAAGUAGCUGGCACAACUCACUGCCACCACCACCAACACUAUCUCACAAAUAGAAACAAAAACCAAAAAGCCAGCACCAUCUCAUUGUCACUAUAAGUAUUAUGCCCUAGGUCCAAUCUACUUUGGACAUAAAUACUUUUAUAUAUAAUUAAUGCAAUUAAAUGGCAGAUCUAUUAUUUAAUUAAUAGACAAUUAAAUAAAUAAUAGAGUCCGUAGAUUCAAAUUUUCGUAAUUUGUUAAUUACAAGGAGUUGUAAUUGUGAGAUACAAAUUACAUCUGAUUGAAUCUUAAAUCAUCUGUGGUUGUAAGUAAUAACGAGAUACGGAUAUCGUUAUUACGGAUAGACCAUCACGUGUGGCAUUUCUUACUUGUGAAGUAAGUAGCCGAUCUCACAAGUUAAAAGUGUGGUGACACUUAAAUGAACACGUGGAUGUUUUGUUAGAGAACAAAACAUUGGAGACCCGUCGAGAGAUUCCACAUGGAUAACUAUCUGAGUGUCAGUGGUUAAUCUCAAACGUUCGGUAGUGGAAUUGAUCCUUUGACUUGAGGUCGUCAUGGUACCUUAUAUGAGGACAGUCAUACUUUGGCGGUGUUGGAUGUUUCUCUGAAAAGGGCCGCUAAUACGACAUCGUUCGAGUACGUCAAGAAUCGUAUGAAGGUUGUGAUUGAUCAAUAAAGGAUUCGUCACUCUUAGAUAAUAGAAGAUUAUGAUCUGCGUUUCAUUCAAUUAAGUCGAUGAUGAAAUCCUUGGCCAAGGUGUACUCAUAAGUCGAAAAGGAGUUUUCGAUUUAUAUUGACUUAAUAGUGGAGUGAAAGAUAUGAUCGAUAAUCGAGAUUGACACAAUUCCAUAUCUCGUAAUUGAUUGGAUCAUAUUGACGAAGGGAUUAUAGUUUCACGGUAAACUAACGAAUUUGGUUUUGUCAUACCACGUGACAUUUUCCGUCACAUGUAUUGCCCUGACACAUUGCUGGAUGUUAAUCAGGGACGGCGAGUGUGAAUUGACGAUAAAUUAAAAGGAUGUUUUAAUAUAUCAAUUUUGAUUAGAUCAAAAUAAUAUUUCACGUCGUUAGGCAUCGUGGUUGGGAACCUAAUGGAUCGCACACAAAAGAGAAUUGGAAGAUUGUAAAUUGUCAAUUGGUUAAUUUAACAAUCGUUGGAUAAAUUAAUUAAUUGGAUUUGUUAUUUAUAUUCCCGAAUUAAUUAAUUGGAUUAAUUAAUUCACGGACCAGGUUUAAUUAAUUGGAUUAAUUAAAUAUUGGACUGGACCGGGCCGAGUCCGUUUGGGUUUAUAUAAGUACAUAACUAAGGUUUGAGGUCCAUAUGAUUUUCAUUAUUCUUGCUGGUACAAGAGAAAACCCUAGAAGCUGCAAUCUUAUUCUCUGUGUGGAUCACCAUUGGAGGCUGGACAAUUGGACAGCUGUGGUGGCGAAUCAAGGUUGUGGAACGAAAGGAAAAGCAAAAGGAUUGUAGAUCUGAAAAAAGGUACAAUCUUAUCACAAUUUCUAUCUAAACACAAAGGCGAUUCUUGGUGGGAAUUGAAAAUUAUUUUAAAUUCCGCUGUGCAUGUAUAAGUAGAUUCCCAACAGCCACACCGUCACAAUUACCUCACAAUCUGAAAUAGUAGCAGAAACAAAACACCAAUUGGUGUGGCUUCUCUGUGCUUGGCAACGAGAGAGCGGCGGCACAGCGUGCACUGAAGAUAGGAUGGGAGAGUGGCGACGUACGGCGUGGCUUGGCUUUGCUUUGCUUCACAGCAGUGAGCACGGUGCUUGGAGGUUGUCCACCACGACGACGAUUUACAUUUGAAGAAGAAGAGAGAGAAUGGAUUGAUGUGGAGAAAGCAUGUAAAGUGGAAACUAAUUAGGAUUUACAUUGAAAUUUGGUGGGUAGAGUAGAUGGAGGUAGGUUUGGUAUAUAAAUUAAUUUAGUUUUAGAAUAAUAUUAUUAAAAUUGAAUUCAUAUCUAAUUUUUAUAUAAACAAACUUUAAAUUUGAUUUUUGAAAUUGUAACUUAAAAAAAUCUGGUUACAUGCAAUUUCCACAAUUUCUUCUCUUACCAUGUGGGUUGGGACAAGACUGUGCUCCCCCUGCUAGAUCUACCUCUGGAACCUAGUGAUAUUCUUUAUCUUUUCUUUGUAUUUUUAUCACAAUCAUGAAGGGCUAAUUGUUUAUCUUUUUAGGAUGAAUGGUGUAGUUCAGGUUAUUUAUAUUUAUUUAAUUUUAAGAUUUCAUGUCCAUAUUAUCUUGUGCUAAUUGCUUAUUUUGUACAAGAGACAGCAUAUUACAUUACUUAGACUCACAACUAUAGAUAGAGUGACUACAGUUAGAACCAAAUCAAGUUGAAUGACCUGAUUGCUCAAAAUUAGAAUUUAGAGUCCAAUUGCACGUUUGUUUAUUAUUUGACAAUUUAUCAACUCCCAUGUCUUCACCCAAUGUUUGUUUAUAAUCAUAAUGAAGCAGCCCUUCUCAAUUAGUUUACGACAUGGUCUCACUUAAAAGAAGGCAAUAUGCAUCAUAUGUAUUAUACCUAAAUAAGCAUUGAAAUAGUGUUUUUAAGUCGGAAGUUUUUCUAUUUAUUUAUAUCACACAUGCCGUACAUAAAUUCUCUCAUCUUUUGGUACAAAUUUCACCAUUUCUCGUAUAACUCAAUGCAUUCUAUUACCAUUUUUGUGUUUGAGGAUAUCUGACAUUUCAAAGUUAGAAACUGAUAAAACAAUGAAAUACAACAUAAUGACAUGGGGGAAAAUGUAGUAUCUUUCGUCUUUCAAGCAUUGCAGUGAUACUAAAAUGUUGGAACAGCCCCUCGUACUCAUAUGGCUUUGGGAAGAGGAGGAGGAGGAGAAGAAGAAGAACACUUCAACUUUUGCGUAAAUGCAGGUUGCUCUGGCCAAGGUAACUUAUCAACAUAACAGUUGAUAUAUUCAGUCUGUUAAAAGGGAAUUUUUGAACACACAAUAAUCCAUUAGGUAUGCUUCUCAAAAUCUCUUUCAAGAAUCUUGGCAUUGUUGGGUAUUAUUGCUAACAAGUAUUUGACUAAGAUUGUGAUAAAAAAGGAGGCAGAAAUCAUGUGGCGAACAUUCAUUUAGGCUCGAGCAAACAGAGGAGGCGCUUUGUAGGAAAUAGAAGUGGAAUUAGGAGGAGGAAAUGAUUUUCUAUUCAAUUGUGGACUUACCUUCAACUCAAGAUUAUAUAGGUAUUUAUAGGACUUCCUAUCACAUAAGUUCAUCCCCUCAAUUUAAUUCUACUAAUUGCACCACAAUUUACUAGGUACACAUUAAUUAAUAAUACAUGCAUACAUGAACCACAAUUAACUAGGUGCAUAUUAAUUAAUAAUACAUGUAUUUCAAACUCCUAAAUUCAUGAAACUAAAUUAAAUAUGUUAAAUGCAUGUUUAUUUUUCUAACCCCCCCCCCCCCUUAAACAUGAAUUUUGCAUACUCCAAGCAAGCUUCUUAAUGCCUUGAAAGUAUUGAACUUGAGAGCUUUGGUGAGAAUAUCUCCAAUUUGGUCUUGAGACUUCACAAAAUUAAUCUUCACUACCUUGUUUGCAACGCAUUCACACACAAAGUGAUAUUUGGUAUCUAUAUCCUUGCUACAUUCAUGAAACAACGGAUUCUUUGCUAAAGCAAAUGGCUAAUUUGUUAUCCACACUUACUUCAGUAGGCUAUCUUUGUGCAAAAUGAAACUCAUUCAACAAAUUCCUUAGCCAAACUGUUUGUGUAACACAAGAACUGACAGCAACAUACUCAGCUUCACAAGUUGACAGAGUAACAAUUAGUUGCUUCUAUGAGCUCCAAAUAAAAGCUGUGUUACCCAUGUAAAAUACAAAUCCACUGGUAUUCUUUCGAUCAUCAAUGUCGCCACCCCAAUCACUAUCACCGAAACCUCUAAGUCUGAAAACAUUAGAGGCAUAAUAAUGUAACCCGAAAUCAAGAGUAUCUUUGAUGUAACGUAAAAUUCUCUUCGCAGCUUUCAAAUGUGCUGUCGUUGGAGCCUCUAUAUAACAACUAACCAGUCCUACUCCAAAUAAUAUAUCCGGCCUUGUACAAGUUAAAUAUUUCAGGCUUCCAACUAAGCUUCGAAACAAGGUUGGAUCUACCUUUGCACCAUCAUCAUAUCUAAAAAGUUUGAUGUUACAUUCUACUGGAGUGUUAACUGGAUUGCAAUUACUCAUGCUGAAUUUCUGUAUAACUUCUUUUGCAUAAUUUUCUUGUACGAUGAAAAUGCCUUCCUUUGUCUGCUUCACUUCUAUCCCAAGAUAAUAGGACAUAAGUCCUAAAUCUAUCAUCUCGAAUUCACAGCACAUUUUUCUCUUGAAUUCUUCAAACGUCUUUGGAUUGUUGCCUGUAAAAAUUAGAUCAUCGACAUACAGACAAACAAUCAGAACACCAUUAACAUUCACUUUAAUGUAGAGAGCAUGCUCAUAAGGACACUUGGUAAAGCCAUUUUCCUGAAAAUAUUUAUCAAUUCUACAAUUCCAAACCCUUGGUGCUUGCUUUAGGCCGUAAAGAGCUUUCUUUAAUUUCAACACUUUGUCCUCAUUUCCUUUUACUACAAAGCUAGGGGGUUGUUGCACAUAGACCUCCUCUUCAAGAUAGCCAUUGAGAAAAGCUGACUUGACAUCCAUUUGAAAAAUCUUCCACUUGUUUUGAGCAGCCAAAGAAAUUAUCAGUCGUAUGGUCUCUAACCGAGCUACUGGAGCGAAAACUUCUUCAUAAUCGAUGCCUUGAUGCUGUUUGUAUCCUUUCAUCACGAGUAUUGCUUUGUAUCUUUCCACCUCUCCUUUUGAAGUUUUCUUAGUUUUGUACACCCAUUUAACUCCGAUGGCAGCAUGUCUCAUGGGAAGAGUUGUUAAUUUCCAAGUAUUGUUAUUCUCAAUUGCUCCGAUUUCUUCAUUCAUGGCUUUUCUCCAUUUCUCAUCCUCAACAACUUCAUUAAAACUUAUGGGCUCAAUAUUUGCAAAUAGAUAGAAGAAAGUAAUAUCAUCAAUUCUCUCGAUUUCUCGAUAUUUAUCAUCAAGUCUUCUUGUACGCAAAGGCCUUUUACUUGAACCUCCUUCAAAAACAUCAAUUUCACCACGUGAUGGUGAUGUUGGAGGAGUGGUAGUCUCGUGUAUUUCUUCAUUGUCAUCUUCUUCCUCCAAGAAAGGAAGAAAGUCAUAGUAAUCUUCAUCAACAUGUCAAUUCCAUAUUGCUUCCUCAUCAAAAUCCACAUCUCUACUAAUAAACAACCUCCCAUAACUUGGAUAUAGAACUUGUAGCCUUUUGUUUUUGAAUCAUAGCCAACGAACACACUUUUUACUCUUGUCAUCAAGUUUCAAACGCUUUUCAUCAAGAACAUGGACAUAUGCAAUGCAUCCAAAUACCUCCAAAUGAGAUACUGCUGGUUUUCCCCAUUCCAUGCUUCAAGUGGAGUCUUGUGGGCUAAAGCCUUUGUGGCACACCGGUUCAACAAGUAGACAGCACAAUCAACAGCUUCUGCCCAAAAUUCGUUUGGCAUUUUCUUUGUCUUCAUUAUGCUUGUUGCCAUAUUGAGAAUUGUUCAGUUCUUUCAUUCAACAACUCCGUUCUGCUGUGGAGAUCUUGGAGCGGUUAGGAACCGACGAAUUCUGUUAGCAUCACAGAAGUCUUGAAAAUUUCUGGAAGUGAAUUCACCUCCUCUAUCUGAUCUCACAGCCUGAAUUUUAAAUCCACUUUUUUUUUCCUACAAGAGCUUUAAAAUUCUAAAAGCAUUUAAACACCUCCAAUUUUUCUUUUAGAAAAUACACCCAUGUUUUUCUACUGAAAUGAUCAAUAAACAAAAGAAAAUAUUUGUUCUUACCAAAAGAACAUAGAGUGAUUGGCCCACAUACAUCAGUGUUUAUCAAUUGUAGUUGCCUUGAAACUCUUGAUUGAGAUACUUUUGGAAAGACCUUUCUUGACUGCUUACCAAAAAGACACCCUUCACAAAGCUGAUUAGGCUGAUGUAUUGGAGGCAAACCUUUCACCAUUCCAUUGCUAGCCAUUUUUUUGAGCCCUCCAAAAUUUAUGUGCCCAAAUCAUAAAUGCCACAACCAUGACUAGUCUUUAUAACACGACGUCAAACACUUAGCCAUAUCAGUUUGUAUGGACAACACAAAUAAAUGAUUUUUCAACAUAGGUACUUUAGCAAUCAAAUUUCCUGCAUCAUCCUUUAAAAACACAUUGCAACCUUUUAUGAACAAAACAUAGCCUUUCUCCAAUAAUUGACCCACACUCAAAAUAUUACUCCUCAUAUUUGAAGCAUAAUAAACUUUUGAAAUAAAUUGGUGAUUUCUAUCUUUCAUAUGUAUCAAGAUUUUACCUUUCUCCUUUACUGGUAUUUUGGAGGAAUCCUCGAAUGUGAUAUUGCCACCAACCUUCUCAUCAAGCUCUAUGAACAAAUCUUUGUUCCCAAACAUGUGAUUACUAGCUCCAGUAUCAAGGAACCAAGAAUAUUUUUCUCCUUGCUACAAGUCCUUGCAAGCUAUUAAAAGAGUAGACUCUAUCUCUUCAUUAUUUUCUAUAACUUCUUCAUGAGAAAGGUUAGCUUUCGCGCCAUCACCACUUUUACAUUCCCAUGAAUAAUGUCCAAAUUGAUGACACGUAUAACAUUUAACUUGUGACUUGUCAUACCUCUUUUGAUAUGGUCUUGCUCCUCCUCUGCCAUGUCCUCUUGUUGAGUUGGAUUGAUAAUUUUCAUCUCUACGUUGAAAUGAAAUAUGGUAACCUCUUCCUCCUUUUCCAAAGCCUCGUCCUUUGAAACUUGUAUUUUCCUUUUCUUCCUUGUUUAUCAAUGUGAACUUUGAUUGUAAAACAUGCUCCAAUGGCUCCUUCCUUCUUCGAUUAAGCUUCUCUUCAUAUGCUUCUAAUGAUCCUCUUAAUUCUUCAAUUGUCAUAUCUUCCAAGUCCUUUGAUUCUUCAAUGGCAGUCACGAUGUGGUCAAAUUUCUCACUAACUGAUCUAAGGAUUUUCUCAAUUAACCUUAAAUUAGUCACAUCUUCAUCAAGCCUCUACAUUUGGUUUACAACAGUCACCACUCUUGAAAUAUAAUCCGACACCUUUUCGGAUUCCUUCAUUUGAAUAGCUUCAAAUUCACCUCGUAGAUUUUGGAGGCGAACUUUCUUUGCCUUCUCCUUUCCUUUGCAGGCAAUUUGAAGCAUAUCCCAUAAUUGUUUUGCUGUAGUAGCAUUAGAAAUCUUCUCAAAAGUGGCCUCAUCCAAUGCUUGGUGAAUAAGAGAAACAACCUUUUGAUCCUUCCUCUUAGUAUUUUGUAAAAGAUCCCUUUGUGCUUGGGUGAGAGCAGCUAGAUCGGUAGGAGCCUCAUAACCAUUCUCCACGAUAUCCCAUGCAUCAUGUGCACCAAGUAGUGCCUUCAGGCGGAUGCACCAGUUAUAAAAUUUCUCUUUGGACAAUUUUGGAACUUGGAAGGUGAUCAUGUUGGUAUUUGCUAUUGUUUCUAGUAUUGUGGCUCUAAUACCACUUUGUAGGAAAUAGAAGUGGACUUAAGAGGAGGAAAUGAUUUUCUAUUCAAUUGUGGACUUACCUUCAACUCAAGAUUACAUAAGUAUUUAUAGGACUUCUUAUCACACAAGUUCAUCCCCUCAAUUUAAUUCUACUACAUGCACCACAAUUGACUAGGUACACAUUAAUUAAUAACACAUGCAAACAUGAACCACAAUUAACUAGGUGCAUAUUAAUUAAUAAUACAUGUAUUUCAAACUCCUAAAUUCAUGAAACUAAAUUAAAUAGGUUAAAUGCAUGUUUAUUUUUCUAACAGGAAGAAAAAGCUUCUUCAAAAAGUUAAAUUUUAUUUUUGUGAGGAACCAUAUUUAUACUAGAGUGGGGCAUAUCAAAUCAUUCGAAGAUGUAUACCUGAAUAUGAGAUGAAAUCGAUAUUAGCAUGAGUUCGUGCAUCAACUUAUAGAGGUCAUUUCAAUCCUUCUAAAAUAGUAGCAAAGGUGCUUCAACGUAGUUUCUACCAGCCAAUAGUGUUUAAAAAUGCUAAAAGUUAUUGCAGAUGAUGUGUUGUGUGCACUAGUAAUAUAUCAACCGGACAGAAGAUGACAUUGAGCAACAUUUUGGAAGUUGAGCUUCUUGAUGUUUGGAUAUUGACUUUAUGAGACCAAUUCCUCCAUCAUACUCCAAGAGGCUAAUCAUUUUCACUGUGAACUGUGUGCCUAAAUAGAUAAAAGAAAAGGGCUUCCUUAUCCAUGAUGCCAUGGUGAUCGUAUGUGUGCGGUAUAUAAAAAAUUAAAUAUACAAUUGAUAUGGAGUUCUCAUGGCCAUGAUUAGUGAGGGUAGAACUCACUUUUGCAAUUAUUUAUUUAAUACAAUUCUACACAUGUAUGGUGUGUAACUUCAAGUGGCCAUUGCUGCUAACCUCAAACAAGUGGAUAGAUCGAAACAACUAACAGGAAGUUGAAAGAAGAUCUUGAAAAUAAUAGUAGAUUCGUCUUGCAAAGAUUGGUUCAUAAAGUUGGAUGAUGUAGGCAUACCACAUGGCUUCCAAGAUACCUAUCGGAAUGUCUCCAUACCAAUUGGUGUUUGGGAAAAUAUGUUAUUUAUCGAUUGAAUUUGAGUACAAGGCUGAUUGGACGCUCAAACAUUUGGACAUAGAUUUAGAAAAAGGCUGGUGAAAUAAGACUUUUUUGGUUGAAUGAGCUAGAAGAGUUUAGGUGGGAUGCUAUGAAAUCAUUGUAAUCUUCAAGGAGCGUACAAAGUAUUGGCAUGAUAAGAAUAUUUAUCAAAGAGCACUUAAAGUCGAAAAUCAUGCACUUUUUUAUAACUUCAGAUUGAAGCUCUUUGGGAGUAAAUUGCAAUCUAAAUGGCCCGACCUCCCUUAACAAUUGUUAGGUUUUAGUUUUGUUUACUAUUCUUCAGAGAAAAAGAUUAUUAUAAAAGAGUUGUAAAAGUCAAGGAGUCUGUUGGGAUAUUUUAUAAAUAAGCUAGGAGUCUUUGGGUUCAAGUAUGGAACAUGGAGAAGGAGUCGCCGAAAUUACGCUAGCCUCACGCUAAGCUUAUGCUCGAGCGUCCAAAGUAGAAUCAUCACACCGCUUGUCACUUGCCUAACGCUAGCCUAGCGCUCAAGCGAUGGUGUUACAUGUGAAACCCUGGUUCUCAUUUUUCAAAGGUUUUUUUUGAUCCAUACUAACUAUGAAGUUUCACUAUUCCCUGGGAUUGGGUUCGGGCCUUUCCUAUAUAGCUUAGGUAGAAGGCGAAUAAAGGACUCCUUCCAGGGGCUUGAGACAUCAAUGAGAUGCCACUCUAGAAGAGAUAGAAUUCUAACCUUGCGUUAAGACUGACGGGCCAUAGGACAGUCUCAGGUAGAUAGUUUCUAUGGGACAUAGGCCUCCCAAAAGGUAACGAAGCCGUGUAAAAGUUUCUUGAGGCUGGAUGGAGAUUGGCCUUUCAAUGCAAAGGUAGAAGGGAGUUUAACUGUAAGACUCAACCAUCGAGCAAGGACAGAGUUGGCUUUAGUGAUCUGACAAUUUCGAGUGAAAGGGCCAUCACUCAACGGAUAAAAGUUACUUUAGGGAUAAUAGGUUGAUCUUUCUUAAGAGCUCACACCGACAGAAAGUUUGGCACCUUGAUGUCGGCUCUUCGCCAUUUGGGGUUGUAGUACAUUCCAAGGGUUGGGUUGUUCGCAUAUUAAAGCGGUCCAUAAGCUAGAUUCAGAACGUCAUGAGAUAGUUCGGUCCAUGUCUAGUGUGGGCAUUAGAUCAUUGAGAUGACCUUUCUGUAAGUGUUAUGUCCUAUGUCCAAUCAAUUUUGGACAUAAAUACUUUUAAUAUAUAAUUAAUACAAUCUAAUGGCAGAUCUAUUAUUUAAUCAAUAGACAAUUAAUUUAAAUAAUAGUGCCCGUAGAUUCAAAUCUUCGUAAUUUGUUAAUCACAACGAGUUGUGAUUGUGAGAUACAAAUUACAUAUGAUUUAAUCUUAAAUCAUUUGUGGUCGUAAGUAAUAACGAGAUACAGAUAUCGUUAUUAUGGAUAAACCAUCACGUGUGGCAUUUCUUACUUGUGAAGUAAGUAGCUGAUCACACAAGUUAAAGUGUGGUGACACUUAAAUGAACACGUGGAUACUUUGUUGUAGAACAAAACAUUGGAGAUCCAUCGAGAGAUUUCACAUGGGUAACUAUCUGAGUGUCAGUGGUUAAUCUCUAACGUUUGGUAGUGAAAUUGGUCAUUUGACUUGAGGUCUUCAUGGUACCUUAUAAGAGGACAGUCAUAGUUUGGCGUUAUUGGAUGUUGCUCUACCAAGGGCCGCUAAUACGACAUCGUUCAAGUAUGUCAUGAAUCGUAUGAAGGUUGUGAAUGAUUAAUAGAGGACUUGUCACUCUUAGAUAGUAGGAGAUUAUGAUCCGCAUUUCAUUCAAUUAAGUCGAUAAUGAAAUCAUUGGCUAAGAUAUACAUAAGUCGAAAAGGAGAUUUCAACUUAUACUGACUUAAUAGUGGAGUGAAAGAUAUGAUCGAUAAUCGGGAUUGACCCACUUCCAUAUCACGUAAUUGAUCGAAUCAUAUUGACGAAGGAAUUGCAAUUUCACAAUAAACGAACGAGAUUGAUUUUGUCAUACCACAUGACAUUUCCCGUCACAUGUAUUGCCCUGACACAUUACUAGAUGUCAAUCUAGGACGGCGAGUAUGAAUUGAUGAUAAAUUAAAAGGGUAUUUUAAUUUAUCAAUUUUAAUUAGAUCAAAAUAAUAUUUCACGUCAUUAGGUAUCGUGAUCGGGAUCCUAAUGGGUCGCACAUAAAAGGAGAACUGGAAGAUUGUGAUUUGUCAAUUAAUUAAUUCAACAAGCGUUGGAUAAAUUAAUUUAUUGUGUUGCUUAUUUAUAGGACUGAAUUGAUUAAUUGGAUUAAUUAAUUCACGGAUCGAAUUUAAUUAAUUGAGUUAAUUAAAUAUUGGACGAGGUUAAGCCAAGCCCAUUCGGGCUUAUAUAAAUAUGAUUAUGGUUUUCAAAAAUGGUAGAGAUUUUUUUUAUUCUUCUAGCACAAGAAAAAUCCAAAUUCUACAAUCAUGUUCUCUGUGUGGAUCAUCAUUGGAGGCUGAAAAACUAGACAGCUGUGGGUCGCGAAUCAAAAUCGUUGGAGCAAAAAUUAGCAAAGGAGUUUGCAGAUCCCGAGAAAAGGUAUCACUUUUAUCACAAUUCUAUCUAAACACAAAGAGAUCCGUGGUGGGAAUUAAAAAUUGAUUUUAUUUUUUGCUGCGCACGUUAAGUAGAUUCCCAAUAGUGGUAUCAGAGCCUACUUUGUGUUUGUUAGAAAUUGCUUAACAUAUUGUGCAAUCAAAAGUUGGUUGUUUCAUUUUUUUUUUAGUUUCUAGCAAUUAAUAACUCUCAAUUUUUAUUUUUAUUUUUUUAUUGAAAUCUGAUUUUUAAAAAAUAAAAAAUAAAAAUAGAAAAAAGUGGAUCUAGACCAAGGCCGUAGUAGCAACCGGCGACACACAGCAGUGUUCUGCAUAGUGGCAUCCAAUGCCACUGUACGCCUGGCAGCGUCGGGCGCUGUUGCUAUUGUAGCAGCAGCGCCGACUGCUAAUUACAACAACGCUGCCAGGCGCUGUUGCUAUUGUAGUAGCAGCGCCGACUACUAAUUACAGCAGCGUCCAACGGCUGUUGGGCGCUGCAGCCUUUAGUGAAAAAGGCGCCGAUAACGAUCGACGCCUCCUUAAAGGAGAAGAUUGGGUGAAUUUUAUUCCUUUAGGGUUUCUGCUGAAUUAGAUUUAAAAUGAAGACAAGGCUCCAUCUGAAAUUUUGGAAAUUUCAGGCCCUUGACUGCAAUUUCAAAAUAGAGUCAUUUUGCAAUUUUUAAAAUGCGGGUUUGUCAUGCAAUUUUUGAAAUUGAGGGACUUGCUUUUAAUUUAAUUCUUGGGCCAACUUGCAAUUUUCAAAAAGGUUUUGAAUUUAAAUAUUAAAAUGGUUUUAAAGUUGGGUUUUUAUUUAUGUUUGACCCAUAAUUUUAAUUUUGACCCAAAUUAAAAUUUUAUUUAAAAUUGACAACUUUUUAUAUUUUCGUUAAAAUAUGAUUUUAACUUAAAUAUUAAACCAUGACCUUAAAUUGAAUUUUAUUUUAUUUAGGAGUGUUAUCCUAGAUUAAAAUAUUAAUUAAAUUUAAAUUAGAGUUGGACUCUAAUUUAAUACUUAAUUAAAAUAUGAUUUUAAUUAAUUACUCACCCGAAUAUAUUCUAGAAAUUAGAAUUGGAUUCUAAUUUAACAUUUAAUAAAAAUUUGAUUUUAAUUAAAUUGUCUUACCUUAAAAUUUUCCUUGGAAUUAGAGUUGGACUCUAAUUUAUAUUUAAUUAAAAUCUGAUUUUAAUUAAAUAAUUCACCCUAGUAUUUCUUGAAUUUAGAAUUGGAUUCUAAUUUGAUAUUUAAUCAAAAUUUGAUUUUGAUUAAAUCUUCCCACCCUAAAUUUCUGAAAAUUUUAGAGUUGGACUCUAAUUUGACAUUUAAUUAAAAUUUGAUUUUAAUUAAAUAUGUUCGCCCUAAAAUCUUGAAAUUAGAGUUAGACUCUAAUUUUGCUAUUUAAUUAGAAUUUGAUUUUGAUUAAAUUCAAUCGCCAACUCUAAUUUGAUAUUUAAUUAAAAUUUGAUUUCAAUUAAAUAAUCUUGUCCUAUAAUUGUGGAAUUAGAGUUGGACUCUAAUUCGGUAUACAAUUAAAGUUUGAUUUUAAUUAAAUAUGCCGCUGAUUAAAUAAUUGAUUAAUAUGAUUAAUUAAUUAUUUAAUUGUUCCGAUCCAUUUGUCUAAAAGAGCUUAGACAAUCUUGAUUGCAAGAAAUUUGAAACGUGUUUUCAUAUAAUAUUAGAUAUUAUAUAGGCAUACAUUUAUAUGAUGAAUGUAUUAUUAAGGGACGAUUAUGAACUCGACCAUGUGGAUGUAUUGAAUGGUUAAUUUUAUUCUUGUCGUUUUAUGAGCUUGAGAGCUCUUAAUUGUUUUGGGCCUACGAGCUCGCCGUUAUUGUUAUUGUUAUUUUGGGCCUAUGAGUCCAAUUUCAUCUAGGCCUGCGUGCCAACUAGUAUAGGAUACAAAUUGCAGCUAAGCUAAUUGAAGACACAUGGAGAGGAGGAAACCAUGAAGAUAGUGCAUUGAUACUGAUCAAUUCGAUACUCUCUAGGAAUUGACCAACUAAUCUUCCUUAUGGCCCGUAAAGAUUACAUAGUAAAGUCCAUAGUCGUCCACACUAAAUUAUAUAUAUGUUUAUUUAUAUGGUAGAUGUGUAAUACAAUAUAUAUCAUUAUAUCAAUGUUGAUGAGAUUUUUAAAUUCAAAACCCCUCAAUAAAAUAUCAAGCCAAUUUAUUCGCCUUCCAUCAUUAUAGUGAAAAAUCAAAGUCCCAAAUCAUCUCAGUUUGUUGAGUAUACUGAAGGCUGGUUUAUUAGGGAUAUGUUUGACACUGUGAAAUAUUUGAUAUUUUUGACUGAUGGGUUUAACUUAUCUAAUUUUUUUUAGUACACUCAAGAAGAUAAAUUUUAAAGGCAUAUUAAGCUAACACGUAAGAUUUGUGAAGACAAAGAAUUGUUAGCUUAAUGAUUUGAGAAUUGUAUGGAGAUACAAUUGAUAAUAAUAUCUACCCAAAUGUUAUAUUAAGGUUUGUUGAGUACACUCAAGAUUUUGGUAUAACAAAUGGGGUCCCAACCCACUGGGAGUCAAGUAUGGAUUCCAUAAAUUUAUGUGAGAGGGUCAUAAAUUUGAGUUAAAUAGUGGAAGCAUAAUUAAUUUAAUAAAAGUCCAUGUUAAAUUAAUUGAUGUAUUUUAUAUAUUAUUCAUUUUCUUUUCAUCAUUUACAUUUAUAUUGAAUCUUGAGCAACCAUAUGUUUUGAGUGGCAUAUUGGAUGCCAACAAUCAAAUCAAAUUUUCUUGAUUGACACUGCAAUCUAAGAAUUGUUCUCGGGCAUGAGAAAAUUGGUUAUGUCUUUGAGUAGCCCUUUCCAGAGACACCUGCUAAUGACUUGAUUAAGGAAGAUGUAGCUACUGUAAUAAACACAGUGAUGACGAUAGUACUACAGAUAUAUGAUACUUGCAACUAUGUCACCUGAGUUAUGAAAGCAACAUGAGAGAAUAGAUGCUAACACAUGAUUUUUCAUUUCAAAGAGUUGUAUGAUAAUAAUCAUGUGUGGGAGAAUAUGAGAUUUCCAAGCAACUGUGCCGAUGUGAAAUGAUAGAGGAAUCUUCAGUCGAUGCUCAAACACUGAAGAUGAUUGACGUUGAGAAAUGUCUCAACUGAGUUCACUCAUAAACCAUGAAAAAAGUAGUGAGUUGGUUCUGCAAUCUCUGUCAGAGCAAUCUAUUCACAACUAAUUAUGAAUUUAACGUGAAUAAGUUCAAAUGCACAAUUAUUUAGUUGUUGAACAUGCUUAUGACUGUUAUGCCCAGUAUCAAAGUUAGUAGUGGGCAAGUCAUUGAUUCCUCUAAGGAUAUUAAAAGGAAGUCUAAAGGGGCUUUGAGAAAGCAUCCAAUAUGGCUAAUACGGUCAAAGCGAAGGAUAAUACCAAAUCUAAUGACCCUUGCUUUCAUUAUAGAAUAAAAGGUCAUUGGAAGAAACAUUGCAUGGUUUACGUUUGCUUCACAAGUUUCUUAGGUAUUUGGUACCAGAUGUAGCUCUUAUAUUUAUACAAAUAUGAAGAAACUAAAUAGAAGUAGACCAUUGCAAGGGGGAGAAGUUAACCUACACAUUGAAGAUGAGCAACAGUUGUUGCAUUACCUGUAGGAGCAUACUUCUUGUCGUUGCCUUUUGGUUUAGUAUUGGAAUUAGAGAAAUGUUGCUUUGUAUCUAUUAUAACUGGAACAUUAAAAUGAAUCUCAUGUUCAGACAUGAACCAUUUUAAUGUUAAAGACAAUUGUUGUUCCUGCCUAUCUUGAUUAAGAUCUUAAUAGCUAUGGUAAGCUACAAAAAUAACAUUUAUAUUCUAAACACUAGGCGUUCUAUAAUGGGUAUAGAAGUUAAGAUCUGAAUAAUACCUAAAUCUGGCAUUGCAGACUUGGUUAUAUAGAUGAAAUGUAAUUUUAAAAUUACAUAGAAAUAUUUACGUAGAGUCAAUUGAUUUUCAAUGGUUUGACAAGUACAAAACAUACAUGUUUGGCACAAUGACCAAAUAUUUUUUUACUUGAAAAGGAAUAAGUCUGCAUAAAUAUUAACAUAAUACAUGGUGAUGUAUAUGGACUAGUGUCAAUUAAUGUCAGACGAGGUUUCUCUUAUGUCAUCAAUUAUCAUGCAUACUUGAUUAAAUUCAAGUAUGAAGUUCUUGAAAAGUUCAAAGAACUCAAGCUAGAAGUAGAGAAAUAAAUAGGUAAAGAUACCCUCACAUUAAAAUCCGAUCAAAGUGAGAACAUCUUAAAGAUAAAAUUUAGAUAUCUAAAAGAGAAUGAGAUUCUCUUGCAGUGAACUCCUCCAUAUACACUGCAACAUAGUGAUGUAUCUGAAAAGAGGAAUAGUAAACUAUUAGAUAUAGUGCAAUUAAUAACAAGUCAUGCAAAUCUCCUAAAAUCGUUUUGGGGUCAUGCACUGAUUGCAGUGUACUACACACUAAAUCAUGUGCUACCUAAAUUAGUUAACAGAAGUUCAUACAAGCUGUGGAAAGGCAAUAGUCCCAAUUCAUCUCAUAUGAAAGUUUGGGACUGUGACACUUAUUUGAAGCGCAUUAAAUCGGAUAAGUUUAAGAGUAAAUUCAAUAACUACAUAUUUGUGGGAUAUCCAAAACAGAUAUUUGGAUAUCAAUUCUAUUAACCCAUUGAGAAGAAAGUCUUCGUCUCAAGACAUAUUACCCUUUUAGAGAAAAUAUUUACUCUAUGAGAUGACAGUGGAAGCAAAAUAGAACUUGAAAGAGUUCAAGAGUCCACAUAUAUAGUUAACUAAGUAGAUGAAUUCGAGUUUGAUCCCAUAUCCGAUAUGGGACAUACUCUUGUUCAGGAAGUAGAGACUCCCGAGGACCUGUCGGUCUAUGUGAAUCUAGUAGGAUCAUUCGACCUUCAAGAAGGUGCGAAUCCAUGAUUAUUAAUCAGGCAUUGUUGAUUCAGGACGAUGAAUCUACUAAUUGCACAAAAACAAAGUCAAAUGUUGACUUAAAAGAGAUAGUAAGAGGCCAUGAAACUCGAGAUGAACUUGACGUAUGUGAACAAGGUUUGGACCUUGGUCGACACUCCUGACAGGAUAAAACCAAUAGGUUGUAAAUGGUUUACAAUAAAAGGUUGACAUGGAUGGGAAUAUCCAUACAUAAAAAGCAAGGUUAGUCGAAAAAGGUUAAGUGUUGACCUUAACGAAAUCUUUCGUCUCUAGCCAUGCUGAAGUUCAUUCGGAUUUUGAUUACAAUAGUUGCAUAGCGUAACUAUGGGUUAAAGCAAGCCUCUUGGAGUUAAAAUCUUCAAUUUGAUAGAAAAAUCAAAAUGUUUGAUCUUAUCAAAUAUGAAAGCGAAUUGUGUAUUUACAAGAAGAUAGUGGGAGUAUUGUUGCAUUCCUAAUAUUAUAGGAAACGAAAUCCCUAUAUUUCAAUCGUUAAAUUAAUGGUUGGUAAAGGAUUUUUUUAUGAAUAAUAUGGGGAAGCAACUUGAUCUAUAGAGAUAGAUCUAGAAGAUUGCUCAACUCAUCUCAAUCUAUACACAUAAAAUCUCGAGAAGAUUUUACGUAGAGAAAUUUGUUUACUCUUAAACGGUGUGUUAGAAAGGUUCCAAAUAUGAAACAAUCGUUGAUUCAAUAGUAGAAACCUAAUACAUGACUACUUCAAAAGUAGCAAAGAGUUGUAAUAUGGAUCAAGAUGUUCAUUAAUGAACUUGGAGCAGCUCCUAAUAUUGUUGAUCACAUGUCAUUGUAUUGUGAUAACAAUAGGGCCAUCGCAAAAGCGAAGAAACUAAGGUCUCAUCAAUGAUCCAAACAUUUAUUAUGACAAUAUAAUCUCAUCAGAGAGAUAAUUCAUAGAAAAUGACUAAAGAGAAGAACGAAUUUUCACAUUUGACAAUAUUGCAGAUCCACUGACAAAGAGUUAUCGUAGCAUAAACAUGAUUGUCAUGUAGACUCUUAUAAUGUUGGAUACAUAAGUGAUUGGAUAUAGUGCAAGUGGGAGUUUGUAAGUGUUAUAUCCUAGGUCCAAUCAACCCUGGACAUAAAUGCUUUUAAUAUAUAAUUAAUGCAAUUUAAUGGCAGAUCUAUAUAUUUAAUUAAUAGACAAUUAAAUUAAAUAAUAGAGUUCGUAGAUUCAAAUCUUCGUAAUUUGUUAAUCACAAGAAGUUUUGAUUUUGAGAUACAAAUUACUUAUAAUUGAAUCUUAAAUCGUCUGUGAUCGUAAGUAAUAAUGAGAUACGUAUAUCGUUACUAUGGAUAGACCAUCACGCAUGGCAUUUCUUACUUGUGAAGUAAGUAGCUGAUCUCACAAGUUAAAGUGUAAUGACACUUUAAUGAACAUGUUGAUAUUUUGUUAUAGAAUAAAAUAAUGGAGACACAUCGAGAGAUUCCACAUGGAUAACUAUUCGAGUGUCAGUAGUUAAUCUCUAACUUUCGAUAGUAGAAUUGGUCAUUUGACUUGAAGUUGUCAUGGUACCUUAUAUGAGGACAGUCAUACUUUGGCGGUGUUGGAUGUUGCUCUGCCAAGAGCCGCUAAUACGGCAUCGUUCGGGGUCUGUCAAGAAUCGUAUAAAGGUGGUGAAUGACCAACAGAGGUUUCGUCAAUCUUAGAUAGUUAGAGAUUAUGAUAUGCAUUUCAUUCAAUUAAGUGGAUAACGAAAUCCCUGGCCAAGGUGUAUAUUGACUUAAUAGUGGAGUGAAAGAUAUGAUCGAUAGUCGGGAUUGACACACUUCCAUAUCUCGUAAUUAAUCGAAUCAUAUUGACGAAGGGAUUAUAAUUUCACGGUAAAUGAACAAGUUUAAUUUUGUCAUACCACGUGAUAUUUCUCGUCACAACGAUUGCCCUGACAUAUUGCUAGAUGUCAAUCUGGGACAGCGAGUGUGAAUUAAUGAUAAAUUAAAAGGGUGUCUUAAUUUUUCAAUUUUGAUUAGAUCAAAAUAAUAUUUCACAUCAUUAGACAUCAUGAUCGAGAACCUGAUGGGUCGCACACAAAAGGAAAACUGGAAGAUUGUGAUUUUGCAAUUAAUUAAUUCAACAAGUGUUGGAUAAAUUAAUUAAUUGUGUUACUUAUUUAUAGGUCUAAAUUCAUUAAUUAGAUUAAUUAAUUCACGGAUAAGAUUUAAUUUAAUGGGUUAAUUAGAUAUUGGAUGAGGUCAGGCUAAGCCCGUUCGGGUUUAUAUAAAUAUGAUUAUGAUUUUCAAAAACUGUAGAGAUUUUUCAUUAUUCUUGCUAGCACAAGAAAAAUCAUAAUCCUACAAUCUUGUUUUCUGUGUGGAUAACUGUUGGAGGCUAGAUAAUUGAACAACUGUGAGUGGCGAAUCAAGAUAGUUGGAAUAAAGAAUAGCAAAGGAGUUUGCCAAUCUUGCAAAAAAUGUAUCACUUUUAUCCCAAUUCUAUCUAAACACAAAGAGAUCCAGGGUAGGAAUCGAAAAUUGAUUUUAUUUUCCACUGCGCGCGUUAAGUAGAUUCCCAACACUUUCCCUAGUACUAGAGGAUCGUGAAGGACACAUCUCUAGUGUACUAGUUAUCAUGCCCAUGAUAAACGUUGGGUAGUCAAGUGCAGAGUGAAUAACUACUGAAAGUAUCUAAGUAGUAAGCCCACCCUAAGAUGAGUGCUCUCAUAUUUUGACUUCCCCAGAGCUUUCGGUAACACAACGGAGAUAGCAAUAGGUUUUCUACCCAUACGAGGAUCAAGCGAUAAAAGUUUUGAGAAUUUAAGAGAAGGUCACAGCGAGACGAGCCUUUUAUCAUUACGAUCGGUGUCAAGUGGAAGUGUAGUGAUGUAUGCAGCUGAGGCAUCCUAAUAGACCGGUAGACUUGAACCUUGUUCAUACAUGAUCUGAUUAAUUCGAUCAGGCACUCGCCAUCUAUUCUCAUUUUUCAAAUCCUUGACAACACGAAAAAUUAUUGUUCAACUUUUUGACAAAAUGAAAAAACCAAAAGCUCUGCCCUCCAUCUCUAUCCAUCCAAUGGAUUGAAGGGCAGAAGGCCUUUGGUGUCCCCUCUAAUCAAGAAUUGGGGCCUCACAAUCACUAGUCAAAAGGCUUCUCUCUCGUUUAUUUCUUCGUUCAUGGUUCGAUAUUCUAGUAUCCAAGGCAUAGAGGAACCACACCAAUCCAUCCCAAAGUUGGUGGUUAAACUCUACUGCUGUGAUUAUACUAUAGGGGAGAUCUUGCGAAAAAAUAGCUGGACUCCAGGAUAAUAAAAAGCUUAACACUUCUCAUUCUUAUUCCUUUUCAAUGAAAAAGAUGAAAACUCAAAAGGUCAUCUUAUUCGAAAUCUCAAUUAUGACAUGUAAUGCCCCGACUAGCAUGGUUCAAAAUUUCAAUAGUUUAAUUGUACUUUAGCCAUAAACUUAAUAAUUAACUAUACUUCGAGCAGAAAGCAUAAAGAUUUAAUUUAAGAAUUUAUUUAAAUAUUAUAUAUUUGUAUUUAUCUUUUUUUUUACAACACAAUUUAAUACUAAAAGAAAAAAUUUCAAAAAUGUCUUUAGAAUGAUUUCUAUAUAUGUAUUUAUUGUUGAUGUGAACAUUAAAGGCAAGAAAUAAAAACAAAUAUUGCUGUCUUGUUUUGUAUCUCAAGCGGUAAUUGUCAAAAUGAACUCGUUUGCAUGACUAUCGACUUUGAAACUUCAUAAAAUUUUAAAUGAAAAGUAGGAAAUACCUUAUACUAUGAUAUAUCCAAAAAUUGACUUCCAUUGGUAACACGUGUUAUUAAAAUAUUUUUCAAACCUCGUAACAACUCAGUUGGAAGGUAAACCAGUGCAGUUAACUUAAAAUGACAUAAAAUUCCACAGACAUCACAAUGACAUGAUUUUCAGCUUUAUUGAAUAGCUAAUCGAUGAGGUUAUCAAAUCCCACUAGUUUCAUCCAAAAAUUCCAAAUAACGACUGAGUUAUGAAUUUUUUAAACUAAAGGCGAAAACUAAAAACAGCAACAUUAUCUAGUGUAGUUUACUUUAAGUGACAUAUAAAAUUCUACUGACAUCAGAUUGACAUGAUUCUAAGUUUAUUUAGUAGCUAACCUAUGAGGCUAUAAAACGCCACUGGUUUUGUCAAAAAAUUCCAAUUAACGCUUGAGUUACAAAUUUUUAAAAUCAAGGCAGAAGCUCGAAUGUCAAAGAAGUUGCAUAUCGACAUCUCUUUCACUAAAUAUUUAGCAUAAACGCCCCCAUGCCAAGUUCUUGAAGGAUAUUCUUUUCAACCAGAGGAAUAUGGAGGAACAUGAAUUGUUUGCUUAAUUGAGAAUUGUGAUGCAAUUCUUGAGAAAAAGUAACCUAAUAAAUUAAAAGAUUCAGAGAAUUUCACUAUACCUCAUACUUGUUUGUUUUAGUUAUUUUGAGCACACAUUAAGUGAUCUAGGUGCAAAUAUUAUUUUAAUGCCCUUAACUGUGCAUAUUAAGCUUGGAUUGGGAAAAUAAAAACCAACCAUAAUGUCGCUUCAACUUGUAAAUCAAUCUACUAAAUAUGCUCAGGGUAUCGUUGAUGAUAUAUUGGUAAAGGCAGACAAAUUCACGUAUCCGACUGAUUUCAUCAAUUUGAAUAUGAAGGAAGAUUCAGAUAUGCCCAUAAUAUUGGAUUGACCUUUUUCAAAUACUGGUAGGGCAUUAAUUAAUGUAUAUGUAGAUAAUAUCGUUCUCAACGUCGAUGAUGAACAAAUCAUCUUACUACGGCCAAAAUAUAUAUAUAUAUAUAUAUAUAUAUAUAUAUAUAUAUAUAACAAUCAAGAGAUAUUUACACAAAGUAGAAUUUACGAGUGAAUCAAUAUUUUGAAAACUGGCACGAUCAUUGACCCGGUAAAGUUAAAUGGUCAAAUCGGGGUUGAACCGGCUCGACAUGACAAUUAAACUAGCUAAAUAAAUUAUAUAAAUAAAAUUUUCUAUUAGCAUUUUAAUUCGAAAAUUCAUUAAUUAGUCCAUAUAUAAUUAAAGUGGGAACUAAAUGGGCCAAAAAUUACUUUAAGAUGCAAAAGAGCCCAUAUAUUUAAAAGUCUAAAUCCUGCCAUUUUCCAUUUAAUAUAGGGCUAUGUUAGUUUCAUUUCCUUACAAUUGUACUGUGCAAUUUCCUCUCAGUUUUCCUACGGGGGAGGUGACGACUCUCUCAUCCAUCGAUUUCUUGUAUAUAUUUGGUGGAAUUCCACUUCAUUCGUAUAUUACAUAUAUUCAUUUCUUUGUAAUAUUAGUUUGGGUUUUGAAUAUUUGAAUGAAAUGGAACACAAAGGCUUCACCAUAGAGAUGGCGAGGGCUCUGGUGACCAUUGGCCGACCAGAGACAUUGCAGUGAAGCUUUGUUAUCUGCUUUGCCUCUUCUUCUUUUUACAAAAUAUCAACAUGUAGAACCUGAAAAAUCCAUAUCAUGUUCCCCGGUUCCUGUUGCAAGGGAUGGUUUACCAAAUUUUGUGUUGGUUUCUUUUCAUCCAAUUUUUACCGUAUGAUCGGACUGGAUUUCAGAGUCAUUCUCGAUUUUUCCAGUUGAACCGGCCGAUCCAGUCCCAUUUUUAUUACGCUGGGAUGACUAGAAUAUUUUCACAACUAGUUUUAACUUGUACUAGCAAACUUCUAAGGGAAAGUGCGUAGGCCCAGGGAAAAAACCGAAAAAUUGAUCAAACUGUUUGAUCCGAAUAGACUUAAGUCAGUUUGGUCUAGCGAAUGAAAUCUAACUAGUUAAUAUAAAACCACUAAUAGGAUGCGUUGGGUCGAUUAUGGGGUUAAGGCUCCAACCCAACUAUUAACCGACCCGACCUAACCCAAUUAUAAUUUUUUAGUCCUAGUUCUUAGUGAAGUUUUAGUGUUUCCAAUUUUUAAAGAUUUGUUUAGAGUUCUAAAUUUUUAGUAUACUGCAUUUACGUGAUUAAAGCCCAACUUAAAAAUUAAAUAAACCAAAAUUCAAUACCUGAUAUUAAAAAACACGCUCAAUUAUCUUUUCAUCUUCUCUGUGGUCCCAAAAAAUGUGAAAAGUGAAUACUAUCAAAAUCAAAUUGUCCCCAUCGUCAGAGUCAUUGUCCUUCGUCUCUACCGCGUUCUCAACCUAUUGCCUCUCCAUUAUUGAAUAUGACGGACUAGAGGUUUGACCGUUCAAAUGGAGACAGGUAGAGUUUUUUAUUUGAUAUGGUCAAGUAUAGAAAAUAAAUGGGUAAAAUAAGUACUAGAGGGUUUACCUAUUCUAAAUGAAAAGUCCAUUAAAAUUUAUUGGUGAAUGACAUUUGUACCCGUGUAACCCUAGAAAUUAUUACCAUUGUAUUCCUGAUUCUUACCUAUAAAUAUAGGGCUUUGAUUUUCAAUAAGACACACAAAAAGUUUAUUGAGUUUUCUCUAUUCUCUUUUCCUCUCAUUUUAUAAAACGUUAUUAGCACGAAACUCUUAGAAGGUAGUAAUUCUUUUUCAUAAUCAUCUAUCACGUAUGUCAAAAUUAAUUUGAUAAUACGUGAAUUUUACAUAUACAUAUAUUGAAUCUGCAAUACGUGAUCUCAUCUUUCUUGAUCAUUAUAUUUUCUUUGUACCUCUCUUUGAAUUAAUUAAUGUUUUUGCCUUUACAUCAAUCCACGUGCAUUUUUAUGGAGAUAUAUUUAUGUUAAAUCAAUUGAUAUGCAUUAAUUCAUGUUCCUAUACUCUCCUUAUAUUUAGAUUAGCCCUUUACGUUCUACACAUGCUUAUAAUUUUUUUUGGUUUAAUUGGUCAAUGUUCUUUGUAAGCAAGCUUCAAUUCCAGAUCUCUAUUUUGACUGAUUCCAUACAUAUAUAUAAUAUACAAAUAACAAAUAAUUGUAUCCAACUCAUCUUUUAUCUCAAAACCAUUGGUUUCUGCAAAUUUCAUGCCUUAAUUGGUUAAUACUAAUUCAAUUCUUUUAAUUGCACAUAAUUAGAAUUUCGUGCCAUAAUAUGUGAAUAGUUUUCUACAUGUCACCAAUUUUUAUUUUUUUGUGUUUCAUUCGACUCACGUUAUUAAUUCAAAAUAAUAUUUUACAUGUAUUUGUUUAUUAAUUAAUGGUGAGCAAUUGGAUGUAUUAUCAUUUUUUAUAUGUUUAGUUAUGAAACAUUACAUUAAAUUUAUUUUUAAUUAUUGUUGCUCCUGAAGUAGCACAACAUUAUAAUUAAUAUUUCAGAAGAAUAUUAAUCAUAGAUCUAUUUGUUGUUGCUCUAGAAGUAGCACAACAUUAUAAGAAUAUUAUUUGCUCCUGAAAAGAAUAAAUUAUAACUCUCAAUAUUCCAGAAGAAUAUUGACAUAUUGCACUUGAAGAAAUAAUAGCAAAAUAUAAUAUGCUCCAUAAGUAGCAUAUGUUUCAAAAAACAUAUUAUUUCAAAUUAGUGCUUAUCCCUAGAGGAAAACACGUAACUUAAAGUCAUGUUGAUAUUGACUAUUUGAUUAACAUGUGAUGAUUAAUCAUAUUCUUCGAAAUUAAUUGUUUUUUUUAUUGUGUAGUUAAACAAAUGGCAAACAUUAUGACACUUGAGUUUGCUGCACUUGACAUAUCUGGUAAAAAAUUAUCUGUCAUGGAUACUGGAUGCUGAUAUCCAUCUCGUCUCAAAAGAUCUGGGAGAGACAAUAAAAGAAGGAAACAAUGAAUCUCUGCAGGAUCGUACAAAAGCACUCAUUUUUCUCCGUCACCAUCUUCACGAUGGAUUAAAAAUUGAAUAUCUCACUGAGAAAGAUCCACAAGUUCUUUGAAAAAAGUUAAUUGAAAGAUUUGAUCAUCAGAGGACUAUAGUCCUCCCCAAAACCCGUUAUGAAUGGAUGCACUUUCGUUUGCAAGACUUUAAAACAGUUAGUGAGUACAAUUCUGAAUUGUUCAGAAUAUGUUCAAAGUUGACUUUGUGUGGAGAAAAAAUCAUCGAUGAAGAUAUGUUUGGAAAAACUUUCUCCACCUUUCAUGCCUCGAAUGUGCUCCUGCAGCAGCAAUAUUGUGAGCGUGGCUUCAAAAAGUACUCAGAACUUAUAUCUUGCCUACUAGUUACUGAACAAAAUAAUGAAUUGUUGAUGAAAAAUCAUGGAUUACGUCCAACUGGUUCUGUACCAUUGCCUGAAGCAAAUGGUACUACAUUAUCUGAAGCAAAUACAAUAUCAAGACAAGGACGUGGACGCGGACGUAGACGUGGACACGAAUUUGGACGUGGACACGGACACGGACGUGUACGUGGAAUAAAUCAUGGAAGAAAUAAUCAACAAAGUUAUCAACAACAAGACAAUAAAUUAAAAAGGCACAAAGCAAACAAGAGUGGCAAAUCUAAAAAGGAGCAUGAAGAAAGUUGCUUCAGAUGUGAAAUGAAAGGGCAUUGGGCACGUACGUGUCGUAUCUCAAAACAUCUUGUGGGUCUCUACCAGAGAUCAAUCAAGGGAAAAGAAAAUUUGGAGACUAAUUUUGCUGAUUAUGUUGGUCCAAUUGAUGUGACUCAUUUAGAUGUCUCCGAUUUCUUUACUGAUCCAAAUGGAAAUAUUGACCAUUUGGUUGGGGGUGGUGUGAUACAAGAUAUAGAUUAAUUUACUAGUAUUUCUUUCGUUUUAAAAUUCAGUCUGAAAUAUGUUUUUUACUUUUCCGCACAAAAAAAAAACUCUAUUAUGCACCGUUUAUUUCAUGAUAUUAAGUAAUGUUUAAUCCUUUAAAUUUAAAUUCAAGUUUUUUUUUUUAAAUUUUGUUUAUUUUGUUAUAUUUAUAGAUUCAUGAUAGAUAGUCAAGACAGCUGCUUAAUUGAUAGUGCAACUACACAUACUAUUAUUCAAGACAAAAAAUACUUUUUGGACUUAAUAUUAGCUGAAAAUAAUGUUAACACGAUAUCGGGUGCGUCGAAUAUCGUUGAAGGCUCUGGAAGAGCUUGUAUUAUUUUACCAAAUAAUACAAAAUUAUAUAUUGACGAUGCACUUUAUUCUAGUAAAUCCAGAAGAAAUUUGCUUAGUUUUAAAGAUAUUUGCUGCAAUGAAUAUCACAUUGAGACGAUGUAAAAAAAUAAUGUUGAAUAUCUUUGCAUCACUUUUUUUGUAUCUGGCAAGAAGCAGAUAAAAGAAAAUUUUCAUGCACUCCCGUCUAGCAUGUAUUUUACAUUUAUAAAAAUGGUCAAAUCAAAUAAUGUUACGAACCAAAAGUUCAUUGAUUCAAAAAGUUUUAUACUCUGGCAUGAUCGACUUGGACAUCUAGGAGUCAUAAUGAUGCGUCGAAUAAUAAACAACUCACAUGGACAUCCUUUAAAGAACCAGAAGAUUCUUUUAUCUAAUGAUUAUCCAUGUGUAGUUUGUUCGCAAGGCAAGUUAGUCAUUAGACCUUCAACUACAAAGGUCCAUAUUGAAUCUCCAACUUUCUUGAAAAGAAUACAUAGAGAUAUAUGUGGGCCAAUACACCCACCCUGUGGACCGUUUGGCUACUUUAUGGUAUUAAUUGAUUCUUCUACAAGAUGGUCACAUGUUUGCCUACUUUCAACUAGGAAUGUAGCACUUGCUAGACUACUUGCUCAAAUAAUAAAAUUGCGAGCACAAUUCCCCGAUUACUCAAUCAAGACUAUUCGUCUUGACAAUGCUGGUGAAUUUAGAUCACAAGCAUUUGAUGAUUAUUGUAUGUCAAUUGGGAUUGAAAUUGAACAUUCAGUUGCACAUGUUCAUACACAAAAUGGUUUAGCGGAAUCGUUUAUUAAACGUCUACAACUUAUUGCUAGACCAUUACUUAUGAAAACAAAACUCCCAACUUCUGUUUGGGGUCAUGCCAUAUUACAUGCUGUAUCAUUGGUUCGUAUAAGACCAACUACCUAUCAUCAAUAUUUACCUUUACAACUUGCACUUGGUCAUGAACCUAAUAUUUCUCACCUACGGGUUUUUGGCUGUACUGUCCAAGUUCCUAUUUCACCCCACAACGUACUAAAAUGGGUCCCCAACGAAGACUUGGAAUUUAUGUGGAUUUUGAUUCACCAUCUAUUAUUAGAUAUCUUGAAUCUUUAACGGGUGACUUAUGUACUGCACGUUUUGCAGAUUGUCAUUUUGAUGAAAUGACUUUCCCAACUUUGGGAAGAGAAAAAUUAUAUCCUGAAAAAUAAGAUAGAAUUUCUUGGAAUGAGACAACUCAAUCUCACUUUGAUUCCCGCAGCAAUCAAUGUGAACAAGAGGCUGAAAAAAAUCAUUCAUUUGCAAAGAGUUGCAAUUCAACUACCUGAUGUAUUUGUUGACACGAGAUAAGUGACAAAGUCAUAUAUUCCAACAGAAAAUAUUCCAGCAAAAAUUAAUGUCCCUGCAGGACAAUCUGCUGUGGCAAAUGAAUUUCAAAUACGCCAGAAGCGUGGUCGAUCAGUUGGUUCAAAAGACUCUGUACCUCGAAAAAGAAUAGUACAGGAGAAAAACCAAUCAAAAACUUCAGAAGAAAUCACAUUAGAAAAGAUUGAUCAAUCAAAUAUUGAAUGUACGGUUCCUGAAGAACCAGAGGUGUUCGAAAAUAAUGAGAUCUCAAUAAAUUAUAUGAUAUCUCAUAAAUUAUGGGAACGGAAUAAUAUUGUUAUAGACAAUAUUUUUGCCUUUAAUAUGGCUCUUGAUAUUAUGCAAAAUGAGGAUCUUGAAUCAAAGUCUGUUAAUGACUGUCGAAAUAGAAAUGAUUGGCCAAAAUGGAAAGAAGCCAUACAGGCAGAAUUGAAUUCUUUGGAGAAAUGAAAAGUGUUUGGACUAGUAGUUCGAACAUCUGAAAAUGUAAUUCCUGUUGGAUACAAAUGAGUUUUUGUACAAAAGAGAAAUGAGAAUAAUGAAAUUACAAGAUACAAAGCCCGACUAGUGGCUCAAGGUUUCUCCCAAAGAUCGAGAAUUGAUUAUGAGGAAAUAUAUUCUCCCGUAAUAGAUACCAUCACUUUUAGGUUCUUAAUUAGUUUGAUCGUGUCACAAGGGCUCGAUAUGCGCCUUAUGGAUGUAGUAACUGCCUACCUAUAUGGUUCACUUGACAGUGACAUAUAUAUGAAAGUCCCUGAAGGAUUUAAGGUGCCAGGAAUAAAUGAUACAUGUCCGAGAACUAUGUUCUCAAUUAAAUUGCAAAAACCAUUAUAUGGAUUGAAACAAUCCGGACGCAUGUGGUAUAAUCGUCUUAGCGAAUAUUUGUUGAAAGAGGAUUAUAAAAAUGACGAUAUCUGCCCAUGUGUUUUCAUAAAGAAAACAAAUAUUGGAUUUGCAAUUGUGGCAGUUUAUGUUGAUGAUUUAAAUUUAAUUGGAACUCAUGAAGAGCUCAACAAAACUGUAGAUUAUUUGAUAAAUGAAUUUGAGACGAAAGAUUUGGGGAAAACUAAAUUUUGUCUUGAAUUACAAAUUGAACAUUUUCCAGAGGGAUUAUUUGUUCAUCAAUCUACUUAUACAAAAAAAGUCUUAAAACGCUUUUAUGUGGAUAAUGCACAUCCAUUGCCAUCACCUAUGGUUGUUUGAUCACUUGAUGUGAAAAAAGAUCCAUUUCGUCCACUUGAAGAUGGAGAAAAGAUUCUUGGUCCUGAAGUACCAUACCUUAGUGCAAUUGGAGCAUUAACUUAUCUUGUAAAUUGCACUCGAUCUGACAUAGCUUUUUCUGUAAAUCUCCUAGCAAGAUAUAACUCUACACAAACUCAAAGACAUUGGAAUGGUGUUAAACAUAUUUUUCGUUAUCUAAAAGGUACUAUUGAUAUGUGACUAUUUUAUUCUCAAAAAUCAGGAUCUGCUUUAGUGAGAUAUGCAGAUGCAGGUUAUCUCUCCGAUCCACAUAAAGCUAAAUCACAAACAGGAUAUGUGUUUGCACGUGGAGGAACAGCUAUAUCAUGGAGAUCUGUGAAGCAAUUCUUGACAGCAACAUCCUCAAAUCAUUCUGAGAUUAUUGCAAUCCAUAAAGCACGGCGAGAAUGUGUAUGGUUGAGGAAUAUGACCCAUCAUAUCCAAUCAUCAUGUGGAUUGACUUCAACAAAAGAUAAUCUAACAAUUUUGUUUGAAGAUAAUGCAACUUGUAUCGCACAACUCAAGGGAGACUAUAUCAAAGGCGACAGGACGAAGCAUAUUUCUCCAAAAUUCUUUCAUACACAUGAACUUCAGAAGAAUGGUGACAUUGAUAUUCAGCAAAUUUGAUCAAGUGACAAUGUGACCGAUCUAUUCACAAAAGCGCUGCCAACACUACAUUCAAGAAAUUAGUUCAUGAGAUUGAAAUGUGUCGACUCAAAGAUUUUCAGUGAUCAACAUCAAGGAGAGUAGCUAUACUCUUUUUCCUUCACUUAGGUUUUGUCCCAUUGGGUUUUCCUAGCAAGGUUUUAAUGAGGCAGCAUUUAAUUUUAAUGCUCCAAAAUAAUUGUACUCUUUUUUCUUCGUUUGAUUUUUUUCCAUUGAGUUUUUAUCAAACAAGGUUUUAACGAGACGGAUAUUUUGUAAUAUGUCAUUCAAAGGGGAGUGUUGUAAAUGAAAAGUCUAUUAAAGUUUAUUGGUGAAUAACAUUUGUACCCCUGUAGCCCUAGAAAUUAUUACCAUUGUAUCCCUAAUUUUUACCUAUAAAUAUAGGGCUUUGGUUUUCAAUAAGACACACAAAAAGUUUAUUGAAUUUUCUCUAUUUUCUUUUCCUCUCAUUUUAUAACACUACCCAAUUUUUCUUUCAAUUUUGUUGAUUUCUGGUGUAAAAUCUGGUGCAUUACUUUGAGUAAAAAUGUGUUAAUAAUAUGUUACAAAUUUGCUUUAUUUACAGCUUGCGGAUUAUGGAUUUGUGUUAAUUGCAAAAUAUGAGUUAAUAAACAAGUUACGGGUUUGUGUUAAGGGAAAAUUUUAUAUCUAGGAGUUUAAAUAUGAUCAAUUUCAAAACUAAGAAAGACGGUUUAAAUUUUCGAAAAUUGGAUAGUAUUAAAAUUUAUUUUUAAAUAAUUAAUUUUUAAUAUAUAUUAUUAAUUUAAUAUAUUAAAGUCACAUUUCUAUACAAUUUGAUCAUAAAUUAUCAAAUUAAUUUGUUACAAAUUAUUUUUCAAUAAAAAAUUUUAUAGGUCAAAUUUAUUUAUCGAUCACAAAAUCGAAAAUUUAUAUGUUGCAAUUUAUUUAUUGGCCACAAAUUAUAAAUUUUAUAAGUCAAAACUUAUUUAACGGUCACAAAUUAUCAAAUUAAUUGGUCACAAGUUAUUUUUCGAUCACAACUUAAUAAAUUGUGAGUCACAAUCAAACAUAUUAUUUAUUCGCCAUAGAUCAAAAAGGGGGAGUGGAGAGGGCGAUGCGGGAGCGGGGAAGAGAUGAAAAUGUUUUAGCAUUUGAAAUUGGGUGGCGGCGAGGGUUGUGGUGGGUGAUGUGUUUCUAAAUUUAUUUAAUUUUAUAAUAUUAAAAAAGUUAAAUUUAUUAUCUGAUUUUUAAUUUUCAAAUCCGAUUUUUGAAUUGAUCGUUUUUAAACUCUGAGUUGGUGUAGUUUCCACUUGUGUUAAUUGCAAAAAGAAAAAGAUUAUGCGUACUCAUAUUGGGUUCAAAAGCUUAUUAUUAUUAUUAUUAUUAUUAUUAUUAUUAUUAUUAUUAUUAUUAUUAUUAUUAUUAUUAUUUUAUUUUUUUAUUUUUAUUUUUUUGUAGUUUAGGCCAAAGACGAAACAGAAUAACCAAAUUGAAUCGAUCCGAACCUAUCAAUUUGGGUUGGUUUGAUUAGGUCGUUUUGGAUGGAAAUAUACCCAAAUUGACUUAGUCGAUUUUGGUUUCGAGUUGAGGUCGGCACCUUUUAUGAUAAAGAUGGUAACAAGGCAUCAAAAACUUUAAAAUGUGAGUUUUAUAAUUGUUUGAUUCGCAUUUAGUUGAACUAGUUAAAUUUCUUUUGAGGUUAGUUCAUCUUCCUUCAAAGUUUGUAUUUUAUGCUUUAUUUUCAUAAUCAAUAAAAAUAAUACAAAAUUGGUUACAGCCUGUUGAUGUGGCAUCAAAAUAUCUUCCACGGCUGCUGACUCGCAAGAAUAUAAUAAGUGGCUUAAAUCAAAAUUCAGUUUUAGGAUGUGUUUGAUAGGGAUUAAAAUUAGAUUAUUUUAAUAGAUUAGGAUAUAAGUUUUUGAAAUGUGUGGUUGAAAAGUUGGGAGAUCCAUGAAAGAUGUGGCUAAUAUUGAUUGUUUAACUUUGACCUAAAUUAAAAUAAGAUUUUAAUCAUUCUCCAAUAGGCUCUUAAAUUCAAAGUAGGCUGAAAUUAAAAUCCUCUUUUGAACAACUCUCUCUCCACUCAUGAUAUGCUCCAUCUAAAUAAUUUAGUUGUAGCAACUUGCAGAAUAGUAAAAUGCAGAAAUAAAACUGUUGGAAAAUAAUUAGUUGCAGUAACUUGCAGAACAGUAAAGCGCAGAAAUAAAACUUAUCGACUAAUUGAAUAUCGUGACAGCACGAUGUUUUAAAGUGAAAUUGUCCAUCGAUAAUUGCUACGACCUCUUUGGACAUUUACUUCCAAGAUACAACAAUCAAACAAACUACUUGUAUAGAAAUCACAAGUGGUUUUAUAACUUUCAAGUGUACUCCAGAGAAAAUAUGUGUAAAACUUGAGUAUAGAAAAUUACCGAAUAUGGAAAUUAUGGUUUCAUUUUUUGAUAAUAUAUUUCCAAUGCUAGUUGUGUGUUUAUAUAGGCAGAAUGGAUAUAACCAUUUUCACCAUGAUCCAGAAAUAUUUGGAACAUUUAAUGUCUUGUGGGUAAUGGUUGUUAACAAUGGGUUGUUGAAAAAUGGUCAUAUUAUACUGGGUAGUUUGGCCCGUUAAAUAAUCACAAAAAUGAUUAAAAUGAAUAAAAUUAUUACUUUAAUCAAGAAGCCCAAAGCCUGAUUAAAGACUUUUUUAUAUUACUGCUUGGGAUGUGACCUGAAUCCCCGACCUCCCAAACAAAUUUCACACUUUCCAACACUUGGGCAAUCCAUCUAAAUUAGUUAUUUAUUUCACAUAUUAUAUUUAUUGUAUAAAUAUCUAACAAUCUCCCAUAUGAAAGAAAGAAGAAAGAUAUAAAUAUUGCUCUGGAGUACUACAGAAAUCACGCAGACUUAGAUGUCUGUCGACUUGAACCUUGGCUUUGUAUAUUGUAUUGAGCUUACUAACUGUAGAGUGAACUAGGCCUUGAACUCUACAAUUAUAGUUGGAAACUGAGACAAUAGAACACACCUAUGACUUCUAAAAUAAUCAUUGAGUUCUUACAGUUGUGUUCAUCAUUGCUGUGAACUUUCCCAAUUUCUUUGAGUGUUCUAGAGAAUCAGCCUCAUUCUUAUAGAAAGCAGCCCCACUUGCAUACUCAAAUAGGCGCUUUUGUCAAGGCUACACUACAUCUAAACACCCCACUAAAUAUCAGUUAUAGUGAACAUUAAGAGCAUUAGCUCAUCCUCUAAUCAAUAUAGUUGGUACUAUGCAUCAUAGGGAGGGAUUUGGAAUAAAUCCAAUUUGGUACCCCCAUAGACCACUUCAAUAACUUUGUUGUUCCAUUGAACCUUGUCCACUGGAUCUCCAACUGAAAAUGUUAGGUUUCCAUUUUAGGUUAUCUAGUUUGUAAUGGGCUUUAUCCCCAUCAUCUUCAAUGUUUUUGAACUAGUUCUCUAGUUAAUUCUUUGGUUAAUGGGUCAGCAAUAUUAUCACUUGACUUUACAUAGUUAAUGGCUACAACCCCAUCUCAAGGAAGUUGACAUACAGUAUUGUGCCUCCUACUAAUAUGUCUAGACUUUCCAUGGUUGGAUGAAUUUUGAGCUCUUGAAAUAGCUGCUUGACUACCACAAUGGACAGAAAUAGCUAGAAAUGGUUUAGACCACAAAGGAAAAUGCAUAAGAAAAUUCCUUAACCAUUUAGCUUCCUCACAUGCCUUAUCGAAAGUUAAGAACUCAAAUUCCAUAGUAGAUCUAGUAAUGCAGGUUUCCUUAGUGAAAUUUUAGGAUAUAGUACAGCUCCCAAUGUAAGAACAUAUCCACUUGGAAGCUUACUUUCAUUGGAAUCAGAAAUCCAAUUAGAAUCACAAUAUCCUUCAAGUACAGUAGGAAAUUUGGUAUAAUCUAUUUCCUAAACUAGAAUGUAUCUCAAAUACCUCAAGAUUCGAAUGAGAGCAUCCCAAUGUUCACUAUUAGGAUUACUAAUAUACUUGCUAUGUCUAUCGACUGUAUAUGCUAUAUCAGGUCUUGUCCAGUUCAUGAGAUACAUGAGAUUACUGAUCGCUCUAGCAUAUUCUAAAGCGGAAACACUAGAAUCUGAAUGUUUUCUCAAACGACGGCUUGUACUAUAAGGUGUUUUAGCAGGAAUACAAUUAUAUUGGUUAAACUUUUUAAGCACUCUUUCUAUACAAUGUGCUUAGAUUAAAAUAAUUCUUUCAUAAUGUUUUACUAUUUUAAUUCCUAGAGUGACAUCAGCAACACCCAAAUCUUUCAUUUUGAAAUGGCUUUUUAAAAAUUGUUUUGUUAUACUAACCAUAUCUAAAUUAGUUCCCAUUAUCAGCAUAUCAUAAGCAUAUAAGCAAAUUAUCACACCACAGUUAUUUUUGAAUUUGCUAUAUAUGCAUUUAUCCGCUUCAUUUAUCAAUAACCACUUGAUGUCAAAAUUGUAUCAAAUUUUUCAUGCCAUUGCUUAGGAGCUUGUUUAAGGCCAUAAAAGAGAUUUUUUUUUUUUAAGCCAAUAGACUUUAUCAUCAUGGUCUUCUACAACAAGUCUCUUAGGUUAGUUCAUAUAAAUAUCUUCUUCUAAGUCUCUAUUUAAAAAUGCAGUUUUGACAUCCAUUGAUAUGUAGUAAGAUCAUAUGACGAAGCAAUAGCAAUUAAUAUCCUAAUAGAGGUAAUCCUAGUAACAGGUGAGUAAGUGUUAAAGAAGUCAUCUCCUUCUUCUUGUUUACAGCCUUUACUUUAAACUUAUCAACCAAACCAUUUGAUUAUAAAUGAAUUCUCUUUAUAAUGUUGGAAAAUAAUUAGUUGCAGUAACUUGCAAAACAGUAAAAUGUUGAAAUAAACUUAUCGGCUGAUCGAGUUUUGUGACAGCAUGAUGUCAUAAAAUGAAAUUGCCCGUCAAUAACUGUUGCAACUUCUAUGGACAAUCACUCACAAGAUACAAUGAUAAAACAAAACACUUGUAUAGCAAUCACGAGUGGUUCCAGAAUUCUUAAGUGUACUCUAGAGAAAAAAAUGUGUAAAACUUCAGUAUAGAAAUUACGGAAUAUGCAAAUUAUGGUUUCGUUUUUUGAUAAAAUUUUUCCAAUGCCAAAUGUGUGUUUAUAUGGGCAGAAUGGAUAUAACCACCUCCACCAUGAUCCAAAAAUAUUUGCACAUUUAAUGGCUUGUGGAUACGUAAUGGGUUGUUAAUAAUAUGUUGUUGAAAAGGGUCAUAUUAUACUGGCUUGUUUGACUUGUUAAAUAAAUUUGAAAAUUAUUAAAAUAGAAAAAAUUAUUACUUAAAUAAAGGAAGCCCGAGAGCCGAAGGGCCAAUCAAAGACUUAUAUUAUUGCGUGGAACGUGACCCGAACCUCCGACCUCCCACACAAAUUCCACACUUUAAACGAUUUGGGCAUUCUAUCUAAAUUAGUUAUUUUUUUUUCACAUAUUAUAUUUAUUAUAUAAAUAUCUAACAAUCCCCCACAUGAUAAGAGUUUUAGACUGCCAAUGUUAUUAAUAUAAUGUAAGCUGCUAUGUUUAUGAUUCUUGCUCCAUACCACCAAGGCUAGUCUUUAUACAAGAGAGCCUCCGACUGGUUUUGGGUUUUGUUGGAAUGACUUGAGUACCUUGGUUUAUUUUAAGGUUGAUUUUCUAUUGUUAAUGUCCAUAAAAUAAUUUACAUGCAAAUAUUACUGGCAUUGUAUUUUGUUUGGUAUUCAUGAAUUGGUCGUAUACUCACGUGGUUAUUAUUAUUAUUAUUAUUAUUAUUAUUAUUAUUAUUAUUAUUUUGAUCAUCAUCAUCAUCAUCAUUUUUUUUUUUGGCUGAAUUGGGUUUGUUUGAUGGCCGGAAAGAAUACGGGAAUAUGUCAUUCUUGUAGGGAUUAGGACACAUGUUGUUAGAAUGCCUCAAAAUUUUGAUUUGAUUAAAUCUCGUACCUUCAUUUCAAUCAUUGUUGGAAUUGUGUGGCCAGUGAUCGAUUUGAAUUUGUAUGCAUCCAAAAACAGCUGCCUGUUCUCUUCUUUCAUCAAACAUUAUUACAAUACAAACAUCCAAGAAACGUCUAUUUAUACGAAGUUUGAAGGAAGUUUCCUACGCCAAAAUUUAGGUCCUGCAUUCUGUCUUGUAACAUCAUUCUUCUCAAAGUCACAUAGUGUACUUUAACUUCACCUCGAACACAUAUUUCAUAUUUGGUACGUUAAAUUCUAUAAAAUUAAAAGAGCGAUAAGUGAAAUGUAUUUUCCCCUCUUAUUUCCCUAUUUUAUAUUCUUACAACAGGGUUUUUACGCAUAUUGUACAUGACUUCAAAAAAGUCAAGUAGGUCGAAACUAUUUAUAUUGAAAUUAGAUUGUUACAAACUAAGCCCCUUUUUGGUUUAACAUAAAGUUAAUAAAAAUUCAAAAUCAACAAUUAAUUUAAACUAUAUAUUUUAUGGAAUUCACAAAUUUAUUAACAAAGCAUCACAUAUUUCAUCAUUUUUUUAUCAAAAUUUUUAACCUUCAAUUUUUGUAGGGUUUAGGAUACAUGUUGUUGGAAUGCCCCAUCAAUCUCAUUUAUUUUAAGCUGUCCUUUCACAUGUGCUGAUUUUGCGAUUGCAUCAGUAUACCCUUGAUUUGGAUGGACUUGUUCUGUGAUUGUGCUUGACUUGAUCUAGAUGGACUUGUUAUGUGAUUGUGCUCAAGAUGGAAAGUGUUUUUACACCAUGCUCCUCCAAGUUCAUCUUUAAACUUCAUUCCAACAGUGGACACAAUAAUUUCCGUUUCUUCACCCAUGCUAGUAUCAUUCGGAUUGUCAUGAUCAGACGAAAGAAUUUUUAAAUAACCUGCAUUGACCAAAACAGAUAAUAAUCAAUUCUCAUAUUCGCACAAAACCAUUCAAAUAUAGAUGGCUAAUUGGGCAUUAGCAGAAGUUGUGUCCAUAUACAACUUACUGUUUUCAAGCCAAAUAAUCAUUUCUACAAUAAUUUGCUUGAGCAUUUUUCAUCUUCCGAUGGAAGCAAAUAAUUGACAGUAUCCUAAAGACUCUUGAAGGGUAGAAGAGGUGAAUGAAGAGGUCCUACAAAGUUACUUUAAAGUUAAAAUUUAACAGAAUCAGGAGAUUUUUUUUGCCUUGUGUCUCCCUCAUGGUACUUAUUGCAAAUAAAACUUUCCUAUCUCAUGAUGUCAUACUCAUAUUAUUUCCUACAGUAGAGCCAAAUACAUUGGGUAAACCCUAUUUUAACUUCCUAUCUGCCGAAGUUUUGUACCCAUUAAAUGUUUAGGCAAAUAUUGAAGAUGAUAUCUAUAACAGACUACAUUCACAACAUGGUAUAUGGAUAAUAGUGAGGUUUGGCUAUAUUUUAGUUUAUUUCCCCAAAUAUGUACGUCAGGAACCACUUAUCUGAAGCAAAUAGCCAUAACGAAAUUCAAUAUUUGCAGUUGAAACAAAGGAAACUAGCUUUACACAAAGAGAGUGAUAGAUGACAACCUACAGUGCAAAAAUUAACAGAAAAAAAAAAGGGAAAAUGAAGAUUAAGUUCGAAAAAAUCUUACCCAUGCUGUCGUUGCCAUUGAGGUUACCGGCCUGGGAGUUGUCAGCUUCGGUUUCGUCUGCUGCUUCAUCACAAAAUUGCUGACCUUCGACCAUGAAAGAUGGGGACAAGAUCGUCGGGUUCAUCAUUGUAUCGAUGCCGGUGUCAAAGUUGUUGUGGUCGUGGAAUGGGUUUUGCCAUGAUUUCAUUUCAGUUUUCGAAGGAUAGGUUUACGUUCGUGUUUGAUUUUGGAAUUGUACUGUAAACGAUAUGGUUCCAAAAGGGGGGAAAAGGCGCCUUUUCUUUUCUUUUUUUCACUUUUAUUGUUUAUUUACUUAUUUGUUAUUAUUAUUUGCAGUAACUUGCGAGAUUGGAAAUUUCAAAGUUCUGCCAUAACAUCAUGCUGUCACAAAUUCUGUAAAGCAUACCAUACGUGUAUCACAAUCCAAAAUAAUUUACCAUUAUGGAGAUUAGAAUUAAAAAGUGAACAUGUUUAUUGAAGAAAUUAUAUUCAAACGUAAUUGGAUGAACAAUGAAUUAGUCUUCUGUAAAAAGUAUGUAACCUCGUCUCAAUCUCAUAUAAUUGGAUGACAUAUUUUAUAUUUUAUUUUCUUAAAUAUUAAACAUAAUUUAUUAAAAAAAUUACAUUCAAACUUGUACAUCCUAAAUUGAUAUUCUGUAAAAUGUAAGUAGCCCGUCUCAAUCUCAUAUAAUUGGACAAACACAACUCAUGAUUAUCACACAUAAAUAAUCUAAUGUUAACAAACUAUUUUAUGUAACAUAUGAAAAUAGAAAACAAGAAAACAUGGGUAACUAAAUAGAGGAUUUUAUUAAAAUUGAAAAAGAUGUCCCAAAUCAUCGUCCACCAAGCAUUGUAAGAGUGACAUUGUCAAUAGAGACUCCCAUCUGGGAAGAGGUGACAUGACUACGGUUCCACUCCUCAGCAAAAAUUGGUUGCUCAGACAAAUCGACAAAAUUUGACACGACCUAUCCCGAGUCACCCUAUUGGACACGAAACGUGACGUGAGCUAAUGAUAGAUACUGACUAAAUGUCAAAUCUAUCACCAAGGCUGACAAUGUGUUACUGCACAAAAAUGCACAAAAAAUCAAAUACUUAUGUAAAAUAUAAUACGAUAGGCCCAAAAUAUUUACUUCAUGCUUCAUCCAUAUAAAUCGUAGCACUCAAUAUGUCGUGUGGCUAUUACUUUGAAAUCAUUAGGCUCUCCUAACUAUAAAGAACCAUUUGCUACCUAUAGGAAAAAUUAUGGAAAAAUAUGAGUUGAUAGCUCAAUGAGUGGGGAAGUCCGAAAAUAAUUACACUUUUUCAAUUUUAUAUUUUUAUUGAAAAUUGAGUUCAUAUAAUUGAAUAAUUCACAAGAUAACAACAUAUAAUUAUAGCCAAAACGUGAGACAAUCACAUAACGUCAUACAAUAUCAUCUCAAGGUCAUGAUGUAUAUGUCAGCUAGUAAUCAUAUUAUAAUCUCACCACAUCAAUUGUACUGAAAAAUCCACAAAAAAUGUCCCUUCUGACUAAAAUUUGUAAUCCGCCCCUUGGGCUAAGAAUUUUUGCCACGGGCCUUUUGGCCCCCUCCAUAAACGAAAGUCGGUCUCAAGACCUUUGAUAAUCAAUUUUAGAACACGACCAAAGCCCCUUAGUGAACUAUAUGUACACUCAAGACCCCUUCAUCCAUGGUCCAAGACCUCUUAGUAUAGUACAGAAUACCGCCAAGGCCCCUUGGUGAACUAGAAGAAAUAUAUAAUUAUGGGUACUUUUUUGGCCGAUCUCAAUAUCGCACAUGUCUCACAUACCAAGUCAUAAAUGUACCACGAAUAAUCUUUGAAAUUCCACAUGUAUCAUAAUAAAAUAGAUUUCUAUAAUAAUCAUAAAAUCGAAUACAUAAUUGCACAUACUUUACUAAUACACUUAAUUUAUAAGUACUUUAAAAAUAUUUAAUUUUUUCCAAUUACCAAAACUAUGUAUGCAAAAUCCACUCGGUUUGUAAGCAGUUCCCAUAUCUGUAUCGCCGCCUAAAAUAUAAUAUAAUUUUUAAAUUAACAAUUAACUAUUUUAAGAAAUUCUAAUACUUAAAUAGGCGAUACCAUAAUCUUUUCAUGUUUAAACGAUUUCUAAAGUUCUUUUAAUCAUUUAAGCUAAUUUUUAUUUCAUUUAACAUAAUUGUAUAACUCAUUCUACUUACUUCAAUAAUUUCCUAUCAAUAAAAUUGAAUUUAAACUAACAAUUUAAAAAACUAUAAAGCUAAACAUAACUACGCAAUAAGUAACUUUUUACUUACUUUUAAAUUGAAGAAUUCAAGCUUACUAGUAGGAAGCACUUAUUUUCUAACAACAAAGGUUAACUUUCCCCUCUCUCUCUCUCUCUCUCUCUCGCCUUUCUUCUUUCCCCUUUCUUUUCUCUCCCAGCUCUCGGUUCAGUGUCUGUUUUGUGUCGCGUGUGUAAUUUUAAGUGAAUUUGCUUUGGACAUAGGUGGAUUGAUUUGCCGCGCUACCAUUUUCUUUUUCUUUUUUGUUUUUGUUUUUGUUUUGUAUGUCAUGUUUGACUUUUUUUUAAUUAAAUUAAUAUAUUACAAAAAUUCCCAACUGAUCGUUCCAAGAAUUUUUGAAAUUGUAGGCCGGUUAUUAGGGAAUUCUUGUACGCACAAUAGUGCAAUGUGAAUGCACCUCACCAUCUCUCCCUAGAAUUCGACUUUGUAUAUUGUUUGAUCUAUGAAGGCUGAGCCAUUGUCUUCAUUCCAUAAUUUCCUUGCCUGAUACAAGUUAUCAUGUAUAAGAUCCUAAGGAAUAUUUGAAAACACGGAAAAAGGAGGGAAAGAUUACAAUGUGGCUUACACAUCCGAAAAGGCUUAACGACCAUUCGUUAUAGGAGAAGUUGGUGCUCUUUUUUCCACUCACAAUUUCUAACAUCAAAACACCAAAACUAUAGAUGGAAUUUUCAGAAAAUCUUCCUUCCAUUGCAUAUUUUGGUGCCAUGUGUCUACUGUAAAAAUAUGAUAAAUUCAUGUAAGUUUGAAACGUCCAAUAUUAAAAGCAAAUGGCAUGUUCAUAGUAUUAUUUAAAUACUGUGUGCCAAACAUGCCUUUAAGGAAAACAAUACUUUCGUCAAUUCAACAUUUGCUUACUAAGUUCCUACGACUCUUCCAGUGUUUGCUUGAUCUUGGUUGGCUCCAAAUAUUCAUGCUAUUCCAAAAUCUAAAAACUUUGGAUUGAAAACAAUAACAUCAACUUAAGAAGACCCUUCACAUCUUACUUAACUUUCAGUGUUUCUAAAUUAAAAACAAUUUAUUUAAACAUAGAUAAGUGAUUGUCUAUUGACGCAUCUUCAGACAUUUUGCUUAAUGAAAUAAAUCAAACGAGAUAAGAACACCAUGAUUUUACGUAAAAAUCCAAGACAAGAAAAAACUACAGGUAUAGGAGUAGUGUUUUACUAUAAUCAACAAUGAAUGUUGUUUACACAAGAUCUCAAUACUCUCAAUCAAGAUCUAAAGCUCUAUCAAGGCUAUAUCAAUGUAAGUUAUCUUUACAAUUCAUGAAUGCAGUAUAUAAACCCUAAAAUGAGGUUAAAGAAGGAUUGGAGUGCUGUAAAUGCUUUAAAAUUUGAAAUGCACCUUGGAACUAACGAAUCAUAGUUCAAGUGCCAAACAGGCGAUGACUCUACCGUUUGAGCAGUAAGUUGGUGACCAACCCCUUUUUUUGAGUGCUCAGUGAUAUUUUGAAGUAUUGGAAGGAUAAAGAACAGCGUGGAAUGCAACUUAGAAUGGUGUUGGGCACAUUGUGUAGAGAGUUAUAUGUAAAAAUUCAAGAAAUGUGAGUUUUAGAUUGAUCGAAUAGGUUUUCUGGGCCAUGUUGUGACUUCUUAAGAAAUUGAAGUUGAUCCAACUAAAGUGAAAGCCGUACCGAAGUUGUGUAGACCAUCCAAUGCUAGGAAAGUUUACAUUUUCUUAGGAUUGACGGCUAUUAUCAUAGAUUCAUAGAAGAUUUCUCCACGAUAGCUGGACGAUGACCAGAUUGGACAUUAAGUUUCAGUACUUAUGAGAGAUGUGAACAGAGCUUCCAUGAGUUGAAAUAGAGACUAGUUAUAGUACAAGUCUUAAUACUAUCGGAAGGUUUAGAGGAGUUUGUUAAGGAUUAAGAUGUGUGCAGAUGAAACAUAGUAUAUUGUUUGUAUAUGUGUAAUACUUUAACUAAUUAAAAAGGAAAGUCAACAAAAGAUUUGGUCAAAACUUAAAGAUUUUUUUUUAAAAAUAAAAAACAGUUAAAUAAGCAUGAUACAAGGUGAUGGAUUAGGAUAGAUAUCCACCAUAAUUCAUUACAAAUCAAACCCAUUUCAUAUUCAUUCACAGAGAGAGAGAGAGAGAGAGAGAGAGAAGAAAAGAAGGCCAAAAAAAAAAAAAAAAAGAAUUUGCCAAGUUGCUAGAAAAUAAGUGAUUUGUACUAUUAGGCUUGAAUUCCUCAAUUUUCAAAAGUAAGUAAAAAGUUACUUAUUGUUAAGUUAUGUAAUUGAGUAAAAUGAAAGAAAAACUAGUUUUUGUAAUUAAAAGAGACUUUAGAAAUCACUUAAAAUGUGAAAUGAUUAAGUUUAAGUAUUGUCUAUUUAAUUAUUGAAAUUACUUAAAAUAAUUAAUUGUUAAUUUAAAAAUUAUAUCAUAUUUUAAGGGGCGAUACAGACAUCGGGACAGCUUACCAACCGAGUUAAUUUUGCGAAUAUAGUUCUGUGAGUGGAAAAUUUUAUAUAUUUUCAAAUAUUAAUAAGGUACAUAUACUAUUAUAUAAAAAAAGGCAAAAAAAAAAAAAAAAAGAAUUUGCCAAGUUGCUAGAAAAUAAGUGAUUUGUACUAUUAGGCUUGAAUUCCUCAAUUUUCAAAAGUAAGUAAAAAGUUACUUAUUGUUAAGUUAUGUAAUUGAGUAAAAUGAAAGAAAAACUAGUUUUUGUAAUUAAAAGAGACUUUAGAAAUCACUUAAAAUGUGAAAUGAUUAAGUUUAAGUAUUGUCUAUUUAAUUAUUGAAAUUACUUAAAAUAAUUAAUUGUUAAUUUAAAAAUUAUAUCAUAUUUUAAGGGGCGAUACAGACAUCGGGACAGCUUACCAACCGAGUUAAUUUUGCGAAUAUAGUUCUGUGAGUGGAAAAUUUUAUAUAUUUUCAAAUAUUAAUAAGGUACAUAUACUAUUAUAUUACGUGAAAUUAUGCGAAUUAUUUGUUCAAUUACACAAUUAAUAUGGAAAAGUUCUUUCACUAUGAUAUAUGUGAAAUUUAAAGUUUGGAUAUGGAUUAUUUGUGAAUUGAAAUGCGAGAGAGACAUUUAAUAUUGAGAUCGGCUAGAAAAGUACCAAUGAUUAUAUACUUCUUCUAGUUCACUGACCGUGUCUUGAUCGUGUAAAUAUAGUUCACAAAGAGGCAUUGGCCAUGCUCUAGAAUUGAUUACUAGAGGUCUUGAAACCAACUUUCGUUCAUGAAGGGGGUGAAAUGCUCAUAGGUAAAGUUCUUAACCCGAGGGACAGAUUACAGAUCUUAAUCUGAGGGUAACUUUUUGGUGGAUUUUGUAGUAUAUUGAUGUGAUGAGAUUAUAGCAUAAUUACCGGUUUAUGUUUAUAUCUUGACUUGAGAUGAUAUUUUACCACGUUAUGUGAAUGUCUCACGUUUUCAUUAUAAUUAUAUGAUGUUAUCUUGUGAGUUAUUCAAUAAUAUAAACUUGGAUUUCGAUGAAAAUGUAAAAUUGAAAAAGUAUAAUUAGUUUCGAACUUCUCUACUCACUGAGCUAUAAACUCAUAUAUUUUCCCGUAAUUUUUCCCACAUGUAGCAAUUGAUUAUUUUUAGCUAGAAGAGCCUAAUGAUUUUGGAAUGAGAGUCAUACGAGAUGUUGAAUGUUAUAACUCAUAUUGAUGAAGCACAACGUAAAUAAUUUUGGCGAUCACCUAUUCAUUGGGAUGAAGAAGGUGAAAAAAGGGUUCUAGGUCCUAAGAUUGUUGAGCGAAUGGUUCAGGUUAUUGAUAAGAUUCGAGUAUGAAUAAAAGUAGCUCAAGACCGGUAGAAAAGUUAUGCUGAAAAGAAGAGAGAAGAUUUAGAAUUUCAAGUGGAGGAUAAAGUCAACUUGAAAGUAGCAUUGAUGAAAUGCGUGCUCCGUUUGGGUAAGAAGGAAACGUUAAGAACCUAAUUUAUUGAGCCAUUUGAAAUUCUAGAAAAGGUUGGAAAUGUGGCCUAUUGAAUCACACUGCCACCUGAACUUUCAGCAGUGCAUAAUUUGUUUCACAUCUCAAUGCUUAGAAAGUAGUCCAUAAUCCCAGUCAUGUGCUAGAUUUUCAAUUUUGUAAAAUACGUAAAGAUCUGACAUAUGAAGAAACCACAACAAAUAUAUUCAAUAGGAAGGUACACGUGUUAAUGAUAAAGAGAUUCAUCUAGUGAAGGUGCAAUUGCACUAUCGUGGAUUAGAAGAUACAACUUGGGAAAAAGAAAAGGAUAUCAAAGAAAAAUAUCAAGAGCUCUUUGACUAAAGUAAUAUCAAGAACGAAAUUCUUUUAAGAAGGAAUGAAUGUAAGAUCCUAGAAAUAUUGAAUAUAUAAUAUGAUAAAAUUAUUUAUAUGCAUUGUUGCAUGGUAACAAGUAAUUCAAGUUUAGAUUGAAAUUUCAAGGAAAGUUAAAGAUCAAGUGCAACAUCUUGAAGUUUGUGGACUCGAGUGUAAAUAAGUAAGAUAUUCGUUUUAUACAAAACAGAAUUUAUUAUUUAUAUGAUCAUCGUAUGAAGGAUUUAAGUAUUUUUAACCGUAUAAUUCAUAUUUCAAAAUAUUUGGAAAAUUUAUCUUUAAGUUAUGAAAGGAAUAUUUAUAAUGAUUCAAAUUAGAAAUUCGGGAUGUUGUAGUUUUCAAGUCUGAGAGUUGACUUCAAGUCUCUCAAUGGCUUUAUAUACAAGAAUCAAAAUAGAUUUUACCCACAAAUACCAGCAACCACCCCUUAUCUACUUAUCAGCAAACUUCUCAUAUAGUGGCAUUCUCCCGCAUAAAUUUCUUGGAAUUAACAAUGUCCAAUAGCCAAAUCCUUGAACUUUUUGUUCUUCUGUACCUAUUCAUACUACUGUGCCUUCCGCGUUUAGGAUUUUGUGCACAAACAGACACUAUCACAAGAAAAAAUUGUCCUAAAAGACCCCGACACCAUAUCAUCACGAGGCAAUGUUUUCAAAAUGGGAUUCUUUUCCCCUGAUAAUACCACCAAGAACCGCUACUUUGGUGUGUGUUUACAGCGUUUCAGAAUCAACGGUGGUAUGGGUUGCCAACAGGGCCAAACCAAUUCCCGAUUCUUCCGGCAGAAUAACGAUAUCACAAGAUGGCAAUAUCGUACUAAUGAAUAGAGAAAGUGAGAUAGUUUGGUCAUCAAAUGUUACGACCUCUUCGUUUAAUGCUAGUGCCCAGCUUUUGAGCACUGGAAAUCUUGUUCUGCGAGGUAAUUCAAGUGGGCGUACGUUGUGGGAGAGUUUUGGACACCCGUCCAAUACUGUUUUGCCCACAUUGAGGUUAAUUGACAACAUAAAUACAGGUAAUAAGGUGGUCGUAUCCUCAUGGAAAACCCCAACGGAUCCAGAAGUCGGAAAUUUCUCAGAGGGUCUCCAGGCCCUGAAUAUUCCUCAAAUCUAUAUUUGGAAUGGGACUCGUCCACACUGGCGAAGUGGUCCAUGGAAUGGGAAGAUUCUAAUGGGUGUACAAUGUAUGUAUUCUGUAUACACUGAUGUAUUCACAUUGGAAAAUGAUCGUUCAGGAGCAUACUCUUUCACUGCGGCAGAGGGGAAAUUCUUGAUGAGACUUACUUUGAAUUCAACAGGGAGUUUGGUUCAAACGUUGUGGAAUGAUAAGACACAGAAUUGGGAUAUGAUAUGGGUGGCUCCUCGUCAAGAGUGUGAUAUCUAUGGGAAGUGCGGACCAUUUGGGAGUUGUAAUGCUCUGAGUUCACCUAUUUGUUCUUGUCUGAGAGGGUUUGAACCAAAGAAUUUUGAGGAAUGGGGAAGAGGAAACUGGGCUGGCGGAUGUGUCCGGAAGAAACCAUUGAUCUGUGAUCGAAAUAAUAAUACGAGCGGAGGUGGCAAAGAAGACGGAUUCUUGAGGCUCCCGAAUAUGAAAGUGCCGGAUUUUGCUGAACGGGGACCCCUGAGGAUGGUAGAGGAAUGUAGAAGUCUCUGCUCACUUAAUUGUUCGUGCAUAGCCUAUGCACAAGACACAAAUCUUGGUUGUAUGUUCUGGAGCCAAGAAUUGAUAGACAUUCAGCAAUUUUCUAAUGUUGGAGUUGAUCUUUACCUUCGUCUAGCUUCUUCGGAACUAGGUACUUAAAGUUCUGCUGUCUUUGACAACUUGCCAUAUAAUGUUUAUGAACUCGUUAUAGGGUUUGUAAUUUGAUGUUUGGUUUUUCCAGAUGGGCACCAAGACAAAAAGCUUAAUAUUAUAAUUCCAAUAGUUGCGGGUUUGGUAGCCAUUUUGAUUUGUAUUUUCAUUUAUUGGUGGUUGGCGGCUAGGCGAAAAGGUAACACAGAAUGAACAGUGGAUAAUUUAUUGGGCUUUACAUGUAUAUAUAUGUAUCUGUCAGUUAAAGAUAUUGAUUUCCCUUGUGGAACCAGGAGCCAAAGGAAAAUUAGAUGCAAAGUUGUAUGAAGCUGGGCAAACAGGUCCAUCAGAUUCGGCCGGAAUAGUGAUUAAAGAUGAUAUGGAUAAAGUUUAUCUUGAAGAGUUUCUGUUAUUCACGUUCGAGACCGUUGCAAAUGCCACGGACCAAUUCCAUGUUGACAAUAUGCUUGGAAAGGGUGGUUUUGGUCCUGUUUAUAAGGUAAUUUUUUGUAACCAUGAGCGCCGAGUACUGCAUUUUAUAUGGCUCUUGUACUGAAAUUGCCGUUAAAUGUGUACGCAGGGUAAAUUGGCAGAUGGAAAAGUAAUUGCAGUGAAAAGGCUUUCAGCAGCAUCUGGACAAGGGAUGGAAGAAUUUAUGAAUGAAGUGGAUGUGAUUUCCAAGCUCCAACAUCGAAAUCUUGUAAAAUUACUUGGAUGUUGUGUCGAGAAAGAAGAGAAAAUUCUUGUUUAUGAGUAUAUGCCCAAUAAGAGCUUAGACUCAUUUCUAUUUGGUUAGUCGAAAUUCAACUCUAUUCUCUGUCCUUUCAAAACGUGUUCUACUACUAUGUUUUUAUAAUUUGCACCAUGUUUUUAUAAUUUGCUUUUAAUCAUGUAGAUCCUUCACAUCCAUCAUAGAAGAUUCUCGAUUGGAAGAAACGUUUUAGUAUUAUCGAAGGUAUUGGGCGAGGCCUUCUCUAUCUUCACAGGGAUUCUAUACUAAAGAUAAACCACAGAGAUUUGAAACCGAGUAACGUGCUGCUGGAUGAGGACUAUAAUCCAAAGAUUUCAGACUUUGGAAUGGCAAGAAUAUUUGGAGGCAACCAAGAUCAAGCCAACACUAGAAGAGUCGUAGGAACUUAGUAAGCAAUUGUUGAAUUGACGAAAGUAUUGUUCCCCUUAAAAGCAUGUUUGGUACGCAGUAUUUAAAUAAUACUGUGCACAUGCCAUUCAUUUUUAAUAUUGGAUGAUUCAAACGUAUAUGAAUUUAUCAUAUGUUGUAGCGGAUACAUGGCGCUAGAAUAUGCAAUGGAAGGAAGAUUUUCUGAAAAAUCUGACGUCUAUGGUUUUGGCAUUUUGAUGUUAGAAAUCGUGAGUGGGAAAAAGAACACGAACUUCUACAAUCACAAAUGGUCAUUAAGCCUUUUGGGUUGGGUAUGCCACUUUGUAAUCUUCCCUUUUUUUUUGUGUUUUCAAACAUUCCUCAGGAUCUUAUAUAUGAUUAUUUGUAUCAGGCAUGGAAAUUGUGGAAUGAAGACAAUGGUUCAACCUUCAUAUAUCAAACAAUAUACAAAGCCGAAUUCUAGGGAGAGAUGGCGAGGUGCAUUCACAUUGCACUAUUGUGCGUACAAGAAUUCCCUAAUAACCGGCCUAAAAUUUCAACUGUUCUUGCAAUGCUCAAUCAGGAAAUUGUCGAUUUGCCUGUGCCGGAGCAACCGAUUUUUGCCGAGAAGUGGAACUGUUCUGAUAUCACCUCUUUUGGGAUGGGAGUCUCCACUAACGAUGUCACUCUUACAAUGUUUGAUGGACGAUGAUUUGAGACUUCUUUCGCAUUGUUUUAAUAAAAUCCUCAUAGUUACCUAUGUUUUCUAUUUCCAUAUGUUACAUAUAAUAGUUUGUUGAAAUCAGAUUAUUUAUGUGUAAUAUUCAUGAGUUAUGUUCGUCCAAUUAUAUGAGAUUGAGACGGGUUACUUGCAUUUUACUGAAUAUCAAUUUAGUGUGCACAAGUUUGAAUAUAUUUUUAAUCCAAUUGACCGUAUGGUAAAUUAUUUUUAAUAUUUAUGACAAUAAGGAAAAUUUAUUGUCCAAUUAUAUAUGAAAAUAAGGAAAUAUUUAUCGUCCAAAUAGUGUGAGCUAACUCUAUACCAGUUCAGUUUUCUUCAUAUCUUCAAAGAGGAAGAUGGAAAGGUCUCUUGGUUGUAUUAUACUAGUGUGAAGUCUGGGACUGGGGGGUUCCUUCCUUCAUGAAGAAUUGGAAGGAAUAAGUUUUUCUAUGUCAGGGAGGAUUGGAAGUUCCACCUAUUCUAAGUAGAUAGGGAUGACAUGGUUCCUGUUCAGUACAACAAAAUUUUAAAGCUUUUGGCUAGAUAGAUGUUGUUUUCUUAGCAGAAUUUCCUUUAGUGGAUUUUUUGAUCUGUUUUCUAUUUGUUAAAGUUUAACAUACUAAUAUAAUUAGCUCGGAGACUAGACAAAGAAUUGAUAUAGCUAGUGCCUUGAAUGUUGACCAGAGAUCGAAUAGUUUCUGAUCCCUAAUUCCAACUUCUUCAGUGUCGGUCUUUUCCUUAGCAGUUCUCCCCUUCUUCCUAGAAAAUUUAGAGUCGUGACUUUGCUAUUUUUAUUUUCAUGAAAUUCUCACAAAAAAAUUGUCUUCGCAGGAUAAAGUCAGGAAAUCUUCAAAUUCAAAGCAACGAAGUAAGCUGAGGCAGAGCCUGAUGAAGCUAGGAAAGCCCAAUGAGCUUAUAUUAGAAAGGUCCCUACAGAAAAUGAGUGGCAAGUCCUAUUAACGCGUUGCUCGUGGCAAGCCCAAUGAGUUUAUUUGAUCUUCCUUCUCCACUAAGGUCUCUUCUUUACCAGAGCUUUCCUACACACGCUCCUCAGACUCGGUAUUCUUCAAUACCAGCUCCUUUGAAUUUUGACGUUCAUUUGCUUGACGAGAUGAGAUUAGACAUGGAGAUGAUGAUUAGCUAUUGUCCAGAGGCUUUUCGGGAUUUUCUGAGGGAUCCUAUACCUUCGCCCGACCUAGCUAAUGUCCUAUCAUCCAUGAGUGUUUUAGGGAAGAUUGCCCAGGAGAAAGCAAAAGUUGGACAAAGAUUUCACUAAAGAAAUAAUGCGGCUUUACUAUAAAAUAGGCAAGAUAAGUUUCAAAUUGAAGUUACAAAGUAUUUCAAACUCUCUCUCUCUCUCUCAAUAACAAAACUAUCUUUCUCAAAUCCUUACUUAGUAUUCAAUAAGCACUUUUGAGUUUAGAUUGAAAUUUCAAGGAAAGUUAAAGACAAAGUGCAACAUCUUGAAGUUUGUGGACUCGAAUGUAAAUACGAAAAAUAUUCUUUUUAUACAAAAUAGUAUUUAUACAGGGCGGACCCACAUGGAGUCAUGUGGUGUCAAAUGACCACACAAAAUUUUUGGUUUCCUUUUUUUUUUUUUUUUUUUUUUUUUUUAUGACAUACUUUGGUGCACUCAUUUCGGGAUGUCAAAUAAUGUCAAAAUAUUGCAUUCUUAAUACCAUUUUAAAGUGAUCAUUGCCUAGUUUUUCGCUCAUCCAUGAAAUGUGAACCAACCAAAUAUAGCAAAAGUUAUGAUGCAUCAAAAUAUGUCGUUCCAAACUAGUAUUUUGUGAAUCUCGAUAAUAUGCUAACUUUCAAAAUUCGUCGAUGAUUGUAUACUACAUCAUCUAGAAGCUCAUCUCGAGAACUUCAAUGUAAUCAUAUUGAAUUAUCCAAGUAAAUAUCGAAAUAGUUAAAUAUGCGUCAAACAUACGUCUUAAAAGUGGGGUCUAACUUGUCUUUUCUUCAAAAAAAAUUCAAUUAUUGCAUUAACGUUUAUUUUUUUUGGCGAAAUUUUGCAUGAAUUAUAACGUCAAAAAAAUUUAGGAUCGUCACGGAUUAAAUGUAAUUCGAAUUGCUUUUGCAUGAAUUAUAAAUUUCAUUUACUAGAAUUGACUUCCAAUAUUCAAUUUGAUACUUUGUUUUCUUUCUUGCAGUAUUCUAUUGGAGCUUAGUCCCCGUUUGGCCCCCAUUAUUUCAAAUUUUAAUGGGUGGAAUGAUAUUUUUUUAAAGAAUGGGUGGUUAAAAAAAAUAAUUAUAAAGUUUUUAAUUUACGUGAAAUAUUAUUUUAUAUGAAAGAUUGUGUGGUUGAAAAUAUCAGAGGGGAAACGGGGGCUUAACUAGUAGGUACAUGUUUUUCUUUGUCUUUAGGUACGUUUUUUCAAAAAUCAUUUCUUUACAGGAAAAUUCAUUUUUCUUUGUCUUCAGGUAGGGCUGGGCAAAUCUCCCGAACCGAACCGACCGAACCGAACCCGACGAUUCUUGUCAAAUUAAAUACCCGAACGGGUAUCUAAAUUGAGAACCGAUGGGUACGGUUCGGUUCUCAGUUCUAGACCAAGAAUCGAAGAACCGAAUAAGAAUCGAAUAUUUCUAAUUUUUUUUUUUUUAUAUUGAAUAAAUCAAAUUAUUUUAAUUUUAAUUUUUUCUAAACAAAUUAACAAUUUAACAAUUUCUAAAUCCAAAUUUUUAGCAUAAUAAUUUGUUUCAUUUCUAAUUUUUUUUUUUUUAUAUUGAAUAAAUCAAAUUAUUUUAAUUUUAAUUUUUUCUAAACAAAUUAACAAUUUAACAAUUUCUAAAUCCAAAUUUUUAGCAUAAUAAUUUGUUUCAUUUCUAAUUUUUUUAAUUUUUUGCCCAAUUACCCAUUUUAUUGUUUCAUUUCUUAGCCCAACAAAAUCUAACCCACUAAAUAACCCUAAACACCUACACUAAAGUAUAUAACGCUGUCUCGACUCUCAUACUCACUCUCGCAGCCUUCUUGACAUUCCAAAACCUAUACAAUCACCAGUCGACGCUGUGACCUCCGAUCAAAGCUAUGACCUUUGCCGACUGAAACUUUGACCAGAGCGAUCAUUUGAACAAGGUAAUCUACUAGUCUCUGACAUUUCAAAACCAUUGAACGUGUCAUUAGUUAUAUUUAUAUAUUGUUGUUAUAAAUGUUAAAAAAUUUAAUUGUAGUUCGGAAUCGAACCGAACCGAACUAAAUCAAACGGAACCGAACCCAAACGAUUCUAUAAUUAUAUUUGAACCCGACGGUUCCAUUUACUAGAUACCCAAAACUUUUGGUUCGGUUCGGUUCUAACCACGCCCACCUCUAUCUUCAGGUACUUGUUUUCUUCUUGCAGUCUUCUAUUGGAGCUCAACAAUCCAAGCAUUCCAACUAACAUCUCUGGAAGGUGGGUGGAUUGCACAACACAAAAAAGCCAUAACUACCUAGAUUUCAUCCAAAAUACAAUCUACAGAAAUAAACAACAACAAAGUUCAGGAAAUUUUGCAGGCAACCAUUUUUUCUCCUCAAAAAAAAAAAUUAAAAAUAAAUCCUCUAAAUUGUAUAUCAUUCGUCAUCAAUGGCAACAAGAAAGCAUCUCCCAAGUUUGUAUAAGCUGUGACCGCAUCCAGAUUUACCUAGGUGGCGACCCAAGGGGAAAAGCUACCAUUCCUCAGGAUUAGUCAGGCGAAAUAUGGAUACCUGAGUUAUUAAAAGAAAAAGAAAAAAAAAACAUCUCCCAAGAUUCAAAACUAUCCACGAAGCCUUUAUCUCCAAUGGUAACCUGCAACGACAUGUAUUAGGAUCCAAUUUUUCUCAAUAUCAGUAGCACUAUUAUGAAAUGGCACUCCUGUCACUUAUAUUUCUAUAUUAAAAAUAUUAACUAGCAAUUUUUUGGGUUUAUUGGUAGAAGCAAACUAACGCAAAAAUGCUCGUUCAAAUAAAAAAGAAUAAUAUCAAUUGGUGCAUGAGUUAGAGAUGACCUUACUAACGAAGUUUCGUUAAGAUGCAAUUUCAAUUUUUCAUCCAAUAAGAGUUCUAAAUGAUACUAUUUCUAUCCAAAUUUGACACAUUCAAACAUCUCAAAAUUUAAUAUUCAAUAAAAUUAAGCUAAGACUCAAUCAUUCUUAAAAUUGCUUGUUAGAUAAUAUGUGCUUAUUCAAUUGAACAUUAUAAUGCUACUUUCUGCCAAAUCUUAUUUAUAUCAAAGUUUAAAUCUAUCAAAUUUAAAAUUUUGUACUUAAAUAUAUUAGGAAAAAAACUAAUAAACGAUAUUUAAUAAAUGAAGGAAAAUAAAUUAAAUAGGACGAACAAGUACGAUAACGGUAUAAAGAACACAACUUUGUCAACAAAAUGGUAAACAAAAUUUUACAAGUAGCAAAAUCCACUUAACAAUAUUGAUAAUGAUAUAAUUAUAAGAUAUUUUCAAAGCAGCAACCAAACCUUUAUCUACUUAUUAACAAAGUUAUCAUAUAAUGGCAUUUUCCCCCAUAAAUUUCUUUGAAUUAACUAUGUCUUCAAGAGAUGCUGUGAUUAUGGAAAAUAUGGCGCCUUGAAAAAUAGCUGGGAUUGGUACAAUGAAGAUUAGAAUAUUUAAUGGAGCAAUCAGAGCACUUGCUAAUGUAAGGUACGUUCUAGAACUGAAGAGAAAUCUGAUAUCUUUAAGUACCCUUAAUUUUAAGGGGUACAGAUACACUGAUGAAGGUAGAGUUUUGAAGGUAAGAAGAGGAGUUCUUGUUGUCAUGAAGAGACAUAAAACGUCCACUCAUUUGUAUAAUUUGCAAGGUUCUACAGUUAUAGAGGAUGCAGCACUACUUCUUCUUUGGCAAAUAGAGAGUUACUAAGAUUUGGUAUAUGCAACUUGCGCAUAUAAGUGAGAAUGGUAUAACAAAAUUAAGCAAGAGAUGACUUCUUGAUGGACCACAGGACCAAUAAGGUGAAGUUAUGUGAGCAUUGUAUCUCUGGUAAAUAGAAAAGGUCAGAUUGACAAAAGAAAGACACAAUACAAAGGAAACACUUGAUUAUAUCUAUUCAUAUCCUCGGGACCGGAUAUGGUGCCUUCUAAAGGGAGUGCUUAUUACUUGUUAACAGUGAUUGAUAAUUUCUCCAAAAAAGACUUUGUUAUUCCUCUUGAAACAGAAGCAUAAUGUGUUUCCUACCUUCAAAGAUUGAAAAGCAGAUUAGGAUACAGGUAAAAUGUCUACGCAUAGAUAAUGGGUUGGAGUUUUGUUCAAAUGAAUCUACAAAUCAGAAGGGAUUUUAAGACACUUGACAAUACAUUGAACUCUGCAUCGAAAUGGUAUGGUAGAACUAAUGUAUAGAACGUUGAUGAAAAAUGUUCGUUGUAUGCUCUCAAACGCUGGUUGCCUCAAAAAUUUUGGGCUGAAACUGCUACUACAACUUGUUUUCUCCUUAAUCGCUUAGUUAUCAUUGAGAAAAAGAUACUAGAAGGGAUAUGUCUUGGUAAUCCUUCUAGUUAUUUUGAUUUAAAAAUAUUUGGAUGCCCCAGCAUACGCUCAUGUAAAUAAUGGAAAGCUAGAACCAAGGUCCAGAAAGUACAUCUUUCUUGGUUAUAAAUCUGGUGUGAAGGGAUAUAAAUUGCAAUUUUCAAAAGGAAGAAAAGUGAUGGUUAGUAGAGAUGUAGUGUUUGAUGAACUUGCAAUGGUUCAAAAAUUGCCCCAUGGAGAUUUCGAUAAAAUUGAACAAUAGAAUCAAAAUACUUAGAUGAAGUUGGAAAUUAGUUUAGGAAAGAAAUCAGAGGCUUUAGACAAAUCAAGUUUAGAGUUGAAAGACAAUAGUACUUUGCCUCCACCACCAUUACCAUCGCAGUAUUGGAUAGUGAAGGAUGGAUAUCUCAGAGAGAUUUAACCUUUACAGAAAUAUAGAGAAGUAAAAUUUGUAGCUUAUGCAUUGAAUGUGACUGACAGUAUUGAUUCUGCUGAAGAGCCUGCUACAUACUCAGAAAUAGUAAGUUGUAGUGAUUUUGGAAAAUUGUUGAUUGCUAUGCAAAAAGAGAUGGAGUCAUUUAAUAAAGAUAGUGCAUGGGACUUAGUAAAAUUACCCAAGGAGAAGAAGUUGUUUGCUACAAGUUGAUGUUCAAGAAAGGAAUGUAAAUCAAGAAUUGAAGAGGCCAAGGUACAAGGCCAGGUUAUUAGAUAAGGAUUACAAUUAGAUUCUAGGUGUUGACUUCAUAGAUGUGUUUUUACCGGUUUAAAGCAUAGAUGAUUUGAGCUUUGCUUUGGGUUGUGGCUAGGGAUGACUUGGAGUUUAAGUAGAUAGAUAUCAAGACAACAUUCUUACAUAGAAUACUUGAGGACAACAUUUAUAUACAACAAUAAGAGAGAUUCAUAGUUACUAGAAAAGAGCACUAUGUGUGCUUAUUGAAGAGGUCUUUAUAUGGACUAAAACAAUUACUAAUAUAAUAGUAUAAGAUAUUUGAUUCGUUCGUCACUACUUAUAACUUUAUCAAAAGUCGUUAUGAUGGUUAAGUGUACUUCAGAAAGUGUGAUAACAUGUCGGUUACAUAUAUAUUGCUGUAUGUUAAUGACAGCUAAAGAUAAAAUAGACGUCGAAAAGGUGAAAGCUUAGCUUAAUCAAGAGUUCAAGAUUAAUGAUUUGGGUAUAGCAAGGAAGAUUCUUGGUAUAAAGAUUUUGAGGGACAAGAAAGCUGAAAGAUUGUAUUUUAGUCAGAAAGGGCGCACUGAGAAACUAUUUUAUGGAUUCAAUAUGUUGAAUGCAAAGGUUAUCAGUACUCUAUGGGCUGCCCACUUUGCAUUACCAUCUAAUUUGUGUCCAUUGUCAAAUGAAGACAUAGACUAUAUAUCUCGAGUUUCUUAUUUAAGUGCAAGGGGUUCGCUUAUCUAUGCUAUGGUUUUGCAAGCCCGAAUUUGGUAUAUCAAUCAGUGUAGUUAGCAGAUACCUACAAAAUCAUGGCAAGGAACAUUGGAAAUGCAACUUGAUAAAUAUUUAGAUACUGGAGUUGCUCCACUAAUGCUUGUUUGCAUUUUUGUAUGAAUACAGAUGAAGUCAUUGGUUAUGUAAAUUCAGAUUAUGUAGUAAAUCUUAGUAAGGGAGAGAUGAAUCAUAGGGUAUGUGUAAUGAGUUGUUAGUUGAAAGGCUAUUUUAUAGAAUAUAGUAGCAUUGCCUACAACAAAGGCAGGUUAUUAUAGAAGUAUAUAAGAAGGCUAUGUUUUUUAGAGUUUUGAUUGGUAAAAUAAUUAAAAACUCGCAAAUUUCUAUAUUUUAGUGUAAUAAUCAGAAUGCUAUGUUUUUUACAUAGGAUCUGAUCUUUCAUGAGAGGACAAAGCAUAUUGAUGUGAGGCAUUACUUUGCACAUAAAGUAAUUGCUUGUGGAGAUAUUGUAGUGAACAAUGUUCAUAUAAAUGAGAAUCUCGUUGAUAAGAUGACAAAAAAACUUCCUAUUGCUAAAUUUUAGCAUUACUUGAAUUUAGUUGGUAUUUGUUAUUGAUUUAACCCUUGGGGCUUGUGUGGAAGAUGUGGAGUAGCUGCGAAAGAGAGUGGUAUAAUUUCUUGCAUUGGAAUUUGGUUCAAGGUGGAGAAUUGUUGAAUUGUGACCCAAAUUCUAUUGGAUAUUAGUAUUUUGUUUGAAGAGGACUUGAAGAGGUCAAAUUAUAGACCAAGGAGACAGUCUUGGUGCAUUUUCACGUAUUAAAUGCCUAUCUCCCACACCGGCUCUCAAAACAGAGGAGCUGGCACUCGCUUUAGUGGCAAUUCCUUAAGUCCAAGGCCCGUUUCGCAUUGUAACGUGUUUUUAGAAUUUCAAUCAUUCUAUAAAUCUAUUUUUAAGGGAUAUAUGUAGCAUUCACAGCUUGUAAACAUAACGAAACACUAUUAUACAGUCUUAAAAGAGCUUUAGAUCUAGAUUAAGAGCAUCACUAUCUUGUGUAAAUAACAUUUAUUAUUAAUUAGAGUGAAAUACUCCUCCUCCACCUGUGGUUUUUUCCAAUCUCGAAUUUUCAUGUAAAAUCUUGCUAUUUUUGUCUUGUCUGAUUUAUUUCAUUAUUGACUUUAUAUUGCACUUAUUUCAUAACAUAAUACUACAACAAACUUAUCUAGAUAUUGUUGAAAAUCCCUAUUCACUAGAUCCAUGAAUACUAUGGGAGCAUUAGUUACACUAAAUGGCAUAACUAUAAACUUAUAUGCCCAAAGCAAGUCUUGAACGUUGUCUUUAGAAUGUCACAUUACUUAACCUUCAGUUGAUGAUAUAUUGACCUUAAGUCAAUCUUGGAAAUUACCAUAGCUUUCUUCAACUAAUCAAACAGAUCUUUAAUUCUCAAAAGCUGAUACUUGUGUUUUGAUGGUCAAAUGAUUUAACUCCCAAUAAUCUAUAUGCAUAAUCAUUGAUCUAUCUUUCUUCUUGACAAAAUUACUGAAGCACCCUAUGAAGAAAUGCUUGGUUGGAUAAAAACCUUAUCCAACAACUCUUGCAGUUGUAGUUUCAACUUCUGCAAUUCUUUCAGCGCCGUUUCAUAAAGAGUCUUAGAUACUGGGCUUCCUUUUGGUACUCGAUCAAUUGGAAAUCUAGUUCCAACAACUCUAGCUCGUUGACUGAUUAUCGGUCCCAUUCGUCCAACCUCAACCCAUAAUAUAUGAACUUUACGGAUGUUUUGGCCAAGGUCGUGCGAAGAGUUUCUUACAAAGCAUGAAUACUCUUGAAUAAGAAGUUGCCUACGACUAGGUUAUUGACAUAUCCUGUCAUCUUUCUAGCAAUUCUUACAUUCUAACCAUUUGUCAUACCAAGCCCUCUAUCAUAUUCGUUUAAUUUUUUUUAGUUCAAUUUUCUUUUCAUGCUCUUUAGUUUAUGUCAAGAAAACACUAGAUCAUACUUAAAAUUUUCUCUUGAAGUAAGGGACAUUUACAUGUAAAGAACAUUUCAAGCACUCUUGCAAACUAUGUUGACAUUUCAUUCUUUAAAUUUAAAUAGGAUAGUUAAUGUACGAGGCAAACUUUUUCAAAAAUAAACUUUGACUUACAAAUUUGAUCAUGCUACGCAUAAUACUAUAAAGUCUAGUACAAAAGAUCAAUUUUUUUUUUUUUUACAUGCCUUUGAAUUAGAGGAAGAGAAUCAAUUGGUGUGUGUUAGUAACCAAGGAUCAAUCUCUCAUUCAUCUUUUCUUAAUAUCUUAAAUCAUGUAAAUCAUAGUUCUCAAAUAAAACGUAUAAACAAUAUGGUUGUAUAUCUCACUUAGUUUCAUAAAACAAUACUAUUUGGCUUUCAAAAAAUGAAAAUCAAGUUCAAAAUCUCAUGGUGAUAAUUCUGUAUGUUGACAUUUAAUGCCCUACAAAAUUUGGUACAUAAAUAAUAUGUUUGAGACGGUUAUACAACUAGACACUAUACUUAAAAUACUUUACAACUUGGACUAUUUUCAUGGACUAUAAAACGUCAUUCUCGAUGAUUGUCUUGGAGAGUCAUUUAUAUAUUUCGAAUCCUCAAGGUGUCUCCUAUAAGUGUACUAAACCACAAAAUUUUUUACAAACACUAAAGGGUUAAAAAAAGUACAAAACCGAGACUACUUCAACCAUUUCUGGGAUUAGACAGCAAUGGCAAUCUUAGGAAAAAUGCAUUUGUCACAAAAUAUAACUCCAUUUUAUAAACCUUAAAAUUUUGAUAAAACUAGACUCAUAAAUGUACAAUUACAAUGUGGUCUCACCAUUGAAAAAGGUCGUAAAAAUUCCUUAUAUAAAUUCAUGAUAUUAGUAUUUUGUUUGAAGAGGACUUGAAGAGGUCAAAUUAUAGACCAAGGAGACAGUCUUGGUGCAUUUUCACGUAUUAAAUGCCUAUCUCCCACACCGGCUCUCAAAACAGAGGAGCUGGCACUCGCUUUAGUGGCAAUUCCUUAAGUCCAAGGCCCGUUUCGCAUUGUAACGUGUUUUUAGAAUUUCAAUCAUUCUAUAAAUCUAUUUUUAAGGGAUAUAUGUAGCAUUCACAGCUUGUAAACAUAACGAAACACUAUUAUACAGUCUUAAAAGAGCUUUAGAUCUAGAUUAAGAGCAUCACUAUCUUGUGUAAAUAACAUUUAUUAUUAAUUAGAGUGAAAUACUCCUCCUCCACCUGUGGUUUUUUCCAAUCUCGAAUUUUCAUGUAAAAUCUUGCUAUUUUUGUCUUGUCUGAUUUAUUUCAUUAUUGACUUUAUAUUGCACUUAUUUCAUAACAUAAUACUACAACAAACUUAUCUAGAUAUUGUUGAAAAUCCCUAUUCACUAGAUCCAUGAAUACUAUGGGAGCAUUAGUUACACUAAAUGGCAUAACUAUAAACUUAUAUGCCCAAAGCAAGUCUUGAACGUUGUCUUUAGAAUGUCACAUUACUUAACCUUCAGUUGAUGAUAUAUUGACCUUAAGUCAAUCUUGGAAAUUACCAUAGCUUUCUUCAACUAAUCAAACAGAUCUUUAAUUCUCAAAAGCUGAUACUUGUGUUUUGAUGGUCAAAUGAUUUAACUCCCAAUAAUCUAUAUGCAUAAUCAUUGAUCUAUCUUUCUUCUUGACAAAAUUACUGAAGCACCCUAUGAAGAAAUGCUUGGUUGGAUAAAAACCUUAUCCAACAACUCUUGCAGUUGUAGUUUCAACUUCUGCAAUUCUUUCAGCGCCGUUUCAUAAAGAGUCUUAGAUACUGGGCUUCCUUUUGGUACUCGAUCAAUUGGAAAUCUAGUUCCAACAACUCUAGCUCGUUGACUGAUUAUCGGUCCCAUUCGUCCAACCUCAACCCAUAAUAUAUGAACUUUACGGAUGUUUUGGCCAAGGUCGUGCGAAGAGUUUCUUACAAAGCAUGAAUACUCUUGAAUAAGAAGUUGCCUACGACUAGGUUAUUGACAUAUCCUGUCAUCUUUCUAGCAAUUCUUACAUUCUAACCAUUUGUCAUACCAAGCCCUCUAUCAUAUUCGUUUAAUUUUUUUUAGUUCAAUUUUCUUUUCAUGCUCUUUAGUUUAUGUCAAGAAAACACUAGAUCAUACUUAAAAUUUUCUCUUGAAGUAAGGGACAUUUACAUGUAAAGAACAUUUCAAGCACUCUUGCAAACUAUGUUGACAUUUCAUUCUUUAAAUUUAAAUAGGAUAGUUAAUGUACGAGGCAAACUUUUUCAAAAAUAAACUUUGACUUACAAAUUUGAUCAUGCUACGCAUAAUACUAUAAAGUCUAGUACAAAAGAUCAAUUUUUUUUUUUUUUACAUGCCUUUGAAUUAGAGGAAGAGAAUCAAUUGGUGUGUGUUAGUAACCAAGGAUCAAUCUCUCAUUCAUCUUUUCUUAAUAUCUUAAAUCAUGUAAAUCAUAGUUCUCAAAUAAAACGUAUAAACAAUAUGGUUGUAUAUCUCACUUAGUUUCAUAAAACAAUACUAUUUGGCUUUCAAAAAAUGAAAAUCAAGUUCAAAAUCUCAUGGUGAUAAUUCUGUAUGUUGACAUUUAAUGCCCUACAAAAUUUGGUACAUAAAUAAUAUGUUUGAGACGGUUAUACAACUAGACACUAUACUUAAAAUACUUUACAACUUGGACUAUUUUCAUGGACUAUAAAACGUCAUUCUCGAUGAUUGUCUUGGAGAGUCAUUUAUAUAUUUCGAAUCCUCAAGGUGUCUCCUAUAAGUGUACUAAACCACAAAAUUUUUUACAAACACUAAAGGGUUAAAAAAAGUACAAAACCGAGACUACUUCAACCAUUUCUGGGAUUAGACAGCAAUGGCAAUCUUAGGAAAAAUGCAUUUGUCACAAAAUAUAACUCCAUUUUAUAAACCUUAAAAUUUUGAUAAAACUAGACUCAUAAAUGUACAAUUACAAUGUGGUCUCACCAUUGAAAAAGGUCGUAAAAAUUCCUUAUAUAAAUUCAUAAUUUAUGCUCUAAUUUGAACCAGGAUUUAACUUAAGUCUCUCUUAAAGGAAAGAUCAUCGGUUCGAAUAUUGGGGACGCUGACAGAAAUUCAUGUGGGGUAAGAUGGGCUAGGCUCUCAAAGUGGACAGUACAUAUGAUACAAUGACUUGAGCACAGAGGAUUCAGUCAUUACAAAAAAGCAUGUUUUUUGUAACAACUCAACCUCCAUUCCAAGUAUUGGUACUAGGAUUCAAAGUCUCUAUUAAGGAAAAGGUUAUCAGUUUGAAUCCUAGGGCUCUAUAGAAAGUCAUGAAGGAUAAGAUGGACUUAAACUUUCUAAAAGUGAACAAUACGUAAAAAAGGAUAAAUGAAAUUUGCUAUAAUAGUGGUGGAUUACUUCACCGAAUUGGCAGAAGUUGAACCUUUAGCAAAAAUUAGAGUGCAAAAAAUCAUUGACUUCAUUUGAAAAUCUAUCAUUUGCAAUUUCAGUUUACCCCAUUUGAUCAUUACUGACAACAAUAAACAAUUCGAUAAUUCAAGGCAUAGGUUGUUUUGUGAAGACUUAAAAUUAGAAAAUAUUUCUCGACCUUAACCAUCCCCUGGCCAAUGGUCAAGUGAAGCAAUCAACAAAAUAAUUAAGCAUAUUUUGAAAGUUCGUCUAGAAAAAUUGAAAGGAGCACGAGCACCAAGUAAACAAUGGUUCGAAAAUGCUAUUCCUCUUGGCUUUUGGAGUGGAAACAAUGAUCUCCAUCGAGAUAGAGAUCCCUUUAUUUCUAACUAUGUAUGGCAUCAAAGAAGAGAGCCAUAAGGAUUUACAAGUAGGACUGGAUCUAUUCAAAGAAAGGAGGAAUAAUGUCGACAUGAAAACCAUUAUAUAAAACUAAAAGACUGCCAUCUAUUACAACCAAAAAGUACAAAAAGAAAGUUGACAAAUUUAUGUUAAGACGUGAUCCUUGCCACUAGAGAACCCAACUUUAGGUCGUUAGGCCCAAAUUAGGAAUGAACGUAUAAAAACCAAAAUCCUCACAAAAUGCUCACACAAGCUUGAAGACAUGCUAGGUGGCCACUCAUACACCCGAGAAAUGUGGAAUAUCUUAAACAAUAGUAUCAAAUAUCAUGCAUGAUGUUAACUGUAUUGUCUCCCCUUUGAUGAAAUAUCGAAAUCCUGAUUAAAUUCUCUGAGCUCAUGUUGUAUGUGAUACAAUACUUAGCCCAAAUUUUGAAAGGAAUUUGAAAAUUAAGAAAAAGAUUCCAAAUAAAGACUGUUCACAAGCCGUUAGCCAAGUUUUGAAAAGGAAUUCCAAAAUAAGGACUGCUCCAAAGUAGUCCAGAGUUGAUGUUGUAUGUGCUACAACAUUUCUUGGAAUUUCAAAGGAAUUUCAAAAUGGACCGUAAGCUCAACAUAUUAACUACAUAGAUCAAAAUAAAAAAGAAGACUAAGAACUAAUCUUAAUCAACAAAAGACAAAAGCAACUCAAGGAAAAUGAAAAUAACUUCAUUUAAUUAAAAUGAUAAUAAAGAAAUCCAUCAUAACUAAAUAAUAAAAAAAAAAAAGAGCAGGUUGAAAUAGUGAAAACACUAGGUAAGUGGAAGAUCUCCUUGAGCUGGGAUAGUGACAUUGGGAUAGGGUUUGAUAUUUGAAGUAGGCUGAUAGAGGUUGCAACUAACAUUUGGGCCAAAAUUUUCUUCUACUCAACUAACGGUUCAUGGAGAAAAGCAAACUCAAAACCCGACCUCAUCCUCUCUAUAUGUUUGAAAACCUCGACCAACCUAAUUACAUAGGCAUCUUAGGGCAAAUUAUCAAAUUUUGGAGACUUCCUUCCACUCUUCGACCAUCCUAGUAGCUCGAACACCUCUUCAUUAGCUUGUUUUUCUCCUUUGAGCCUUUUUUUCUUUGAUUUGGCAUGGGCAUUGACCUUCUCCCUCAAGAUCUUUGUAGCCUCAAGUUUUAGCUUGAGGUCUAUUUUAGAACGUCCCUUGCUAGCCAAGUUAUUUUCCAAUUUCUUCCCUUUCUUGACUGACAUCUUACUUUCGUCCGUAUGAUUAGCUUGCUUAGCUUCAACAACUCGCUAUAUGGCCAAAGUCUAUUAGCGGCAACAAGCAUUGAAAUCGAUAAAAAAAAUAUGAAGUCAAGGAAUGGUCGAGUGAAGAAAUGAAGACCCUAUCAAAAAUGUCAUUGUAUAUUGAAUGGAUCUAUAACUCAACACUCAGCACUAAUGCAAGCUUCAUAGGCACUCAUGUGACAUAAGAAGGACUGUUUUCUCUCGUCCAUCUUGAAAAAACGCAGCUUGACCCAAAUGACAUCUAGAGGGAGGAUGAAUAGGUAUUUAUGCGGAAUAUAAACAAGUUAAUUAAUAAUUGCAACAAGUCACAGUUAUUAAUUUUAUCCAGACCAAUUCACAUGCGUAUACCCUAUGUUGAAUUACUGGAGUACAGUAAAUUGCAGAAAAAAACACAAACAAAUUGAUGACAAAGAAAAUCCCUUUGCGUGAUUAAAAACUUCGAGCACAAGCUAGUAUGAACUACUAUAAAUGAAAACCAACUUACAGUACUUCCAAACUUAACCAAAACUAGUUUUUCUAACCUCUUGAUUGCAAAGCCCUCCUCGAAUGCAUGCUCUUGCACUGACUUGUGGUUCUUUAUUUCAUCUAUCUUCUACAGAUUCUCGAGAACUCCCUAUUGAAGUCCUCUACUAUUCCAUUUACAGUCAAUUAAUUCUUCCUUAGUCUAAAGUGAAAUAUCAGUGUGAGUGACUACACCCGACACAGUAGUGGAUAGGGCUCUCCAACCAUUUUUCACACUAACCUAAUGCAUUUAUUUACAGACUUAAGAAAUGCUCUCAUCCUAACUUUCUAGUAUGCAUAGUUGCUUCAGUCAAAAUACAGAGGCAUCGAUAGCGAUUGACUUAUCUAGAUACAAGUUUGGGUCAGGAUACGAGGUUAAGCUCUAAUACCACUUUAAAGAAUGCAGUUUAACCUAAAUAACACCUAGAGGGGAUGAAUAGGUAUUUAUACAGAAUUUAAACUAGUUAAUUAAUAAUUGUAACAAGUCAUAGUUAUUAAUUUUAUCCAAAUCAAUUCACGUGCAUACUACCCUACGUUGAAUUAUUGCAGUAUAAUAAAUUGUAGAAAAAUAAAGAACACAUGCAAUUUGAUGACGGAGAAAACCCCUUGUGGGAUUAAAACCUCCGGACCCAAGCCAAUAUGAAUCCACUAUAAAUGAAAACCAACUUAAAGUACGGUCAGACUCUACCAACACUAGUUUUCUGACCUCUUGAUUGUAAUUCCCCGAAGCCCUCCUGGAAUGCAUGCUUCUGUACCAACUCCUGGCUCUUUACUUCGUCUAUAUCUCGUGGAUUCUCUGGAACUCUCCGUUUUCCAAUGAUUGGAACUCCGCUCUCCUUUCUUGAUCUUCAAACCUUGACAGAUGCUCUGGAAGGACAGGUUUUGGUGUUUGAUGGGUAGGGAUUUUGAUGUUUUUGUGAGUACACCAAUAAGAAAGUGGGAUUAAUUCAAGAUGAUAAAGUGUAGGAUGCAUUCUCAAUGUUCAAUCCUCUAGAAACGUAUGAAAACGGUUCACUAGAAUAUAUAUGAAGUGUUUUGGGCAAUGUGGACAGGGUCAGAGUCUCAAAAAGCACAAAAUAGGGUUUCACUAGAUUGCACUAUUGCUCGAGAGACAAUGCAGCGAAAGGUGAGCGACGCUAUUUCAUUCAAGCAAGGCAGGGGUGAUCAGUUAGCGAUGAGGUCUUUAUUUUUUACGCUCAACCGAUCUCUUGGUGAGCAAUUAGCAACAUUUUGGUGACUCUUCUUCCCCUUUUCCCCAACUCAAAACCUAACAUGCUUUUACAAAAUUGCGUCAUAGUCCUUGACUUUUAAACAUUUACAAAUUGGCCCUUUUGUUCACAGAAUUGCCAACUCAAAACCUAACACUUCUCCUCAUCAAUAAGCAGGUAGGAUCACUCUAUUAGAAAUGGAGACAAAUUUUAACUUUACCUCCUAAAGAUAAGGUUGGAAAAUGAUAAAGGUAGACAAAAAGUUAAAUUUUACCUCCUUAACGGAUAAGUUGUAGUUAUCAAAUUAUUCUUUGCCACUAACAAGAAAAUUCAAACAAGUAUAUCUACUAAGUCAAAUAGAGAAAGAAAGUCUAUUGGUUGAUCAAGUUCAUAUUUGAUUUUUCAACUUCUAAAAGAAGAAUUCAAGUUGUAUUUGUCAAACGAUAAAUCGCAUUACAAAAUCUAUAAAUAGGCCUUAGGAUAUGUCCAUCAUAUGUGUGUGUUCAAUGAAUAUGUGCCAAAAACUAUUGAGCACUAAGUGAGGAUUUGAGAAAGAUAGAGUUUGGUAUUAAGAGAAAUAGAGAUAUUGAAAUACAUUGUAACUCCUAUUUGAAACUCAUCUUGUAAUCCUUUGUUCCUAUUUUAUAGUACAACCACAUUAUUUCUUGAGUAAAAUGAGUUUUGCAUUAUCCUGGUAAUCUUUCCUAACAACUAGUAUCAGAGCACUAGAUUAUAGCAAAAAUGGCGGAGCUUGUGAACCUAUCAAUGGUAGUUAUGCUCAAUAGUAGCCGAGUUGCAACAAUAUCAAUGCUGUAGAAAAGUUAAGAUCGACAAAUUCAAUGGAUCGAACUUCAAAUUUUGAAAGAUGUAGAUAAAAUAUUAUCUCUACCAGAAGGAUCUUUACCUUCCUUUUGAAGAAGCGUCAAAGAAGACAGUAGAUAUGAAACUUACUCGACUGUAAAACCUAAGGUUCAAUAAGGCUGACUCUUGCUGCAUUCGCUGCUGUGAAUAUCAUAAAUGAAAAGACAACCAAAACUUUGAUGGCAGCUUUAUCACAAAUGUAUAAAAAGCAUUCUGUAACAAAUAAAGUGCAUCUUAUCAAGAAGUUGUUCAACUUGAAGAUGUCCAAAGGAAGAGCUAUAAUAGAGCAUAUCAAUGAUUUUAAUGUACUUAUAAGUCAAUUGGAUCUAAUUGAUAUCUAGUUUGAUGAUGAGGUCAAAGCACUGGUACUGUUAUCAAGUCUUCUAGAGAGCUAAAAGCCUUUAGUUGUGGCAGUAAGCAAUUCCAUGGGGUCGGUAAAGUUGAAACUAGAUUAUGUUGUCAAUCAUUAUCUCGACUAAAGUUGAAAGGCAAGUGUUGGAGCUGGGAAAAAAUUGGUCACACAAAGUAAGAUUGCAGUGCAACAAAGAAGCAAGAAAACAACAAAAGAGACAAAAACUUUGUUAAUGUUUCGGAUGCUGAAAAUUCUAAUGCAAUGUUGUUAGCUAUGGAUGCUAAUGGAGAACAUGGGUAAUUGAUUUGGGUACGUCAUUUUAUGCUACUUCAUGCAAGGAGCUUCUCCAUAACUAUGUAUUAGGCAACCUCACAAGGUGUAUCUUGGAAAUGAUAAGAUUUACAACAAAGUUGGCGAACGUAAUGUUCAAUAAAUCAACCUAAUGGAACAAUCAAGGAUAUCAGACAUGGCAGAUGUUCGCAAAAUAAUCUAAUUUCAGUCGAUCAACUUACUGACUCUGGUAUUACAACUACAUUUUUCAGUAACACUUGGAAAAUAACCAAAUAAGUUAAGGUGGUAGCUUCUGGCAAAAAGGAAGAUACUCUCAUGUUACUUUUGGUAGUCAUAGUUCUAAUGAUAUGACAUAAUCAGAAGUCAAGGCCAGCAUAUAGCAUCAUAGACUUGGACAUACAAGGGAGAAAGGAUGAAAGUUCUAAUGUUAAAUGGAAAACUACUAGGUUUAAAGUCUCCAAAUUUGAAUUUCUAUAAAGAUUGCAUCUUCGAAAAGUAGAAAAGGUUAGUUUCACAAAAGUUUAAAGAAUACGCAAGUUAGAACAGUUGGAGUCGGUACAUACAGAUAUACGGGGACCAUUUAAGGUAUCAUCUCUUGGUGGCUCUCGUAACUUUGUUAAAGAAGCUAUGAGUUUACUUUAUGAAGACAAAUUUGAUUUAUUUGACACCAUCAAAUAAUAAAAAGUCCAAGUUGAGAACGAGACAUGUUUAAAGUUGAAACGUCUUAAGUUAGACCAUGGAGAAGAGUGCGUAGAUGGUCGAAUGAAGAAAUGUUGUGCAGAAAAUGGAAUUCGAUAAAUGCUGAGAAUUCUAGGAAAGUCACAACAAAAUUGCAUUGCAGAACGCAUUAAUAGAAUAAUCCUUGAACGUGCUAAAAGUAUGAAGAUUAAUUCUGUUUACCAAAGUAGUUUUGUGCAGAUGCAAUAAGCACAGCUGCUAACCAGAUCAAUAGAGGUGCUUCAAUUUUCUUUAAUUGUGAAAUCCUGGUGGAGACAUGGAUGGAAAGAGAGUUGAAUUUAUCGCAUUUAAGAAUAUUUGGUUGCAUCUCUUAUGUUCACAUUGAGCUUGAGAAUAGGAAUAAGCUUGAUUAUAAGUCUCGAGAAUGCAUUUUUAUUGGUUAUGGCAUCGAUAAUUAAGAUUAUUGAUCUUGGGAUUAUGAAAAUCAAAAAAAAUUAGUAACAUGGACGUGGUGUUCAAUGAGUUUGUCAUGUACAAGGAUAAACUUGAUGAUAAGACUAAGGAAACUAAGAUAGUUGAGCUUGAGGAAAUCUCUAGUAAAGAUGUAUUAAAAUCUUGAGAUACGAAUGUCUAGUUGACACCAUCUAAAGAGAUGCAAACCCCAGCUCUUGUGAGGAGGUCUACAAAACUAUAAGGCAUGUAGUUGGUUAUUUGCCUUUCUUGUAUAUUUAUUGCUAAUAGACAAUGGUGAACAUAAUUGUUAUGGGGAAGCAUUACAGGUUGAGAUAAGGAAAAAGUGGGAGCUAGCGAUUAAUGGUGAGAUGGAAUUCCUUUUGAUGAAUUAGACGUGAGGAACUAGUUCUAAUGCUUGGAGGAAAAUUUUCUUUACAUAGUAAGUAGGUUUAUUGCUUGAAAGAGGAACUGAUGUGAUCUGUAGAAUGAAUGCAACGAAGAUGAGUGUGGGCAAGAAUUCGUUGAUUGUCAAAGAAGGGCUGAUGACACGGUCUAGAGCAAAAAGAGUCAAAGAAACGAUGAGAUUGCUCAUUCAAGCUACAAUGGAUGAAACAUCAAUCUUGGGGAGCAAAGGGAGAAGUUUCAUGUUUGGCUUAGAGGAAGAUUCAAAAGUGGAUCAACAUGAUAAAAGCAGCAGAAGAAGGGACUGACCAGAAAGCUAUGUGGUCGCCUAGCUUUCUAAGGCAUGUGACUACAUAUAGUGAGGCAAAAAUUCAAGAAGUAGAACACGCUUGAACUAUGCAGCAGCAUAGGGAAUUAUUAUGCUUUGCAUGGUACGAAGUUUUCAAAUUUUUACGAAAUCUUUUAUUUUUGUUAAAACUCUAUUUUAAUGGUAACUUUUGUAUUCUUUAGACACUAGUUCCAUUUAGAAUAGGAUUUUAUGGGUUUUCUAUGCAUAAGACUCAUUAUUCUACAUUAUAAACAAUAAUUAUUCAUAUCAAUUUAGAGAUUAAUUUUGUGAGCACAUUUUUCUUUCAAUUCCUUGUUAUUGAACAAAUUCUGAACUUAUCAAGAAUUAUUUUCUUGAAGUGUUCAAACAAUUAGGGUGAGAUUUGUGAGUUUUAUAAUCAAGGGGUCAACAUUUUAACGGAAAUUGUGUUGGUUACUUGGUUCAAUAUUUAUGAAUAAAUUUCAAAAUUUUGAUUUAUUGGCUUUCUUCAAUUAUGAUUCAAUUUCGUGUGGGUUUCGUAGCUACUAUUGCUAUGUGGGUUUGUAUCAGUUGGUAUCAGAGCUUAGACUCCAAAAAUCAAGAUUAUAUCAUUUUUCCUUUUGUUUGUGUCUUUUUAUUUCUUUUUUCUUUUUUAUUUUUUUUUUCAUUCUUUGCAUUCUUCAUCCUUUUAAGUCUUUAAUAUGAAAAAGUACCAAAAAAUUUAAAAGUCAUUUUUAUCCAAACUAGUUUCCAUUUCUUUUGCUAGUACCAUAUUUGAAUUUUCGAGCAAAAAAAAAAAAAAAAGACCAAUUUCGUCCAACCCAAAAUUCAAGAACCACAUUCUUGAAUUAAUAUAGUUCCCAUUCAAAUUGUCCAAAUUCUUUUACUUAUUUCUUUCAUUUCUUUUCCUGAGUCUUCUAAAGUUACAAUUCUCACUCACAUCCUAGUUUAAAUUCUUCGAGAAUAAAAUUUAGUUGAGGUCUAAUUAGUUCUUUGAAGCACUAGGACGAAAGCAAUGAGUGGAAAAGGGCAAGAGUGGUGAGACUACUAGAGGAAAAAAGCCAAUUUGAAUAUUACACAAGUGUAAACACGUGAGGCAAUAUUACUAUAGAUUUAAGAUGUCUGACUGAGACCAUUCAACAUCAAGUAGGAACAACAAUCAAGUCAAUAUGUUGAAGGAUGUGAUAUGAUGGUUCGAAAGGUUGUUUGAAGAUGUAAGGGAUAGGAUGGAUAGGCAAGAGAUGUGGAUGGAAAGGCAAGAGCCAUUGUUUGCCAAUUUAUGUAAGGAGUUCCCAAUUUAAGGAGGCAAGGUAGGCGAGAGCCUAGGAUGGAGAAUCAAGGUGAUUAUGAAGCGGGUAGUGGUAUGGAUGAGGAUUUGAUAGUGGAUGCCGAGUUAGGAAAAAUAAGGGAUAGAAGAGUUAGGCCUAUAAGAAGGGGUAGAUAAUCUAUUGGAGAUAGAGUUGAUUGGAGUAUAGGUAAUAUCAAAAUGAUAAUUUCUUCAUUCAAAGGAAGGAAUGAUUCGAAAGCCUACUUGGAGUAGGGGAAGAAGAUCGAGUUGAUAUUUUAUUGUCACAAUUACUCGAAGGAAAAGAUGGAAAAGAUUGCGGUACUUGAGUCACCGAUUAUGCUAUUACUUUGUAGGAUCAAGUAGUGACAUCUAGAGGAAGAGUCAUGAGAGGCCAAUUAAUGAAAGAAUUGAAGGCUAUCAUGAGGAAGAGGACAUGCCUAGUCAUUACUAUAGGGAACUUCAUAAAAAAUUAGAAAGCCUCUACCAAGGGUCUAGGAGUGUGGAUGACUAUCAUAAGGAAAUGGAGAUAAUAAUGAUUAAAGUGAAUGUUGAGGAAGAUCAAGAGGCCACUAUGGCUCAAUUUUUGAAUGGUUUGAAUAUAAAAAUAGCUAAUAUAGUGAAAUUACAACAUUAUGUAGAGCUAAAGGAUAUACUACAUAUAGCUAUGAAGGUGGAGAGGCAAUCGAAAAGGAAGGGGACAACUAGGUAUCAGUCGAGUUCUUCGGGUUCUAACUCUUUUUGGAAUUCGAAAUGGAUAACAAGGAAGAUGGACCUAUUUUGAAGGGCAAAAUUGAUCUGUCGAAAGGGAAGGAAGAAAGUUAGUAAGGUUACAUCCAAAGUAGAAUCCCAGCCAUCUAGGAGUUGAGACAUCAAAUGCUUUAGGUGUUUAAGGUUGGGAUAGAUUGCUUCUCAAUGUCCAAACAAAAGGACAAUGAUUUUGAUAGAUAAUGAGGAAGUGAUGAGUAAAAGUGAGGGUGACUAUGAUGACAUGUCGGAAUAGAAGAAGCUCGUGAUAGAGAAAAUGUGGAGUAUCCAGUGGACGAGCUAUUAGUUACCCGGAGCAACAACAGGAAAACAUAUUCCAUAUGAGUUGCCACAUCAACACAAUGUAUGUAGCAUGAUUAUUGAUGUUAGUAGUUGUACUAACGUUGCUAACACUACACUUGUAGAGAAAACUGAGGUUAACCAUGCUAAAAUAUCCUAAACUUGAUAAACUACAAUGGUUAAAUGAAUGUGGGGAGGUUAAGGCAAAUCAGAGAAUAUUGGUAAGCUUUUCAAUUGGUAUAUAUCAUGAUGCAGUAAUGUACGAUGUAGUUCCUAUGUAUGUCAGAUACAUUUUGUUGGAUAGACCAUGACAAUAUGAUAGGAAGCUGAUACAUGAUGGGUACAAAAAUAGGUACAACUUUAUCAAUGAUGAAAUCUAUUACUCUUGAGCCAUGAGGAUCAAAUCAAAUUGAAAAAUGAGGAAGAGAAAGUAUUGAGAGAAUUAAAGAGCAAGAGAGAAAAUAGCGAGGUGGCUAAUAGUGAGAAAAAAGAGUAGAGCCACAAGAGCGAAAAGAAAAAGAGUCUUCCGAUAAGAGAGUAAAGUCGAAAGUGAGUUUCUUUGCAAAAUUAAGUGAAUUGAAUAGGGCAAUAGUUGAGAGGCGACAAAUGAACUUGUUGGUUUAUAGAGUUACUCCUCAAUUUUGAGGAUUCUAACACACAUCUCCUUGGUUUUGCUACAUCUUUGUUGUAGGAAUUCGAAUACGUGUUCCCAGAGGACAUGCCCAGUGGGAUACCACCAUUCGAGCCAUCGAACACCAAAUUGAUUUCGAACUAGGAGUUGUCUUUCCAAACCAACCUACUUACCGAAGUAAUUCUGAAGAGAUCAAGGAUCUUCGAAAGUAAAACAGAAGAAUUGAUGAGCAAGGGGCAUGUAAGGAAAAGUAUAAGUCUAUGCACCUGGUCAAUACUACAAGUGCCAAAGAAAGAUAAAACCUGGCGAAUGUGUGUAGAUUGCAGGGCCAUCAACAAUAUAAUGAUAAAGCAUUGUCAUCAUAUUCCUAGGUUAAAUGAUAUGUUAGAUGAUUUACAUAACGCUUGCAUAUUUAGUAUAUUGAUAUUAAAAGUAGUUAUCAUCAAAUUAGGAUGAGGAAAUGAGACGAAUAGAAAAUCGCUUUUAAAAUUAAAUACGGAUUGUAUGAGUGGUUAGUCAUCCCAUUUGGACUUACUAAUGCACCUACCACCUUUAUGUGUUUAAUGAAUCAUGUUUUGUGUGCAUUCAUAAAUAAAUUCAUAGUAGUUUACUUCAAUGACAUUUUGGUAUAUGGUAAAGACUUAGGUCAGCACAUAGGGUAUUUAAGAUGUGUGCUUCUAGUCUUAAAACAAGAACAACUUUAUGCUAACUUUAAAAAGUGUAAAAUUUGCAUAGUGAAAGUUGUUUUUCUUGGGUAUGUGGUUAGUGCAAAGGGGAUAGAAGUAGAUGAGGAAAAAAUUAAGGAAUGGCCGACACCUAAAAUUAUAACUAAGUAAGAAGUUUUCAUGGUUUGGCUAGUUCCUAUGGGCAUUUUGUUAAAUAGUUUAACACAAUUGCCACACCAUUCAUGAAAAUUGUCAAAAAGAGCAUGAGUGUAAGAUUUCAAUGAGGCGUUAAGCAAGAACAUGCAUUUAAUACUAUUAAAGAAAGGUUGUGUAAGGCAUCGAUUUUAAUAUUUCCUAAGUUUAAUAAAAUAUUUUAGAUUGAAUGUAAUGCCUUAUGGAUAGGUAUUAUAGCUGUUUUAAUGCAAGAUAGAAGGUCGAUAGUUCACUUCAGUGAAAGCUAAGUGAAGUAGCUUUUACUUUUCAUACAUAUGAUAAAGAGUUGUAUGCACUUGUUAGAGCUUUGAAGACAUGGUAGCACUACCUAUGGCCGAAGGAGUUCGUGAUUCACACUGACCAUGAAUCUUUAAAGCAUCUGAGAGGUCAAACUAAGAUAAACAAGAGGCAUACAAAAUGGAUGGAAUUCAUGGAGACAUUUUCAUAUGUUAUUCGGUAUAAACAAGGUAAGGAAAAUGGGUUAGUAGAUGCAUUACCAGGGAGGUAUGUGUUUUUAAGUGCUAAAUUGUUGGGUUUUGAAUAUGUAAAGGACAUGUAUGCUAAUGACCCGAAUUUUUCUAGUAUAUACAAAUCAUAUGAUAAAGGAGCUAUAGAUAAAUUCUUUAGGCAUGAUGGGUAUCUAUUUCGGGAAAAUAAGUUAUUUGUUCCUAAAUGUUCAGUGAGAGAAUUGCUAGAAAGAGAAGCACAUUGUGGAGGUUUAAUGGGGCAUUUUGGGAUUAAGAAGACCUUAGAAAUGCUAAGUGAACAUUUUUAUUGGCCUAAAAUAAAAAUUGAUGUUAAUCGAGUUUGUAGUAGAUGCAUCACUUGCAAAAAACUAAAUCUACGGUUUUACCUCAAGGUUUGUAUAUCCCAUUACCUAUUCUUAGUGAACUUUAGGUUGAUAUUUCUAUAGAUUUUUUAUUGGCUUUACCUAGGACUAAGAAAUGAAGAGAUUCCAUAUUUGUAAUGGUAGAUAGAUUUAGAAUGGUACAUUUCAUUCCACGUCAUAAAACUGAUAAUGUCACUAAUAUUGUGGACUUAUCCUUUAAGGAAAUAGUGCGAUUACAUGGAAUUCUUAGAGGCAUUAUAUCUGAUAGUGAUGUCAAAUUCCUUAGCCACUUUUGUAGGGUUUUAUGAAUAAGUUAGGCACAAAGUUAUUGUUUUCUACAACUUCUCACCCAAAAACCGAUGGAUAAACUGAGUUAGUCAAUAGGACCAUGAUACAAUUGCUACGCACUAUUGUUAAUGAAAAUUGAAGAGUUGGGAAGAGUGCUUACAUUAAUUGAAUUUCAUAUAAUAGGGCCAUACAUUCUACUAUUUUGUGUUCUCCUUUUGAAAUUAUAUGGUUUUAAUCCAUUAAUAAUUCCCUUACAUAUCAAUGAACGAGGUAGUUUAGACGAAAAGAAGAAGGCCGAAUUAGUGAAAUCACUUCAUGAAACGGUAAGAAUGCAAAUUAAAAAGAAAAACAAGCACUAUGAUUCUUAAGAAAACAAAUGUCAGAUGAGUGUUGGGUUUGGGUACAUUUGAGAAAGGAACAGAACAAAGAAAAUCAAAGUUACAGCCACAGGAAGAUGGUCCAUUUCAAGUCCUUGAAAGGAUUAAUGACAAUGCUUAGAAAUUUGAUCUUCCUGGUGAUUAUAAUGUUUCGACUACUUUUAAUGUGUUUGAUCUUUCUCUCUUUGAUGUAGGUACAAAUUUGAGGUUGAUCUUUUCGAAGAGGGAAUGGAUGAUGUAAUCAUGGAAAGAAUGCAACAAAGACAAGUCUGGGUAAAGAUUCAUUGAUUGUCGAAGAAGGGCUGAUGACUCGAUUGUGAGCAAAGAGGAUCAAAAAAGCGAUGGAAUUGCUCAUUCAAGCUACAAUGGAUGAAACGUCAAUCUUACAGAGCAAAGGGACAAGUUUCAUGCUUGAGAAUUUAAUUUCCAAAACAAAGGGGCUUUUUUGCUUUCCUAUUUUUCCAUUUUUUUAAGGUCCCAUCAAAGAAUCGAAGGAAGAUUUGAAGUGGAUCAAUGUGAUAAGAGUAGCAGAAGAAGGGACUGACCCAGAAAACAAUGCGGUCAAGCAAGGAAAGAAAGCCUAUUAGUUGAUCUAGUUCAUGUUUGAUUUUUCAACUUCUAAAGGAGGAAUUCAAGUUGUACUUUUCAAAUGAAAAACCACCUUACAAAAUCUAUAAAUAGGCCUUAGGAUGUGUUCAUUAUAUGUAUGCGUUCAAUGUGUGUACCAAUAAUAAUUGAGCACCAAGUGAGGAUUUGAAAAAGAUAGAGUUUGUUAUUGAAAGAGAUAGAGAGUUUGGAAAACUUUGUAACUCAUAUUUGAAACUCGUCUUGUAAUCCUCCGUGCCUAUUAUAUUGUAAAGUCGCAUUAUUUCUUGAGUGAAAUCUUUGUUCAAGUUUCCCUUUAUCCUAGGCAGUUUCCUAACACACUCUUGGAUGAUAGGACAUCAGUUAGGUUGGUCGAAGGUACAAAAGCCCUCAGAAAAUCCAGAAAAGCCUCCAAACAAUGGCUAAUCAUCGUCUCGAUGUCUAAUCUCAUCUUGUCUAGUGGAUGAAGGUAAGAACUCGAAGGAGCUGGCGUUGAAGAAUGCCUAGUCUAAGGAGUGUGUGUAGGAAAGCUCUGGUGAAGAAGAAACCUUAGUGGAGAAGGAAGAUCAAAUAAACCAGAUGAUCGCGAGCAACGUGUUAAUAGGACUUGCCAUUCAACUUCUACAGGGUCCUUUCUUAUAUAAGCUCAUUGGGCUUUCCUAGCUGCGUCCGGCUCUGCCCUAGCAUACUUCACUGCUUUGAAUUAGAAGAUUUCCUAACUUUAUCCUACGAAGAAAAUAUUUGUGUUAGAAAAUUCCAUGAAAAUAAAAAUAGCAAAGUAAUGACUAUAAACUUACUAAGAGGAGGGGGAGAACCGCUAAGGAAAAGACCGACACUAAAGAAGUUGGAAUCAGGGAUAAGGAAACUAUUCAAUCUUUGGUCAACAUUCAAGGCACUAGCCAUAUCGAUCCUCUGUUUAGUCUCUGAGCUAAUUGUGACAGCAUGAAAACUUUAACAAUCAAAAAAUAGAUCAAAAAAUCUACUAAAGGAAAACAACACCUAUCUAGCCAAAAAACUUAUAAAUUUUGUAGUACCGAACAUGAACCAUGGCAUCCCUAUCUACUUUGAAUAUGUAGAAAUUCCAAUCCUCCCUGACAUAGAAAAAAAUAUUUCUUCCAAUUCUUCACGAAGGAAGGAACUCACAGUCCCUGCCUUCACACUAGUAUAAUACCACCAAUAGACCUUCCCAUCCUCUUUGAAGACAUGAAGAAAAUUGAACUGGCAUAGAGAUAGGUUAAAAAAACAAAAAAAUACUUAUCUGUGCCAAAAAAGUAUGUAGCCAAAAGUGAUCUACACUUGUUAGGGUAGAAUUGAUUAGGAGCUAUUCCCUGUGUGGAAAGAAACCCCCUAAUAGUACAGAAAGAUAGUCCCAGACCGAUAUUAAGGAUUGACGGGUUGAAGGCCACACAACCUAUAGGUGGAUUACAAGCUCGAUUGUCAUCCUUGGGAAGGAAUACUUCGACCGAGUUAGGGAUAGCAUAAUCCUUAUACCACGACUCCGAUUUUUUUCUCGGUAGAUGUGGACCUAUUUUAAACACUGCCAACUCUUCCCACUAGGAAGAACCUCACCUCUCUCAUCACUCUCCCUAGAGUCUUCAUCCCUAAGAACACCCAUCCAAUUAGGCUUGUAGUUCUCUUCAUGGGGGAGGGAUAUUAUCGGAUGAGCAAUUGUUAAGGGAACAUUAUGGAAUAACUUGUUAAAAGGAUAUUUUCACAAAUUGAUAAUUGUUACCCAUUUAUUAUUCAUAGAUAAACUACUCUUUUUCAAAUCACGUUAUAAUUUUUCCCAAAGAACUACUUAGUUGAUCAAUCUACAUCUUUUGGUUUGACGUCAGCUGGAUCUUAAGUGAUAUCUCGUCCACAUUGGACCAAGUUAUUACUAUUCAUACAUCAUUGCCAUCUGUACUUAUAAAGAAUGAUCGAUUUUGGACAAGAAUUUUGUUAAUUCUCUCACUACUUUAGAUUCAAUGUUGACGAUUUUAAGAAUGUAGCAUCUCAUAUUAGCCAUGCACAUCUCAUAUUAGCUAUGCACAAAGUAUCAGUCUCCCUUUUUUGCACCUUUUUUCUUUUUGUGAUCCUUAAAGGAUUUUACAUCCUGAAAGUUUGGCAUAGUUCAAGAGUACUUAAUUUUCCUAUCCUAAUAUAACCAACAAAUUUUUCCAUGGGAAGUUAUUAAUUCGGCAGGGUGAUUGGUUAAGCUCACAAAAAACUACAAAUUACUUUCUGUGUCUUAUUUAAAUAACCUUUUUCGAUUUUCAAAUAACUCUACUUCACUAUUAAAUCGAAUUUGAUGUCACUUGUUAGGAAUAACAUGGUGCUUGAAAUUUGGAACACAAUCAAUAAGAAAUGCCUUAAAAGUGAUCGACCUAUAAGUCACUUCUAAGUUUGUAGCCAAUCAAUGUUACACUGAGUUUGCACUUACGGGAAAACUCCACUUAUGGGAAAACUCCCUUCAAUUUCGAGCAAUGACCACUCAACUUUUUCUAUGAAAAUGAAUCAAAAGGAAAAUUAAUUCAUGACAUGGUUGAUUUAUUAACAAACAAAUUGAAAGAUUUUAGCAUUUUAGCAUUAAUCAAAAGGGAAAUUAAUCCAUGAUGCUAAUGGAUUGAGGUGAAUCAUCUCUUUCAAUUGCCAUCAUGAAAUAAACAAAUAAACUACUACCAAUCAAAAGAAAUUACUAAAUUCCAAGAAAUUCAACGACCACCAAUGUACAGCCUCUAACUACCAUCGGAAUAUACUGUACAGUACACGUAUAUUCAAACUAAUACCACCAAAAGAUAAAAAACUCACCAAGGAAGAAGUUGCCUUUUCAAAUCACCUCAAAAUCCCCUCUCACAUGCCCUCACGUGCCAAAACACCUUUUGUGCUGACCCCCACGUGCCGCCGUUCACUGUCAUGCGCCGGACUAAAAAAUUCACCUCGAUUUGCAGAGCACAGAUAUGGUCUUAGUUUCCUCAAACAAUGUUUAGUAUGGCCAGAAAACAAGAAAACGAGUUUGGUUAUUGGCAAUUUUCUCGACAAAAAUUUGUGCCGUGAUUUUCUGUAGUUUUCACCAUUUUUCUCCACUAAUUUCACUCUCAAUUAUAGGCUCUGAUACCAUGAAAAUUAUACAAACGAAUUUGACAAACCAACCAAAGAAGAAAAACAAUUAAGAGGAGGAGAAAACAAUUUUAGAGCCACACAAAAUUAGGGUAAAAUUAUGGACCAAAGUAGUUUAUAUAGUACAAGGAAACCUAUAGAAAUUAGGAAACUAACGCAAUAAGGAAACUAAUUUGUAUAAUUAUGCUAAAUAUAUUAUUAUAUUAUCAACUUUCUCCAUUCAUUAGUACGAUAUUGCCAUCUGAUGAUAUCGUUAUACUGCUGGAAGAGUCUGGAAUUGGUUUGGCCCUGUUGGCAACCUGUAUCGCCGUUGAUUCAGAAACGCUGUAAAAUACACCAAAGUAGCGGUUCUUGGUGGUAUUAUCAGGGGAAAAGAAUCCCAUUUUGAAAAUGUUGCCAACAGUAGAAUGAAUAGGCACUGAAGAAAAAAAAAUUAAUGAUAUGGCUAUUGGACGUGGUUAAUUCAAAGAAAUUUGUGGGAGAAAAUGCCAAAAUGUGAGAACUUUGCUAAUAAUUAAAUAAUAGCCAAUGGUAUUUGUGGGUAAAAUCUAUAUUGAUUCUCAUUAUAUAAAGCAUAGAGGGAAAUUGACGUCAACUCUCAGUCUUGCUUUUCGACGUUGGGCCGGGGUGUGAAGAAAUUACAUUAAUAGUUAUUUACAUGCUUUUCCACAAUUUUCUAAGCUAGCUAAAAACACGAGUUCCAUGGUGGGGCUACAUUCGGUGGGUUUACUCAGUGGGAGUAGGGUAAGUAGAUGAACAAUAUUAUUUAUAUAUCAUCAUAUUCUUUUACAGAUGAGUAAUGCUAUUUAACUCCACUAAGAUUGCAACUCCAACCUAGAUGAUAUUAAAUGAUAAGUAGGAUUAAAGGAAUUAUUUAGUUCCGCCUCUGAUUUAAUUGAUUAUCUAGCACCACCUAGAUUGAAAUUGCAACCCUAGUGGAGUAUCAUAGCCAUUAUUCUUUACAAUUGGUGAGUUGGGAAAAAAAAAAAAAAAAGGGAGAGAGAGAAAAAUUUAUUUUUUUUAGUUGGCUAGUGAAAAUUGGUUUCGAGAUCAUCUUCGCAUAUAAUCUAUUGGUAAACAACAUGUACAUGUAGCACAAUUGUAAAUAAUAUCGAUUGUGUUUAAUUUUUCAAAAUUGAUCGAAUUCUCACUUAUUCAUUGUGAAGUGUGGACUCCACCACCACUUUAUAGGCUUUGUGUUGGAAUUUUGUAUUAUUUGGUGAAUGGAAAAUUAAGCCAAAAUUUAAAUCACUUAAAUACAUGAAUUAUUGGAAAAGUGCGUAGAAUAUUAUGGAAUAUUUUAGAAAUUAUUUGGCUGAAAAGGUGUCUUUCUAUACGAAAGAUUAUGAUUUUUGGCAUUAUCAUUUUUCAAGAGACAUGUCUCUUCAAAUAUAGACUAAUUUUAAUGGUUGUGUCUCUUCCAUAGGUUGUGUCUUUUGAGACAAACUUUUUCAAUAUCUAUAUAUUGACCCCAUAUGUUUGGAUUUAUUAAUUCAAAAACUUCAUUCCAUUCCAUAUUUUACAUUUUACUAUGUAUAAAACACUUUGUAGAACUGAUUAUCUUUUGCAUCAAAAUCAUGGUUAUGGUAGAGAGGGAAAUCCAUACGAGUUCGUUGGUUGAAGCCAUUUGGAGUGUUCCUAUGGCCUGACGUGGUUGUUGUAUCUUGGGAGAUGAUUGUCGAAAAAUCGUUAGCACCGAUGCGGGGCAAAUUCAUCUUAAGGAAAGAGUUAUUCUCCCCUCGACCAAUCGCAUCACUUGCAUCUAAUUUUUUCUUAUUUCUGAUUUCAUUUCUUCAUACUUGAUUUCAGAAAAUGAUUAAUUUUAUUUAUAUGGUUUACGCAAGGUUUGAUAUGAAGAAUCACAUGUUUUAAUUCAGGAAUGAAAAUUGUCAGAUUCGAUAAUCAUUGGUUACUUUCUCAAAACCAUUUCGGUAAGUCGAAACCUUGUUUCGAUUUCGUGAACGUGUAAGUUACGUUUUGUGAAUACAAUAUGCACUUUUGAAUCGGUGUAUUCCCCAACAAUCUUAAGAUGAAUUUUGUUUUCGUGCAUUUAUAUUUUUCAUUAUUCUGUUUGCAUGAACAAAGUAUUAAAUGGAUUGGAUGAUAAAAUUUGAUUGCAUUAACUCGACACCAAUUUAUAUUUUAUGCUUGGUGGGGUUCUGUGCAACUCUCAAAAAAAACUGAUGCAUACAUGAGAAACUAUUAUGUUAUUAUAUGAAUUGUGUCUUAAGUGUACAUGCCAUCCAUUUGUGUAGUAUAUGAUGAAAGUGAAGUAUUAUUUAUUGCACAUGGUUGAAUUGUUAAUCAAUAUAUAUGGCUGUCAAUAAGUAUCUUUCCAUAAAUUAGUCAAGGACCAUGAAAUUGGUUUAUUUUGAAAAAGUGCAUGUGGUUUUUAAGGCAAUUUAUUAAAUGACGACUCUUUAUUUUCUAAAUGCAUUUUCAAAUCCAAUUUCGUAAUCUAUCAUCAACUUGAUUAUCCUAUCAAAUAAUAUGACAUGUAUAUUUAUUUAAAUAGGAUCUAUAUAUGUUGGUCAUUAGUACAACUCCAAUAUCACUGGAAUAGAUACCAACUAAUUGUGAAAGUAUAUGAACUUUCAUGACUAUUCUUUUAUUGGAAUAUAAAAUAUGACAUGGUAAAUUAGUUGGUUGAAUUUUCAUAUCUUGGUUAAAUUUAAUCCUAUGGAAUUAAGUGAGAUGACUUUUAUGCAAGUUAUAUUUGCAUAAAGUAUGACGAAUUGUGAUUUGUUCUAGUGGAAAUUGUUACGAAAAUAUUAAGACAUGAAAACACUUUGCAGAGCACAAACUGUGCCUAAAGUUGGCAAUGGUGUUGAACUUCCUUUAAAUCUAAAAAGUUUAAAUGUGAUGAUUUAGUUAAAUUUCUGACUUCAAUAAUAUUAAAUGGGAUAACUUAUGCAAAAUUAUAUUUGCAUAAGAGUAUGACAGAAUAUGAUUUAUCCUAAUUUGAUUACUUGGAAUUGGUGGAAAAUUAUGUAGAAUAUUAUUAAAUAUUCUAGGAUCAAUUUAGAUGAAAAGGUGCGUCCUUUCAUAUGAAAAAUCAUGAUUUCUGAUGUACUUAUUUUUCAAUGGGUAUGUCUUUUCAUAGAGAUUAUUUCAAGAGGUGUGUUCUUUUGUAAGAUUGUGUCUCUUGAGAACACAACUUUUCAACCUAUGGUUGAUUCGUUCAUUUAAGUUUGAAUAUGGUGAAUAUGUAUCUUAUUAUUUGACAUGAAAUGAAACUAUCAUGUGAAAGGUUACAAUGUAAUAAGAGAAGUUGCAAUUUUUGUGAAUCAAGAUACUUAGCCCUCUUCACUGUUGAAAUUGACUUCAAUCGUGAGACCAAUUAAAUUGGUUUAUGCUUAGAAAGCAUUGCUGAUCUAUAUGAUGGCAUUGAUUUAAUUUAGAUGAUCAAAUUAAAAUAAUUGGAUUGAAGUACAUUAGAUACAACUUUAAUUGAAAUAAAUUGUGAGUCAACGACUACUAUUUUGAAAGUACUUCACGAAGUGCUCGAUAUGGAUAUUAUCUAAGAGAUAAAUAUAUAGAAGAGUUGAUGAAUUCUAAGUUCAACUAUAACCUAAGAAUGUGGAGGGUUAAAUUUAGUGCUUGUGAAUUUGAAAUGGAAAGUUCAAAAUUUGUGGAUGCAACAUUACUAGAUUGCAUAUGUAUUCCUAAUUGAGGAAUUGUGGGGGUAACUCAGUUUAACAGUUACGUUUGCUUCUAUCUUAUAAUCAUAGAAAGAUAUCUAUGAAGGAGAAAAGAUAAAAAAAAAAAAAAACCCUUACACUAAUUAUAAGGAUGAUAUACACUAAGUCUAAAGUGGAUUAAAUGGGUGGAAUUUAGUUGUGGCGUUUGUUUCGACAUGCAAGAACAAAUUGGAAUAUUUGAAGAAUAUUCAUAAAGUUCAAAUGCAUGGUAAUGUUUCAAUACUCUUGAUUCUGAAAUCCACUAACAAACAUGGUUGACUAGUGUAAUAAUUAAAUAGAAAUCCUCUAACAGUGUUAUCUGGAUUCAAAUCUAUCAAAUGAAUCGAUCAUUGGCUAGCAAUAUUUGAUAAGAUACUAAGUCACAUAUAAUGGUAGGUUUAGACAUAUAAGUCAUAGACAUAAUACCAUUAAGCAGAUGAUCUCAGUAGUGUAAACUCGUGGUACCUUUAAGAGAUUUAUCGAGAGAUUAAGUAUACUGCAUAUCGAAAGGAAUGAGAUAAAAGCCUACUACGCUAGAGUCCUUAUAAUGGUAACCCUAACUUGUUGACUGGAGAUCCCAAAAUCUUGGUUCAAAGGGACAACUAAGUUCUGAGGAUUUCAUGAAGCACUAAGAAAAAUAAUUUCCUAACUCAUUCUCAUGAUAUUAAAGUGCAUUCUGUAGAGUUGCAAGAGGUUAAGAUAAUCUUUUAAUGAUUCCAAUAUCUUGAUUAAGUCGAGUGGAGUAUGGCAGAAUGCUCUUAAUAGGAGGUCACCUAUGUGAGUGUGAAGUGGGGCCACUUCGAUGAGAAUUAUUUAAGGCUUAAAUUCUCUAAACACUGUAAGAACCAAGAAGGGUUCAGAGCUAAAAUGAACCAAGUCAUGAGAACCAUGAACGAUUUAGGGAAGACAUUGUGUGAGUAUCGUUGUUUUGGCUUACACUAAAGGCUGAAUGGUUCAAGACAUAAUGUUCACCAAUUAGCCGAGUAAGUCCGAUGGUAUUUCACUAAGGGAGGUUCAAGGUCAGAAGCUAUCAUCCUUGAUGCAGUGCUUUUCCGCUCUCUCUCUCUCUCUCUCUCUCUCUCUACUAGUGUCUGCAUAGAUAUUUGCAUUAAUUUUCAUUCAUGCGGGGGAUUGUUGGAAUUUUGUUGGAAAUUCUGUAUUAUUUGGUGAAUGGAAAAUUAAGCCAAAAUUUAAAUCACUUAAAUACAUGAAUUAUUGGAGAAGUGCGUAGAAUAUUAUGGAAUAUUUUAGAAAUUAUUUGGUUGAAAAUGUGUCUUUCUAUAUGAAAGAUUAUGACUGUUGGUAUUAUUAUUUUUCAAAAGACGUGUCUCUUUAAAGACAGAGACUAAUUCCAAUGGUUGUAUCUCUUCCAUAGGUUGUGUGUUUUGAGACAAACAUUUUCAACAUAUAUAUAUUGACCCCAUAUGUUUGGAUUUACUAAUUCAAAAAUUUCAUUCCAUUAUAUAUUUUACACUUUACUAUACAUAAAAGACUUUGCAGAACUGAUUAUCUUUUGUAUCAAAAUCAUGGUUAUGGUAGAGAGAGAAUUUUGUUCGAGUUCGUUAGUCGAAGCCAUUUGGAGUGCUCCUAUGGCUUGACGUGGUCAUUAUAUUUUGAGAGAUGAUUGUCGGAAAAAUAUUUAGCACCGAUGCGGGGCAAAUUCAUCUUAAGGAAAGAGUUAUACUCGCCUCGGCCAAUCGCAUCACUUACAUCUAAUUUUUUCUUAUUUUUGAUUUCAUUUCUUCAUACUUAUUUUUAGAAAAUGAUUAAUUUUAUUUAUAUGGUUUAUGCAAGGUUCGAUAUGAAGAAUCAUUUGUUUUAAUUCAUGAAUGAAAAUUGUCAGAUUCGAUAAUCAUUGGUUAGUUUCUCAAACUCCAUUUCGAUAAGUCGAAACCUUGUUUCAAUUUCGUGAACGUGUAAGUUACGUUUUGUUAAUACAAUAUGCACUUUUGAAUCGGUGUAUUCCCAACACUUUGUUUAAGACCAUGACUAAUUGAACGUAUUACUCUUUCCAAGAACUCUCAGCUUUGGGAUCUAUUUUGAAAAUUUUAUUAUUUGGUCUUUUUUUUUUUUUUUUAUUCUUUUGUGUACUGGAAAGUUAGUUGAUUUAUGAGUCAAUUAACUUCAACUUUCAAUAUUUAAAUAUUUAUGAGUAAAUUCGUUUCAACUUUCAUUAUAAGAGAAUGAUGUAUUAUUUUUAAUAAUUCAAAAAGAAAAAGACAUUACCCUUCAACCAUUUACUUUAAAUAAUCAUUGGUUACACUAUAGUUUGUCGAUUGAUUAGAUUUAUUUUAUUUAAAAAUUAAAUGGAUUGAAAAAUCUGGUUAAAGAAAACUCGUAUUCAUAUAGCAAUAGCCCACUUAGAUUGAACUUAUUCCAAGAAAAAAUCAUAUUUAUCUCUAAUAUUUUAAAAUAAUUGAAAUAAAUAAUUAAUACAAAAAUUAAACAAAAUUUUUGCCCGUCUUUUCAAUGCACGUUAGCAAAAUGUUUGGAUAAAAACCAUGAUUAGAGACAAGACAUGUUAAUUAUUUGAAGGUUGAGAAUAACAAUGCAAUGAGAAAAAUUGAGGACAUAAAAACAAAAGUGAGAAAAGAUUGAAAACCUUUCUUUUAAUUAAAAUGUGGUACAUAUAUAUAAAAAAUUGUUGUGGUAAUAUAAUUAUCCUUAAACUUUCUUCUUUAAUUAUGUUAGAUAUUGUAUUAAACACAUCAUUACAAAUAUGUAAUCUCCUUUCUUUUUUUUUUUUUAAACCCAAUCUUCUCGGGUUUAUAUAGCUUUCUAAUGACCCGCUCCAUUGAAAUUCUAUGAAGAACAGUAAUUCAAAGCUUUCAUACUUUUGGCGAAAGUUAAGUAGAUAAAUGAUAUGAAAGCAGAAAAUGAUAUAAUGCAUAGUGGAUUAAUGACCCCCUUAUGUAAUACUCUCCUGUUCAGUCGUCGCAAUCCCCCUCGCUAGUCAAUAAUUCCAUUAUUGAUGGCUCACUCUCAAUUUGGCCAUUUCUGGGAAAUGAGUGGAAUGAAAGAAGAAGUUUCAUUUUUGGAUUUUUUAUUGAUUUUAAUGUCUUCUAGAAAUGAAAAUGCCUCCUUCAUAUAUCCAAGUUUAUUAUUAUAUACGUGGUCAGUGUAUCUCAAGAAAGGGAAAAAAAAAAAAAAAAAAAAAAAAAACUAGAAAAUGCGUACAAAUGCUAAUGGUUGAUGAUUGAAUCAUGUGCGAGCAAUUAGAAUAGUGAAAAUAGAUGAUGAUUCAUCAAUUGGAUUAAAUGUGCCAAUCAAUAAAUUUUUAAUGAGCGACAAUCGAGUCACUCAUAUUUUAUUUCGAGUAAUUGGGUCGCUUAAUUUUAAUUUGCGUGCAACCAUUGUGACUCCAUCAAUCGCCGUCAAUCUAAUAACGUGAUAUUUUGACGAGGACAUUAAAAUGAUGGAGGGAUACAUGUAUGGAAAAUGAAAAUUGAUUGUUAAUAUUUCUCUUUCUUAAAAUUUGUAGCUUAACAAGCAAAAAAAUCUUGUGUGUUUUGUUUGCACAAAUUCUUUCUUUCAAAGUUAGAAACUGAUAGCAGAUAGAUUUACAGAAGAAAUCUGUCUUCAAUAUAUACCAUUUUUCUGUUGUUUGAAAAUAAAUGUUUUGUACAUACUACAAAUGGAAAGAUAAACAAAGAAAUAUAAACAUAAUGACACGAGGAAAAACGUAGUAUUCAUCGUCCUUCAAACAUUGUAGUAAUGCUGACAUUGUUGGACGAUCCCCUCAUAUUCGUAUGGCUUUGGGAAGAAGAAAAGGAACGGAUCAAGUUUUGCAUAAAUGCAGGUUGCUCUGGCAAAGGCAGAUCUAUAAUUUCCCCUCGGAGAAUUGACAGAACAGUUGAUAUAUUUGGUCUUUUGAAAGGGAAUUCUUGAACACACAAUAAUCCAAUAUGUAUGCAUCUCAAAAUCUCUUUCAAAAAACUUGGACUUGACAUUCUUCCAUCUAUCAAAGACACUGCAUUGUCUUCAUUACAUAAUUUCCAUGCCUGAAAAAGAUUAGGAGAAAUUUUCAUGAUGGACAAAAGUAUCACUGAGGAUUUUCAUACCAUUUGUAUGUACUUACAUAUCCUAAAAGGCUCAAAGAAGAGUCGUCGUUGUAAAUGAUUGUGUUCCUUGUCCCACUUAUGAUUUCUAACACCAAAACUCCAAAACUAAAUACAUCGGAUUUUUCUGAAAACUUUCCUCCCAUUGCAUGUUCAGGGGCCAUGUAUCUACUGCAAUGUCACACUAAUUCAACAAAUAAUCCAAAGAUGUAUGAAGCCCUGUUACUGGCAAUUAAGUAAGAAUAACCAUCUAAAACAAUUUAACAUUUAUUUACUAUGUUCCCACAACUCUUCUAGUAUUAGCUUGAUCUUGAUUGCCUCCGAAUAUUCUAGCCAUUCCAAAAUCAGAAAUCUUCGGAUUCCGGUGCUCAUCAUGCAAAAUGUUGCUUGGUUUGAGGUUGCGAUGGACUAUUUUCAAUCUAGAAUCCCUGUGAAGAUAAAGGAGGCCUCGACCAAUACCUUCAAUAAUAUUGAAGCAUUUUGUCCAAUCAAGAAUCUUUUCUGAUCUAUCUGUACAGAUAAAAUCCCGAGGCCAAAGGACUUCAUUAUAAGUAGCAUAACUAACAGACUAAUAAUAUUAAUUGAGGCAAAUAGAGUCAACUUACUGAAAAGAUAUAAAUCCAGGCUUCUAUUUACUAUGUUUUAGUUUGGAAAUGACAACAACUUCAUUCAUAAAUUCUUUCAGCCCUUGUCCAGAUGCUCUCGAAAGCCUCUUGACUGCAAUAUCUUUAACAUUUCCGAACUUUCCCCAUACACAUAAGCAAGAAUUUUACCAUAAACUAAAACCUACAUGAGACAAAGUCAGUAUUAACGAUGAAUAUUACCUUAUAAACAGGACCAAAACAGCCCUUCCCAAUUAGAUUAGUCACAUCGAAUUGAAAAGUUGCAGUUUCCAGAAUCUCGAAGCUGAAUAAUGGCAACUUGUCAAGACUAGCUUCGUCAAUAUCAUCUCCAAGAACAACGCCGCUUGAACCUGAUAUACAUGCUUUCUCUACUUCAUGUGUUAAUAUUCUUCCUUCUCGGUUGGCCCCUGAUUAAAAGACAACGGUAUUUAUCUUUAACCGAUAACUCCAUAUAUAUGUCCCAACAAGAAUUCAGAUUAAUAGUACCUUUUCGCUUAGCCAUCCACCGUCAAGAAAAAAAAUAUGCAUAUAAAUACGAUAACUACUCCAUUUGUUAAUGAAACCAUGACAAUCAUGUUAGAAAAUCAAAUUAGAUCCAAAUAUAAAUUAAAUCCUAGGAUCAACAUCAUGCUAAAUUACUAGGAUUCACAGAUUCAGAUAAUAUACAUGUAUCCAUUGUAAACGAUUGCCUACUGUUGCGGAAUUACUGCGACAAUCGACUACGUACCGAUGAAUGCAAGAGAAGAUUGUGGUUUUGUGAUCUUCCUCAACCAAAUCUCCUUAUUCCUCAAUGGGACCGUGAUUUCUCUUCUUGAUGGGAAGAAGGGAAAAGAGUGUAUUAUUUGGUAUAUUGGGGACCAUAACCAAAAUAACCUUUAUAUACUACUUAAUUAAGGUUCCCAUUAUCCCUUAAUUAGAGUAAUAUUAGCCGGUAUCUACUCACUUAGUCCAUAUUAAUUUGAGUAGUCUAUGGGCAUACAAAAAAUAGACCACUUGAUUUUUGCCCAUUAUAUUAAAUAGCAAAUAUAAUUGUAUUAAUGUGUUGUCAAUAUUAAUUUAGAAAAUCGUGUUUUUCUAACAAUCUCCCACUUGGCUACAUAUUAUUCCUUAAACAAUUAUAUUACAAAACUCCUUAGGCGCGCAUCUGUAUGCUAUUUAUCAUUAGACUGCUCCUUAAACAAUUUUGUCCAUCUCAUAUACUAAUAAUGGAACCACAGCAACUUUAAUCACAAUACAUUAGUGAUUAAACCACGAUGAUCAACAUAUUAAUACACUUAAUGACGUAGAUCAAAUAUGGAUGAGUAGCAUGGAAAUUUACAUGAAAUGUGAUCUCAAACAUGCCUAUUUCCAACUAGUCCUUCUUUAGUCUUUAGUGAGAUCAUUCCAAAGUCCUUAAUGCAAUGCAAACAUUGCACAAUGAAAACACAAGCAAACUCAGAAAUAGAAUCAUAGACCAUCAACUUUAUUUUGCAGAAGGUUAAAUAAUUUAAUGUCUAAAGCAAACAUAUAGAACAUAAAAUUGACUCCCACUAGACUAGAAUAUCCUCGGAAAUAAUGCUCAUGUGAGCAGUGUGCUCAUGAAAGACCUUCGGCAUUAAGCCCUUGGUUAGUGGGUCCGCUAGCAUGGAAUUUGUUCCUAUAUGUUCUAUGGAAAUCUGUUUAUCUUGAACUCUCUCCUUAACAACUAGAAACUUGAUAUUAAUGAAUUUCGACUUUGUCGAACUCCUAUUGUUGUUGGAGUAAAGCACCACUGAGUUAUUGUCACAAUAAAUGUUUAAUGGCCUGUCAAUGCCAUCUACCACUCGUAGUCCAGUGACAAAGUUUCGUAGCCAUAUUCCAUGGUUGGAUGCCUCAUAACAAGCAAUGAACUCCGCAGCCAUGGUUGAAGAAGCUAUGAGAGUCUGUUUAGCAGACUUCCAUGAGAUAGCUCCUCCAGCCAACAUAAAGACGUAGCCUGAUGUGGAGCGUCUGCUAUCUUGGCAUCCCACAAAAUCGGAGUCAGAGAACCCCAUGAUCUCUAAACUAUCUGAUCUCCGAUAAGUGAGCAUGUAGUCUUUUGUUCUCCUCAAAUAACGCAUCACGCGUUUGGCUGCUUUCCAAUGUUGCAUGCCAGGAUCACUCAGUAUCUACCCAAAACUCCCGCUAUAAAUGCUAUGUCGGGACGAGUACGAAUUAGAGCGUACAUUAGACUCCCUACCACUGAUGCAUAGGGAAUCUUCUGCAUCUCUUCUCUUUCAAGAUCAUUAUUGGGUCACUGUUUGAGACUAAACUUGUCUCCUUUAGAGAUGGGUGUGUCUCCUGGUCUACUAUCUUUCAUGCCAAAUCUACUCAAAACCUUAUCGAUAUAGCUAUUUUGUGAAAGUCCAAGGAUACCUCGAGAACGAUCUCUCAGUAUCUGAAUACGUAAUACAAAAGAGGCAUCCCCAAGAUCUUUCAUCUUGAAUUUCUUCAUCAGAAAUUUCUUGAUUUCAUGCAAUAAGCCUAUAUCACUGCUAGCGAGUAGAAUAUCAUCAACAUAUAAUACCAAGAAGAUAUAUUUACUCCCACUGAACUUAUGAUAUACACAGUCAUCAACAACAUUUGCCUCAAAAUCGUACGAGGUAAUGAUUUGAUGGAACUUGUGAUACCAUUGACGGGAAGCUUGUUUGAGACCGUAGAUGGAUUUCUUCAACUUACAAACCAUAGACUUUGGAUCUCCUGAUACAAAGCUUUCUGGUUGUACCAUGUAAAUCAUCUCAUCAAUGUCUCCAUUGAGAAACACAGUCUUGACAUCCAUCUGAUGUAGCUCUAGAUCAAAAUGAGCCACUAGUGCCAUUAUUGUUCUAAAAGAGUCUUUCGAAGAUACCAGAGAGAAAGUCUCUUUGUAGUCUAUGCCUUCCUUUUGAGUAAAGCCUUUAGCGACUAGACGAGCUUUAUAUCUCUCGACACUGCCUCUUGAAUCCCUCUUGGUUUUAAAUAUCCACUUACAACCAAUGGGCUUCACACCUUUAGGCAACUCGACGAGAUCCCAAACGUCAUUAUCUUUCAUAGACUUUAUCUCAUCUUUCAUGGCAUCAAUCCACUUCUGAGAGUUAGAACUGCGCAUGGCCUGAUGGAAGUUGAUCGGGUCAUCCUCCAUUAAACCAACGCCAUCCUCAUGUUCUUGAAGAAAGACGAUAUAAUCAUCUGAAAUCGCAUUUCUUCUCUCCCUAGUGGAUCUCCUUAAUAGCACUUCUUGAGGUUGUUGAGUUUGUUCUAUAGGUGGUGCUUGAGGAAGAAUCUCAUUGUUGUCUUGGUCUGAAACAAUGUCAGGAAUAGGAGCCUGAACAUUGUCAUCUAUUACCAGAACUGUGUCUUGAACAACAAUAGGUACAGAGACCUGAUUGCUGUCAAUGACAGAUUCUUCUUUAAAGACAACGUUCCUUAUGUUUCCUUUCCCUCCAAACUCAAUAUCCUCAAGGAAUCUCGCAUUUCCCGUUUCAAAGAAGGAUCUUGAUGUGGGAUAGUAGAACUUAUAGCCCCGAGAGCGUUCUGCGUAACCAACGAAAUAGCAGCUAACCGUCCUUGAGUCCAGUUUUCUUUCAUGUGGCCUAUAAGGCCGUGCCUCAGCUGGACAACCCCAAAUGUACAAGUGCUUAAUGCUAGGCUUCUUGCCUGUCCACAGCUCAUAAGGGGUUUUGGCAACUGCCUUGCUUGGUACCCUGUUAAGAAUGUACACUGCGGUCUUCAAAGCUUCUCCCCAAAGUGACUCUGGUAAGGAGGAAUGACUUAUCAUACUCCUUACCAUAUCCUUAAGAGUUCGGUUUUGUCGUUCUGUAACACCAUUCAUACUAGGUUUGCCCGGCAUGGUGUAUUGCGGAACAAUUCCACACUCAUUGAGGAAAAUAGCGAAGGGUCCUGGAUGUUGUUCUCCUGAUCCAUCAUAUCUUCCGUAGUAUUCACCACCACGGUCAGAUUUGAUAGCCUUUAUUUUCUUUCCAAGUUGAAGUUCAACUUCAGCUUUAAAAGAGUUGAAAACAUCCAGGGAUUGAGACUUCUCGUGUAUUAAAUAUAGGUAACUGAAUCUAGAGUAAUCGUCUAUGAACGUAAUGAAGUAUUGUUGUCCAUUCCAAGAAGCCGUAGGGAAUGGGCCACAGAUAUCAGUACGUAUCAGUUCUAAGACGUAUGUAGCUCUCUUGGCACCUAAUUUUCUCAUGUUUGUUCUUUUCCCCUUGAUGCACUCAACACAAACUUGGAAGUUUGUUAAAUCUAGGGGUUCAAGAAUUUCAUCCGACACAAGCCUCUGAAUUCUCUGCUUAGAAAUAUGACCUAAACGCUUGUGCAAUAAAGUGGCAGAAUUCUCACUUAAUUUUCGCUUUGUACCACGUGAACUUGUUUGCAGUAUUUCGUUAUAGGAACUAACAAUAACAAGUACAUACAGAUUAUCAAUCAUAUAACCGGAACCAACAAAAUUUGAAUUUUGAUAGAGACUAACUUUAUUAUUUCCAAAUGAACAAGAAAAUCCUGAUUUGUCCAAACUAGAAAUAGAAAUUAAAUUUCGUCUAAAGGACGGUGCAACAAAUGUCUCAAACAAAUCCAAAUAAAACCCAGUUUUUAAUUGUAAUCUGAAAGUCCCUAUAGCCUCUACCGCAACUUUAUUGCCAUCGCCCACAAAGAUGAAUCUUUCAGCAUCAUUUGGCGAUCGGCUCCACAGGCAAUCCUGCAUGGACAUACUUAUAUGAGUAGUAACACCAGAAUCUACCCACCAAGUAUCCUUAGGUACAGAAGCUAAAUUAACUUCAGAACAAACUAAAGUUAGAAGCAUACCCUUCUUUACACGCCAGGUAGCAUACUUAGGACACUCCUUCUUCAUGUGUCCCGACUUCUUGCAGAAGUAGCAGGUAAACUCCUUAUCCUGCUUCUUUUGCUUCUUCUGCUGAGAAGUUCCUUCAACAACAUCCUUAGCUCUCUUCUUUUUCUUGUUCUGAGAGGUUGAGGCCAAGUGAGCACUCUCAGUCUUAUCACGCUGUUGCCUCUCUUCUUCUUGCACACAGUGAGAUAUAAGCUCAUUUAGGGACCAUUUGUCCUUCUGAGUGUCAUAACUCACUUUGAAUUGCCCAAAGUGUGUAGGAAGAGAGAUCAAAAUCAAGUGCACGAGUAAGUCAUCAGACAGCUCCAAGUUAAGCGACUUGAGUUUUGAUGCGAGAUGAGACAUCUCCAUGAUGUACUCCCUUAUGUUCCCUUUGCCCUUAUACUUCAUGGAAAUGAGUUUAGCCAAAAGGUUACUCGCCUCCGAUUUUUCAUUCUUGGCAAAAUAUUGCUCAAUUUCUUCAAGGAACUUCUUGGCACUCUCGCUCUCAGUAAUAGAGCCCCGAAACGCUUCCGGAAUGGAACGUUUCAUGAUCAUCAAGCACAUCCGGUCAGACCGAUCCCACUUUUCAAUUUUACCCUCAUUGGGGUUUUCCGGAGUAGAAGCGGGUCGAUCUGAAUGAAGUGCAAGAUCUAAAUCCAUACAGCCGAGGACAAUUUCCAUGGCUUCUUUCCAAACUUUAAAGUUCGUCCCGCUCAGCAUUGGGAUGUUGCUGACUUGAGCAGAGACGUUCGCAGCAUUAACAACAGAAACUGUAUAGAGAACAAAAUAAGCAAGCAUGUCAAAUAAGAAAAUUAGGACACGCACAAAUAAUCCAGAUUUUGGGAUCCAUCUCAAGAUACCUAGUACGACAUUAAUUCCUAGUCUUUGGACAAAGAAAUUAACUGUAAUUGGUACUCUUGGUGCAAUGAUCAAACAUUGACAAUCAAUUCUAUCAAAUAAUAGCCUUUCUUUGGACCGACUAUUAUUCACAUGAAAUGUCUUUAUAAUUGGCACACAUUUAUCAUCACAAGCACGUUGUUAUUUGGCCAAAUUGUAUCUUCCUUUGGGCCGAGCACAAUUCGCAUAAAUAACUCCGUACAAAACAUCUAUGUAUUUUCAAUUAAAUCAAUCUACACAAUAGGGGUUACUUUGGCAACAUGUUGCUUUAAUCAAUUAAAUUGAAUAUACUAUACAUCCAAAGGGAACAAUCAAAACCAAAGUUUUGAAUUUAUUUUAAAACUUAAAAUUGGAAAAAAUGAAUUCUGAAAUAUGAAUGGGUUGAACAAAAUGAAUCAAUUUCCAAUUUUAUGUCUACCACAAUCUGUUUCUAAUUCCUUAUAUAUAUAUAUAUAUUUUAUUUUUUUUUAUUUUAAACCAAAAGGCACAUGUCUUGGACCCAUUAUGAAACAAAAGUCAACAAUUGCAACUGAAUCAUAUAAUGCAAUUGAAAUUGAUCCAUUGUGAAAGGUUACGUGUAUUACCAAUCUAUACUAAAUAUGCCAAAUAGUAUUCUGUCAUACACCAAUCUAUAUUGACUCCAUUAUGAGACAUAAAACAAGGGUCAAAAAAUGCGGCUAAUCCAUGCAGUUGAAAUUCUGAUUUCUGGAUCCAUAAUGAAGGUCACAGAUUUUGACAGUGAUCUACACGCUACCAAAAGUGAUGUAUCCAUUAUAAACUGUCCAAAAUUGCUGACUUGCUCUUGAUGCAAUUGAAAUUCAGCCCCAAAAAAAAUUUUUUUUUAAUCGACAGGGACAGAAUAUGUAUUCAUUAUAAAAUGAUCCGAAACUACAGAUGUCUAAAAGACAGAUGAAAUUCAUAUCCCAAAAAAAAAACUUAAAAUGGACACGGACGGAAUUUAAAAUCAAUACUAACUAUGCCGAAAAUUUCGAGAUCCGAUUUUGCCGAAUGCAUCAAGAAUAAAUCUUAAACUUAACAGUGUAAGGAAUUUCACAAAAUUCAAACAUUCUAUUCGAGAAAAAUUAUCCAAAUAUCAUACGAAUAAAACAUGCACAAAUCCUAAUAAUCUAGCAAAUGAUGAUCGCUCUGAUACCACUUGUUAGAAAAUCAAAUUAGAUCCAAAUAUAAAUUAAAUUCUAGGAUCAACAUCAUGCUAAAUUAUUAGGAUUCACAGAUUCAGAUAAUAUACUUGUAUCCAUUGUAAACGAUUGCCUACUGUUGCGAAAUUACUGCGACAACCGACUACGUACCGAUGAAUGCAAGUGAAGAGGGUGGUUUUGUGAUCUUCCUCAACCAAAUCUCCUUAUUCCUCAAUGGGACCGUGAUUUCUCUUCUUGAUGGGGAGAAGGGAAAAGAGUGUAUUAUUUGGUAUAUUGGGGACCAUAACCAAAAUAACCUUUAUAUACUACUUAAUUAAGGUUCCCAUUAUCCCUUAAUUAGAGUAAUAUUAGCCGGUAUCUACUCACUUAGUCCAUAUUAAUUUGAGUAGUCUAUGGGCAUACAAAACAUAGACCACUUGAUUUUUGCUCAUUAUAUUAAAUAGCUAAUAUAAUUGUAUUAAUAUGUUGCCAAUAUUAAUUUAGAAAAUCGUGUUUUUCUAACAAAUCACGCUUAUGUCUUUCUUCUUAUCUGAAUACAACAAAAUCAAAUCAAAUCUAUACAUAAGUAUUAAUAACUUCAUCAAUCUGUGAUAUCAAUAAAAUGUAAAGUAAAUAAAGUUUGUUACAUUGCCUGGGGAUUUAGCCAAUUUUACACUUGGCAUAAUUUCAUUGGCAGUUGGACAAAAAAUAAUGUUAACACACCCAAUCACAGGCUAUCAUCUCAGCCCUGGCAAAAUUCCGUAUACAAUGGGACUUAUUCCAUAACUUAACAAGUGAAUUAACCAUUAAUGAUAACUAGUUAAGGAUAAGAAGUACCAUGCUCCGAAUAUAACACUUGAACUUGAAGAACCAAGCCACCAACAGGGAACUGUCGGACAUCGAUCAAGCUUCUGUUCCAGAACAUACAACCAAUCCUAGGAUCAUGUGAAUAGGCUAUACAGGAACAAUUCCUCAAACAAAAAGCUUCACAUUCUUCUGCUUCUAGACCAAUCGACACAUCCAUGAAGUUCGGAACUUUCACAUUCGUCAUCUUCCAAAUGCAUCUUCUUUGUUUUUAUCGCUCAAAUUAUUGCUUCUAUCACACUGCAAAAAUGUCUUCCUCAUGCAUCCACCACUCCGGUUCUCUUUAUCCCAUUUCUCCUUGUCCUUGGGUUCGUAUGCUUUCAAACAACUACAAAUGGGUUAAUUUAGCAUAUUACAGUUUCCAAAUGGCCCACACUUACCAUAAACAUCACAAACAUCUAUAGGAGCUAUCCACGUAAUAAUCUAAACCCUUCUGUUAACAUCCCACAUUGUUUGAACAAAACUUCCAUUUGGUUUAAGAAUUAUCUUCAUUGAGAUUUUACCGUAGUAAUCUCGCAUAAACAAGAUAGUACCUGUUAGAAUUUGGGUGUGACCCCGAAUUUCUUAUUGAAAUAAUUGUAGAGUUUUGAUUGAAGUGCACAUAGAGAGAAUUCUAACCGGAAUGCUAUAGUGGAAUCUUAUUCAAGUUUAAUUGUCAAAUUCUAGUUAAAGCUCUAUUUGGAAGCCCUAUUGGGAGUUGAAAUUUUUAUUGGACUUGAAGAGAUCAAAAUAAGAAAACUUUUGGCAUUUUAUUUCAUGUACAAAUCUACUAAUAGGAUUGUUCCCUAUAAAUACUAGAUUCUUAAUCUAGAUUUGUGGAGUCAAAAAGCAUUAUAGCUCAGUUCUUUAUACUCUCUCUGGUUGUUAUUAAUAAAACAUCAUUCCUCUAACAAUUUCUUUCUUGUUCUUUACUUUAAAUCUUGUUUCUAUGAUUGCAGUCUUGUAGACUUCAUACUGAUCCAUAAUUCUCAAGGUGGUCUAUUCUUGUUCCGCCUCCAACAAGUGGUAUCACAGCAGAGGCUGUGUUGUUUGGUUGAAGUUUUCUACAGAUGGCUGCUUUGAAGUAUGAUAUUCCUCUGCUAGAUCGCAAUACAAGAUUUUCUUUGUGAUAAGUAAAGAUGAGAGUUGUUUUAGCAUAGAUGGAUUUUUUAAUUUAAAAAUAUUAACUUUCAAAAUACCCUCAUACCAAAACAAAACACGAUAAAUCAAAUUAACAAUUCUUCCCCAAAUUCAAAAUCCAUGUCUUGUUCCCAAUCACCUCCAUCAUCAUUCCAUGAGGGAACUUCAGUCUCCUAUUUCACUUCAUCUCUUUUACAAUCACUAUUGCUACGUAUGCUAUUGCUUAAAAUUGGCGAUCUAGGUAGAGAAAUAUGGAUCCUGCUUUGGUUGCAAUUGAUCUUUGUUUGAUAUGACCAAUUUACUCAAUUUAAUUUUUUGGGAAAUAGCUGGUCAAGGUGGUGGGAAGAGGCUCGUUGAAAAGGUUGGUAGCGACAAAGAUUGUGCAUUUGAACCGAAAAUUGGGCUUAGAUUUCUGGAAUUGAGUUGAAGAUAGAGGUUAAGAAGUUUCAGACUGGGUUUUGUAUUGUGCCUGGGUUUGUGCUAUAGUGGCUCAAUUCUAGUUUUAUUUUAUUAUUUUAAUUUUUUUACUUAGAAAAUGUUAAUUUAUCAUUUUACCAUUUUACUUAAUUUGUCGAGUUGAGUCAAAUUAUUAAUUUUUGGGUUGACUAAUGGUUUCUGUCCAAUGGACUCUGACUGCAGUCAAGGUGAAAGGUUCGAGCUUCUGGCUACAAAAAUAAAAUGUUAAUCUGCAACAAAUUGAAAGGUUUGAGACCUCCGUUGUAAUUUUUCAUUUUAACAAUACUCGAUUUUUCUUUGAUAUCUCUGUUAUUUUAUGUUUAUAUUUUUACCUAAGUCGAAUGAUUUCGGUUUAUUGACAUAUUAUUAGAUUAUCGAUUUGAUAUUAUAAAGUUCUCUUUGUGGAGGCUGGGAUUUCCAUCAAUGCUCGUGGUGGGAAAAUGUUUUUUUCCCAAACUCUAGCUACCAUUUGAUAUCUCCACUAUCAUGUGCCCUGUCCUAAUUAUACUUUUGCUUGGAAACUUGCACAAUGGCAGGAAGAAUUCUCAGUUUCUAAGUUACAUAAGAUCAAUGAGUGGAGUAUACAUGGAGCGCAAAUAAUGCUAGUAGUAUUGGUCUUGUUGGUUAGGGAGAUUAAAGAAGCACAUGGUAGCGAUAGAGUUCCCUAUUGUUUUUAAGAGCUAUUGUCAUUUAUUGUACAUCAUUGGUCAUUCAAAAUUCCUAGUAUUUUUUCAUAUCACUGUGUUGAGCAUGGGAUUAGAGGCAUUUUUAUUUGUUCUAAGAAAAUGACAUUAUUAUUUCAUUCACCAGAUGCAUAUUGGUCAUUAUACUAUGUAUCGCUCAUGGUUUCCAAAGAUAGUGCAUGUGAAGAUUCAUUGUUAUAAUCAUAAGAUAGAAUAUAGAAAGUCAAAUGGAUGUUAGGACCUUCCUCUUGCUGCUCACGGUGAUUUUCGGGCUCAGUUAACCAUUAAAACCGAAUUUAACAUCAAUUUUGGAGUCACCAAUACCGCCGGCGCCUCUUCCUCUUUGGUUGCUUUCCUCCUUUGCUUUGUUGAUUUAAUCCACUCACUUAGGACGGAUACCACUCAGGUAAGGUUCACAAAGACUCAAGCAAUUGGGGUGGAGAAGAAAUCAUGAAGAAGAUGAAGGCAGAAGAACACGGCUGGGCACGGCAGUUUCUCUAACUCUCACGGCUUCAACAUUGGACGGGUUCAACAAGGGUGAAAACACCAAUAUAUAUAGUAAGUCAAGUGGCCAACAUAAGGUAAGUCGGGAUAUGGUAAAUAGGCUCGACUAGGGUUAACUUCCAAUGGAAGGAAUCAACAAGCCACAAAGAGUAUUAGCCGUCCAAUAGGUAAAGCAACGUUUGGUCGGUUCAUCCAUUAUUCGAUGUUGAAUUAUCGUUCAGUCAUUCAUGUCGACUGAUAAAAUUGGUUCUCAUCAUCGCCCGGGAGGUCGUUUGACAACAUAAUGUCUAACAACCUCCACCUUGGUGUCAAAGGACCUGCAAAGAAAAACGUUUUUCCAUUAGUGACACCUCUAACAGAAAAACCGAUAAAAUUGAAAUCAUUUACCUGUACCGAUGUUUAGAAGCUCUUUGCAACUUCUAAACUUUACCAGUGGCAGCACUUUCGUGCCCAUAUCUGAAGGAUUGUACUGUGUGUGAAUUUUUUCAAGUCUUANNNNNNNNNNNNNNNNNNNNNNNNNNNNNNNNNNNNNNNNNNNNNNNNNNNNNNNNNNNNNNNNNNNNNNNNNNNNNNNNNNNNNNNNNNNNNNNNNNNNNNNNNNNNNNNNNNNNNNNNNNNNNNNNNNNNNNNNNNNNNNNNNNNNNNNNNNNNNNNNNNNNNNNNNNNNNNNNNNNNNNNNNNNNNNNNNNNNNNNNNNNNNNNNNNNNNNNNNNNNNNNNNNNNNNNNNNNNNNNNNNNNNNNNNNNNNNNNNNNNNNNNNNNNNNNNNNNNNNNNNNNNNNNNNNNNNNNNNNNNNNNNNNNNNNNNNNNNNNNNNNNNNNNNNNNNNNNNNNNNNNNNNNNNNNNNNNNNNNNNNNNNNNNNNNNNNNNNNNNNNNNNNNNNNNNNNNNNNNNNNNNNNNNNNNNNNNGGAUUGAAUUGAGCAAGAUAAUGGCCUUAUAGGUUUUAGACACGGCUUCGUCACAAUUGACAAUAUCUUGCACCAAUUUAUUAAAUACAUCUAGAUUGUCGUCGAGAUCCUUUGAACGAUCCAUUUUAAAGCUGAAGAAUCGUUCGAGUAGGUAGAGUUUAUUCGGUGUAGAUUUAAGCAAGUAUAAGUCUUCUAGUCUUUUCCAAAGUUCUUUGGUGGUUUUUAGUUUUCCCACUUUUCUUAAGACGGCGUCAGACAAGUGUAAUAUUAUUGAGGUAUAGGCAAGCUCAUCGGCUUCCUCUUUUUGUUCUUUUGAGAUAUCAGGUGCAAAAUUGCCUUCGAUGGCUUUUGACACCUUUUGUUGGACUAGUAUGCCUCUCAUCUUUUGUUGCCGAUAGAGAAGUCCCCUUUACCGUUAAAAAUUCCCAAAUCAAAAUUAUGUGUUGUCAUUGGUUAACACCCUAAUUAAACCACACGAAGUAGUAUUGGGAAACGUGAUAAGGUAAUGUCUUGUUAAUUAUUAGCAAAGGUAAUAAUGAACCUAAACGCUACGUCCACCAAGGAAUAACAAGCACUUUAAAUUAAAAGAACAAAUACUUAAUUAACGCAAGUAAUCCUAAUUUUAGCACACGCAAUGGUUACCCCUUCACGGUAACCCCAAAACCUAACGAUCACCCCACACGAUGAUCUUGCUAUUGCUGAAUUUAAAUGGAUUAAGCCAAUUUACCAGAGCGGACCUAUCUGAGUCCGUAAAGUGGAGAAAAACGAGCUUGCUGUUGAAUUUCAAUCGGCGUCGUACCAAAGGGCAAAAUCCUCCAAAUUUUUCUGUGUAACCUGAAACACAAAACAAAGUAUAUCAGCGCGUUCAGGAGAUCGAAACAAACAAGUUACCUGAAGAUUGCAUCGCCGGAAAACCGCCCACGUGCCGCCUCUCCCGGAGCGCCUCGGCCUGCUGAUGAUGGGUAUGGCCUCCGUUUGUCCAACCGAGCUUUGGUUUGUGAGUAAUUGCAAAUUUUCAGAUUCGGAUUCUAGGUUGUAGGUGCGAAAAUCAGCCGAUUUUGAGCCGUUUUUUGCCACCCAAGCUCUGAUACCAGAUGUUAGGACCUUCCUCUUGCUGCUCACGGUGAUUUCCGGGCUCAGUUAACCAUUAAAACCGAAUUCAACAUCAAUUUUGGAGUCACCAAUACCGCCGGCGCCUCUUCCUCUUUGGUUGCUUUCCUCCUUUGCUUUGUUGAUUUAAUCCACUCACUUAGGAUGGAUACCACUCAGGUAAGGUUCACAAAGACUCAGGCAAUUGGGGUAGAGAAGAAAUCAUGAAGAAGAUGAAGGCAGAAGAACACGGCUGGGCACAGCAGUUUCUCUAACUCUCACGGCUUCAACAUUGGACGGGUUCAACAAGGGUGAAAACACCAAUAUAUAUAGUAAGUCAAGUGGCCAACAUAAGGUAAGUCGAGAUAUGGUAAGUAGGCUCGACUAGGGUUAACUUCCAAUGGAAGGAAUCAACAAGCCACAAAGAGUAUUAGCCGUCCAAUAGGUAAAGCAACGUUUGGUCGGUUCAUCCAUUAUUCGAUGUUGAAUUAUCGUUCAGUCAUUCAUGUCGACUGAUAAAAUUGGUUCUCAUCAUCGCCCGGGAGGUCGUUUGACAACAUAAUGUCUAACAAUGGACAUGAAAUUAGCUGACACAACAUUCAACUGUUUAAAAUGAUAUGUCAUUUUAGUUCAUGGGUUCUCGAUUUCAAGAUAUCAAUGAAGAAAAGAUUUGAUGGGUACUAUCACAAUCAAUUCGUCAUAGUAAAUCAUUGCUUGAAUAUGUAUAGAUUUGUAGCCAAAUAGAUGUUGUUCAACGAUUUUAUGAAUGUUGGAAAAAUAACUUGUUGCGGAAACUUGUAGAACAAUAAAAUGCCAAAAAUAAAAUUUAUCAACUGAUUGAGUCUCGUGAUAGCACGAUAUCCUAAGUGAAAUUGCACUUCGUUAACUGCUGCGCUUGUCUGGACAAUAUCAUUCACAGGAUACAACGACCAAGCAAAAUAAUGAUAAAGUAAAAUGAUGAUUUCGUUUUUUGAUGUAUUUUUUUUCAAAGCCAAAUAUGUGUUUAUAUAGGCAAAAUAGAUAUAACUGCCUCUACGAUGAUCAAGGAAUAUUUGCAAUUUUUAAUGGAUUGUGGAUAAUGAGUUGUUGAUGGUGGGUUGUUGAAAAAGGUAAUAUUAUAUUAUAUUGGCUAGUUUAAACUAUUAAAUAAUUUUGAAAAUUAUUUAAAUAAAUAAAAAAUAUUAUUUUAAUCAAGGAAGCCCAAGAGCCCAAUCAAAAACCUUUUAAUUAUUGCAUGGGAUGUGACCCGAACAUCCGACCUCCUAUAAAAAUUUCACAUUUUCCACCAAUUGGGCACUUCAUCUAAAUUAUUUAUUUAUUUUACAUAUUAUAUUUAUUGUAUAAAUAUCUAACAAUCCCUCACACGAAAGAAAUAAGAUAAAUAUAAAUAUUAUUCUGGAGUACUGUAGAAAUCACGUAGGCUUAAGUGUCUAUCGACUCGUACCUUGGUUUUAUAUAUUCUAUUGAGUUUGCUAACUGUGAAGUGAAUAAUAUCUUGAACUCUACAAUUAUGGUUGCAAACUGAAGCAAUAAAAUACACAUAUGACAUCUAAAAUAAAUCAUUGAGUUCUAGCAGUUGUGUUCAUUUAAGCCAUGAAAUUUGUCACUUUCUUUAAUUACUCUGAAGGAUUAGCCUCAAUUAUCAUAAAAAGUGGCUCCACUAUCGUACUCAAAUAAUUGCUUCCAUCAAGGGUGCACUGUAUCUAAACACCCCAGUGAAUAUCAACUAUAGUAAGUAUUAAGAGCAUUAAAUCAUCUAAUCAAUACAUCUGGUACUAUUCAUCAUAGGGAAUGGUUUGGAAUAAAUCCAAUGUAGUACCCCCACAGACCACUCUAAUAAUUUUGUUGUCCCAUUAAACCUUGUCCAUGGGAUCUCUAGUCAUUAGAUUGGGUUUCCAUUAAAGCUGAUCUAGUUCGCAAUACGCUCUAACCCCAUCCCUCUAAAUAUUUUCUAGAAUUAGCUCUCUAGCUAAUCAUUUGGUUAAUGGGUCAUCAAUAUUAUCACUUGAUUUUUACAUAGUCAAUAGCUAUAACCCUAACCUUAAGCAACUAAAGCAUAGUAUUGCGCCUUGUACGAAUAUGUCUAGACAUUCCACUGUAGGAUGAGUUUUGAGUUCUUGAAAUAACUGCUUGACUGUCAUAAUGGACAGAAAUAGUUUGAAAUGGUUUAGACCACAAUGAAACAUCCAUAAGAAAAUUCCUUAACCGUUUUGCCUCUUCAUUUGCUUAUCUGAAGAUAUGAACUCAAAUUUCAUAAUAGAUCUCGCAAUGCAGGUUUGCUUAGUGAAUUUCCACGAUAUAGCACCGCCUAAUAAUGUAAAUAAAUAUCCACUCGUAGGUUUACUUUUAUUGGUAUCAAAAAUUCGAUUAGCAUCACAAUAUCCGUCGCGUACAAUAGGGAAUUUGGUAUAAUGUAUUCUCAGUCCAGAGUGUAUCUCAAAUACAUCAAGACUUGAAUGAGAGCAUUCUAAUGUUCACUAUUAGGAUUACUAAUAUACCUGCUAAGUCUAUUUACCGCAUAUGCUAUAUCAGCUCUUGUACAGUUCUUAAGAUACAUGAAACUACCAAUUACUCUAGCCUAUUCUAAAGCGAAAAAAGUAGGACUUGAAUGUUUUUUCAAAUGACGAUUUGCACCAUAAGGUACUUAGCAGGAAUAUAGUUGUAUUAGUUAAACUAAUUAAGCACUUUUUCUGCAUAAUGUGAUUGGGUUAAAGCAAUUCCUUCAAAAAAUUUACUAUUUUCAUUGCUAAAAUAAUAUCAGCAACACCCAAGUCUUUUAUUUUGAAAUGCUUUUUUUAGAAACUGUUUAGCCUUAUUAAUCACAUCUAAAUUAAUUCCCAUAAUCAACAUAUCAUCAACAUAUAAGCAAAUUAUCACACCACAACUAUUUUCAAAUUUGUUGUAUAUGGAUUUAUCUACUUCAUUUAUCACAUAACCAUUAAAUGUCAAAAUUGUAUCAAAUUUUUCAUGCCCGCUUAGGAGAUUGUUUAAGGCUAAAAAGGGAUUUUUUAAAUCUGUAUACUUUAUCAUUAAGGCCUUCUCCAAUGAAUCCCUUAAGUUGGUCCAUAUAAAUCUCCUUUCCUAAAUCUCCAUUUAAAAUGGCAAUUUUGACAUCCAUUUAGUGUAUGAUAAGAUCAUACAAUGAAGCAAUCACAAUUAACAUCCUAAUAGAGGAAAUCCUAGUAAAAACUGAAUAAGUAUUAAACAAGUCAACUCAUUCCUUUAGUCUAUAGCCUUUAGUUACAAGUCUAGCUUUAAAGUUAUCAAUAGAACCAUCGGAUUUAAGGUUUUCUUAAAAAACUUUCUGCACCCAAUGAUCUUACAUCUUUGAGGUAAGUCUACUAACUCCCAAGUGUUAUUUGACAUAAUGGAAUCAUAUUCACUAUUUAUAGCUUCCUUCCAAAUUAUAGAAUCUGGUGAAAACAUAAGUUCACCAAAAGUGCUAGGAUCCUCCUCUAAUAAGUAGGUUAAAAGGUUGGGACUGAAAGAAGUAGUGGUCACAGGUCUUCUACUUCUUCUAAUUUCAACUUUUUCUAAUUUAGUAGGUUCCUCCCUGACUAUAGGAGGAAUACUAAUAGAACUACUUGGUCUUUCAGUUUUUCCUUUAAAAGAAAAUCUGUUUUCAAAAAAUUCAUCAUUCUAGUUUUAAAAAUUGUGCUAUUAUCAAUCAAAUUAUUUUAGAGUCAAUCACUAAAAUUUUGUCAACAUUACUGUGAAGAUAAUAGCCUAUAAAAACAUAAUCAACAGUUUUCAUACUAAGUUUAGUUCUCUUAUGUGCUUAAAUAUAAACACCCCCAUGCUUUAUGAUAUUUAUAUGAAAGUAUUCUACCAUUUCAUAUGUCAUACAGGGACUUAUUGUUUUUCUUAUUGAAAAUUCUGUUAAGAAUAUAACAUGUAUUAAGGAGGGUUUCCCCUCACAAGUUAAAAGAUAUUCUAGAAGAGUUUAGCAUUGAAAUGACCAUAUCUUUAAGAGUCUUAUUUUUUUAUUUCAGCGAGACCAUUAGAUUGGGGAGAAUAAGGAAGAGUAAUAUCAUGAAUUGUACCAUUAUCAGCACAGAAUUUAUCUAAAUCAUUUGUAUAUUAUCCCCUAUUAGUUCCUAAACUUUUAAUAGUUUUGUCUAACUGGUUUUCUACUUCAGUUUUAUACAAAAUAAAUUUUGAAUAACUUUCAUCGUUGUUCUUAAAAAGAUAAAUGUAACAAUAUUGAGAAUAAUUGUCAAUGAAAGUCAAAAAUAUAUAUAUAUUUCCACCACGUGUAACAUAUCAUUUUAAAUCACAUAAAUUAGAAUGUAUUAAACUUAAAACUGAAGUAGUUCUAUCAGCAUAAGAAAAUGGUUUUCUAGCAUAUUUAGAUUAAACACAAGUUUCAAAUUGCAUUUGAAAAAUCAUCAGUUUUAAGAGUGUUCCCCAAACUCAUUAAUUUUCUAAUAGAAGAUAUAUUAACGUGUCCAAGUCUUACAUAUCACAAAUUAAAAGAAUUCAACAAGUAAAUAGAAGAAGUUGAUACUUUAUUAUUAGUCACAGAAAUAUUGAAUUUAAACAUACUCUCAUCUGCAUACCCUUUCACAACCCUUAGAUAGUACAACUUGAUCACUCUCGAAUGCAAUCUUAAAUCCUUUUUUGACUACGAUAAAAUCAUAUGCUAGAUUUUUUCUAAUUUUAGAUAAAGGACAUCCUUCAAACUAAAGAUAUUUGCAAAAGUAAAUCUAAGUAUCACAGUUCCUUCUCCUCGAUUUUGGAGGAAGAAGUAUUUCCCAUGAUCAAACAUUCUCCAUCACUAGUAGGAGUGAAUAAAGAAAAUGCACCGUUUGUGUGUCAAAUUUACUUGGUAGCUCCAAAAUUUACCUAUCAAUAUGUUAUUUUGCUUACUAGAUUAACUUCUAUAACCAUAUCAGAGAAAUUUCCGUCCUCUACUACAUGUGCAUGAUUCUUCACUGCUUUUCCCCUUCCUUUUUUUUUUUUAAUCUCUAUAGUCCUUUGCAAAGUGAAUUGGUUUACCAUAAACAAAAUAGUUACUAACAAUUUUAUUUUUAAAUUGAGAUUUAGACCAAUUGUUCCUCCCUAUGAAUUGCUUUCCUCUGUUUCUGUCUCAUAAGUUGUAUCCCUUGGUGAAAUUUUCAACAAAAUUCUUACUACAAGAAUUUCCUUCAAGAAGAUUAGCUUUGGUAUCCAAAUCUAGUCUCUCUGUACAUUCUGUCAUUCUGUUGUCUCCUCAAUUUUAAUCAUGAUAAUCAGAUCCUCUAUGGACGUUUCUUUUCUUUUAUGCGUCAAACUGUUUUUAUAUUCUUUUUAAGAAGGUGUUAAUUUUUCAAUAAUAGCAUACACUUGUAAACCUUCACAAAUUUUAUAUCCCUCAGCAAUAAUUUCAUAAAUUAUAAUCUGUAAUUAUUCAACUUGACUGACCACUGUUUUAAUGUCAUCUAUUUUAAAAUCUAAAAAUUUCCCUACAACAAAUUUCAGAUCUUCUCUUGCAUAAAGCAGUCAACAGCUAGGAAGACCCUAUGUAACCCGCAAUCUCAUUCUCCUUUUUGUUUGAUCAAUUUCACAAUUGUGGAUCGGCAAAAUAGAAACCUCAAUUGUGAUCAGCAAAAUAGAAACCUCAAUCUCUGAAAAAGACAAACUAAGAUUACCAAAGUACCGAAAGCUUAGAUGAAAAAAUAAUAAGGGAAAUGGCAUAGCAUAUUUUUCUAAAUAAUUUCAUAAUUCUUUAGCAGAUUUAUACGACCAAUAAACAUCAUAUAAAUCUAACGUCAAUUAAUUUAGAAGACGGUUUCUACACAUAUAUUCUUUAUGUUUCCAACUAGAUAAACCUUUUAUUUCCUUAGCUGUAGGCUUAUCAUUAAUUGCAGCAACGAGUUUAUCAGCUUCAAUAACAUCAACAACUUUAACCAUUCAAAUAAAAUCACAAUUUCAUUUGCCAUCAUUUAAAAUUUUUUUCCAUCAAUUCAGAUUUUUCAAAAUAAUUAGGAACAUGCAUAUCCAUUGCAAACAUGACAAUUUAUUAUAAUAAAAAUUUUAAUUUAGAUCUUUGGAAAAAUAACUGUCGCAGUAACUUUGAAUGGUAAUAUACAGAAAAUAAAACUUAUCAACUGUGACAGCACGGUGUCCUAAGUGAAAUUCUCUGGCAUUAAAUAUUGCAUUGCGACCUAUGUGGAUAAUCACUCAGAAGAUAAACGAUCAAACAAAAUUCAGAACUCUCAAGUAUACUCUAGAGAGAGAGAGAGAGAGAGAGAGAGAGAGAGAGAGAGAGAGAGAGAGCGUGUGUGUGUUACAAAAAAUAAAAAUGAUGAUUCCAUUUUUUUGAUCUAUCCAGAGCUAGAUAUAUGUUUAUAUAGGUAGAAUAGAUAUAACCGCAUCCAACAUGAUCCAGAAAUAUUUGCAACUAUUGAUGGAUUGUGGAUAAUGGGUUGUUGAAAAAUGAUCAUAUUAUAUUGACUAACUUGACCCAUUAAAUAAUUUCGAAAAUGAUUAAAAUAAAUUAAAAGGUAUUAUUUUAACCAUGGAAGCCCAAGAGCCCAAUUAAAAACUUUUUUAUUAUUGCGUAGAAUGUGGCCCAAACUUUCGACCUCCCACACAAAUUCUACACUUUCGAUCAAUUGGGCAUUUUAUCUAAAUUAGUUAUUUCGUUCACAUAUUAUAUUUAUUGUAUACAUACCUAACAAGGAAUUCAUUUUCAUGCCUAAGGAGAGCACCAUUCAAUCGAUAUUCUGUUCGCUCUCCAAUUUUACUCAAUUCACUUUUAAGCAUUGAUCCUAAAUACUGAUUUGGUAAUACGAAUUUCUUGAGGGAAUUGGUUCUUUAAAAUACAAUUAUUGCAUAUGGACGUGGUGGUCGAGAGGUUUAGACGACUGUGAGUGGAUGUGGUGGGGAGGAAAGUUCAGAAGUGUCGGUGGUGAUGGCGGUAGGGUGGCGUGUUGUGGUAGAAUGAGGUGGGAGUGAGAUGAAGAUGAUUGUGGCCACUUAAUUUGGUUUGUGACUAAUAAAUAAGUUGUUAUCUAUAAAAAUGCACAAUUUUGCAUUCAAUUUGUAAUUGUGACCCACAAAUUGUGUGUUUGUGACUAUAACCUUGCGUGAUUUGAGACUAAUAUGUGAUCGUGAUUGUGAAUUAUGUGUUAUUAUGACCUUGAUUUAUAUAAUUAAUUAAUACAUUACAAAUUUCAUUAAAGAUCAUAAAAAGUGAUCACCUAAUUUUCGAAACUUUUUAACAAGUUUCUUAUUUUUUACUAUGUAUUUUAAAAUAUUUGUGAUUAUGUAUUUUUUUUUCUCAAAUUUAUUAUUAGAUGCAUAGGCCCAUUUUGAAAACCCACAUUACAGGUUUACAAAUCACUCUUGCAAUGGAUAUUAAUUUAAUAUUUUAUUUUCACCUUUGCUUUGUAUUUGGAAAAUGUUGGUGUAUACCUUAUGUUGUACACACAAUAUUACACCCCCCCCCUCACAUGGAGGGGGUCCACGAAUAUUAUAAUACAUGUGGGCCUCUCUUGAUGUAAGGGGGGUGUAAGGCUGUUUGUACACCAUUGUGUACACACAGCACAACCCAAAUUUUGGAUUUGGCGUCACGUACAGGGCUACGUUAAAGGGGCCCAACUUGCCGCUGUGAUAGGCUGGGGAUAUUUAAAAAUGAAAGUCUUUUUCCUUGUUUUUUUAUUUUUCCUGAAUUACCUCUUUUGUUUUUGUUUUUUUUUUUUUUUGCUAACAUCAACUCAUAUUUUUCCAUCAUAUCUUUUCACAAUAAUUUGUGAAAAAGUAAGUUUAUUUGAAAUUUUAAUUAAGAUAUAUAAAAUGAAAGUACUGCAAAUAAAUUUCUCGAAUUUAAAUUCCAUGACAGCAAAUUUAAGACAAAAUUUCAUGUCAAGUAUUUGUCUAAUAACUUAUCAAAAUUUUAGGUAAGCGUGAUUUUAAUCUAGUAAUUUAAUUAAGCCCCGUGCUGGUGUAGCUAAAAAAUAGCGUUUAGUAAAUUUUGAUAAAAAUUAAUGAAAUGUGUAAUUCGAAAGUUGUGGAUCACAUAAAAUGUAUGAUUAAAAUUAAUUGUUAACUUUAACUUAGAUUUUAUUCCGCAUCAAACAAGGGCUAAAUUUCAAUUAGUUAACUACACUUUGAUUUAAUUUCAAUUAAGGCAACUAUGCUCAAUUUUUCAUUGACAUUCAAUGAAUUUUGGUUAUCACACAUAAAUUCUAGUUGCCAACAUGAAAUAAGUACAAUUUUAGUGAAAAAAAUGAUGAUCAUCAUCUUGACUCUUAAGUCAUAAUUCCCCAUCAUUCAAGUGAUGGAAUUUAAUGAGUUAACUUGAUCGAAAUUAUAUUAAAGCGGGUUAUUCAACAUAAAAAAUUGAAGUACGAUUCUUGACUAAGUGAAAGAAUCGUCAAGGGAAAUGAAAGUUAUGAAAUUUCUAAUUCAUUAAACCAAAUCCAUACAUGACACGAGGCACUCUGCAUAGAAAGUAGGAUGCCUGAAAAGAAAAAACCGAUCUUUACUCUUCACAAAAACAGUUUUAUUACACUUGCAUCAUGGCUGACAACUUUGUUUAUACUCUUUGACAUGUAACACAAUUUUACAAUUGAUUUUAACAGUCCUUAUUCAAAUCAAUGGCCUCAAUUUUGCCACCACAAAGUGCGUCAAACUAGUUGUACAACUAGCUUAAUUCUCCCAAGAAUGGCAAUAGAGUCGAGUUAAAAAAAAAAAAAGAAAAAAAGAAAAAAACAUUGUUCAGUUUUUCAUCUUUCCUAUUUUUUAGCCGGAAGAAAAAAUUUUCACAUGUAACGAUUGUGUGUAUGUGUGUGUGAAAGUUGUUAGGGUUGUGACCCAAAUUUGGUUGGUUUUUUUAUUGGGAAAAUAAUUUUUUCUUUACUCCAUGCUUUUUUGAUAUUAUUUCCAUCUUAAAAAUAUUGUUAGCAUUUUGACAUGUCUCCUAGAUAUAACUAGCUCUUCUUUACAAGUUGGUCUAUUACAGAAGUUAGAAUAAUUGUGAGAAACACGAUUGUUGUAAUUCUUUCUCUAUUAUAGUUGAAUAUAAUCUCCAAUUCCUCAAUCAAAUUAAAUUCUUGUAUUUGUGUUCAUCUAGUUGUCGUGAUCAAUAUUUCAUAUCAUGCCGUAUAAUCUCGUUUUGCCCCCAACAAAAGUGAGGAAAAUGAAGAAAUGAGAGUUAUGCAAGUCGACAGCAACAAUGCAUUGUGAAUUCAAUCGAGUAAGCCUGUGCUAGGAUUAUGAUGCCAGGGUUCAAACAACAAACUUUCUUGUAGCUAAGCAUUCAAGAAAUCUUUUAUGCCAUGUUCGUCAACUUCCAAGUCUGUGGACUGGUUCUAGUCACGGACUUGGGCUGACAGUUUCUCUUUGCGACUCUUGUUCUAGCAGAAGCAAUUGGAAUAAUUGGGACCAUGAUCUUGAAAAUGUGGAUAUAGAAGACGAGAAUGAGGAUGACGAUAAAGACGAGGAGGAGGAGGAAGAACAUAAUAAUGAAGAAGAAGAUCAUGAUGAUAAUGUUGAUAAUCAAGUUGUGCCUUCAUCUUCAACAUCUCUGCCUCCACUUUUGGCUUCAAGUUCUUCCAACAAUGAAGAGUCUUCUUACUGGAUAGACUUUAUAGGGAAAGAAAUGGCGUUUUCGGUUCAAAUUUCCAAAUUUCAUUUGCACUAACAUUCGAGGAUUAUAAUGUAAGCUUUUUUCGUUUCUUGAUUCUAUUUGUUUCAACACAGAUUCUGCUAUGAAAUCCUCAUAUUCUCAAUAGUCAAAAUUUCUCCAUUGCGUUAGGAAACUGUUAGGCCACAAAAGAAAAGUACAGAAAAGAUGGGUUCGUGGACAUUGCGAUAAUCUUGAUGAUCUCUUUUUUUAAAGGUGUUUGUACUUGUAAUUGUUUCUUGCUGUGCUUACAUUGUGACGUUCUUGAUAAAAUUGUUACACCAACAACCCUGUACUUAGGAGACCAUUAUAGACUGCAAAUUCAAGCUUAAUGUAUCUGGUCAUGUUCAAAUUUGUUGUAUGAUUCAAAUCCAGAUUCUUACCUUGUUUACAUUUUAAUGUGUAGUCAUUUUUCAAUUGAUUCAGCAAAGAGUUUAAUGGAUACUAGAUGCCUUCAAAAAGUAUUUAUUUAGUCUAAUACUAUCCAAUGCAACCAAGUCUUGUUUUCUGAUUACAAGAAAAAGAAUACUAAUGAAUCAGUUUUUCGCAAAAUGCAUCAUCAAGAAUGGAGUUAUUAGAGCAGCCUUUACCAGAUCAAAUUGUUGGGUUUUUUUAUACCUAAUAAAUCCCGAGCUAUGACAUUAACUUAGGUUAAUAUAUUUUAUAGAAAUAGGCCGAUGAAUGAAAUAAGUCCAAUAACCAAGUCCACGAGCUCCACCCGGUCCAAUUGUAUUCCCUCUUGGAUGUCUUGAAUCUUGAACCGUUUACCAUCUUUUUGGUCCAAUUAAAAGGCCUAAUCCUAGCAUAUUUAUAAGGAAUAAACCACUACCCAUUUUCUAGUGUGGUUUGUGUGAGAAAAAAGUGGAAAUACGGCUGCCCCCUUGGUGUGUCAAAAACAGCCCUUUUGAAGUGCCAAAAUUGGUUGAUUACUUUGUGUAAUAGGUGGUUUCUUCAUAUCCUACCUUUAUGGUAUUUUCUCCUUGCCUUUUUGGCUACAGAUAAUCACUGUUUCUUACCCUUCAUGGGUAAGACUAAAUAGAAACCGAGGUAAAUUAUAUUGGUCGUAGAUCAGAGCUGGUUGGAUUGGUUGUUGGUAGAGAAACGUACGUUGGACAAAGCCCAGAAAACACCGCACUGAAGAUCCUUGGAAAGAGCUUCUGCAACAUUUGGUAUCAAAGCUUUAUGGUGGUGGUUUUGGCUCAUGAAAUAUACUAGAAAAUGUCUUGAAAAUUGGCAGAAACGUAGAGGAAAUCAGUUCAAAGAAGCUGUCCAGAAACUAUCCAAAAAUUGAAUAUGUUCAUACAAUUUCCAGUCGAUCUAGAAGGCUUUUUGGUGAAAUAGAGACCACUGGUGUGACGUGCAGGUGGUGGUGGUCCAGGUUGACCGACGUGUGAGGCUCCCCGCGGUACGUGUGUCGAAGCGUGAGGCCCACACGCAAAAAGGAGAAGCCACACGUAUGUGAGGGGGUAUUUCGAGAUGGCAUCUGCAGGCAGUUUGUUCCUGACGUUAUUUCUAACAUAUUGGUGUUGUUAGUUAUUCUUCAAACGUUUAGGACUCGAUCGUGAUUUGUUGAUUGCUGCAGUUGCUAAAGUGACGCCGGGUAGGAUAGUGAUUAUCCUAUUGGCUUGUUGUAGCAGAUGAUUCGCAAGAAAAGAACGACAGAAAAUGCCCAAAAAACCAAAGAAAAUACUCUGAAUUCAACUCAAUAUUAUUAAUAAUGUAGAAUGAUGAAAACUAACCCACAAGCCGGGUUAAAUAGUUGCGAAAUAUGAAAUUAUGGGAAAAUUACCAAAAAUGGCAAAAUCCCAAAAUUAUACCAAAAUAAAAUAUUAAGUAAAAGAAGUAAGUUGCCAAAAAUUUGGCUCAAUUCGAGUUUUCUAACAUAUGGAAAAAAGGAAACGAAAUAUUACCAUAAAUAGUAAAAAAUAACUUAAAAAUGAAUUUUGGAAAGAAAAAUAGUGGAUUUUGGGCUUGAAAUUGACUUCCAUCGAGCAUAGCUCGGUGGCCACGACGUGCGCGCUGAAGAGAGCUUUCUGAAUUGGGGUCAUAAUAACGAUUCCGAUAACCGUAGCCAAAGUUAUGGCCAAAUUAUCAAAGAUGCGUCAAAUUCUCCCAAUUAAGGAAAUAAUUGUGAUUUACUUUCCAUCUCAUGGUAUCUCAGCGCCAAUCCGCCAUCUCAUGGUAUCUCAGCGCCAUCAUCGUGCUAUCUGACAAAUCAGCAUCACUUGACUCGAAUCCUCCUGCAUCAUAAAGGCUUUAGGACUAAUAAUGGUGGUUCUAAAGUGAUAAAUUUGUGACUCUCAUAAUAUACGGACUCAGAUUGGUCCGCUCUAGUAUAUUAGCUUAUCUCAGUUUAAAUUUCAACAUUAGCACGUCAUCGUGUAGGGGCAUGUGGGGGGGACAAUAGGUUUGUGGUUACCGUAAUGGGGUAACAUUGCUUGUACUAGAAAUUUAGGAGUUAUUUGCCAUAUUUUGAAGUAUUGAACUUUGAUUGCAUGUUAGUAGUUGAUUUUGUAUUUUAAUUGUCAUUUAGUCACUAUGUGAGACUUAUUGUGUGAGAAUUCGAACUUUUGUUUACAUACCUUCGUGUUGCAUUGAUUAUCCUAUUAGAACACCUGAACGUGACCCAUUCAAACAUUUCCUUGAUCUAAGAUCAUGAAUCUUACGAAACCUUGGAAAAUUAGAACGGUGUAUAUUGCGGCCUUAGGAUCACUUUGUGUGACCUAUCCGUGGAUUUGGUUGUUCUUUUUUUUUCUUAAAAUGUCUAUAUACUUUGAAGUUGGAAUUUUUAAUGGGAAAGGGGAUUUUUCAAUUUGGCAACAAAAGAUAAAGGGCAUUUUAAUCCAACAAAAAGUUUCAAAAGUCAUAAAUGACAAAUUUUCUACAAACUUAACAGAAGCACAAAAAGAAGAGUAUGAUGAACUUGCAUACACUUCAAUUAUUUUGCAGCUGUCUGACAUUGUUUUGAGAAAAGUUGAAAAACUCGAUUCUACCAAAAAACUUUGGAAAAAUUGGAGGACUUAUAUUUUCUUAAAUCCCCUCCUAAUAAAUUGUAGUUACUUGAAAGAUUUUUCAAUUUUAAAAUGGAUCCUUCAAAGGAUCCUGACGACAAUCUGGAUGCCUUUAACAAAUUAGUUCAAGAAAUUGUUAAUUGUGAUGAAAAGGUCUCUGAAAUAUUUAAGGCUAUUAUCCUACUUAAUUUCAUGCAUGAAUCAUAUAGAGAGGUUAAGAAUGCAAUUAAGCAUGGUAGGGACACCUUAACAUCCGAAAUUGUCAUAGAUUCACUUAGGAGUAAGGAGAAGGAGAUUAAUAUUGAAAAAGAGAAUUGGAUGAGUGAUAAGUUACAUAUGAUGAGGAGUAGGAUGAAGUUUAAGCAAAUGUAUUUAGGUAGAACUCAAGACGAUAGUGAUUCCAGUAGUAACUCAAGUGUGAAGGUAGUAAGAAGAAGGGGUAAGGGAUAGGACAAGCUUAAUGGUAGACGGUGUUAUAGUUGUGGCAAGUCUAGAUACUUUAUUAGGAACUGACCUAAGAAGAAAUAUAAGCUGAAAGGUAAGAUGAGAGGUGAGUGACGACCCUAGUGAAGUUUAUUGAGAAUAAAUCUAGUUGCUGCAUGUGCAUCUGUGUAUGAUUCUUUUCGCAUGUGUGUGAUUGCCUAAUUCUUGUUGCAUGAGUAUAUGUUGCAUUUGAAAGUGUUUGAUAUGUGCAUUUGAAUUUGAGGCAAUAUGAUUACUUAGUAUAAUUUCCAACAUGCAUAGUGGGUUAGGAUGCACUAGCAAUGCAUUGAAUGUCUUUUGGUGAGCUAGAAUAUAGAUGCCUAAGUGUACAUUGUGAUUUGCACCAAGGAAGUAAAGUGUGACAUUUGAAUCACGAGUGGAGAUGUGAUUAAAUAUCUGAAAUCCUUUAUCUAUAAAGCGACCUUGAUCAAGUGGAGUGUGAGAGAGACACUUCUAUUACUUCUGUUAGGUAGAGACCCAUUAUCCUCGUAGGUUGGAAAAAAUGAUGUGGUGAUAAAGGAUUAUUCCAUAGAUUUAUGAUAUAUUAUGACUUACUAGUUAGAUAUGAGUUGAGUGAUCAGUCUAGUGUUCAUGGUAGACAAUGAGAGGAGAUAUGUUCUCGAGGUGUGAACAACACAGAAUGAGAUAAGGUAAGUGUGGUUUGUGUUAGAAAAAAGUGGAAAUUCGGCUGCGCCCUUGGUGUGUUAAAAACAACCCCUUUGAAGUGCCAAAAUUUGUUUAUUACUUUGUGUAAUUGGUAGUUCCUUCAUAUCCUACUUUUGUGGUGUUUUCUCCUUGCCUUUGUAGCUAUAAAUCAUCAAUGUUUCUUGUCCUUCCUGGGUAAGAUUAAAUAGAAACUAUUGUGAAUUAUAUUGAUUGUGGAUCGGAACCAAUUGUAUUGGUUAUUGGUAGAGAAAGGUAUGUUAGACUGAGCUCGAAAAACACCAAAUUGAAGAUCCUUGGAGAGAGCUUUUGCAACACAAAUAAUAAAAUCGCCAUCAAAUAGUACACUCUGUACAGGGACCAAAAUUCGUAAUUAAUAUAAGAUUUGGUUGGGAUUAAAAAGUAGGACCUCUCCUAGCCUGUAAAUGUGGAGACCAAAGGUUUUGGUCUCUUUAACUUCCAUUAAUUGACUCCUUAGAACUCAACACCAAAUAUGUCAUGCCAAUCCAAGUUGGUCUAUAUUGUUCAUGAAUCUCCCCAUCAUUGGAUUAUAGAUUCCUAAAAUGAUAUCUCGAUGCAGUUUUUUUUACAUUCAUUGUUAUGAACAAACCAGAUACCAAAAUUGCUUUGAUACUACUUGUUAUAAUCUAGAUAAGAUUUGAAACAACUUUAUUGAAAGCGAAACAUCUCUAAUACCAAUUUGUUGAGAAUUUGGUCAAAUAAUUAAAGAAUGAGAAAAGAUGGGUAAUAUGAAAAUAAUUGAUCACAAAUAAAACAAAAUUUACGUGGAAACCCAAAUUUAGGAAAACCACGUGUAGAGACGGAGAAUUCUCCAUAAUAAAAAAUAAGGAGUUACAAAGGAUCUCUUUGGAUCAAUAAUUAGUUGAACAAUUGGUCAAUUCGUAUAUGUGUUGUAAACUACAUAUUUAUAACCAAAGAAUUUCUAACAUACUAUGAGAUUUAACACAUAAAGAGUUUAAUAUAAGGUGAAGUCCGAAUACAAUAGGUAAAACUAAUAAUGGAGAAUUUGGGAUGAAAUAGAAGUCAAAUUCACCUUGAACUCCUUCAAGAUAUCUUCAAGUCUACUACCAAUUCUAAUACUCAUCCAACAGUUUUUCCAAUCAAAUACUUAAUAAGAAUUCGAGUCAUAGCCCAACUCUAACAAAUUUUAGCUUGACAUAAGUUCCAUUGCAAGGAAUAAAACUUAACUCUUCAACUCCAAUAAAAUUCUCUAAACAAAAACACUCCACCAAAUUGCUCCUCCUCUUCCACAAUGCCCCUCCGAGCAUACUCAGCAACUGUGGACAAAUUUUAAACCUUGCAUACCAGCAGAAUUACCUUGUGUCAAACCUACUUGAAUCAUCUUGUUCAUUACCAACUCUAAUUGAGUUACCAAACAUGCUCGAGUCACCAUGAGCACUUCCAACUCACUGAGUUGUCAAGCCUGCUCAGAUCAUCAUGAACAAAAUGAUCAACAAAAUCAUAACUAGCUCCAACUGAGUUGCUAGGAAGUUCUUCAAUAUCAUUGCUUGAAUCACCACGAAUAACUCUACCAAACUAAACUCUAUUUGAGUUACUGCUUAUCUAACCAUAAACUGUAAAAUGCAUCCAAAGUGAUUGUCGAACCGUCAACGAUAUAUAAUUGAUCAUCACAUUGCUUCUCAUCUAGUAAUCAAAAAAAAAAAUAUACCAUAACAAAAUAUCUUGUUGCGAUCUAAAAACGGAAAUCAAAUUUUAUACUUAUCGUCCCUAAAACAAUCAACCUUGAUCAAAUUUCGCUUUAAUAACCAAUGUGGCCCUCCCUGGAACCACAAAAAUCUUAGAUCUGAUACUACUUGUCAUGAACAAAUAAGAUACCAAAAUCACUCUGAUACCACUUAUUACAAUUCGGAUCAUAUCUAAAACCACUUUGUUGAAAGCGGAACAUCUCUAAUACCAAUUUGUUGAGAAUGUGACACAAAUAAUUAAAGAACGAGAAAAUAUGAACAAUAUGAAAAUAAUAGAUCACAAUGACAACAAGAUUUGCGGGAAAAUUCAAAUUUAGGAAAACCACGUGUAGAGACGGAGAAUUACUAUAAUCAAUAAUAAGAAGUUACAAAUGAUCUCUUUGAACCAAUAACUAAUUAGACAAUUGGACCACAUAUUUAAGCCAAAGAAUUCCUCACAUAUUAGGAAAAGUAAUAUAUGAAGAGUUUAAUAUAAUGUGAAGUCCCAAUACAAUUGGUAAAACCAAUAAUGAAGAUUUUGGAAAGAAAUAGGAGUUAAAUUCACCUUGGACUCAUUGAGUACAUCUUCGAGUCUACUACCAACACCCAAUACUCCUCUAAUAGUAUUUUCAAUCAAAUAUUUAACAAGAAUUCGGAUCACAACCCAAUUCUAACAUUCACUAGAUGUACUUUUGUAUCUAAUAGUUUAACCCACGAGACACAUGUCAACUAUGUUAAGAAAAAUGUGCCAAGUCAUUUGGAAAAUUUGGGGUAUGAAUGAGUAUGAUUUUCAUAAAUGCAUCUUGGAAUUCUAGUCUUUAUUAGCUAGCCAUGAACCUGAAUUUUGACUCUCUUUAUUCCCUUAGAAGUAUAGUCUAAAUCAGCUUGCCGUUAAUCCUAUUUACUUAAUCCUCGGUAUUUUUCUUACAUUAAAAAUAUGACCAAUUAAACAAUCAUAUAAUAGAUCGUCAACCUGUGGACCUUUCACACGACCACAUGAUAUGGAUGCCGAAUAUAUUUAUGAUUUAUCCCAAAAACAAAUAGGUUGACUUUAAUAUAGCAUCUACAAAAGAUUGAAGAAAAAUGUGUACACUAACAGCUCCAGUCCACACUAUCUUUUUUGUAUUCUAAUAGCGAGCUGAUUAUAAUUUAUAACAUACUUAAACAAAUCAUUGCAAGUAAAACAAGAUUAAUGUUGGGGGCCCAAGUGGCAGAGACAGUCAAGAAAAAGCAAUAUUAUUCAGUUUGAAAAUUGUGGCGGAGGGGGAGAGGAAGCUGGAAUUCUUUUGUGGCCACGAUCGAUGUAUUUUCUAAAACUCUCUCACUGUGAAGCGUUACUUUUACUACUCUCCAUAUGGACUCGAGCAAUUCAAUUCACAUUUAUAUUUCUAACAUUUUAUGCCAAAUAUUCCGAGUAAAUGCACAUCAUACUGCACAUAGAAUAUCAGCUUUGUGGCCCUUAUGGACCAGUCUUACAUUGUUUUACUUUUAUUUUUAUAGCUUUUCAAAAAUAGCAUUUUAGCAAACAGAAUAUUACAUGAGAAAUCUUUACAUUGGGCUCGUUAUCCGAUUUACACCUCUGCAUAGACUAAUUCCUAAUAGCCUAGAUAGCAUUGUUCUUGAAUAUUUGCUUUUCAUGACUUGAUGUCACAACCAACAUUUACAUAGGCUAACCCUUUUCUCUUACUCCAUAUUCUGUGUAAUCUAUUUUUGUACUAGAACUGAUUUAGGUUCUCCCACUGCUUCAUGUUACAUGUCUAAUAUACACAAGUCUUUCUUUUCGUGUAGGUUACAUAUGGACUAAAUAUUAUUCCCAUAUCCAAACAUAUGAGAAAUUUUAUUCUAUGCUAUGGAUUUAUGCAUUACAUACUAUUAGAUAUUCUUAACUUAAGUUCUUAACACACACAAUUUCUUAGCUUAAUGCAUGUGUACUCCUACUGUCAUGGGACACCUUUUGUAAGACUCGUAAACUUCCGCAUUACAAAAAACCUUCUCCAUUAAGCUAUUUUUAUCGAACUAUUACUGCGUACAAUGGCACAUAAUUUUAUAAGAGCAAAAAAUUAAAAUAGAAUAAAAAAACAUUUAUGAGAAUGAAAUAGAAGAUUGUUAUUGGUCUCUUGAAUUGUAGAAAUUGAUUGUAGAGUUAAUGUUGGAAAUAUGAUAGUGAAAGGGUAUUUUUGAAAUGAAUAAUGAAUAAUCAAAAUCGCAAAGUUUAAUCCUCAAGAGCAUAAUUAAACAUAACAAAGUUAAGAUAUAUAAACCACAAAAAGAAAGGAAACAAGAAUUUAAGAAGGAAGAAUCUGAUGCAAGUGAUAAUCACUAUUUCCUUACGAUAAUAUUGCCUGCAAUGGCACUCACAGAUUAUGGCACUUGUUUCCCAAUAUACAACGGAUAUGACUUGUGAUAGAAGUAUUUCAAACCACAAGUUCCAGCGAACUUUAUGACAGAAUUUUCCUCUCUACAAGGAAGAUGAUAUGGAUGAUUUUGGAGAUGAUUUUACAGGAGAUUCAAUGCAAUGCUUAAUGCAAGAGUGAUAUGGGAUGCCUUAUGGACGUUCAAAGGGUCCUAUUUAUAGAGGAUGAGGGGCUAUAGGUAAAGUGUUGUGUACCAAACCUCGCAACUUUAUGAAUAGAAGCAUCCCUUGCUAUCACUGACCUCUCGGUCGAGUGUCAAAGUUAAAAUUUUAACAAAACCCUUUACGCCCCACCCAUCGCUAGCUCAUUGCUUGAGUGAUAGGCGAGAGACGGAGUUAGGGAAAAAUCUAGGCCAGUUUUUCCUCUUUUUUCUUCCAACUUUGGAUUACAAUGUUUCAUUAAUCCAAAAUUGGUUUUGAGAUUUCAAAUAUACCACAAUAAUCUGCUUGACGAGUAAAAUAAAUUAAUCUAUUUACAUUUGUAAUUUGACUAUGGGAUCAAGUCCAAAUAUUUGGCCGAAUUUGUCACGAAAAUCACUUUUUUUCCACUUUUAUACUUUAUCAAAUUUUCUCAAAUUUAAAUCAAUUUCCAGCAAUCCCCUACAUGAAUGGAAAUUCGAAUAUGUAUAUGCAAUGUGCAAGUUUAUGAUGCAAUGUAGGGAAAGCGGGAAAACAGUGCAUCAUGAAUUGUAGCUUUCGGCAUUUGACCUUCCAUAGUGGAAUAUUAUCGGACUUUCUUGGCUAAUUGCUGAACAUGAUGUCUUGAACCAUUCAGCUGUUUAUGUAAGCCUAGACAAUAAUACUCAUAAAGACGUCUUCCAUUCAGCUGUUAGUGUAAGCUUAGACAACACUACUCACAAGGACGUCUUCCCUAUCCCUUUAUGGUUCUCAUGACUUGGUUUAUUUUUGCUCCGAAUUGUUCUUGGGUUUCAUAAGUGUUUAGAAAAUUUUAGCCUCGAAUAAUUCUCAUUGAAGAGGCCCAAUUUCACACUUACAUAGGUUAACUCCUAUUAAGAGUAUUCUGCUCUACACUUCUUGACUUAGUCAAGAUAUAGGAAUCAUUAAAAGCAUUAUUUAAUCUUAUAACACUUUGCAGAAAGCACUUUAAUUAUCAUAGGAUUGAGUAGCAAUUAUUUCUUAAGUUCUUCAUUGAAUCCUCACAACUUUGUUGUCCCUUUGAACCAAGAUUUGAGAUCUCUAGCCAACAAGGUAGGUAUGGCAUUGCAAAGACUUUUAUGUAGUGGGUUUUAGUCUCAUUCCUCUUGAUAGACAAUGUACUUGAUUUUUAGGCAAACCUUUCGUAAGUAGAUUCACAAAGUUUCCAUUUGAUUUCACAUAAUUUAUGGAGAUGAUGCCAUUAGAGAUCAGUUUCACAAUGGUAUUGUGUCUGCGAUAUAUAUAUAUAUAUAUAUAGGCUUACCUUAUACAUGCUAAUUCGCGCCCUUCCAAUAGCCGAUUGACUAUCACAAUGUAUACUCAUUACAGGUGCUGAGUUGGGCCAAUAUGGAAUGCCUUCCACGAAGUUACAAAGCCAUUCUACUUCUUUUUCAGCUUUGUCCAAAGCAAUGAACUCUGAUUCCAUUGCUUUGUUGAUUUUCAUGAUAUAGCAGCUCCACAAAAGAUAAAUAUAUAUAACUGCUAGUAGAAUAUAUAUAUAUAUAUAUAGACUUACCUUAUACAUGCUAAUUUGCGCCCUUCCAAUAGCCGUUGACUAUCACAAUGUAUACUCAUUACAGGUACCGAGUUGGGCCAAUAUGGAAUGUCUUCCACAAAGUUACAAAGCCAUUCUACUUCUUUUUCAACUUUGUCCAAAGCAAUGAACUCUGAUUCCAUUACUUUGUUGAUUUUCAUGAUAUAGCAGCUCCACAAAAGAUAAAUAUAUAUAACUGCUAGUAGACUUCAAAUCCUUCAUGUUGGAUAUUCAAUUCGCAUCACAAUAUCCUUCUAAUGCUUUUGGAUAUUUUGAGAAGUGCAAUCUACAGGUUAAGGUAUACUUCAAGCACUAAGAACCCUUGCUACAACCUUCCAAUGAUAAUGGCUUUGAUUACUAGUGAAUCUACUAAGUUUAUUUACAACAAAAGCCAUAUCCGGUUGACUGCAGUUCGUAAUAUAAUUUGACUAACUAUCACCUAUGAAUACUUUAGUUGUCACAUACAUUCACCAAUAUUUCUGACUACAUGUAAACUGUGUCAAUAGGGGUUUUCAUAGGACUUUCCUCAAACGCGUUGUACCGUUUAAGUAUACUCUCAAUGUAGUGAUAUUGGAAAAAUAUAAUUUCCUCCGAUGUUUUAGAGAUCUUAAUCCGUAAUAUCACAUCAGCCAGACUCAUAUCUUUCAUAUCAAAAUGCUUUGUUAGCAUUUUCUUAGUGUUUAGCAUCAUUUCAUGAAUAUUGCUUACUAUCAACAUGCCGUUUACAUAUAGACAUACAAUCACAUAUGCAUUUGAUAUAUGUUUUAUGUAUACACAUUGUCACACUUGCUUAUCUUAAAUUCAUUUGACAACGUCAUUUUGUCAAACUUUUGUUUCCAUUGUUUAGGAGUUUGUUUCAAUCCAUACAAGAACUUAACGGUUUAUAAAUCUUUUGUUUGUGAUUAAGAGAAAUGAAUCCUUUGUGUUGUUCCAUGCAUAUCUUCUCUUCUAACUCACUAUUUAGCAAUGUCAUUUUUACAUUUAUUUAAUGAAUCUCAAGAUUUUUUACUGCCGCAAUUACAAUUAACAACCUUAUUGAAUUGAUUCUGGUCACGGGUGAGUAGAUAUCGAUGAAGUAAAGUCCUUCAUUUUAUCUAUAUAUUUUGGCAACAAACCUAGCCUUACACUUAUCAAUGGAUCAAUCAAAUUUCAAUUUAUUUUUGAAAAUUCAUUUACACCUUAAAAGGCUUGUUUCCAAGAGGUAAAUCAACCAACUCUCAAGUAUGGCUUUGCAUUUUAGAAUUUAUUUCACUAUUAAUAGCUUCUUUCCAAUGUGGUGUUUCCAGAAUAGACAUUGCUUCAUCGAAAGUCUUUGAGUCAUUUUCCACCACAUAUUUAAGAAAAUUUGGGCCAAACAUCAUAUAUAUUUUAGCCCUUUUACUAUGCUUUGGUUCUUCCUCAUUUGAAGUACUACUUGUAGUAUCAUAAAUUCGUUUAUUCGAACUCUUAUUUUCCUUUUCUUUACAAGAAAAAAAUUCUUAAAGAGUGACGCAUUUCUUGAUUCAAUUAUAGUUUCCUCAUAUACAUUUUGAACUUCAGGUUUAUGUAGAAGGAAACGAUAUGCACUACUAUUAUUAGUAUAUCCACUAAAUAUGCAAUUAAUCGUCAUGGGACCAAUCGUUGCUUGUUUAGACUUAGGGAUUUCAACCUUAAACACACCCCCAACACACACUUUCAAAUGUUAGUAGGAAUGAGGAUGACAUUUCUAUAAUUCGUAUGGGUUUCUUCCACUUUCUUAAGGGGUAUCUUGUUAAGAAUACUAUUUGCCGUUAAAAUAGCGUCCCCAACAAGCUUUAAAGUAAACCGAACUAAACAACAUGGCGUUCAUAACUUCCUUAAGGGAAUGUAUUUAAUUACGACUUUUGAGACUUUAAUGAACUUUUUUUAAGUGAUGACUUCUAUAGAUUUCGUGGAUUUUUUUAUAGAUUUAUAUGGAACUCUUUGAGAUCUUUCGUAGACUUUCAUUUUAAUUUUUUUAUAGACUUUUGUAGAAUUCAAACGAAUUUCGAAGACUUUCAUUUUAAAUAAAAUUCACGUGGAUCUAGUACAUUUGUGUGAAAUUCUCACAUUCGAGGAAUUGGUUCCCAAAAUUCUCCAUUUCCUUCCCCUUCCUCUUCCCAUAUAAUAAAAAAAAUUAAAAAUUAAAGACCUUAAUUAUAUAAAUAAAUGAUAAUCAAUAAAAAAUAAAUUUAAUAUUCAGUAUUACUAAUAUAAUAUACCUUUAAAGAAUAAAUAAAAAAUGAAAAUAUUUUAAUUUAAUUUAUAAAUUUGUCUAUAUCAAUUAAAAAUAGAUAUUUUCAAAAAAAAAAAAGACUUAGAAAAUAUAAAUAAAUAAUAAGAGAGAAAAAAAAUAGAAUCAAUAGAAAAAAAUUAUUCAUAAUUCUAAUGUUUGUAGAAGGGGAAAGGAAAAAAGAAAUAUUAAAAAAAUCAUUUUCUUUAUUUCAUUUUUGGGAAAGUCUCCCAAAAUUUUGUGAUUAAUAAGAUACAAAAUUUGAGAUUUUAUUUUAGUACUUUUCGCUUAAAGUUAUUACCAUAAAGACUUAAACUAUUUAAAUUCCAAAAAAUCAUUAAAUGUCUCAAUUGAAUACAUCCCUUAAGAGUUCGAUUUUCACAUUCAGCAACACCAUUCAUUUGAGAAGAGUAAGAUAUCGUUGUUUGAUGAAUAAUUUCAUAUUCGGAAUAGAAUUCUUCAAAUAGUGCCCCAUAUUCACCUCCUCUAUCACUAGAAUAUUAUUUAUUCGUUUACAGAAUUGGGUUUCAACAUCUACCUUAUAAUAUUUUAAUGCAUCUAAGGCCUCGUCUUUAUUUCGUAGUAGAAAGACAUAAUGAAACUCUGUACAAUCAUCAAUGAAAGUUAUAAAAUAUUUCUUACCACCUUUAGUUUGAAUAGAUUUCAUAUCACAAAUAUCACUAUAUAUUAGUUUUAAAGAUGUCGUGUUCCUCUGACCUAAGUGAAACGAUGUUUUAGCUAAUUUUGUUUCAACACAUACUUCACACUUAAGAUUAAGAUCAAUCUUAAGUGGCCGAAAUUAAACUUUGAUUCAUAAGUUUGCACAAAUAUUUGUAAUUUACAAGUCCUAAUCGACUAUGCCAUAAACAAAACAACUCAAACGUGUAAACGAAAUUAGAAUUUUUAUUCAUAAUGCUUUGCCUUAAUACAAUUGUAAGAACGUUCGUUUUGAACAUUCCAUCACACAUUUAUCCUUUUCCCAUAUAUAUCUCAUUCUUAGUGAGUACAAAUAUAUUAGAUGCAAAUACAAUUUUAAAGUCAUUUUUGCUAAGUAGAGAUCAAAUACAAUAUUUUUGCAAAUGUUUGGCACAUGUAGGACAUUGUUAAGGACGAGUUCUUUACCGGAAUUUAUCUUCGAAGUAACUUUCCCUUACUUUGAACUAUGCAACUUGCAGAGUUCUCCAUGAAGAGUUGUUCUCCAUUCAAACCAUGGUAGUUACGGAACAUGGACUUGUCAGCGCACACAUGUUAAGUAACACCAGUAUCUAGCCACCAAUCCCUAGAAUUUUCAACGUUGUUACAUUCAGAAACAACUGUAGAUAGAUUCAUUUCAUGAAUUCCUUCAGAUAGUAUGUCUCUUCAAUCAUGUUUGCUUGGGCGUUCUUCUUCAGCUUUUGACAUUUUCUUGAACGAUGUCCAGCAUUUCCAUAAUUGUAACUCGCCUUUAAACCUCUUGGCUUUCUUGGAGAUGCCUCUUCUUGGUGCAUAUUGCAAAUCUUACACUUCCUGUUGACAACCUUCGAACCAGUUUCAACAAAGUUUGCUCCAAGUUGGAUAAUGGAACUUCUUUCAGUAUUCCAAUUGUCUUUUUCAAUCAUCAAGCAGAACAUCCUCCAAGUUGAUAUCCUUACGUUUGUGCUUGAGAUAGUUUUUAAAGUCUCUCCACCUAAGAGGGAGUUUCUCAAUGAUGGCUACAACUUAGAAAGAUUCACUUAAUUCCAUCUUUUCGGAAUGUAUCUCAUCUUGAAGUUCUUGCACUUGACUUAUCAUUGUUUUGAAGUCUUCCAACUUGCCAUCCAAAAACUUGCCAACUAUGAAAUUUUUCGUUCUAGCAUUCUUGGUCUUGUACUUCUUUUCCAACAAGUCCUAUGGAUCCUUAACAAAGUCCUUAGAAAAAUACACUCCAUAUAGUGUAUUGUCCAAUCCGUUUAGGAUGUAGUUUUUGAACAAGAACUUCGAGUACUUCAAUGAAUCCAAUUCAAUAAACAAUUCACGAUUAUUUUCUCCUUCUUGUAUCAUUGGUGCAAGCCCUUUAAGAAACUUUGCCAAGUCUUGAAGUCCACUCCUCCAAACAUUUUUUAUUUUUCCCCAUGUGAGAUCGUAGUAUUUUGAAGUGGUACAGUCAAAGGCGGAACCACAUUAUUCGUACCAUUGGUUGUUUGACUUGAAGUUGUCUCCAUGGUUUUCAUUUCUGUUACAUGAAUAGAAGUUCAACACAAUAACAUUAAGAAGGGAAUAGUAAGUAAAGCCUAUUCCAAAGACGAAGAUCAUAGGUUUGUAUCCACAAAAACCCACAGACUAAAUAUUAUCCUAAGAUUGUUGGAAAUAUGAUAGUAAAAGGGUUAUUUUGAAAUGAAUAAUGAAUAAUCAAAAUGGAAAAGUUUAAUCCACAAGAGUGUAAUCAAACAAAACAAAGUUAAGAUGUAUAAACCACAAAAAGAAUGGAAACAAUAAUUGAAGACGGAAGAAUCCAAGGCAAGUGAUAAUCACUCUUUCGUUAAUACAAUAUUGUCGCGUAAUAGUGCUCAUGGAUUACGGCACUUAUCUCCCAAGAUACAAUGGAUAUGACUUGUGAUAGAAGCACUUCAAACCACAAGUUCUAACGAACUUUUUGAUAGAAUUUCCCUCUCUACAAGGAAGAUGAUAUGGAUUAUUUUGGAGAUUAUUUUACAUGAAAUUCAAUGUAAUGCUUAUUGCAAAAGUGAUGUAGAGGAUGAAGAAUUGUGUAUGAAGUGUUGCGUACCAAACCUUGCAAAUUUAUGAAUAGAAUCAUCACUUGCUAUCACUAGCCUAUCGCUGACCACGGAGUUGAGCAAAAAUCUAGACCAGUUUUCCUCUAUUUUUCUUCCAGUUUUGGACCUAAAAUUCUCAUUCAUCCGGAGUUAUUUUUGAGAUUUCAAUUAUGCCACGACGAUCUACUCAACGAGUAUAACAAGUUAGUAUAUUUAUAUUUGUAAUUUGACUACCGGAUCAAGUCCAAUGAUUUGCCAAAAUUGACACAAAAUUCGCUUUUGUUCACUUUUAUACUUGAUCAAAUUUUCUCAAUUUUAAACCAAUUUUCAGCAGUUUACACAGUGGAUAAACUUUAUAAUACGAUAAUAGCUUACUACAGAACAAUUCCAACACUCACAAUUUCCAUAAUGAUUAAAAGAAAACUCAAGCGGCCCUUGUAGCUACGGAAAGGUUGACUAAACAAGUAAUUUUAUUUGUGAAACAAAAUACUUCGCCGCUAAACAUCUUGAAAUUACUCGAGAGCCAAUGCCGUAUUGAUGGACACUGAUGUUUAGAUGCAACUCGAGAUUCCCACCCUUGAUACCUGUUUUUGUGUUUUCCAACCUUUAUCCAUAAAUAAAUAAAAUUGUGUAUAAUACGAUUGUUGGAAUUUUUGGUUCACAAAAAGUCUUCAAUUAGUGCGAUGAGUAGUUGUGCCUCUUCUAUAUAAAUGGUGCAUAUAAAAUAGUUAUAUCGAAUGUAUACGGCCUUUUGAUAAGGUGCUACUUUGACCAUCAAUUUUGAAAAUGGUGCGAUCUAGUGAUUGAAAUUAAUUUAUGUCAAAAGAUACGACCAUUCGAAGAAACAUAUGAAAAUCUAUAAAUUGGACCCUCCUAAUUCCAUUUGAACGCUCCAAAUCAAUUUCAAAUAAUUCAUUUCCAAUUCUUUUUUCUCUAAAUUCUGUAGAAAUAAUUUCCACAUUAUUGUUGAGUUUCGUGUUCAAGUGUUGAUUCGCUUGACAAAAUUGAUGUUGUGCUACAUUAAUUAUAGAAGAAGCAUUAUAUCUUGGGAGAUGGAUGUCCAUUUGAUCCUGUUAGCAUCCAUGCAUGGGACAAAAUUCAUUUUAAGGAGAUUUGCAUUCACAUGCACCGCUUCAUUUCAUCUCUUUCGUAUUUCUGCAUUUUCUAUGUUCGAGUAAAUCGUCGGUUGUUCAUUCUGAUGUACAUACGAUGACUCAUAUUUUCGACUUGUAGAAUAUAAAUUAUGCAUCAAAUUAUUCAACAAUCUUAAGACAAAUUUCAUUUUAUAUAUCAUAAAUAUGAGUUCACGUGCAUGUAAUAAUCAAUUGACUAUUGUGGAACACGUGUGGAAUUCAAUCGAAUAAAUGUGGAUGUAUUAAGUUCUUUGCUCAUAUGUGGAGUUAUUCAUAUUUUAUUGCACGAAUCAAGUUCAUAUUUUGAGUUGUGAAAUUAUGUUUAAUCCAUGUGCUGAUUCUAAUCCGAGGCAUUACAGAAUUUGUCAUAAUCCAGUACUAGAAAUGUUGACAAGGCAAACAAUUUUACAAAAACAAUGAAGCUUGUGCAAAAUGAUUGCAUUGCAUUAAUUAUGCAAAAAGAAAGUGAUUUUUGUUUUUCAAUUAUUUAUUUGAAAUUUACUUGGAAUUUUUUUUAAAAAUUUGGGAGUGUAGUUGCUACUUAUUCUUUAUUUUUUGUUUAUUUAAAGAGGGGGUAUAUUUGUCAUUUAUAACUUUCAAUUGGAAAAAUGGAUGAAAAUAAAGAUUUUCAAAAAGAAAUAUAAAAGGGUGAGAAUGUUAAAAAAUAAAAGGCAGGGACGUUUUGCAUAAUAAUAAUGAAAGUUGUGUGCUCACAAAAUUAUUUCUUUCGAUUUAAAACACUGCAAGUGUACGAUUCAUUAACAAGUACUACUGUGGAAUUUAGAGUUUCGAAUCGUCCCACAGAGAUUGAGUAGUUCAACUCUAUCUAUCGUAACCUUAACUGAAAUGAAAUUAUCAAAAUUGAAAUCUUAAUCUAAGAAAACCCAAAUUUAGCAAAACCCUAAUUUCGCUAAAAUGAUCUUGAAUGAAUUAAGAACGCAAAACGAUGUAUCUAAAUGAACUGGAAUGCAAUAUGAUGAUUGAAGCGCAUUUUGAUUUUACUCAAUGAAAUUUAAAUGCACUAGGAUCACAAAUUUCCAUGCAAUGAUCACCUAAAACCCUAAUUUUACAAAAUGACAACACAAUUGAAUUAUUGAAAAAUCAAUGCUGCUAAACCUAUCCAACACACUCUCUCGAGCAAUAUUGAACCUAUUCUCAUAUACCAUUAGCCUAUAUCUCUGUGACGGACGCAUAUAUAUAAGAAUGCAUGUGAUUUUAUGAGCAUUUAACGAUUCACGCAAAGCAUAAGAGUAUAUCUCUAUCCCCUAUCAGAUCCUACGAUGAUUUAUACCCUAUCAAAUCUAUUUUCCUUCUCUCAAAGGCAAGAAAUAAAUCACCACAUAUCACAUAAUUACAUGCACUUAAUUAUGGAAGAAAGUAAUGUAUAUAAAUCAUUCAAAUAAUCAAAAACGUGUUUUAACGUCGAAUUGCGAAACUAGAAAUCAAAAGAUCACUUCAAUGUUUUAUCGAUCUCCUAGUAUAAGAAUAUUCAGCCUGACAUGGAGAAAAUAAAAUAAUACAUGAUUUCUUGAAGAUAAAACAUCACCGGGUUAAGGAUUCAUGUGAAAUCUUGAUGAUUUCGUGAAAUCUUUCGUUACUUUUGCUCAAAAUCUCCUCCAAGAUGUAUUUUGUUGCCUCCCAAUGCAUUCUAGCUUGAUAUCCGAUGAGUCUAGGCUUUUAUAUUGCUUCCAAAUUGAGUUUCAAAAGUGUUUUAACGAAACAGGAAACUGCAGAAACGGCCCCCAGAUUUUGUCUAUGAAACUGCAUAGGUAUAACCUAUGCGAUCGCAUAGAAGUAAAAUUGUUGGCACAACAAGUUUCGGUACUAAUGCUCGUGACCGCAUAGAAGUAACACUUGCGGUCGCAUAGAAGCACAUUUUUCAAAGAUAUUUAUUUUGGUCCUUGAACUUUCUUUUCUUCCAUUUUAACUUCGUUUCUUCCUUCUUCUCAUUCCAUCGACCAAUAUUAACCUCCAAUUGGUACUUGGCUCAAUCAAAUCCUUGAUUCCUCUUUUAGUUCAACUUUUGAAUAUUUGCACUUUGGCCCUGAACUUUCACUUUGCUUCAUUUGAUCCUUUUCACUUCUUUUUCUCGUGAAUUCCACCAUGUCCAUCAAUAUAACAUACAAUACAGGAAUUAAAUGAAUUUAAGCCACAAUUCAACACUUUGUUCGUAAUUUAGUCAUAUUUGUGAGUUAAAUAAGUGCGUAAAAAUGCACUUAUCAAACCCCCCAAACUUAAAUUAUUGUUUGUCCUCAAACAAAAUAGUGACUUAGCUUCAAACAAACAUGGCUUAAUAACUUGUCAUGUCUCAGGAUUGGAACUUUGUAUUUGUCAUUAGAAAAAUUUCAAUGGUGCUUGAAUGAGAUCAACAUUUACCUAUUAAGUGCAUACUUGACAUGUGUGUGUGUGUGAGCUCAUGCCAACAUAUCAAGCUCAUAAUGGAGUUAAUCCCAACCAAGAGUGGUCAUGUCCUCACUUAGCUCAAGAGAUAUACAACCCCCCAAACUUAUUCGUUUCACUCAAUUAUCCUGGGGUUGUGUUUUAAAGUUAGGGUUCUAGUAAUUGUAAUCCCUACCCUCUCUUAGUUUAGAUAGAUCUCACUAUCACAAGUUCACAUGUCAACAAAUGAAGGCUCUCCUAGAUUUGAUUGCGUCAACACUUAUGAUUAAACUCAGUUACUUGCCUUGCCCUGAAGGUAUAAUUUUAUCAACUCAAUGUCGAAGAGCUUCAUCCAUACUAUCGUGUCUUUUAUUUUUCAUUUUCUAAAAAUUAAUUUUUUUUUUGUGUCAUCUUCUCAUUCUUGUUAGAGUCAUAAAGGCAUGGAAAAAGGUGUCCUCUUUUUAUAACUUAGAUUUAUGCCCUUAUUAUUUUUCUAGACAUUUGGUCUCUGAAAUCAACUCCCAAUUUAAGACCUUUACCUAGUCUUCAUCUCACCUUGUCUAGGCAAUCCACACAACAAAAUUCAUGCAUAGAGCCCCUUCUUAUCUCAAUGUUCCGUUAUGAUUGCUCAACCAUCUCCCAACUAUUUUAAGGUGGUUCACUAUUUCAUUCGGUGGAGGGUUAUCAUUCUUCUCCUAGCUUAUGUUAAAAACCCCAAUCACUAACUCAACAUGUAAAUCAUAAGUGGCGUACAUCAAGAGUGUCGUGUACUACACCAAUAAGUGCCAGUUAAUACAUUUAGCACCAUAUCCAUAAUUUCUAAACUAUACUUGUCCAAUGAUCACGUAUAGCCAGCAAGGCUAUCAAAUCCACGCAAACAUGCAAUGAACUUAAUAUAGCAUAUUGAAUAGAAUCCAAUAAUCACUCAUCAAGCACACAAUAUGCAACUAGUAAACAAAAGUAUUGAUGGAUUGUGAUAAAUUCAAAACAAAUUACAUGUCGAUAGUUUAGUAUCCAAAAUGUGCCACCAUUCAAAAUAUGCCACCACCAUCCCAAACUUAUACAUUACAUUGCCCUCAAUAUGAAAAGUAAAAGUUUAAACAGGCAUAAUUUGAAGGACAAGUUUAAAUUGAAAGUAACAAAAUGAGUUAAACAAGACUUCCCUAAUCACUACGGUGGUAGUGGUGAUUGAAAACUGGUUCCCACAGUGUCCUCUCCUAGUAGGGGAGAGAGAUCGGCCAAGAUCUGCCUCAAUAGCUCUGACUGUUGGACCUGCUCAGCCUACACCACUUUUCACUCUGUGCCCUAGCUUCUUCCUUUAUGCUACAUACUCUUUCCCAAGUUUCAUUUACCCUCAGUUGUAUGCCAUCCACUUGGCCGACAUACAUUCAGUCGACUAUUCAUGAUGUCAACCUCUCUUCUUGCUGCUUGGGAUUCUCUCUUGGCAUCCAUUGUAAAGUUUUUGGAAGAGAAGACUUUACUUUAUAUCUUCUGUACAUUGAUUGUAUGGCCCCAAAUGCCUGCUGAAGGCUAUGAAUAUCUCUGUUGGAACCAGUCGUGGUGGUAAAGAUAUGUCUUAACAGUUGUGUAUCCACGUCAACUAGUGGUAGAGGAGCUUGUGGCAUCUCUAUAUCUACAUUUGCCCGUCCUACCGCGGCUUGCUGCUCUCUCCUAAUCCUCCAGUGUAGUGUGCUUGAUGAAAGAUCUAGGCUUCUCAGGCACUUCCCUUGAUGGGAUUGUGAUGCCUAUGGACUUGCAUAUAUCUAAAACCAGCCUUGGGAUUUGUAAAAGUUGUUCGAUGCGAGGUCGGCUCCAUAUUAUGGCAUAUAAAAAUAGCCACAAGAUGGCUAUGGAUGGUGUCAGUUCAAUUUGGUGCCAGUCCUUGGUUGGGAGUUGCCAAGCAUUCUCUCGCCCUAAUAGGAUCCUGCCACUUCAUUCCAAUUGAACUCACCCGGGAUGGGAUUUAUGUUGUUCCAAGUGAGCUGAUAAAAGUCAUGGAUAACUUUCGAUGAAAACAUAAUCCACUGUCCCCCCUAACCCACAUCUGAUGCAUAUGGUUGGAGCCCGGUGUGUCAAACUCGACAUUAAAAUUUGCAUAAAACUCUCCAACCAAACUCUCAUAUACAAGGUGUGGUCGCUCCACUAUUUUUUCCCAUCCACAAUUUUUGACCAUAAGGUAACUAAUUCAAAAUCGGGGAAAUUAUCUAACUUCAUUGGCUGCUUUGGGAUUAUUGCCCACCGACUUACGAUGUUUGCAUAGCGGGCUGCGGUCUCGGGAUUUAAGAAUCUAUGUAUGCCACCUUCGAGAUCUCUAGUGCAUGCUAUCCCAGAUAAUGAUUUGACAUUUUCAUUCCCUUUUGAAGUUCUUUUCGAUGGCAUCCUAUAAGAGGAAAAGUUUCAAUAUCAAAACCACAGAGUGUAAUGAAUUAGGCAUGAAAAAAAAAAUAAGAAAGACAACUGUAAAGCACGAAUCCCCCAAACUUACUUCGAGAUGCAUCUAUAACAUGUUGGUAUGUAAUAUUCAAGAUCUUUAAGUUCAAGCUAGUAUCAAUAUUGCACCAAUUAGAAAAACAACCAAAUUAGGCCUGAACAGCACUUCAUGAAAUUUUGAUCCAUGAUCGAGUGAGGACUUUCACCCUCGAGCAUCACUGGGAAAUAUUGAAAUUUUCCUAGGCAAUCUCUAGGCGUAUGGAAUUAUUCAAUGUAGUCUAGCAUAUAUUCAAAUUUCAAGUUGAUCGGAGGUAAUUUGGUUAGGUAAAUGAAUGGGUCAAGUGGGUAACGUAACGUCAAGUGACCUAGCCAUAUCGUGCCUACAUGUGUGCGAUUUGGGUUUUUAUGUUUUGCAAUGUCUUUGCUCUGAUAUCUCAUCACCAAAUGCUACUCAACUCCAUUGUCACACACCACAAAAGCAAAAUUCACAAAAUUUCAUAACACUCCUCACUUAGGCAUUGUAUCAAACACCUUGUGUGCAUAAUGAAAUUUUCAUAACUUUGGCAAUUAAUGCUUUAUAAUCUAGCUCCCAUUUUCACACAUCAAUCAAAAACAUAAAAAAACACCCAAUCUCUACCAAAUAUUGAAAAAUAAGACAAACAAAAUCCCCAAUUUUGAAAUUGAUGGAAUAAGGUGUAGGACACUUACCUUGAAAUUUUGUUUAGAAUUUGAAGAUUGGAGAUCAUUACACAACUCCAAUACUUGAUAUUGUAAUGAUUUGUGCAAUAGAUUGUUGUUGGGUGUGUUGAGUUGUGUUGGGUAUGUGUGUCGUGUGUUUGAGAGUAUGAAAGGGGAAGAACCGUGCGUGUGUGUGUUAUAUGUUUUGAGAGUUGUGUGGACAUGGUGGUGGGUGUUUGUGAUUUAAAAACUUAAAAAAAAUUCUUUUUUUCUCAAACUUACUCUAUGUGACCGCAUAGAGCAAGCCCGUGCGGUCGCAUAGAGUAAAAUGUUAGGGCCAAUUUAGGCCCUGACCAUGAUGGUGCGACCACAUAGCUUUUUAGUCUAUGCAGUAGUAUAGACUAGCAUAGACUAAAAUGCUUGUGCAUCGAGAUGUGUGAAUGUCACACCCAAUCACCUAUGACAUCUCAAUUCAAUCUCAAAUCAUGCUCGAUGCACAGGGCUUCGUAUAUGUAGUGCUUAGACUACCUUGACAUGCAUAGAUGAUCAAUGACCUAUUGACUAAAAAUGCAAACGUGAAAUUGAAAAUUCCUAAGUUAAUGUAGGCUGCCUCCCACCCAAGACUAGUUUAUAAUCGAUAGCUCGACUUUCCCACUUCUGGUUCAAUUAGAUGUCCCGAGCUGAAUGGUGGACUUUUGCUUGGAGAAGUCAUCGUCCCAGUAGUGUUUCAGCCUUUGCCCAUUAACUGUGAAGGUACCCUUUGUUUCAUGGCUGACUUCUAAGGCUCCAUAUGCCAAGACCUUUAUGACAGUGUAAGGACCUGACCACCUUGACCUUAAUUUUCCCGAGAAAACCUUGAGUCUCGAGUUAUAUAAUAGAACUCUCUGCCCCACUUUGACUCUCGCCUCCGAAUGUGUAAAUCAUGCCACUUUUAGGUAUGUUCUUUAUAAAGCUUUGAGUUUUCAUAUGCUUCCAUCUUAAAUUCAUCUAACUCAUUAGGUUACAGUAAACGCUUUUCAUCGGCAGCCUUCAAAUCCAUGUUUAACUAUUUCAUAGCCCAGUAUGCACGUGUUCUAACUCUAGUAGGAUGUGGCACACUUUCCCAAAAACUAGGUGGCAUGAAGACAUGUCUAUCAGUGUCUUGAAUAUUGUUCUAUAUGCCCACAAUACGUCAUCCAACUUUUUAGACCAGUCCUUUAGGGAAGAAUUCAUUGUAAACUCUAGUGUUCUCCUCAACUGGCGAUUGGACACUUCAACUUGCUUUCUGUUCUGUGGAUGAUAUGGGGUUUCUACAUGGUGUUUAACACCAUAUUUACUCAGCAACUGUUCAAAUUAGCGAUUGCAAAAGUGUUUGCCCCUAUCACUAAUUAUUGCCCGCAGUGCGACAUAUUUGGUGAAGACGUAUUUCUUCAAGAACCUAAUUACCACCUUCUCGUCGUUUGUUGGCAAUACAAUAGCUUCCACCCAUUUAGACACAUCGUCAACUGCCACUAGGAUGUACUGAUUUGAAAACAAUGAGGGAAAAGAUCCUAUAUAGUCAAUUCCCCAUAUAUCAAAUAUCUCAACUUCCAAUAUAUUGUUAAGUAGCAUUUCAUUCCUUCUUGAGAUAUUCCCAGUACGUUGACAACUAUCACACCUCUUGAUAAACUCAAAGGCAUCUCUAAACAAUGUAGGCCAAUAAAAUUCUGAUUGUAGAAUCUUUACAGCAGUCUUUGAAGCUCUAAAAUAUCCUACAUACGUAGAUGAAUGGCAAUGUUCAAGAAUCUCAAGCACUUCAUCUUCAGGUAUACACUUCCUCACAAUUUGAUUGGUCCCUCACCUAUAGAAAAUAUGAUCUUCCCAAAAAUAGUACUUCAUUUUAAGCAAAGAACUUUUUCCUCUGGUGACUUAAGUAAUCUAAAGGUAGAAUAGACUUAGCUAAAUAGUUGACAAUAUCUGCAUACCAAGGUGCUUCUUCUAUACUAAACAUUUGUUCGUCUGGGAAAAUCUCAUUGAUAUCCACUGAUUCUUUUGCCUUUCCUGGCUCCAAUCGAGAUAGGGAUCUGUCACUAUAUUUUCACAGCCCUUUUUAUUCCUGAUUUCAAUGUCAAAUUCUUGCAGCAGUAAUACCUAGGGGAUCAAUCUUGGUUUAGCACCUUCUUUGUCAUUAGAUAUUUCAAUGCGGAGUGAUCUGUGUAGACUAUGACCUUAGACCCCACGAGAUAUGAUCUGAAUUUGUCAAAUGCAUAUACCACAGCCAAUAAUUCCUUUUCAGUGGUCAUGUAGUUGAUCUGGGCAUAUUCAAGGUUUUGCUAGCAUAAUAAAUCACACGGAAAAUCUUGUUCCUUCGCUAUCCCAAUACUGUCCCCACAGUAUGGUCAUUGGUGUCACACAUUAGUUCAAAAGGCAGUUCCCAAUCUGGUGCUACGAUUACCGAUGCUGACGUGAGUUUCUCUUUCAAAGUGUUGAAAGCUAUCAGGCAUUCUUCAUUUAAUUCAAAUGGAACGUCUUUCAUCAAUAGGUUGCAUAGUGGCUUAGUGAUUUUUAAGAAAUCCUUGAUAAAUCUCUUGUUAAACCUGACAUGCCCCAAGAAACUACGAACCCCUUUAACCGAUGUUGGCGACGAUAGCUUCUAAAUGACCUGAAUUUUUGCUUUGUCCACCUCAAUUCCUUUGCUGAGACUCGAUGUCCAAGUAUAAUCCCUUCCUGCAUCAUGAAGUGGCAUUUCUCCCAAUUCAAUACCAAAUUAGUUUUUCCACAUCUUUGUAAGACCAAAUUCAAGUGUUUUAAACACUCGUCAAACGAAAACUCAAAGAUCGAGAAAUCAUCCAUGAAUAUCUCUAUAAAUUUCUCCACUAUAUCCGAGAAAAUUGCCAUCAUGGAUCUCUAAAAUGUGGCAGGGGCAUUGCCAAGGUCGAAGGGCAUCCGAUGGUAUGCAAAAGUACCAUAGGGGCAAGUGAAGGUUGUUUUCUCUUUGUCAUUUGGUCCCAUUGGCAUCUAAUUAUAACCUGAAUACCCGUCGAAGAAACAGUAAUGAGAGUGGCCUGCCAAUCUCUCUAGUAUCUGAUCAAUAAACGAAAGGGAAAAGUGAUCUUUCCUUGUGGCUAUGUUGAGUUUACGAUAAUCGAUGCAAACCCUCCAUUCCGUCAAUGUUCUAGUCAAUUUUAGUUCAUUCUUCUCAUUCGACACUACCGUGAUUAUCCCUUUCUUUGGUACCACCUAAACUAGGCUAGUCCAUGGACUGUCUGAUAAUGGAUAUAUGAUUCCAACAUCCAGAAGGUUGAGUACCUUUGCUCUGAUCACUUCCUUCAUAUUUGGGUUCAACCUCCUUUAACUCUCUAUGGUUGGUCAAAUCUAGCAUGAAAAUCUUAUGCAUACACAGUGAAGGGCUGAUCCCUUUAAUAUCUGCUAUGGUCCAUCCAAUUGCUGUUUUAUUUUCCCUAAGUACUCUAAGCAGUUUCUCCUCUUCCACUUUAUUGAAUGUGUUUGAGAUGAUGACUGAGAGUGUAUAAGACUCCUCCAAGUAGGCAUAUCUGAGAUGUAGCGACAGCUUCUUGAGUUCUAAUUUCGGUGGUUGUUGAAUAGAUGAUAGUGGUUUCAUGGGUCCAAUUCCAAACUCCUCAAAAUGCCUUCCACGUGUAUAAGGUGGGUUGGUAUCUAAAAACCUUCCGCAUGUUUUCGUCUCUAUUAAUUCAGAAUGUAGUGACUGAGAGUGUACAAUGCAAGCUUCAUAAGCAUCUGAUAGAUUAUGUAGUAAAAAUGAGUCUUAAACCACCUUGUCAAUCACGUCGAUCUGGAAGCAACUAUCUAACUCUGUAAGUAGUUUCAUUGCCCUGAAGACAUUAAACAAGAUCUGCUCGUCUCCCAGUCUCAAAAUCAACUGUCCAUUGUGAACAUCAAUUAAAGUUCACCCUGUUACCAAGAAUGGUCUGCCAACUAUCAACAGGAUGUCCUUGUCCUCUUCCAUGUCCAAGAUGAGGAAAUCUGCAGGGAAUAUGAAUUUUUCAACCUUGAUAAGCAUGUCUUCUAUUAUUCUCUUGGGAUGUGUCAAUAACCUAUCAGUUAGCUGCAGUGUCACAGUAGUCGCCUUAGCCUCUCCCAAGCUAAGUUUCCUAAAAAUAGAUAGAGGCAUUAGAUUAAUACUUGCACCAAGAUCACAUAAGGUUUUAUCAAAAUAAACUUCACCAAUAGUGCAAGGAAUAGUAAAACUCCCUGGAUCUUUCAAUUCGAUGGAAGCUUUUUUUGAAUUCAAGCGUUGCACUCAUCUGUUAGCAUUACUGACUUGUGGUCCUCCAUCUUGCGUUUAUUUGAUAGUAUAUCCUUCAAAAACUUUGCAUAACUGGGCAUCUGGAAUAGUGUAUCUACUUCUUUAGCCUUUGUGAAAAAGGUAUGGGAGUCUCAUGAGGUUUGACAAUAGCUUUAUUUUAUGAUUUGCCUGGUCCUUCAGCUGGGGUAGAUUCCAUUAUGUGCUCGUUAUGCUCCAUAGCUUCCUUACAUUUCGAGUUUUAAUUGCCUUAGCAUGUUCUUUCGAUUUUAUUUUCGUGUUACUUUGCAAAUUGCCUGGUGCUCUGCCAGUCAAAGCAACUGCCAUUUGUCCUAUUUGAGUCUCUAGAUUUUUGAUAGCUGCAUUUUGGUCUUAAAGAGUGGCCUCAGUUUUCCUCAUGAAUUGAUUAUUAGCUUCCAUGUAGUGAUUGGUCUUCUCCAUAAAUUUACUGAAUAUCUCUUCUAGCUGAGGCUUUUUCUCUUGCUGCUAAUACUGACUCUGUGACCUAUUCUGGUUUUGGUUGCUCCUAGAGAAAUUUGGGUUCUUUUUCCAACUCAGAUUGUAUGUUUCUCCAAAUGUAUUGUUCUGUCGAUGUUGUCCCCAUUGAGCAAAAUCUGCUGCUCUAGUCCUUGUAACAAGAUUGGACAUUCUAUUGUUACAUGUUCGUCUCCACAUUUCUCUCAACUGGCCUUCUUCGACUGUGCUGCAUUAGCUAAUUGUGACAUGUUUUUCACCUUGUGAAAGAAUGAGUCAAUUUUGACAGACAAGACAGAAUAAACGUCCACUUUAUAAACUCAUGGUGUCCUCUUUUGAGCUCCUCAUUUUGAUGUCCACAUAGCUGAUGUAGUAGUCAUAGUAUAAAAAAGUUUCAAUGCGUCAUCAAUUAUCUUUGUGGAAAGUGAUCCGUUUGAUGACGAGUCGACCAUGCUCUUGAAGGCUAGAAGCAAUCCUACAUAAAAGUAUUGGACUUGGAGUCCCUUACUAAUCCCAUGAUGUGGACACUUUCGCAACAUAUUUUUGAACCUAUUCCAGGCUUCAUCAAAAUUCUAUGUGUCGCCUUGAUGAAAAAUAGAUAUGUCAUUCUUGAGCAUUGCAAUCUUGGCAAGCGGGAAGAACUUGGUACAGAAUUUCUAAGGUAGAUUAGUCCAUGUAGUGAUGCUAGCGAUUGGUUAUAAAUCUAGUCAUUCGAUUUCCUUGUUGCGUAGUGUAUAUGGGAACAACCUUAAUCUGAUUGCAUCAUCUGAGAUUCCUUGAUAUCUGAAGUACAUCUCCAAGAAACGAGAGACGUGCGUGUGCAUAUGUGGAUUCUCUUCAAUUUUUCCAUAGAAUUGAUGUCCAUUUUGAAACAGUUGUAUCACAUUGGUCUUCAAUUAGAAGUUAGGCUGCCGAAAUAGUGGAUACACAAUGCUCGACUAGCUUUGAAUUAUCUGAGAGGUCAUGAAAUCUCCUACUAGCAUAUUGCCUUCAUCCGUUGCCUCUCCUUCAUUGGCUUGAAAAUUGGGAUUGUUCUGUACAUUAGCCAUCUGUUGCUGUGCUUCUCUAUUCUCUUACUGCAUUCGAUGUAAAGUUCAUUCUAUUUCUAGAUUAGGUGGGAUCAAGUCUCCUUUAAUAGACUUUAACAUGCAAAUCUGCGAGAAAAAUCAAUAGAAGUGCUUAGAUACUAAAAUGAAGCAAUUAACAAAACAAAUAAAAAUAAAUGAAAUAAUAGAAAAUAAAAAACUAAAAUUAUUAAUGUUCGAAUUAGCGUUGAUGUAAAUAAAAUUAAAUGAAUACUCUAUCCCCGACAAUGGCACCAAAAAUUUGUUCACAAAAUUAUUCCGUUCGAUUUAAAACACUGCAAGUGUACGGUUCGUUAACAAGUAAUAAAAUGGAAUUUAGAGUUUCAAAUAUCGUCUCAUGGAGAUUGAGUAGUUCAACUUUAUCUACUGUAACCUUAACCAAAAUGAAAUUAUCAAAAUUGGAGUUUUAACCUAAGAAAAUCGAAAUUUAGCAAAACCCUAAUCAAAGAAAACCCUAAUUUUUCUAAAAUGAUCUUGAAUGAAUUAAGAAUGCAAAAGGAUGUAUCUAAAUGAAUAAGAAUGCAAUAUGAUGAUUGGAGCACCAGUUGAUUUUACUCAAUGAAAUUUAAACGCACUAAGAUCACGAAUUUCCAUGCAAUGAUCACCCAAAACCCUAAUUUCACGAUAUGACAACACAUUUGAAUUAUUGAAAAAUCAAUGCUCCUAAAUCUAUUCAACACACUAUCUCGAGCAAUAUUGAACCUAUUCUCAUAUACCACUAGCCUAUAUCUUUAUGACAGAUGCAUGUAUAUAAGAAUGCAUGUGAUUUUAUGAGCAUUUAACGAAUCACGCAAAGUAUAGGAGUAUAUCUUUAUCCCUUAUCGGACCCUACGAUGAUUUAUACCCUGUCAAAUCUAUUUCCCUUCUCUCGAAUGCAAGAAAUAAAUCACCACACAUCACAUAAUUACGUGUACUUAAUUAUAGAAGAAAGUAAUGUAUAUAAAUAAUUCAAAUAAUCAAAAACGUGUUUUAAUGUCAAACUGCAAAACUAGAAAUCAAAAGUGAUAAAGAUCACAUUACAUGGUUCAUUGAUCUCCUAGUAUAAGAAUAUUUAGCCUAACAUGGAGAAAAUAAAAUAAUACAUGAUUUCUUGAAGAUAAAACAUUACCGAGUUAUGGAUUUGUGUGAAAUCUCGAUGAUCUUCGUGAAUCUUUCAUUACUUUUGCUCUAAAUCUCCUCCAAGAUGUGUUUUAUUGCCUUCCAAUGCAUUCUGGCUUGAAAUCUGAUGAUUCUAAGCUUUUAUAUAGCGUGCAAAUUGAGUUCUAAAAGAGUUUUAAUGAAAACAGGAAACUGCAGAAACGGUCCCCAAAUUUUGUCUAUGCAACCGCAAGUUAUAACCUAUGCAAUUGCAUAUAAAUAAAAUUGUUGGCACAUCAAGUUUUGGUAAUCAUUCUCGCGACUACAUAGAAGUAACACUUGCGGUCGCAUUGAAGCACAUUUUUUAAAGAUAUUUAUUUUGGUCAUUGAACUUUCUUUUCUUCCAUUUUAACCUCGUUUCUUCCUUCUUCUCAUUCCAUCGACCAAUAUUAAACUCCAAUUGGUACUUGGCUCGAUCAAAUCCUCGAUUCGCCUUUUAUUUCAACUUUUGAAUAUUUGCGCUUUGGUCCUUGAACUUUCAAUUUGCUUCAUUUUGGUCUUUUUCGCUUAUUUUUCUUAUGAAUUCCACCAUGUCCAUCAAUAUAACCUACAAUACAUGAAUUUAACGAAUUUAAGCCACAAUUCCAACACUUUGCUCCUAAUUUAUUCAUGUUUGUGAGUUAAAUAAGUGCAUAAAACCCCACUUAUCAGUAUGGGCUUUUGUAUUAAUUAUCCUUUUAAUAAUUUAUUUGGACUGAUUUGCACUUUUUAAAAAGUUUGAGAGCAUGAUUGCAAUUUGUUCUUCAACAUUUCUUUUCUUUUUUAUUGUUUAUUUAAAUAGGGGGUAUAUUUUUCAAUUUACAUAAGAAAUUUUAUGAAAAUGAUUAUUUUCGCAAUAAAGGUGAAGAUAAGGUGAAAAUGCCAAAAACGGAAAGAUAUGGACAUUUUUGCACAAUAAUAUUGAAAGACAAGGACGUUUUGUACUAAUUACCCUUGCUAGAAUUAUUAAAAAUAUUAUCAUUUUGAGGAAGCAAAAGAUCAGGGUAAAUAGUACAAAACAUCCCUACCUUUCAAUGUUAUUGUACAAAACGUCCCUACCUUUCAUUUCUUGGCAUUUGCACCCUUAUUUUCGCCUUUCAUUGUACAAAAGUUCCUUUUCAUUCAUUUUCAAAUAAAAAAUAAAAUGACCCCACGACCUACGUACUUUGAAUUCUCUCUUUAUUUCUUGUCUUCUCAUCUUUAGCCUUUAACGGGGCGAUGGAAUCUUCAAAUUUCGAGGGAAUUUUGACAUCUUUUGGAAUUAUAUUUUGGGUGGCCAUAACAAAAAAUAAACAAAUCAAUCAAAAUCUGCAGACCUGUCGUCUUUUUUCUUUUGUUGUCAUCUGCAAAAAAUUAUCUUCUUUUUUGUCGUAAUUAACCUAUUCAACUGCUCUUCAUGGAUCUGUGUUUUUUUCCCUCCAAAUUUCCCAUUUAAAAUUUUCUAUAUGUGCUUGUUUUGAUGAGUGUUUAGGGCUGUGUCCAUUAGUAUUUUUCUAGUCUUGUUUGGUUCGAAUUCUUAAGAACCUCUUUUUUAAUACAAUUUUCGUAACUUUUUGUGCAUUUUAUUACUCAUUAUUACAUCACUUUUGAGAUAUUGGCUUAUCCUAGCCAAAAGAACUUGUUCUUUAUCAAAUUCUUUUUUUGGGCAUUUUGGGCACUGACUUUGCUUUGAUCCUCUUAAAUGGUUCUUAGAGUAAAAAGUUCUUAUUUUUCUCGUCGAAACCUCAUAUGCUUGAAUGACCAUAAAUUAUUGUUACAUGAAAUUGCAUUGAAUAGUAAGAGUAAAUUUGUGAAUUUCUUGUUUCAAGAUCUGCAAUGAUUUUUGUUUUUUAGUUUUGAUUUUUAAUUAUAUAUUUGUGAUUAAUUUGUAAUUUUUUGAAAAUUUGGAACUAUUGUUGCAAUUAAUUUUUUAUCUUUUCUUUUUUCUUUUUUAUUUGAAUAAGAGGGUAAGAUCGUCUUUUACUGGAAAAAUGGACGAAAAUGACUUUUUGCGUAAUGAAAGGUGAAAAUAGGGGUUAAAAUGCUAAAAAAAUGAAAAGAUAGAGAUGUUUUGCUCAAUGACGUUGAAAGACAUAAAUGUUUUGUGCUAUUUACACCAAAAGAUCAUUUCACAACUGUACACAAGUCAAGAAAAAUUGCAACAAAGGUCCCAAACAUUUCAUUUUGGUGUAAAUUAUACCCUAACCUUUUUUUUUUGCGGUUGUAGUCCCAAGCCUUUAUAUUUAACUGCAACAAUGGUCCAACUUACUGAUUCCAUCUAUAAUGACGAUAGUCAAUAGUGAAAUUGUAAUUUUGACUCAAAUAGACAAAUAAAUGAGGGGUGAAAUAGUAAAUUUACCAUUUUCAUAAACAAUUAAUUAAACACAGAAAAUGAAAGCAAGAAUAUAAAAAUAUUACAGAAAACAUCUCCUUCGACAGAGAUACAGUUUUCCACAUCUUCAGAUAGGAAAACCAGAUUGCAGAUGCUCUUGUUGCAGAUUGUUGGAAUCACCGGCUAUAUCAGGUAUAUGGACCAUCUGACCUACCACAACAAAUUAGGGCACUCGUACAAAUAGAUAGACAUGGACUGUGCAGCAUUAGAACAUGAAUUAUAAAAUUAAUUUACAUGGACUGUGCAGCAUUAGAACAUGAAUUAUAAAAUUAAUUUACUUUUAUUUUUAUAUUAUUCUUGUUUUUGUCUUUAAUUGCAUCAGUUCUUAUUGUAAGGGAAGUAGUACUUCCUCUUUUAUAGCUGUACAUUUAUUUUGUUUUUAGCAUUCACUUCCAUUGUAAGGGGAGUAGUACUUUCUUAUUUACUGCUUUCAGCAUUUUCACAUGUAACCACGACAUUCCUCCUUAAAAAAUGAGGGCAUAUUAAUAAACUUUUGGAGGUACCACCCUUCUUUAACCAAAAAUAAAAAUAAUAAUAAUAAUAAUAAUAAUAAUAAUAAUAAUAAUAAUAAUAAUAAUGAAAGAAAAAAUAAAAUCAUCACUUUCUCAAGCCCAUCCCAAAAUGACUCCACUCCAACCAAAAUUGACCACCAACGCGACAACCAUCACUACCACGGCCAUCACCACCACCACCACCUCUCCCUCCAUCGUCUUCCCAACCAAAGAUGAAAUUAAGAUUUUCCGUAUGAUUGUUGAUCGGUGCACAUAAAACCCAGCCCAUUAAAACCUCAAAAGCAAUAUCUCUGUGGGCCCCUCUUUUUGUGGGUUUAGGAAUUCUGGUCCUUUUGAAAUUCUUUCACUAAUUUCCUUUCUUGCUGGGUUUUCACUGCUUGUAACCCAAAAAUAUAGGGGAGUUGGGAUAUAAGCGUACCAAAUACAUAAGCACCAUCUAAUAUUUUGACCUUAGGUGAAAACUUCUAGUUUCUGUUUUCACUAAAACUUGGUGUGUUUCCACUAAAAAUCACCUUAUAUCUUUGUAAAGAAUCUAACUUUAUGCUCAUUCUAGUGGAUUCUGCAAACCCUUCAAAUUUAUUGGAAAAAUGAGUUGAAUUUUAACUUGAAAAUUAUGGGUUUUGUUAGUGGUUUGAAGCUCAUAAAAUGAGGAAAUUCAAUAAAUAAAUGGAUAGGGAUGGUUAGGUGGCGAUGGACGGGAGGAGGGAGAGGUGGUAAUGGUGAUGGUGAUGUUGAUGUUGAUGAUUGUGAUGGUGGUGGCGGUAGUAAAGAUAUAUAUAUAUAUAUAUAUAUAUAUAUAUACACACACUUUUUCUGAUGGAAAAAUUAAAAUUAUUUUUAAAGGAUCUUCAUCUAGAAUUCAAAGAUCUCUUUCGUCCAAAUCUUCUAGAUCUGAGGAAAAAUCAAGGAAUUCUUUUCAAUCUUCAAGAAAUUCUACUUCAUCAUCUUUCAAAGGAGUCGAUUUUACUCCUAAUAUUCCAAAUCCUUUUUAUUAACCUAAAGAAAAAGAAGAAGAAACUGAGCAACCAGAGUCUCCAAGGUCAUCAAAUUCUUUGAGAAUUGAAUUUUUUACUUUUUCAGCAAAGAGUUUUGGAAGUCCUGAAAUAAAUUUUUCUUUCAAAAAAGAUUGUUGACAAUCUUCUCUAAUCAUGACACGAGAUAGAAACAUAUCUUUGUACCAUCGAAAAUCUUGUAAUUUUGGACAUCUUAAAUUCAUAAAAAUAUCAUUUUGUAAUUGCAUUAAAUUUUCUGGAGUACCAAUAAAAUGUUUGAUAAUAGUUAAACCAAGAACGGUAAAACUAUCAUUAAUUUCUUCUCCAUUUUCGUUACGAAUAAUACUGUAAUUUUCAUCACGUUUGAUAGAGGAAAAGAUAAUAUCUUUCUCAGUUUUUGAGAUAUAAUUAUCCCACCAUUGGCCAAGCUGUCCUAUGAAUCCAAGAACAAUAUUAUUUGUAGCUUCAAUUCUUGAAUUUCCUUUAGCAAGAAAUGUUUUAUAACAAAUGGUCAUUUGUCCCAUUAAAUUAAUAAUUUGGAAUUCAGUAAGUCCGUCUAAGUUCCAUUCAACUCCGGAAUUACCAUCAUAAGAUUUUUGAGGAAGAGAUUUUUCUUCGAAAAGUUGAUCAGCAAACGAAGGAUGAGGAUAAAAUUUUGGGAUAUUUUGAUAAUCAGAUUUUCUCAGCUUAUUGAUUGAGUCAAAUUUUUCAUCAAUAAAUUGAGAUUCAAUUUCAUCAAUAGUAUUGAUGUUUUUUGAAACAUGAAAAUUUUUUAAUUGAGUAACAAGUUCAGAAAGGACUUCACUUUCAGUUUGAAGAGUUGGAGGUUUUCCAAAUCGAGGAAUUAAAUCAUCAUUUUUAAAGAUUGAUGAGGAGGAUGCUUUGGAUAAAUUUUUAUCUUUACUCUUACUUUCUCGAUAUUCUUUAAAAGAAUCUUUUUGAGAAGUAAAAGUUUCUGAUUGAGAAUUUGAUUCAACGCGAUUUAAUUGAGAACACAUGGAUUAUAGAACAACAUUAGUGUAAUUGUUCUGGGAUUGAAUAUUUUUGAUAUCCUUUGCAAUAACCUGAGAGUCAUUAGAUCGUUCUUUUGAAAUUUUUUUGAGAGGAGAUGCAGGUAUUUCAGUUUUUCCUUGUGAAAAAACUAUUUCUUGAUAGGAGGAUGAAUAGAUUGAUAAGUAUUUCCUUCAGGAGUUUUCCAAGAUUUUGAAGGAGUUUUUGUAGUAAAUAUUUGAGGUUUUUUACCAAAAACUUUAAAUUGAAUCCAAUCAUAAAAACUUAAAUUAGUAGAAGAUUCAAAAUAAUCUUCUCAAUAUUUUUCUUUUUGUUUUGAAGAAAAACUCUCUAAAAAGUUUUCUAAAAUUUUUUAAAAAAAUAUCUUGAUCAUAUUUAAAUUCUUUUCUUCUGUCAAUUUCAGAAGAAAUAACAUUAUAUUGAUGAUCAAGAUCAUUAUUUGUAGGAGGAACCAUAUCAGAAAAAGUAGGAGACUCUGGUUGCUCAGUUUCUUCUUCUUUUUCUUUAGGUUGAUAAAAAGGAUUUGGAAUAUUAGGAGUAAAAUCGACUCCUUUGAAAGAUGAUGAAGUAGAAUUUCUUGAAGAUUGAAAAGAAUUCCAUGAUCUUUCCUCAAAUCAAGAAGAUCUGGACGAAAAAGAUCUUUGAAUUCUAGAUGAAGAUCCUUUAAAAAUAAUUUUAGCUUUUCCAUCAGAAAAAGUUAAAAUUUCAUUAGGAAUUGUAUGAGUUUGGGCUGGAAUAGGAGCUUGAAUAUUUUCAAAAUUCCAUUCAAGUCCUCUGCAUUGAAGAUUCCAAGGGAUUCUUUUAGGAAUUUCAACAUUCGAAUGAAAUGGAUUGACUUCUACCAAAAGACUUUCUUCUCUUGGUGAAGAAUGAAGAGCACCUAUAUUGAGUUGAGUAUUCAUAAGCUUAUAAUAUAUUCUAUAUAUUAAAGCAAAAGCAUUUGAUUGGCUAUCAAACUCAAGGUUUUUAGUCUGAAUAUGAAGAUUUAGAGCAUUUAAUAUUGCUUCAUCAGUCAAUUUUAUUGAAAAAUUGGGAUAACAGUUUGAAAAAAUUGGACCACUUUCAAGAUUUGAUUCAAGAAGAGAUAAUAAAAAAUUUUCAAACUUGAGAUGUCUCUUAUCUCUAAGAUUAAUUAAAAUUGGAAUGUCAAGACCAAGUUUAAACAAAGUUUUAACAGCAAUUUGAACUAAUCCCACAUGAACAUAUUCGAAUUUCUUCUUAUGAGAUUCAGUAGAAUCUUUUGAAAAUAAAUUGAUAAAUGCAUUUUGACUAUUAAUUGAAAUUGUUUGCUCAAAUGUUUUAAUAACAUAAUUUUGAGUAAAAUCGAAUUUUCCUAUUUCAUAGAUAGAUAAACCGAGGAUGCCAAAACAAAGAAGUUCAUUGUCGAAAAAAAAUUUGGACUACAAAAUGAUGGAUUCCAAAACCAUGAUUAGCCAAGUGCAAAAGAUUCAAGUCUUAUUGCACGACAUCCAUGCCGAGAAAAUGGAAUUGAGUGAAUCAUUCCAAGUGGCUGCCAUUAUUGAUAAACUCUCUCCUAUGUGGAGAGAUUUCAGAAAUUACUUCAAACACAAAAGUAAGGAAAUGAAUUUGGAAGAAUUGAUUGUGCGCUUGAGGAUUGAAGAAGACAAUCGAAAAAUCGAACGAAAGCCCGUUGAUUAAGAUGGUGCAAAUUUUGUUGAAAUGGAACCAAAGACAACAAAUAAGAAACGAAAGGCUUCUAAUUAUGCAUAGCCCAUUCCGACACCGUCGCGAAAAAUGACGAAAUUGCCCCCGGCGCGAAAAAUGACAAAAUUGCCCCCGGUGCGGCGCGGAUUUCGUUUCCGAUCACCGUCGCGAAAAAUGACGAAGAGACAAUUUCAAGAAGGCUAAGAAGUUCAAAGGGAAUUAUUACAACUGUGGCAAGGCUGAAUAUCGUUCAAGUGAAUGUCGAAAGUCAAAGAAGAAUGCUCAAGCCCACAUGGUUGCAAAUAACACUCUAUCCGAUGGACUGCAAGAAAUGAGUUUAUCUGCAGUAGUAUCCGAAUGCAACAUGAUUGGAAAUACUAUAGAAUGGUAGAUUGACACCGGCGCUACCCGCCACGUGUGUGCGGGCAAGGCGAAAUUCUCCAACUAUCAAGAAUUGAAUGGGGAACAACAAUACAUGGGAAAUUCUGCAAGUUUCAAAGUUAAUAAGUCGUAAUUAACUGGGAUCUUUCUGUGAACAAUAUGGUUUUGAUAAAAUCAUUCCUCUUUCUUCAAAAUCUAUAAAAUACUUUCAAAACAAAAAAAUUUCAAAAAGAAAAUAUUUCAAAAAUUCUCCAGACGAAGUUUCAAAUAAAAAGAAAUUUUCAAAAAGAAAAUUCUCAAAAACACUUCUAACAUCACUUAUUGGAAAUGUAAUAAGACUGGUCAUUAUUCCAAUAAAUGUCCUCUCCAAAAAAAAAAUCAGUACUCUUCAAAUUGAUGAAGAUACUAAAACUCAACUUCUCAAUCUCAUCGAAUCUAGUUCUAAUAAUGAGUCUAGCUCAGAAUUAGAACAGGUUUUUCUAAGUCAAGAAGAUUCUGAUUAUGAAUCUACUCAAAAUUCUAAAUCUAGUUCUUCUUCCAAUAAUGAUAAAGAAAUUUGUGGUUGUAAAACCAUAAAUGUGUUAUCCAAAGAGGAAGAAGUUAUUUAAGAUAUUAUUGAUAGGAUUGACAAUCAUAAACUCAAAAAGAAAUUUUCAUCUCUUUAACCUUCUUCAUCAAAAGAAAAUUUUGAUUAUAUCAAUCUUACCAACAUUCUCAAACGUGGUCAAAAGGAACUUUCGAAAGGUUCUAAACCUUCAAUUCCAGAACUUCAAGUAGAAAUUAAAGAUAUGAAAUAUCAAAUUUCUAAUCUUGAAGAUCAAGUCAAAAAAAUUCACAUGGAAGUAGUUUGCUUAAAAGCAAAAAACUUAAAUGAUGAAUUUUAUUCAAAAUUUAAAGGAAAAUCCAAAAUUUCUUCAAAAUCAUCUUCAAAGAUAUCUUCUCAUCAUUCAAAAUCAUCUUCAUCUGAUUUUUCAUCUACUUCAAAAUUUCCUCAAUCUGAAGAAGAAAAGGUUAAUGUAAUUAACCGUAUUCAACUUCAGAAAUGGUAUUGCAAUAUGACUAUUGUAGUCAACAAAGAAUUCAAAUUGACUACUCAUGUUCUUAUUGAUUCAAGAGCUGAUCAAAAUUGUAUCAAAGAAGGCCUUAUUCCUCCAAAAUACUUUGAAAAAAUUACUGAGCGUCUUUAUGGUGCUAGUGGUAAAAAAUUAGAUAUUAAUUACAAAAUUUCAAAAGCUCAUGUUUGUAAUUCAAAUAUUUGUUUCAAAAAUAUCUUUUAUUUAGUAAAAGACUUAGAUCAAGAUGUCAUUCUUGGUACAUCUUUUAUUGUUCAAAUUUAUCCUUUUAAAGCAGAUUAUAAAGGAUUAACUACAAAAAUUUUUGGUAAAAAAAUAUUUUUUGAAUUUUCAAAUCCUCCUUCUUAUAAAGAUAUCAACUCUUUAAAAGAAGCUGCAAUUUCAAAAAUUAUUCAUAAUAUUAAUCUCAAAAGAAAUCAUAUUCAAUUUCUUCAAGAAGAAAUUUUAUUUCAAAAAACAGAAAAUAGAUUACAAGAUUCUUCUAUCAAAAAUCAAAUAAUUAAUUUACGAAAUAAAAUUGAAAAAGAAAUUUGUUUAACAAUUCCAAAUGCCUUCUGGGAUAGAAAGAAACAUGUUGUUUCUCUUCCUUACAAUUAUGAUUUUCAUGAAUCAAAUAUUCCUUCAAAAUCCCGUCCUAUCCAAAUGAAAAAAGAAUUGCUUGAUUUUUGCAUCAAAGAAAUCAAUGAUUUACUUGAAAAAUGUUUAAUUCGUCCAAGUAAAUCUCCCUGGAGCUGUUCUGCCUUUUAUGUCAAUGAUUCUGCAGAAAUUGAACGAGGAGUUCCUCGUCUUGUCAUCAAUUAUAAACCACUCAAUACUGUUCUUCAAUGGAUUCGUUAUCCUAUUCCUCAAAAGAAAGAUCUUUUAAAUCAUCUCUGCAAAGCUAUCAUUUUCUCAAAAUUUGAUAUGAAGUUAGGAUUCUGGCAAACUCAAAUUAAAGAAAAAGAUAGAUAUAAGACUGCAUUCAAUGUUCCUUUUGGACAAUAUGAAUGGAAUGUUAUGCCAUUCGGUCUCAAAAAUACUCCUUCAGAAUUUCAAAAAAUUAUAAAUGAUAUUUUUAAUCCAUAUUCAAAUUUCAUUAUUGUUUGCAUUGAUGAUGUUCUUAUUUUUUUUAAAAAUUUAGAACAACAUUUCAAGCAUAUUCAUACAUUAAUUCAUAUCAUCAAAAAAAUGGUUUAGCAAUUUCUGCUAAAAAGAUUAUUUUAUUUCAAACAAAAAUUCGUUUUCUUGGUCAUUUUAUUCAAAAUUCCCCAAUUACACCAAUUCAAAGAAGUCUUGAUUUCAUUGAUAAAUUCUCAAAUGAAAUCAUUGAAAAAACAAGUUUGCAACGCUUUUUAGGUUGUGUCAAUUAUGUGGCCGAUUUUGUCGAAGAUAUACGUCAAAUCUGUUCCCCAUUAUUCAAAAGAUUACAAAAUAAUCCUGACCCAUGGAAUCAUGAGUGCACAUUAGCCGUCCAAAAGGUUAAAAGGUUAGUAAAAAAUAUUCCCUGUCUUUCAAUCUUUGACCCCACAACUUCAAUUAGUGUUGAGACAGAUGCCUCUAAUAUUGGGUUUGGCGGAGUAUUAAAGCAAAUCCCACUAGAGUCAUCUCAAGAUUUCAUAGUGGAGUUUGGACUGGCCCUCAAAAGAAUUAGUCAACCAUUAAAAAAGAAAUUCUUUCAAUAGUUCUCUGCAUUUCAAAAUUUCAAGACGAUCUUAUCAAUAAAAAAUUUAUUUUGAAAACAGACUACAAAGCCUCAAAAGAUGUUUUACAAAAAGACUAAAAAAUCUUGUUUCAAAACAAAUCUUUGCAAGAUGGCAGGCUAUUUUGUCCUGUUUUGAUUUUAAAAUACUAUAUAUACAAGGAAAAUCAAACUUCUUGGCAGACUUCCUCACAAGAGAGUUCAUUCAUAAAAAUAGUAAUGAUGAGUUGGGCACAACAAGUUGAUGAAGAGGAUCAAAAUCCUUUUCAAACAAAAACUAGUAGAAAGAAAAAUUCUACUCCAUUCUUUUCAAUCAAUGAUCUCCCAAAAGAUCAUCAAGAAGCUUCUUCUUCUUCAAACUACCUUUAUACCUUUGUCAAAAAAUCAGAUCAAAAACUCAAACAAAAAGCCUCAUCAUCUACUCCUUCAAAUUACAAAAAAGCCGUUCAAAGCACUGGAAAACUUCCUCAAAUUAACCCUCCAAAUACCUUCAAAUAUUUUACCAAAAAUAUUUUUGAAAAUUGCCUUGAUAUGGAAACAUCUUGGCUCAAUAGAUAUUCAAAUUUGGAUAAAUGUCUUUCAAGCAUUUUUCCAAAAGACUUUUGGUUCAUGCCUUCAAACAUCAAAAAAAUUCGAUAUUAUUAUGAGACUAUCCUUUUGAAAAUAGGAUCAGUCAUAAUUACUCAUACUCCAGAUCCAAAAGACAAGUCAAUUAUUAUGUAUUCAAAAAUCAGUAUUCUUAGAGUUUUGUCUUACGAAAACUGGGGACAAAACCCAUGGGAAGAAAAGAGACUCAAGCUCUCUUCAACAUUUUUCACAAUAAACAGUAAAAUAGAAUAAACUGAUUCUUACCAAGCCUACAAACGGGACCACCCAACACGCCUUCUCCGGCUAUCAACGGGCUGACCAACAUCUAUUUAGUAGACAUCCCGGAAUCAAACCAUUAUCACCUAAAUAACAAGUGCCUAAUGUGAUAAAUUAAAUUAAUCUUAAUUAAUUCUCUUAUGGCUCUGAUACCAUAAAGGCCCAGUGGAUGAAGGGAGAGAAAGAGAUCAACAGAAAGUAUGAAAAUAGAAGGAUUUUAUUGAAAAUAUAAAGUUUUACAAUGAAGAGAACAAAUUAACAAAAGAAAAUAAACUUCUUCUUGCUUAAUUCGCUUUGCUGAUCUUGAAGGGCUUGAGGUCUUCUUCUACUUGAAAUCCAGACUUGAAAAUUUCUUUCAAAUGUCAGAAAGAAUCUUGAAAAGCAAGGUGGACGACAGGAUGAUGAAGAAUCACCAAAAGGAAUGCCAUCUUUUGAUAAUUUUUCCAACUUUUGACUUCCUUUAAUAAAAGAAAUUUUUUCUUUAUUAAAGUAGUGAUUGACACUGUCCACAAAGCAAAUCCAAAUUAUGACAAAUCUUGCACCAUUGAAAUUUGUCUUGAUGAAUAUUGAGAAGAAUUUCUCUUGAUUUGUAGGCCCGAAAAUCUCUUAAUUCGUCAAGAAAACUAGGUCCAUGAAGUCAUUUGUUUAAAGCAUCUUUUUGAGCUAGGACUCUUAAUAGUCAUAACUUAAAUCAAUUAAGUCAUCACCAUUGUCAGUCUCUUGCGAAAAUUGAGAUUCUUGAUCAUCUGAAUCUUGAGAUCUUGAUUUUGUAGAUCCUUUUUUAGAAAUUUGUUCAUAAAUUUCUAAUAAUUCUUUUGGAUCUUUACAUUUUGAUAACAUUGAAAUGAUCUUUUUGUUUUUCAGUCAAGAAAUCGACUUGACUUUCUUGUUCUUCCUUUGAGAAUUUAGGGACACCUAAAUUUCUUUGUUCUUGAAUCCAAGAUUGAACUGCUUUUGGACAAUAAUUUGUUUCCUUGAAUUUCGACCACCAUUUGAUUUUGAAUAUUCUUGUGAUCUUUUGAGUAAAGUACUCAUCUUUGAGAUUUUGAAAUUGAAAGAAAUCCCAGCAAAAAAUCCAGGAUACUUUCAUAUUGAAAGCAAAUUGAAACAUAACACUUUCCUGAAUUUUUAGAAAAGGUUUUGCUUCAUCUUUGAAAAAUUCAUAUCCUUGAAGAGUAAGGCUGGGUAAAAUUUGCUCUUCAAGUCCAUGAUAAAUGAACCAUGUUUGAAACCAUUUGAAAAAUGAGGAUGGCAAUUUUGAUUAAAAAGAAUGAACCAAGAAUGAGUCAUAGGUCUAAAAAAGAAGACUCUAUACCAAGCAUUCUAGUAAUCAAAAUAAUUGAAAUUUUCUUGAGUUGUGAAAAAUGUUGAAGAGAGCUUGAGUCUCUUUUCUUCCCAUGGGUUUUGUCCCCAGUUUUCGUAAGACAAAACUCUAAGAAUACUGAUUUUUGAAUACAUAAUAAUUGACUUAUCUUUUGGAUCUGGAGUAUGAGUAAUUAUGGCUGAUCCUAUUUUCAAAAGGAUAUAUAUUUCUUUUCGUUUUUUUUUUCCAUUUUGCCCUUCAUUUAAUUGGUCCAUCCGAGUCAAAAUUACAAUUUAAUUGUUUAUUAACGACAUUAUUUACAGAAUCAAUGAUUUGGGCUAUAGCUGUAGUUAAAUAUAAAGGUUUGAAACUCCAACCGUUAAAAUAUAAGGUUGGGGUAUAAUUUGCAGCAAAAUGAAAUGUUUGGGACCUCUGCUGCAAUUUUGCCCUCUAGUCUAAAUCUUUUAAAAGAUUUCAUUAAUAGAGGAAUUUUAAAAAUUCAAAAAGUCCAAAAUUAAUAUGAUAUUUAAGAAUGCAAAGCAAUAAAUAAUAUUUUUUGUAUGUCCAAAAUUAAUAAUUUUUUUUUGUAUCGGUCUGACAUUAUUCUAAAAAUUCAAAAUUGGAAAUUUAUCAGAGAUAAAUUAUUAAUCUUUAUAUAUCAACCUUAUAUUUUUUAUAUUUAGGUUAUCGGUGAUUAAAAUGUAAACAUUCAUGCUGUAGCACCAUAAAAAAAACAUACUUGCUGCAUAUGCUUAAUAAAAAUAGAAUAGGGUAAGUUUUAUUAGUUAAAAAAAAUAUUUUUUUAGAAUCGUCUUUGGAAGAAUAACUUUAAAGUAACUUCCCAUACUUUUAUGCACAAUUAAGUCUUUGUUUGAUGCCCAUUAUUUCGAAUUUUCAAUACUUUGAAUAAUGAAUUUUUGAAGAAUAUGCAUUUAAAAAAUAGAGAAAGUUUUGGAUUUACGUCCAAAAUAUUUUAUUAUGUAAAUGUAUGGUUUAAAAUGAGUAUGUAAGAAAAAGAAUUUUGAAAUAAAGGAUGUCAAAUAGGGGCUAACACAUGUUCUUUGUGUUAGUUGUAAUCUCUCGCGAUCUGAACAUUUAGAACAAAGGCUAGGCCACGCAUUCCAUACCAUGGAUUGUCAACGUACACAAGCUUACUAUAAAAGUGUGUUUGAUUGAUUUUAUAUAUAUUUUUUUUAAAAAGGGUCAUUUUCUCUCCAAAAAUCUUAACUUUGGGAUGUUUGAUUAACAAUUUUUGCCAUAAAUAAUGUUUUCCAAAUUUUAGUCUUGUGACUAUAUUUUCUCAAAAAUAAGGAAAACAUUUUCUUUCAAGAGUAAUGGUUGUUAUUUUCAAGGUAAUUCACUCUGUCUUUCUCUCUCUCAUCUAUCAACUCUUUCUAUCUACUCGCUAAUAAAGAAUGAACAAGUAUAAUAUUUUAUAAGUUAAAACUAAAUCAAUCAAACACAUUUAAUUAAUAGUUUUCAUAAUGCUCACAAUAAAACGCAACCUUAGAGUUAAUUUUUUAUACCAACUCUUCUUCUAUAUAUAUAUAUAUAUAUAUAUAUAUAUAUAUAUAUAUAUAUAUUUGUAAGCAAUUAUUUCUUCUAUUUGCUCGUGCACAUUCAUUAUCAUUCACAUUCGACAUGAAUUUUUGAAGAAUAUGCAUUUAAAAAAUAGAGAAAGUUUUGGAUUUACGUCCAAAAUAUUUUAUUAUGUAAAUGUAUGGUUUAAAAUGAGUAUGUAAGAAAAAGAAUUUUGAAAUAAAGGAUGUCAAAUAGGGGCUAACACAUGUUCUUUGUGUUAGUUGUAAUCUCUCGCGAUCUGAACAUUUAGAACAAAGGCUAGGCCACGCAUUCCAUACCAUGGAUUGUCAACGUACACAAGCUUACUAUAAAAGUGUGUUUGAUUGAUUUUAUAUAUAUUUUUUUUAAAAAGGGUCAUUUUCUCUCCAAAAAUCUUAACUUUGGGAUGUUUGAUUAACAAUUUUUGCCAUAAAUAAUGUUUUCCAAAUUUUAGUCUUGUGACUAUAUUUUCUCAAAAAUAAGGAAAACAUUUUCUUUCAAGAGUAAUGGUUGUUAUUUUCAAGGUAAUUCACUCUGUCUUUCUCUCUCUCAUCUAUCAACUCUUUCUAUCUACUCGCUAAUAAAGAAUGAACAAGUAUAAUAUUUUAUAAGUUAAAACUAAAUCAAUCAAACACAUUUAAUUAAUAGUUUUCAUAAUGCUCACAAUAAAACGCAACCUUAGAGUUAAUUUUUUAUACCAACUCUUCUUCUAUAUAUAUAUAUAUAUAUAUAUAUAUAUAUAUAUAUAUAUAUAUAUUUGUAAGCAAUUAUUUCUUCUAUUUGCUCGUGCACAUUCAUUAUCAUUCACAUUCGACACUUAUUAUCAUUUCCACUUUAUCUUGGAAGGAAAAAUAUUGGCUUAGAAUGAACGUGGUUGAGAUCACCUUUGAAAAUAUUGAACCAACCCUUAACAUUUCUUUCCAUAGCUCGAAAUAAUGCAGUAACAAAAGCCUAAUUUUAGAUUCAAUAAUUUCAAUAUUCAUUUAUUUUGUCACAACUUUGACUAUUUAUAGAAUAACUUAAUUGAUUUGGUACCCUUGUGACUAUAAUUUCCAUUAAAGACGACAAAGAGAAAUACCCAAUUUUAAGUAAUUUGAGGUUACAAAUAGACAUAACGUCUUCUAUGGAAAACAUCUGUGUCUUUACCUCUCUCUACAAAUUCUUCUUUGAGUUGGGACUUGUGACAACCAUCCUUUUUCAUUCUUAAUUUAAUCGAGUAGUAAAAUCUACUUUGUUGAGGAAGUUAAGAGAAAAAAAUGAUGCAUGUAAAGAGAGAUUUCGAGGUGAAGUUGAGAAAGAAUGAGAUGGUGGCGCCAACAUUGCCUAUUUAAGAGAAUAGGCUGCCACUUUUCCAAUCUCGACUUGCUCUUGCCGCCGGACGAUGUCAGGGUUUUCUUUUGUUAUAAAAAAACCCAAAAAUCUUAUGUUUGAAUCAAUGGUGGUUGUUCUUAAGUAGGCCUUGGCACCAACUUUAAUAUCAUACUAUGCAUUUGCAGGUGAGCUCAUGAAGAAUGAGGCCAGGGAGCCCAAACUUCUUGGCAACAACUGAGGUGUUGACUUUGUCGAAGCCUUGGCCGAUGUAGAAAUCAAGGAUCUUGAUUUGUACAAUUGAAAAUAUAGACCAACUUAUAAGAUUUUAAGCUACUCCUCUUAAGAAGGUUGAUCUUUUAAAAUGGAACUUUAAAUCUUAACAUGUUAUCAGAGCUCAUUAAGCUCCAAUGAGCAAUUCGAUCCGAUUGAUUCAAUAAAUGAGCAUAUCAAUUUUAACAUUGGUCUACUCAAACAAGUCACCAUCUUGCUAGGGCAUGUUAAGGGAUAUAAUCACAUAUUGAAUAAAGAUGAAAAUAAAGACUUAUAAAGUCUUUGGUUACUCCUCUUAACAAGGUUUAUUUUUUUAAGAUGAAACCCCAAGUCUUAACACUGAUGCAACUGUAGAAGGAAAACUUGUACGAAAGAGAAAGAAAGGUCUACUGGCCAUCCAGGUGAUUACUGAACUGACAAAUGCUCUCAUGUUUGCAUAUACAUUUCCAAUUUUAACGAUUAAUUCAUGUAAAUUGGGUCGAGCAAAUUAUUGCAUUUGCAUAAUCCUAAAUAUAUAUCUUUUAAAAAUGAGUCUUUCUAUCUUUGGACGUCCUAAAAGGUCUUGAUAAAGAUCUCAAGACCUGAAUAUUCAUAUUUUUUUACCAAGAAUUUGUUCUUAUCGGCAUUAAAUUACUUGAAUAUAUCGAUUCAACUCUUGAGCAAAUGUGUAGUACAAUAUUGGUUUACAAGUGAAAUCAGAUGUUGCAAGGCUGGCUGAAAAAAAAAAGUUUAGUACAGAAAUUUUUGUUUUGUUUUAGGUUUGUAUCGUUAAAAAUGUGCUACGAUUAGAUUAGAACAAAAGGCUACGACAUAACUAUCCAAUUUUAGAGAAAUAUGUGACACCAAAACUGACCAAAUAAAGUUUUAUUGUGUGUGUUGAUAAGUGCAUUUUGUGCACUUAGUUAUGCCACAUUACUAAACUUGUAUGUCGUUAAAUUAGUAAUUCUAUACUUAAUGUGGGUUAACUUUCAUUUGUUUUAGUGUUUAACUUGUUUGAAGCAACUUGGAAAAGAAAAAAGGAUCAAUUAGCUAUUGGAUGCAAGUUUUUGGGAUCAAGUAUACACUAUAGAAAUUGAGGACUAAAUUGCAUAGUUGAAAGAAAUGAGGCCUUGCAAAGAAUUAUUAUAUUAAUUGGGCGUUGAAAUUGGACUUCCAAUUGGCACACAAAAGAGAAACGGGCUGGACUCCUUCCCCUUUUUUUUUUGGGUUCCAAUAGCAAAAGGCAGCUCACUUGGGCUUCAUUAUAUUGGACAUGUAAAAUUCCAAUUUGAGUCAAUUAUAAGGCUAUCAAAUUGAAAUAUAUAUAUAGACACACACACACACACUAGACGGCAGAAAGGAGAGGAAUUGAUAUGCAUAGAGGACGGUCUACAGUUUUCUGGGAAAAUUUUGAGAUGAAAGAGGUAGCCAAGGUUCUAUACAUCUCACACGCAGAAAAGAAAGAAAAGAGGAGGAGGUGGAAUUAAUUGGAGUCCAACAUCAGUAGCUUUGGUGAGACAAAAAGACAAUACUUGCAGCUGCUAGGGAAGUUAUCAAAUAUUGAGGCUGGUAUAUAUAUGGUCGCACGUGCUGACUCCAUCGGAGUCUUCAGUCAAUUCAGUGGCCGUCGGAUUGGCAACAGACGCGCCUGCACAACAAUUGCAGAUGGAGGAACUCAGUUUGAGCUGAAACUGAAAGAGGAGAAGACGACCCCUUUUUUCAUUUUUUCUUUGGGCUAAUCUAACUGAAAUUGGGCCUACUUAAAAAAAAUAAAAAAAUAAAAAUAAAAUUGCCCAAGUAUGGAAAUUGGAUCCAUUCAAAUGGACGGUCCAUGGAUAAUUGGAUAUAUUGGUUUUAAUUGAUAUUUUUCCCAACUCCCAAACCUAAAAUCAGCCCCAAAAUCCUUGUGAAGGAUGGCAAGCGAACCCUUGGUCCCUUUCCUUAUACAGAAACCAGUUAUCUACUUAUCCUUCAAUUUCUAUUCAAAGCAGUAGCACCAGAUGGAGGUAGUGAGCCGAUGAACAUGCGUGUACCACCAGUGUGCUGUGUGCGAAGACUUAAAGUUAGGGACAAAUCUCCAUCUUCUCCAACCAGACCAAGGACAGACUUCGAAGUCCGAGGCCAAUGGCAAGGCCGAGCUCGAGCAGCCAACAGUGUACAUUGUAGGCUACAACAUUGGUGAUUGGUGAGUUAAAGUUUACUAAGUUCAAUAUUUAAAGUUAAAGAGUUGAAUAUUUGGUUAAUUGAAUUGUUUUGGUUGUCUGAAUUCUAAUUUUCUCAACUUUGUCUCUGUUGUCUCUUGACGGUUUUUAUUGCGUGUUGACUGUUGAGAAAUUGAGGGUUGCUAUGUUGACGACUUGACGUAUUGUAUUUGUUGAUUUGUUCAAUUGUGCCGGUACAACUGCAAUUUGCCGACCCUUUGUUCAAUUUGUUGUAUGUUGAUGCCUGACGCUGUUGAGAGUUUGUUGAGCACUUGGAAUCUUGGAUGACUUGAGUUAAGUGACUCUGUUGAAGAUUUGGAGACUUGAAGUGUUAACUGGCUUGAGUGUUGUACAAGUUAUUAGUAGGGGCGGAGCCAGCACUCGACGAGGGAACACGGUCACGCAUGCUGGCUUCGCCAGAGUCUUCAGUCAAUUUAGUGGCCGUCGGGUUCGCAGCAGACGCGCCUACGCACAGCAAUUGUAGAUGGAGGAACUCAGUUUCAGUCGAAACUAAAAGAAAAGAAGAUGGCCCCUUUUUUCAUUUUUUCUUUGGGCUAAUCUGACUGAAAUUGGGCCUAUUUAAAAAAAAAAAAAAAUUGGCCCAAAUAUGGAAAUUGGAUCCAUUCAAAUGGACGGUCCAUGGAUAAUUUGAUAUAUUGGUUUUAAUUGAUAUUUCUCCAAACUCCCGAACCUAAAAUCAGCCCCAAAAUCCUUCUGAAGAAUGGCAAGCAAAUCCUUGGUCCCUUCCCUUAUAUAGAAACCAGUUACCCACUUACCCCUCAAUUUCCAUUCAAAGAAGUAGCACCAGAUGGAGGCAGUGAGCCAGUGAACGUGCAUGCCAGUGUGCUGUGUGUGAAGUCUUAGAGUUGGGGACGAAUCUCCGUCUGCUUUGACCAGACCAAGGACAGACUCCGAAGUCUGAAGCGAAUGGCGAGGCCAAGCACGAGCAGCCAGCAGUGUGCAUUGUAGGCUGCAGCAUUGGUGAUUGGUGAGUUAAAGUUUAUUAAGUUCAAUAUUUAAAGUUGAAGAGUUGAAUAUUUGGUUAAUUGAAUUGUUUUGGCUGUCUGAAUUCUGUCUCUGUUGUCUAUUGACUUUUUUAUUGUGUGUUGAGUGUUGAGAAAUUGAGUGUUACUGUGUUGAUGACUUGACGUAUUGUAUUUGUUGAUUUGUACAAUUGUGUUGGUGCAACUGCAAUUUGUUGGCCCUUUGUUCAAUUUGUUGUAUGUUGAUGCAUGACGGUGUUGAGAGUUUGUUGAGCACUUGGAAUCUUGGAUGACUUGAGUUGAGUGACUCUGUUGGAGAUUUGGAGACUUGAAGUAUUGACUGGCUUGAGUUUUGUACAUGUUAUUAGUUAUUAGUGAUAGUGAAUCAAUGUUUAAUUCAUAUAGUCAUAGCAAAGGAAAUUAGGAUUUAAGAAUUAUUACUAAGAAUUGUGAUUUUUUAAUCAAUUCUAGUUGAAAAAUAAAUUGGGGGGCAUUUUGCAGAGUAUGGAUCGAUUCUUUCAAUCGAAACGGAAGUCGAUACCUAGUUCUCCUAGUUCUAGUUGUGCUUCUAGUCUAGCCACUACUUCUAGCCUAGCACGCGUGUUGUUAAAUAACACAAAGAAGUCUCGAGCUCAAUUCAAUGUGGAUGAUCUUGUAUCUGAUCCAGGGAAAUGUCUCCUUAUCGAGUCAUAUGAUCCUAAUAUCAGAGAUGAUGUUAGGAUGGCAUACUUGAAGAAAUGUCCUUGUCAACCAUAUGGGCACGACUUUCCAAGAAGACCGAUAGGAAAUGAUAAUAGGUGUUUUCGAAAAGAAUGGUUUUCUGAAUUUCAUUGGUUUAGAGCACAGUAUAGAAAAGGAUGUUGUUUAUUGUUCACAUUGCUACUUGUUCAAACCUGAUAGAAGGAGUCAAGGGGGUGGACAUAUAUUCACCAAGACUGGCUUUAGGGAUUGGAAGCACAAAAAGACAUUGAAAGAUCAUGUUGGGCUCUUUGAUAGUGCUCAUAAUCAAGCUUUUGCAAAGUGUACUAGUUUGAUGAGUCAAAAGCAAAGUAUCUCCUAUGUUAUUUCUAGCCAGAGUAGUAGUCAACAUAAUAGUUAGAGGACAAGGUUGACUGCGGUGCAAGAUUGUACUAGAUUUCUCUUGAUAUAAGGAUUGCCAUCUUGUGGUCAUGAUGAGUCCAAAGAGUCUCUUAACAGAGGAAAUUUAAUUGAGCUAUUAAAUUGAUAUGCAGCUCGUCGUAAAGAAAUGGAAGAAGUGUUAUUUAUUAACGCUCCUGGAAAUGACCAAAUGACUUUACCAAAUAUCAAAAAGGAUUUGGUUAAUUGUUGUGUCGUAGAGAUGAGGAGGGCUAUUAUCAAUGAGAUGGGUGAUUCUUUGUUUUCAAUAUUGGUUGAUGAGACUCGUGAUAAUUCUAUAAAAGAACAAAUGGUAGUUGUUUUGAGACUUGUUGACAAGAAUGGGAAAGUGAAGGACCGUCUGUUGGGCAUUUCUCAUGUUACUGAUACUUGUGCCCAAUCACUGAAGGAUGCCAUUGAUGCAAUGUUUUCUACAUAUGGAUUGAGCAUAUCUAACUUGAGAGGUCAAGGUUAUGAUGGAGCAAGCAAUAUGUCAGGUGAGUUCAAUGGCUUAAAAGCUUUAAUUUUAAAUGUUAUAUAUAUCCAUUGCUUUGCUCACUAGCUUCAGUUGGCGGUUGUUACUGUGGCACGUACGAAUCAUAUGCUUGGUGAUUUUUUUAACAUGUUUGCUAUUAUUGCGAAUUUGGUUGGUGCAUCAUGUAAGCAUGUAGAUGCUCUUAGAGAAAGUUAUCAUGCUGAUAUUCUAGAGAAGCUUAAUAUUGGGAACUUACUAAUGGAACUGGUCAGUUUUAAGAAAUGAGUUUGGCACGCCUAGGUAAAACUAGAUGGGGCUCACGUCUACUAACAAUUACUCGCUUUAUUAGUAUGUUCAACGCCGUCAUAGAUGUUCUUGAGAAUAUAUCAGAAGAUGGCAUAAAUAUAGGUAAAAAAUCAAUGGCCGUAGGAUAGAUGAACACUAUGCAAGAUUUUGAGUUUGUGUUCAGUCUCCACUUAUGUUUGAAAUUCUUGCAAUUACAAACAACCUUUCACAAGCCAUACAAAAAAAGAUCAAGAUAUUCGAAAUAUUCUGAGGUUAUUGAAGUUGUGUAAGUACGCAUUGCAGAAUAUGAGAAACAAUGGUUGGGAUACUUGUUGAUUAAGGUUAUUGAGUUUUAUGUUGAUAGACAUAUUUCAGUGCCCAAUACGGAAGAUAUUGUAGUAUUGAAAGGUCGACCUAGGCAUGCAGCUCAACAGGUGACUUAUUAUCAUCGAUUUUAUGUUGAUUUGUUUUGUCAUGUGAUAGACUCAAUCUUGCAAGAAUUUUUGAGAAACAACUACUGAGCUCUUUGAUUAGAUUUCGUGUUUAAAUCCAAGAGAUUCAUUUGUAACUUUUGAUUAGGCUAAAUUGGUACGUCUUGCCCAGUUCUAUCAUUUGGACUUGAAUAGUGAAGAGUUUUUAUUACUUAGACCUGAACUUGACAAUUUUGUUAUAUUUAUGAGGAUGGACGAAGCUUUCUUCAACCUAAAAUGCAUAUUUUGUGUAGCUCAGAAGUUGGUUGAAACUGGAAGUAAUUGUUAUUUUCCAUUGGUUUAUAGGUUGAUCACCUUGGUUUUGAUAUUACCUGUGGCAACUGCAAGUGUUGAAAUGGUAUUCUCCACUGUAAAUUUAAUCAAGAGUGACUUGCGCAACAAAAUGGGAGAUGACUCAUUGAAUGACCAUUUGGUGGUUUAUGUGGAGAAAGAUCUUUUUGAAAAAGUUGAGAAUGAGGCAAUAUUACAAUGUUUUCAAAAUAUGAGAUCCUGUAGAAUUCAAUUGUCUAAGUUUACAGUUACAGAGUAAGGUUGUAUCGUAUAUUUUUUUAGUAUUUUGGGUUGUAUUGAACUAUAUUUUCAUAUGUAUAUAAUGCUUACAUAUAUAUCGAAUAAUUUUUAAUAUUAAUUAAUCAUAUGUUAAUACGAUCGUUGAUUAUCGAUGAUCAACGAUUAAUGGUCAAAGUCAACCGCCCUAGCUGAAACUGGAACCUAGAUCCGCCCCUGGUUAUUAGUUAUUAGUGAUAGUGGAUCAAUGUUUAAUUCUUAUAGUCGUUGCAAGGAAAUUAGGAUUUAGAAAUUAUUACUAAGAAUUGUGAUUUUUUAAUCAAUUUUAAUUGAAAAUUAAAUUGGGGGCAUUUUACAGAGUAUGGAUCGAUUCUUUCAACCGAAAUGGAAGUCGAUACCUAGUUUUUCUAGUUCUAGUUGUGCUUCUAGUCCGGCCACUGCUUCUAGUCGAGCACGCGUAUUGUUGAAUAACACAAAGAAGUCUCGAGCUCAAUUCAAUAUGGAUGAUCUUGUAUAUGAUGUAGGGAAACGUCCCCCUAUCGAGUCAUAUGAUCCUAAUAUUGAAAUGAUGUUAGGAUGACAUACUUGGAUAAAGGUCCUUGUCAACCAUAUGGGCACGACUUUCCAAGAAGACCGAUGGGAAAUGAUAAUAGGUGUUUUCGGAAAGAAUGGUUUUUUGAAUUUCAUUGGAUAGAGUAUAGUAUAGAAAAGGAUGCGGCUUAUUAUUUGCAUUGCUACUUAUUCAAACCUGAUAGAGGGGGUCAAGGGGGUGAACAUAUAUUCACCAAGACCGGCUUUAGGGAUUGGAAGCACAAAAAGACAUUGAAAGAUCAUGUUGGGCUCUUUGAUAGUGCCCAUAAUCUAGCUUUUCCAAAGUGUACCAAUUUGAUGAAUCAAAAACAAAGUAUCUCCUAUGUUAUUUCUAGCUAGAGUAGUAGUCAACAAAAUAGUUAUAGGACAAGGUUGACUGCGGUGUUAGAUUGUACUAGAUUUCCCUUGAUGCAAUGAUUGCCAUCUCGUGGUCAUGAUGAAUCCAAAGAGUCUCUUAACAGAGAAAAUUUAAUUGAGCUAUUAAAUUGGUAUGCAGCUUGUUGUAAAGAAAUUGAAGAAAUCUUAUUUAGUAACGCUCUUGGAAAUGACCAAAUGAUUUCACCAAACAUCCAAAAGGAUUUAGUUAAUUGUUGUGUCGUAGAGACAAGAAGGGCUAUUAUCAAUGAGAUGUGUGAUUCUUUGUUUUCAAUUUUUGUUGAUGAGACUCGUGAUAAUUCUAUAAAAGAACAAAUGGCAGUUGUUUUGAGGUUUGUUGACAAGAGUGGGAAAGUGAAUGAGUGUUUGUUGGGCAUUUCUCAUGCUACUAAUACUUGUGUCCAACCACUAAAGGAUGCCAUUGAUGCAAUAUUUUCUACAUAUGGAUUGAGCAUAUCUAGCCUGAGAGGUCAAGGUUAUAAUGGAGCAAGCAAUAUGUCAGGUAAGUUCAAUGUCUUAAAAGCCUUAAUUUUAAGAGAAAAUCCAUAUGCUAUAUAUAUCCAUUGCUUUGCUCACCAGUUUCAGUUGGCGGUUGUUACUGUGGCACGUACGGAUGAAAUGCUUGGUGAUUUUUUUAACAUGCUUGCUAUUAUUGUGAAUUUGGUUGGUGCAUCAUGUAAGCAUGUAGAUGCUCUUCGAGCAAGUUAUCAUGCUGAUAUUUUGAAGAAGCUUAAUAUUGGGGAACUUACUGAUGGAAUUAGUCAGUUUCAAGAAAUGAGUUUGGCACACCCCGGUUAAACUAGAUGGGACUCAUAUCUACUGACAAUUACUCGGUUUAUUAGUAUGUUCAAUGCCGUCAUAGAUGUUCUUGAGAAUAUAUCAAAAGAUGGCAUAAAUAUAGGUAAAAAAAUCAAUGGCCGUAAGACAGAUGAACACUCUGCAAGAUUUUGAGUUUGUGUUCAUAAUUGGGCACCAAGAAAUAUAUUAUACAUAUAAAGAAAAGUAGCGGCAUUAGGGAACGAGCUGCCUACUAGACUAAAAAUGGAUCAAAGGAAAAUCUAAAUUAACUAGUCAUUGGGGCUAAUCCAUGAGUAGUACAACCGAAUAUAAUUGCAGCCAAUGAAAAUCGCAAGGCUCAUGGCCGAACAUAUGGUUCCACCGAUAGUGGAAAGCCAAUCCAGUAUCAUAUAUCCGACGUUUGGUCAGGCAAAUUUUCACUUAAGGACAGAUGUUAUCAACGUAUUCCAAAAUGCGCUACAAUUCUUUAGGGGAGGUACAGAGAAUUCCAACGCUCAUAUAUCAAGAUUUUUGGACAUGUGUGCAAUAAUUGAGUAUCCGAUGGUGUCUAGUGAAGCAACCAAAUUGUGGCUUUUCCCAUACACAUUGAGGGACUCAGCAAGGGAACGGUUAGACACUUGUCCACCAUAGAGUAUCAAAACUUGGAACCAAUUGAGUCAGAAAUUCCUUAGCAAAUAUAUUCCACCAAAAAGGAUUGAAAAGCUAAGGAACGAGUCACUACUUUUUAGCAAAUGGACUCAAAAUACUAAUAAGAGGCUUCGAAAAGAGACAAAGGUUUACUUCGCCAAUGCCCAUAACACGGAUUACAGAAGUGGCUUCGGGUGCAAUUCUUCUACAUUGGUCUGAACCUGAUUAGCAGUGCUAAGUAGACUCUGCAUGUGAUGGUUUUAUUACAAAAAGCACUGUGGAUCAGGUCUACCAAAUAUGGAGGAUUUGGCAUUUACCAGUGCACUUUGACCUACUAAAAGGGCAAGUGGAAAGAAAGCUGCUGGGUUAUUCGAAGUUGAUUCUUUGAUAGCGAUUUCAGCACAAUUGGCAUCAUUGACACAGAAGGUAGAUCAGAUACGGAUAGCUCAGACAGUGGGACUGAAAUACAAACAUUGUGGAGAGAGCCACGAGAGUGUUGAUUGUAACGUAGGAUUCCUUUUGCUCAGAUAGUAGAAGACGUGAACUACACCCAAAAUUUUCAAAGGCAACAACACAAUCUAAAUCCUAACACAUAUUACCGAGGCUGGAGAAAUCACCCAGGCUUUCAAUUGAGUAAUAAUCAGGGAGCUCAGAUCGCACCAUAGUAGACCGCAACACCCGAAUUCCAGCAGAAUAGUAGAAAUCUUCACUAGAAGAUCUUGUGACUAAAUUAGCAUAAAUAUCUACUUAGCACAUGCAACGAACAUAUAAGAGCUUGCAAGUUCAGGAUGCUACCAUAAGAAAAUUAGAGAAUCAAAUUGGACAAAUAGCCAAUGCACUUUCAGAUAGACUACCAGGAAUAUUGCCUAGUGAUACUAAAAUAAAUCCUAAGAAGCGCAGCAAGGUUUAACUACUCGCAAUGGGGUACAACUACCUGAAAUAAAUGUAAAGAGGCCAGUUGCUACAUAAGAGAAGGUACCUACCACAGUUGAGGAGUAUUCGGGGUAAUUUGUGUCGAACAAAGAAUAAGAAGAAGCACCAGAGGAUCCAAAGUUUAAGAUAACCGCUCCUGCCAAAGAAAUGGACAAAACACCCCCAUUCCCACAUAGGCAACAGAAGCAUAAGUUGGACAAGCAGUUCUCGAAGUUUCUUGAGGUAUUCAUAAAGUUGCAGAUCAACAUACCAUUUAGGGAUGCACUUGCACAAAUGUCCAGGAAUGCAAAAUUUAUGAAGGAAAUACUCACAAAUAGAAGAAGUUAGAGGAUUUAGGUACAGUGAUGCUGAAUGAAGAAUGUAGUGUCAUCUUGUAGAAUAAAUUGCCACCUAAAUUAAAGAACCCAGGGAGUUCUACUAUCCCUUGUACUAUUGGUAACAUGAAACUUGAUAAGGUUCUCUGUGAUUUAGGUGUUAACAUUAACCAUAUGCCUUACUAUUUUCAGGAAACUAAACUUAGGAGAGGCAAAGGCAACAUCGGUCUUAUUGUAGUUUGCAGACAGUUCCAUAAAAUUUUCCAGAAAAAAUUACUGAAGACAAUCUGGUAAUGGUUGAUAAAUUUAUCUAUCCUAUAGAUUUUGUCAUUCUGGACAUGGUUGAAGAGGAUAACGAUGUGCCAUUGAUAUUGGAAAGACCGUUCCUUGCGACAUGUUGAGCUUUAAUAGAUGUUCAAAAAGGACAAUUGAUGUUGCGAUUAAAUGAUGAGCAUAUGACAUUCAACAUUAUUAGUGCUAUUAAGUAUCCUACAGAAUUAGAUAGAUGUCUGCGCAUUGAUGUGGUGGAUUUGGAAGACCACUUAAAGAAUCUUCUUGUGCACUCACGAGAUAAAACAUCAACAAUUGAAGAGAUAAGUUAAGUUAGAUUGCUUACAUUAUGGAAUUUGCUCCACCCAUUAGGAGAAGACAUUUUGAAGAACUUGGUUCAGGACCUAGUAAACCACUACCUUUUGUUUUAAAAGCACCAAUCUUGACCUCAAGCAAUUGCCAUCACAUCUGAUGUAUGCUUAUUUAAGAGAGUCAUCUACACUCCCUGUUAUAAUUGCAAACGGGAUGACCAAGUUGGAAGAGCAAAGAUUACUAAAGGUUCUGUAGGAACACAAAAUAGUCAUUAGGUAGUAUAUAGCAGACAUCAGAGCAAUCAUUCCAUUGAUAUCCAUUCACAAAAUCAUGAUAGAAGAAGAGUAUAAGCCAACAGUAGAAAAUCAGCACAGAUUGAACCCUACCAUGAAGGACGUUGUGCGAGCAGAGGUAUUGAAACUCCUUGAUACAUGCAUCAUCUACCCAAUCUCUGAUAAAAAUUGGGUUAGUCCAAUCCAUGUUGUUCCAAAUAAAGGGGGUAUUACAAUGGUAAAGAAUGAGUAUAAUUAGCUGACACCGACAAGGCCUGUCACAGGAUGGAGAGUAUGCAUAGACUACAGGAAACUGAACAAUGCAACUAGGAAAGAUCACUUUCCUUUGCCCUUUACUUACCAAAUGUUGGAAAGACUAGCUAGAUAUUCACAUUGCUGUUUCUUGGAUGGGUACUCGAGUUAUAAUCAGAUUGCACCAGAAGAUCAAAAGAAGACUAAAUUUACAUGUCCUUACGGUACUUUUGCAUACGGAAAGAUGCUAUUCAGGUUGUGUAAUACCCAUACCAGAUUUCAGCCAUGGAUGAUGGCAAUCUUUUCAGACAAGGUGAAGAAAAUCAUUAAAGUCUUUAUCGAAGACUUUUUAGUGUUUGGUUUAUCAUUUGAAAAUUGCCUCUCAAAUUUAAGAAUGGUCUUAUAGUGUUGUGAAGAAACAAAUUUGGUGCUAAACUGGGAGAAGUGUCACUUCAUAGUGCAAGAAUGAAUUGUACUUGGGCACAAGACUUCAGUAGAUGGUAUCGAAGUGGAUAAAGUAAAGAUUUAGGUGAUAGAGAAGCUUCAUCCGCCAACUUCAGUAAAGGAAGUAUGUAGCUUCCUUGGCCAUGCAGGGUUCUAUAGGAGGUUUAUUAAGGAUUUCUCUAAAAUCACAAAUCAGCUGUGUAAUUUACUUGAAAAGGACACACAAUUCAACUUUUCUGAAGAGUGUUUGACAGCCUUCAACACUCUGAAAGAAAAGUUAAUUUUUGCACCAAUUAUAGUUGUACCAGAUUUUGACCUACCAUUCGAGCUGAUGUACGACACUAGUGAUUAUGCAGUGGAGAUAGUAUUGGGUCAAAGAAAGAAUAAAAUUUUCCAUGUAAUCUAUUACGCGAGCAAGACUUUGAUAAAGGCACAAUUGAACUAUGCAACAACAAAAAAUGAGCUAUUGGCUAUUGUGUUUGCCUUCAAUAAAUUCAGUUCCUAUCUCAUGGGACAGAAGAUAAUUGUCUACACAGAUCAUAGGGCCCUGAAAUAUCCUAUGUCUAAGAAAGAUAUGAAGCCCAGAUUGAUUCAGUGAAUACUCUUUCUUCGAGAGUUUGAUUUGGAGAUUCGAGGCAAAAAAGGAUGUGAAAAUGUGGUGGCAGACCAUCUUUCAAGACUUGAACAGGUAGAAUAGAAAGACGAGGACGAUAUACAAGACUCUUUCCCAGAUAAGGGUAUCUUCACAAUUGACAGUGGGCUAUGGUAUACGGACAUAAUGAAAUACUUGGCGUGCAAUGUGCUUCCACCUGAGUUCACGCACCACCAAAGGAAGUUCUUUUCUGAGCUGAAAUAUUAUCAUUGGAAGGACCCUAUCUUAUACAAGAGGGGUACUAAUCAAAUCAUCCGAAAGUGUGUACCAAAUGAAGAGGUUUCUCAAAUUCUAGAACAUUGCCACUCUUCUACUUAUGCUAGGCAUUCUGGGCCUUCUAAGACAGUAGCGAAGGUUUUACAAUCAAGGCUUUAUUGGCCAUCACUAUUUAAAGAUGCACAUGAAUAUGUGAAACGUUGUGAUCAAUGCCAACGUAUAGAUACGAUCUCUAAAAAGAAUGAUAUGCCUUUGAAUUCGGUUCUAGAAGUGGAGUUCUUUGAUGUUUGGGAGAUCGAUUUAAAUGGGACCAUUUCCUUCUUAUAAAAAUCAGUACGUAUUAGUGACAGUUGUCUAUGUAUCAAAAUGGGUAGAAGCAGUAGUAGCAUCAACGAAUGAUGCUCAAGUGGUUGUGAAUUUUCUGAAAAAGGAUAAAUUUUCGCGCUUUGGUACCACUCAAACUAUCAUCAGUGAUGGAGGUAAACACUUUUGCAAUAGGCUUUUGGAUUUAGUACUAACAAAAUAUGGGGUAAAACAUCAAGUUGCUAUCCAUAUCACCCCCAAACAAGUGGCCAGGUAGAAGUGUCAAAUAGGGAGCUAAAGAAAAUUCUCAAUAAGAUAGUGAAUAGCUCAAGAAUUGAUUGGUCACGACAACUUGAUGAUGCACCGUGGGCAUACAGGUCUGCUUAUAAAGCACCAAUAGGCAUGUCACCAUAUUACCUUGUAUUUGGAAAAGCUUGUCGCCUUCUGAUGGAAUUGGAGCAUUGAGUAUAUUGGGCAAUAAAGCAGUUGAACAUGGACAUAACAUCAGCUAGAGAAAAAUAGAUGUUGCACUUGAAUGAAUUGGAAGAAUUUCAAAUGGAAGCCUAUGAAACUAUAAAGCUGUAUAAGGAGAGGACAAAGAAAUUGCAUAAUAAAUAUAUCUAGAAGCGUGAGUUCACCCCAGGUCAAAAAGUAUUGUUGAUCAAUUAUAGGUUGAAACUUUUUCUUGGGAAAUUGCGUUCUAGAUGGUCUGGUCCAUUCACAGUUGUUCAAGUCUUUUCACAUGGGGCAGUUGAAGUAACUCACGAGACAAAAGGAACCUUCAAAGUAAAUGGGCGGCGGUUGAAAGCAUAAUGGGGUGGUGCUUUGAUAAAGAGAAGUCACUUACCUAACUUCACGACUCUAAAUGAUCAAUAUGAUAGUCUAGCUAAAGACUAUAAAUUAAACGUUGAUUGGGAGGUAACCUAACCUUCUAAUUCUUUUAUUUAUUUUACUUUUUACACCACAUUUGCAUGUAGAUUUAUUUUGAUUAUUAGUUUGUAUUAGACUUAGGCACAUUUAAAUUUUGUAGGGUAUCACCAUCCUAUUAUGUUUUACCUUAGACCCUUAAAAUUGUUGUUGGUUAUUUCGAUUAUUUGGGCUAAAUAACACAUGUUCUAGGUUAUUUGAUCUUUAAUUUAAGCACUGUGUGCAGGAACAUGAUGUCGUGGAACACUCAAACCAACAUAGAAUAAAGGAAAAGCAUGAUGAAAGAGAUUUUCGAGCCGUCACCCACAGUACCUCACAUAUUCAACGAAAAACUUUGAGGAGUACCAUUUUCCUUUUCUUCCCCACCCCUUAUGCACUUGCUUAUACUUUAUGACUUUGAAUACAAUUUCUGGUUCAAGUUUGGGGGCAGGAAAAAUUUUGAGUUUUUGGUUUUCGUAUGUUUUUGUGUUUAGUUAGAAAAACAUUUUAAAAUUUUUUCUAAUUGUGUGCCUAUAUGGGUUAGACAGUUUAGCUGUCAAUGACAAUAAAAUUGAGAUUUAGUGUUGAUUUAUGAACUGUUGAUAGGGUGCAUGCUAUACUGAUUGAAGCUUAACCUUACAAAACUUAAUAUUAUAUGCGUACUAGAGUUGGGUUUGACAAGGUGAUGAAAUGAGUUGUUUCAUGCUCUUGAUAGAUUGAUUUAGUUAGACAUAGAUGCUUUACCCAAACUAUACUAAACUAAUUAUCCUUAGACCAAACCUAACACAGUUUGGGGGUGAUCCUACUGUUGUAGGAAGAUGCAGGUGUGAAUGUGGAUUCCUUGUGUGAAAAAAAAAGUUUUGUGUGGAUUGUCUUAGAUUAACAGGAUCAAAUUGGGAGAAAGUCUUAAACUGGAGAUCGAUUUACUUGAAUAGGUGUGUGAUAAGGGGCAUUGCACUAAUUAAGGCUUAUAUUUUAAAAUAUAAAACUUCUCUUUGAAGCCUUUAUGACCCGAGUAAUUAAGCCUGCAAAGAUAUCUUAAAACCUGGUGCCCUAAAGUCGUCUGACUUGGGAGUUAUCAACCUAAAGCUCGCUGUAGAGGUCAUUUAGAAAGUAAUUAGAAAUGAAGUUGUCCUCAAAAAAGGAAUUUAAAUUAAAUUAAAAAUAAAAAAAAUCGUUGUUCUCUUCGAAGCCUUUUUAACUUGGGUUAUUAAGCUUGUAAAAGUAUCUCAAAACUUAGUGCCCUAAAGUCGUCUGAUUUGGGAGUUAUCGGCCUAAAGCCUGCUACAUAGGUCAUCUAGAAAGUUUAAGGGGGAGUACAAAAAAAAAACAAAAACAAAAAUAAAAAUCACUAAAUGCCUUGUUUGUUAAGUCCCAACAUUAGUUCAAUGGAAUUUGAUUUUCGAUGAAGGAUAACUAGCCUAGUUGAGUCUUGGUGGUCGAACUAAUCGAAUAAUUGGAUAAUCUUGAUUCAUUGAUGUGUUGACUUGCAAUUAAUGACGUUCACUUGAAUUGGAAAAAAUGAGGAUAGUAAUGAAAAAUUCAACAUUGGAUCACACGGUAGGAAAAGAGUGAAAAAGAAUAAGUUUGGGGUGUAUGAAUCUUACGAGAGAUAAAAGGAUAUAUUUGACCAUUGAGGGUCAAGAACUGGAACGACUUAUGAAAUCAUUAAUGUCUACGUAGUUCUUCACACACAGACACAUCGAUUUUACAUUGGAAAAGUGGAUUUUGAUUUUGUAUUAUGACUUUGAAGCGGUUUGUAGAUUUAAUACGGUAAUCUCAAUUUCUAAAGUAAAUAGCUAGACUGUUCAUAAGAGUGUAAAAUAUGAUAUUUUUCCCUCUUAAUUGUUGCAUUCAUUUGAUUAUGUUAUGUCAAAAUAUACUCAUUACUCUUAUGUUUUGAUCUAGGUCGCAAUUUGAUGGAAAAGGUGAAAUUUGGAAUAAAUGAGUAAAAAGGGUCAAAGUGGAAGAAAGUGAAAGUUCAGGGACCAAGUUACAAAUAAUCCAUAAUGAGACGGGUGAUGGAAUGAUAAUUCAAGAAAGCUAGGAGUCAAUUGGGUGUAAUUUGAAGUCAAAAGAAGUGAAAUAUGACCAUAACAUUUUCACAAAUCAAUCCCAAUUAAAAAAGUUACGCACUGGUUUUCAGCCUCACAUUAAGACCCAUUUUUGACAUGGAAGAUGAUCGAAUUGUCUGAAGCAAAGUUGUAGCCCUUCAAGUUAGCUUUCCAAUACAACUUGAAUCUUCUCAAUUGGACAUCGAGAGCAAAAGUUAUAACUAAAACACUAAAAGCUAUCCGGUGAAAAAAAUUUAACUAUGUGGUCGCAUAGUUCAAAAGCUAUCCGACCGCAUAGAAGGGUCCAAGGAACUUUUGGGCGCCACACAUUUGUUCUAUGCAACUGCAUGGCUUAUAACCAUGCGGCCGCAUAGCUAUCCUCCGAGACCAAUUUCACCAAAUUCCUAAAUUGACGCCAUCACUUAUGGAAACAUGUUUUGACACGUUUCUUAAGCCCAAAAAUGCUCCAGAACGUGGGGGAUUGAACCUGGACUCCAUUUUUCUCUCAUUUUGGCCAAGAAACUUCAUGGAAGGCUAAGAACAACCAAGCAAAGCUACGAACAAACUCGAUUGGUGUUGGUAUUUUAAUGUUUCUUCAUGAAUGUCUUAUUAUUCCUAUUAUUAAAAAAAUUUUGAGAUUGUGAUUUCUUGUUUUUCAUGAGUAGAUUAUGAAAUUGAUUUAAUUUGUACUAAGUUCUUCAUAGAAUUAAUCACUUUCUUCUAUCGAAGAAUUGAACUAUUCAUUGAAUGUUAAUUUCAUUUACCUAUUGGUGUAAUUCUUUACAAUUUUAUGCAUAUUGUAUAUGAGUUUUUUAUUUGAUUUCAAUAGAUUAAAAUGAUGUAUACAGUAUUGGAAAUCUUAAUUUUAGAACUAUUGUCGGAUCAAAGGGAUUUUGUAUGCCAUAUCUUCCAAUCAAUGCAUUAUGAAUGAGAAAUCUUUAAUUGGGUAAAACACUUAAGUGACUUACAUUGAUUAGGCCGAACCAAUUGAGGGACUUUCGAUGCUUCGCUAUCUUACAUUUUGAUAUUUAAAAUACAUUUCAAAUUGGUACAUUAUUUUCAUACAAAUUCAUAUCGAAAAACCCUAGCUUUUGAACUUUUGAACUAUGUUCCCAUCUCCCUGUGGAUACAACACCCCAAAGCUAUACUAUAAUCGUCACGUUAUGCUUUGGGCAUAAUCAACUGUCUAACUAGAUAUUUUUGCAUGCUUGUGUGUUUGUUGUUAUUUAGGUUAUAGUUUUAUUUGAGGACAAACAAAUAUUUAAGUUUGGGGGUGUUUGAUAAAUGCAUUUUGUGCACUUAUUUAUGCAAUAUUGCUAAACUUGUAUAUCGUCAAAUUAGUGAUUUUAUAAUUAAUGUGGGUUAAUUUUCAUUUGUUUUAGUGUUCGACUUGUUUGAAGCAACUUGGAAAAGAAACGAGGAUCAAUUAGCUAUUGGGUAUAAGUUUUUGGGAUCAAGUCUACACUAUAGAAAUUGAAGGACUAAAUUGCAUAGUUGGAAGAAAUGAGGCCUUGAAAAAAAUUGUGAUAUUAAUGGGCUUUGAAAUUGGACUCCCAAUUGACACACAAAAGAGAAAAGGGCUGGACUCUAUUAAUUCAUUAUUAUUUUUUUUUUUCGGUAGCAAAAGCUAGCUCACUUGGGCUUCAAUUUAGUGGACACGUAAAAUUCCAAUUGGAGUCAAUUAUAGGGCCACCAUAUUGAAAUAUAUAUAUAGGAAUGAUUUCCUAAGUGUCGAUGCUUAGCUUAUGUUAAGCACCGUUGACAUGGUAUAUUAUUUAAUUUAUGAAUAAGAUAAUAGUAGGUUACAUGUAUUUAAUGAUUCACAAAUUAAAUGAUGUGCUAUGUCAUUGAUGCUUAAUAUAAGCUAAGCAUGGUGUUUAGGAGAUUAUUCUUGUGUGUGUGUAUAUAUAUUAGAUGGCAAGAAGGAGGGGGAAUUGAUAUACAUAGAGGACAGUCCACAAUUUUCUAGGAAAAUUUUGAGAAAAAAGAGGCAGCCAAGGUUCUAUACAUCUCACGCGCAGAAAAGAAAGAAAAGAUGAGGAGGUGAAAUUAAUUGGAGUCCAACAUUGGCAGUUUUGGUGAGACAAAAAGACAAUACUUGCAGCUGCUAGGGAAGUUAUCAAAUAUUGAGGCUGGUUAAUAUGUAUGUAUGUAUGUAUUUAUGUAUGUAUUUGUGUGUGUGUGUGUGUAUAUAUAUAUGCACGAGCGCAGACAGAGAAAGGAAAAAGUCAGAAUUGGGCACUAAGAAAUAUAUUAUACAGACAAAGAAACGUGGCGGCAUUAGGAAAUAGAACGAGCUGCCUAUUGGAAGGAAAAACAAAAGAAUUCGAAACGAUUAAUAUAUACAUAGAGGCACAGAAGCAUCGAAUUGAAGUUCAAAAGAUAACAAGUUGCCUGCUGGAAAAAAAAAAGAAAAAAGGAGUGCUACCUGUUUACGAUACACCCACAGAAGACGGGUAGAACUUGACAAAUAUGAGGAAGAAGACAGCAACUUUAAUAGGAAGAAUUAAUCACGUUUCGUCAAAGUUUGGUGAUGUCUAUUAACUUGUGUGCAUUUAAUUUCGACAAUAUGUUUGGCUAAACUUUUCAAUAUUGCUAGGAUGUGAUGAACCCUGUUAUGAAGUUCUUAGUUUGAAUAAUUAAUUUGACGAUAAUUUGUUUAAUUGUUUAGAUAUUAAUUAUUGUUUCGUUCGCUUUUCAAAUAAUUGGCCAUUGAUUGAAUUAUUUGUGGGUAUUAUUGUCAUCGAGAGAUAUAAUAAAAUUAGUAGCACAUAGUAAUAAAUAUUGUGAAGUUCGAUAGAGGAUAUAGAUAUACAUGUAUGCGUCACAUGAUUUUUAUAGAUGUUCUAGCUCGUUUAAUGCUUUCUUGUACGUUCGUAUUUUUCAUAGAGAUAUAUGAACAUCACAUGUAUGAUUAGAUUUAAUUGCUAUCGAGAGAAGUUUUUAAAUAAAAUAGGAACAUUGACUAACAAGCAUAAUUUCAAAUUGUCCAUCUAAAUUUUUGAACUAAAAAUGGAUUAACAAGAGGAAUUCUAUAUCUUAGCAAUAUGUCUCACAAAUUUAAUAAAUUUUCUUCAUAUUGCUUUUAAGUUAGUUAAUAGAUUUAAUAGUGUUUAGUUACAAUUUGAUUUUGCUAUUUGAUUGAGGGCAUUGUUAGUUUUAACUAGAUCAAACACAUAGUCAUCUGGAUUCGACACUCUACACACCACCUUAUUACUUGUUCAUGAUUCCAUGCAUUGAAAUUUACUUUAUCGUACAAAGUAAGUAAUUCUUUUUAUAUAAAAGUGUGUGAUACUGCACAGUUAAGGUUGUGUAAAACAUCGAUCAUAAGAAUCCAAACGGUCCUAAAGGAUUUGCAUAUGUAGUGGCUAUGUGAUAAGUAUUUUGUAAAACUUUUAUCAGAUUUUGAGAAAAUUUGAUGAAAUUUGGCGAUAAAAAGUUUAUAAAUUUCAUGAAAUAUAAUUUUAAAAUUAAAUUUUGAUUAGUUAAAAGGUUGAUAAAAGUUAUGAUUUUUUUUUUUUUUUAAAUUUAUCAUGAAAGCUUAGUAUUUAUGAUUUGCACAUACUCAUAGGCCAUAGCAAAUAAGAAGAAUAAGAAAUAAUAAGUACUGAAAAUUUGUUUCUUAGAAAAAUUUCAUGUUUUUAUUUAUUUAUUUAUUUAUUUAUUUUUUUGGUAGAGUCCUUUGAAACCAGGAUUAUAUCUAGUGGGAACCCCAAUUGGUAAUCUUGAAGAUAUAACUUUAAGGUGAGUAACUUGUGUGAAGUGUAAUCUUAUUGAAGCACUGAAUGUUGUGUUUCAUGCAUUUUCUUUUAUUGAUUUUUGCAAAAUUAAAAUUUUAAUUAAUGCUCACAGAGCUUUGAGAGUGUUGAAAUCAGCUGAUAUCAUACUUUCGGAAGACACUAGGCACUCUGGGAAGUUGCUUCAGCACUACUGUAUUAAAACCCCACUUGUAAUUCACUGCUAAUUUAUGUGUUUUCUGUAGAAUAUUAGUUUGAUUUAUACAUGUAUUUGUGUGGAUUAUUUUCUGAUAUUGUGAGUUAGAUUUUCAGUUGAGUUAUCACAAAUUUAACGAGUCUCAACGAGAACAAAUAGUGCUGAAGAGAUUGCAAGAUGGUGAAAUUGUGGCACUAAUAAGUGAUGCGGGGACACCAGGUAUCAGUGAUCCUGGAAUGGAACUGGUGAGAUGCAUAUCAAUGCUGUGAUAUUCCAUUGUACACUUCACAUGUAGCAUUUGAAUGUAUUGCCUGUAUUUACCGUACGUGUACGAAUGUGAUAUCAGGGAUACUGGCCUCAUGUAUGGCAUUUUGAAAUAUGGAUGUAGGCAAAGUUGUGCGUGGAUAAAAAUAUACCUGUUAUUCCAAUCCCUGGGCCAUCUGCUUUGAUAGCUGCGCUUUCUGCGUCAGGUCUAUCAACUAAUGAGUUCACAUUUGGUAUUUUCUAAAACUUUGGUACUAGUGUCAAUUGCUCGAUUAUCGUGAUACAUUGUGUACAACAUCCAUGCAGUUGGCUUUCUGCCUAAACACACUGGAACGAGAAGAGAGAGGCUGACAGUGUCUGCAAAAGAAGUAACCACUCAGGUCUUCUUUGUUCCUCCUCACAAGCUCUCUCAAUUUCUUGAAGAGGCUUCUUCAAUUUUUGGUGACUUAAGGUAAAUCUUGUUGAGGACUGUGGUGCCAUUUGUAUCAAAAUUGCUGUAACUAUAAGUUUGAAGACUUUUCCAUUAAAACAGAUACUGUGGCAUUUGAGAUGUUUGAUGUUCCUAGUUGUAAUGAAAACUCAAGCUAUCUUUCACAUGUCGUGGUUCUUCAUUUUCUGUUCUGAGGGGAUUCUAGAACUGAUUUGCAUCUGGAAAAUUAAUUUCAUAGUGUGUACACUAUCUUUAUUUGUUCAUUUUUUUAACUAAGGACAUAUGCCAAUUCAAACUAGAUUGUAAACUCCUUUUCAAGUUAGUUGUUUGACUUGUCUCAAACGGGACACUUAAAAUAGUCCUUCCUGACUAAUAUUAUCCCUUUUGUCACUCGACCUCUUCUUAUUGCUUGCAAUAUCAGACAGCAAAUGAGAUUCCUACUUCAACAUUUUGAAUUCUUUAUAUUCUCAUCUAUUUCUGUAAGUGAAAAACUGAAGAGAUACAAUAUAUCAGAUCAUUGUCUAAUUCCUUUGAAUUUAUCACAGGCGAUGUGUCAUUGCUCGAGAGAUGACUAAAAUUCAUGAAGAGGUAAGGAUUGUAAUUUGUGAUUGGCCUAUGUGUUCUCAUUCAAAGUGCAGUUAUAGCAAUGGCCUGAUCUAGUUUUCGUUAGAAGAGUGGAAUUCAGUAAGAUGACAAAUUAUAAAUUUGAAAACUGAAAUGCAAUAUCCGUUGUUAAAACUGCAACUAGAAAAUCCAUUAUACCACACUUGAUUUAUGGAUUCAUGCCUGAUCUAAAUUGAAUUUUAACCAGAAGAACUGGAAAAGACUUAACGCACAACUUUUUUAAAUGUAGUAGAAACUGCAGUGGGUAAACUCUUCUCUUCCCCUCUCUUUUCCUGGAGGAACUCAGCAGUUGUUUGUUAAACUGUAUUCUUACUUGUUUGUGAACAUAAACCACAUAUGCCAUUGAGGAGCAACAUCUUAGACCUCCCCACAAACUAGUGAGCUCAAUCCUCUUCAGUAACUGUAGGCAAACCCCGUGGACCGGAAAUGGGAGAAAAUAAUAGCAGUUUUGUUGUAUGCUCUUAUUUCAUUAUGUUGGCAAUCUAUUUUGUGUUAUUUUGGUGGUUGUAGACUCUUUUGAUCUGUUAUGAAAAAAGUGGUGUUUCCUGCAUUAAAUCUUUGUGAGUUCAGAUUUGUAGUGUACACCCUCUAUCAAUGUAAAAUCCUUAGGGCGUCUUUGGUAUAAGGCGUGGAAUGUGGGACAAAUGGAAAGUAACAGGGAUGUUCUUUCCAUCCCUUUAGUAAGGAAGGAGAGUGGGAGGGAAUUGGAUUUGUAAUGUUAGACAGGGGGGAAGUGAAGGAGAUAAAAAUUUCAAGUUUGUGGAAAUUAUUAUUUUACCCUUCUUAUAUCCACAAAAGGAAAAUUUUAACAUAACUGUACCUUUUACUAAAAUGUUCUUUAGGCAAUCUAGGCAAAGUUGACAAGGAAAACCGAAAACAGAGUGUCUAAAUGGAACUCUCGCCAACUUCUAGCUUGACGAGAAUGCUUAGAUGAUUUGAAAUUUGUGCAAAAAGGAAAAGAAAGCAUCUAAAUGAACUAGAAAAUUCUUGUCAACUUUGUUGGUUUGACUAGAAUGCUUAUAUACGGUUCAAAAUUCGUGCAAAAAGGAAGAGAUAGAGUUUCUAAAUGGACAAGGCAUUCUUGUUAAUUAGUCUAGUUUGACGAGAAUGCUUGAUGAUUUGGAAUUCGUGCAAAAAGGAAGAUGUAGAAUUUGUUAACACUUUUGAAAGGAGAUGGCCAUACCUAAAAGUGGUGGAUAAACUUCUUUUGCUUACUCUUAAAGUGUCCUAUGAAGGAAAUUUCUUCUAUACAUAAUGAAGUUUUCAAGAUGGGUAAAAGAGUAAGUUUGUAAACUUCAACUAAAUGUUGGACAUGUUAAUGAUUGCAUCAUAAUUUUGUAUCCCAAUUCUAUCAUUAUUAAAUGGACUGUUAGCUUAUUAAUGGUUUUCCUCCACCACACUUGCCUAACUAUAUAUUUGCAAAGAUUCAAAACUGUCUUCAGUCUGAAGACAUUGUUAUGCUUUGUGUCCAUGAAUCCCAUGAACAAAUAGGUUGCGUAUAUAAUAAACUUGGGGUGAUGGUGAUCAUUUAACCGUUAGGAUACAGACACCUCAUCUUUUCUUGGUUAAGGUCCUUUUCAGAUCUCAACUAAAAUGUUAUGAGAACAAGUGGGUCUUACAUGGGAUGAAAUUUUUAAGGUGACUUGUAAUUUCAUUUUUUCCGCAUUUCUUUAUUUCCUUCAAUGUUGUGAUGUUCCGACCUCUUCACAUUUCAACAACUAUAAAACCUGAUUUACAAUAAUUACUCACUAUACAUUUCCAGAUGUGAAAUUUUGAUUCUUAGCCAAGGAAAUUACAAAUUCUAAUCACAAAGUCCACUCUGUAGAGUUGAGUGCAUGCCACUAGUCCUGUCCUUGAUUUUAGCACCCAUUAAUUGGGUUGUCAUUUGAAAGACAUCAUACGCCUUAUCAGAAUUAGACAUUAAUCAGUUAAACCAAACCUGUUACUAAAAUAGUGGAAUAAUUCCUUUCCUCUUUGACACAGCGGGAUGGGAGUAGCAGUUAUAUUUUACAUUGUUCAACAUAUAGUAAUUAAAUCUUUAGCCAUUUCUUCUGUUUGUGCCUGGAAGAAAAAGGGACAUGCAUAAACAAUUUUAUUUUGUGUGUGUUGGGUGGCGGGGGGGGGGGGGGGGGGGGGUUCAUGCCAUAUUUCAUAUAUACUAAUGGAUGCCAAACUAUCAGCUAGCUUGGCUUGGAUUAGCUGAUUUGUUAUAUUUUUAUUCAUUCUCGACGUAAUUCAAUACAAUAACGAUAAUUUUGCAACUAAAGUUUGAUUUUUGAGAAUUUGUGCAUUAUUUUGAUGCAUUACUUGAGGUCCUAUUGUUCUUUCAGAUUAUUCUUGGUGUAGUAGGAAUUUACAAGAAAAGGUUCCAAAAUAAUCUGUUAGCCAAUUGAAGGUGUUUAAUUAGUGUCUUGUUUCAUUAUAUAAUUUAUCAAUUAUACACACAGCUAACUGAAGAGUGAGGAGUUUAUAUAUUUAUAAUUAGUAUUCAAAAAGCGUAAAGUGGGACUAAGCGUGAAGAUUUGGCUUCAAACUUUACGAGCUUAGGCAAGGCUUAGUGUUACUUAUUUUUAUUUUUUUAAAUACUUAAAUCAUUCUAAAAAUUAUUUAAUUUAAAAUAAUACAUACCAAACAUGUAAAAUUAGUAAAUUAUAUAUUUACUUAAUAAUUCCUACAAUUAAACAAUUAUACAAUUUCCAAGUUUUCAAAAUGUAAAAGUUAAAUGAUUUUUCAUAAUCACAUUUCAACCAGACAAGUCAUAUUUGAUAGAUUUAUAGAAAUUUCAUAUAUGUUUUUGAAGUUUUCAAAAAUAUGAUAUGUUUCAAAAUCAUAAUUACAUAAUAUAAAUUGUACAGUAACUUAAAUUUUAUCUACAUAAUUAUGGGAUAAAGUCAUUUUAAGUUGAUUGCUUAAUUCACUCUUACUAAAGCAAAGCGCCCUUUUCCCACCUCCCCCUUAGACGGGCUUUUUAAAACACUACUUUAAUCCACAGAUUUUAAUGUAAAAUUCCCAUAUGUUAUUUGCUUAAUUCAUUCUUACUGCUAAGACAAAAUGCCUUAUUCCCGUCCUCGGGACAUAAUCCAGUGAUGUAAAGGAUAAGAGUGAGAUAGUCUUAACCUUAUUGGCGGCCACAGUAUGAGGAUUCGAUUCCUGAGAUAUAGAAUUUGAUUCUUUGUGGACACCAGUGUACGGGCAAGCUCCUGUUCUCUGACAUGUUGGGACAUAUCCUGUGAUUUAACUCCCUCACGAUACUCUAGAGACGGGACGAUAGGGUCCUUCAAACUUGGAGUUCAAAAUUUUUUUUUUUUCCCGAAAUGCCUUAUCCCCGCUUCGUGUUUAGACGCACGCUUUUCAAACACUGCUUAUUACGUAAUUCUGAGUGGAGUGUGUCAUGUCAACCUAGUUGAUUUCUCACGUUUUCAAUGACUUAGCUAUAUUAAUGUAUCUAAAGUCUUGCUCUUUAUUAAGGCCCCGUUUGGUAGGGAUUUUUUGCUUCAAAAAAUUAAUUUUUUGACCGUUAUUUUACUAUUCAAGCCUUAAUUUUUGACUUCUUCUCUCACAUGUGGACCCCACUUUUCUUCUAACGGUCAAAAAAUCAAUUCUCAAAAUCCCUACCAAACGGGCCUUAAAUGUAUAUUACUUUAUUCAAUUGUUUUGUACUUAGGGUGGCCCACGGUCUAUAAUCAGAGGUCACUCGAAGUACCACGUCAUUUCGACGGGGCCCGACAUGUUGACAUCUAUUUUGGCCUAAUCUCCCGGCCCCAGCAUUGUAAUUAUCAAUUUGUAGAUAAUUACUAAAAGUUGUUACUUGUUUGGAAGAGAUUAAAAUUUGAUUUUGAUUUAAGUCAAAAUUAAAUAAUUAAUAUUAAUCACAUUUUUUAUGGGUUUCACAACUUUUCAACUACACAUUUCAAAAAUUUCUAUUACAAUCCACUAAAAAAUAUAAUUUUAAUCACUAUCAAACACCCUCGACCAACUUCUCUCUUAUCGUAAGCAUCGUUAACCUAAUCAUAAUUUUGGAGGGGAUAUGAUUAAUUUUCAUAUUACAUUAUUUUUUCUAUGUAUUUUAUGAUUGAGGUUACAUCAUGAUGACAAGCUAUAGAAAAGGUAGAGCAAAGCUACACUUACAGAAAAUGGUGGCUACAAAAUUGGUAUAGAACACACAGAACACACACAUGCAGGGGUAAUUGGGUUUUUUUUGCAAUAUUUUAAUAUACGUGGGGUCCACCAUCUUGUGUCAAUCUGUAAUCUUUCUGCGAAAAAUUGUUCUAUACAUCCGGUUUUUUUCGAAAAGGUAGGUGAAAGUAUGCAAUUUAAUAAGCAACUUCAAUAAAAGGAAAGUUUGUUUAAUUCAGGUCUUCCUUUUACUGAUUGGAGUUUGUUUAGUUGAAAAUAACUUAUUUGCGCAAUAUUCUUUUGCAACUAAAAGGUCGAAAUUCAAUAAAUAAAUAGCCGAAUUUAGUGCAGCAAGCAAGCAACUCCUUUACAAGGAAAUUAUGUUUGAUUUUAAUUUUAUUAACUUACGAACAAUGUUCUAAAUAGCAUAAAGUCCGAUUAGAUGGUGAUGCCAUGUUUCAAACUUUUACGAGCCUAAAUGGAUCUAGAAGUAAAAAAAUGUAAAGCAUGACUAGACGACAAAAUCAAACUUUGGGCAAAAAUAAGAUCUUCACAACAACAAACACAUAAAGUCAUUAUAAUUUUGGUUUAAUGUUUCACAAUAAACUAAGUCACCAUUGUUAAUAUCUUAUUCUUAUAAGUGAUUUUGCUUCAACUAAUUAAACUGACAUAAAUAUUAAUUACAAUAUUACUUCUUUUUUUUCCCUAUCAUUUUCUCCCUCAGAUGAAAGGUUUGAAACUAUCAAUAUGUUUAUCUGCGUUUACCAAAAAUCACAUUCAGCAUAAUUUACCAAAAAUCACUACUGAUUUUAUCGUGCAUCGACUUCUGUAAGAGUGACAUUAUUCAAGGAAAUACUCCUCUUUUGUCUCUGCUGAG